CCAUUAGAGAUUGGAAAUUUGAAGGUUUUGGUUGGAAUGGAUUUUUCGAUGAAUAACUUUUCAGGCGUUAUCCCAACAGAAAUUGGAGGCCUAAAAAAUCUAGAAUAUCUCUUCUUAGGAUAUAACAGAUUGCAAGGAUCAAUUCCUGAUUCAUUUGGUGACUUGAUAAGUUUGAAAUCCUUGAAUUUGUCUAAUAAUAAUCUCUCUGGGGCUAUUCCUGCAUCUUUAGAGAAACUCUCAUAUCUUGAAGAUCUAAAUCUUUCUUUCAACAAGCUGGAAGGAGAAAUUCCUAUGGGAGGAUCUUUUGGAAACUUCUCAGCUGAAUCAUUUAAGGGAAAUGAAUUAUUAUGUGGUUCACCCAAUUUACAAGUCCCGCCAUGCAAAACUAGCAUCCACCGCACAUCAUGGAAAAAUUCUCUUCUCCUCGGGAUUGUGUUGCCAUUAAGUACUGUAUUUAUGAUAGUAGUCAUUUUGUUGAUCCUAAGAUAUCGACAUAGAGGAAAACGGCCAUCGAAUGAUGCUAGUAUGCCACUAGUAGCAAUGUGGAGAACAUUUUCAUACCUAGAACUCUGUCAAGCAACAAACGAAUUCAGUGAAAACAAUCUAAUCGGCAAAGGGGGUUUUGGCUCUGUUUACAAGGCAAGACUUGGGGACGGGAUGGAGGUUGCAGUGAAAGUUUUCAAUUUGCAAUGUGGAAGAGCAUUGAAGAGUUUCGAUGUUGAAUGUGAAAUGAUGAAAAGUAUUCGCCAUCGAAACCUUAUCAAAGUUAUUAGCAGUUGUUCAAAUGAAGAGUUUAAAGCGUUGGUAUUAGAAUACAUGCCUCAUGGAAGUUUGGAGAAGUAUUUGUAUUCAAGUAACUGCAUUUUGGAUAUUUUUCAAAGAUUGAACAUAAUGAUAGAUGUUGCAUCAACUUUGGAAUAUCUGUACUUUGGUCAUUCAGCUCCAAUAAUUCACUGUGACUUAAAGCCAAGCAAUGUAUUGUUAGACGAUAAUAUGGUUGCUCAUUUGAGUGAUUUUAGCAUCGCAAAAUUGCUAACAGGAGACGAUCAAUCUAUGACUCAAACACAAACAUUUGCCACAAUAGGCUAUAUGGCACCAGGUUUGUCAAUAAAAAAAUUUUCUAUUUCUUGUAAACUUCCUAAUAAGUUGUUUAUGUUUCAUGAUCUUCAUUAGAUGAGGAAAUUCUUAUUGAUGAUAUAUCUUACUAUGUAACUAUUGCAAUUCAUAGAGUAUGGAAGAGAAGGACGAGUAUCCGCAAAUGGAGAUGUUUAUAGCUUCGGGAUUAUGUUAAUGGAAACUUUUACUGGGAAGAAACCCACAGAUGAAAUUUUUAACGAAGAAAUGACAUUAAAGCAAUGGGUUAAUGAUUGGCUACCCAUUUCCACAAUGGAAGUUGUUGAUGCUAAUUUGCUUAGUCCGGAGGACGUACAUUUUGUUGCAAAGGAGCAAUGUGUGUCAUUUGUCUUCAAUUUGGCUAUGGCGUGCACUGUGGAAUCUCCUGAGCAGAGAAUCAAUGCGAAAGAAAUUGUAACAAAGCUCUUAAAAAUUAGAGGCUCAUUACUUAGAAAUGUUGGAGGCAGAUGUAUAAGACAAUCAAAUUUAAAUUAAUUCUGCCCCUCCAUUGCUUGCUAUCCUUUUCAAAGACUUGAACGGUUAAACUUCAUACCAGUUUUGUUGAUAUGUUUUGUUAUUGCUCUUGCUCAUGUUUGUUUCUCUAUUUCUUUAAUUUGCAUGCAUGUAUUUUUCGUUCUCUUUUAUGUUUUUGUUAGUUUGUAUGUAGUUUGUUUUUAGGGGUAAGGUUGAUUAUGUCCUCCCCUAAUUAGACGUAUCCUUUUUAUUUUUAUUCAAUAAAGCUUCUCUAAUACUAUCGAGGUUCAUCAACAGAAAAUUUUAAAUUAAUUUUCUUUUCUAUGUUAGAUAAUGAAAUUCUAAUCUUCAUAGUGAAUAACUUCAAUAAUAGAGUGUAAGAGUAUUAGUAGUUAUGGUUGUUUUCUGAACCUGAAGUCAAGAGCAAUUUAACAGCAACAAACAAGUCUCUUGUAUUAUAGGCAAAAUUCUUUUCAUUAAUCUUAUUUGUCUACAUAUUCUCCUAUUUUCUCCAUUAAUCUUCGCUCAAAGUUUCAUGCUUCCUCUUUGAUAAAGGAAAAUAUUACUCGUGAAUAUUUCAAAUUUUCAAUUUGACAUGAGCGACUGUUUGCCAGCCAUUUGAUAAAAUGGAUAUGAGUGGAGUUUUCAAUCAUUACCUCCUCCAAAAUCCUUACAACACCACUUUUUAAUUUUAUUUUUUAUAAUCCAUUCAGUUUAAUUUAAAAAAAUAAAUCCAUUUGUGGAAUUUAAUCUUUUUCUCAUAAAUUUCAACCUAAAAAAUAUAUUUCUCUUAAAUUUUUAUUACAAAAUAUUUACAAGUUCUAAACUAUUAAAUUAUUUUCUUCUUAUUAUAUAGUUUAUAUCUCCAUAACUCUAAACUCCUAUAAUUUUUUAAAAAAAUAUUUUUUAAUUUAAAAUAUAAAUAUAAAAUAUAGAAUGGAGUGAGAAUAAAAAAACUUGUUAAAAGAAUAAUUCAUUUAAGUAUUUAACUGAAUUUUAAAUUAAAAUAAGAAAUAAAUUAAUUUAUUUUUAUUAGUUAAGUAAUUUUCAAUUGAAAAAAAGCUUUUAGUAAUAUUAUUGAAAUAUGAUUAAAAUUCUUAUGAAUUAAACAUUUCGUAUAAAUACUAGUGAUAAUUACAGAGAAAGUAUGAUGAAGUGAAAAAACUUAAAUAUAAAUACUCUAGUAUAAUUUUACACAUGCAACUUAUGAACCAGUGAUCUUUAGAGCAUCAUAAAAUUGUUUUAACACAAUUAAUUGGUUUGAAAAAUUGCCAAUAAUGUCUACAAUGGGAUUUAAAAGAUUAAACUACAUAUAUAAGACAUGAUAUCAUUUAAGACGGCUUACAGAUUAUGAGAAAUAUUUUGAUCUUCCAAAUAUUUAAAAUGUCAAUUAGACUGAGUCUAUGCAAUGAAAAUUUCAAAUAAAAAAUAAACCCUUUUUUUUCUUUUAAUCAUAAGUGUGAUCUUAAUCAUUAAAGUCAUUUAAUGUCCAUUACUUAUUCAUUUUUUUAAUUACCUAAAUGACAUUGAAAACUCUACUCAAUAUUAAUUCAUUCAAAUGUUUUGUUUUAAGGUAAUCAGAAACUGCAAAUGAAACAAAUGCUUGAAAUCACAAACGGCCUAAAAUUAGAUUUUCAUUUUUCAAUGUUGCAGUGACUUUGAUCUUGAUAUUGAAAAUUUAUUUGUAACUUAUAUAAAUGCCUCAAUUUUAUCAUAAUUGGUUAGUAAGGCUACGUAGGGAGCAUGGAUAAAUUUUGGGAUUGGAUUAUAUUUUUGGAACUAAAAAAUUAAUUUCAUCCAAUGUUAUAUUUGGCUGUCAGAACUAGCAACUUAGUCUAAAAUUAUUGAAAUUAUUAAUCUUUUAUAUUAUAAUCUUUUCGUUCCCACUUUAAAUAUUAUUGGUAGCUUAAAUCAUUUUUUAAAAUUAAAUAUAAAAAUUAAUUUAAUUAAAUAUAAAAAUCAUUUAAAUUAAAUAUUAACAUUAAUUCAUAAUUUUUACCUAGAAUUUUAUACUAUAUUAAAUACUAAAAUUAUAUUCGAUAAUGUAUUAUCAUUUAUUUAAUAAAUGUUUAGGUUUUAGUAUGUUAUAUUAUUAUUUAAAUUAAUUUUUUAUUUACAUAUAAACAUAAAUUAUUAUUUACUAAUUUAAAUUUAUUAUAAUUAGUUAAAUAAUAAAACAUAAAUGAUUAUGUUGAAAAUAUAAAUAGUAUUCUAAUGUAUUAUAGUCUAAAUCUUACCCCUAUGAGAUUAUUUUAUACACCUUUUAUUAUAUUAACCACAUUUAUAAUGCAGUGCAAUGUAACAAAAAAUUAUAACCAAAUAUGAGUUAGCAUGAAAAUAAUAUUUUAGUGCAAUAUAAUACAAUGUAAUGUAAGCUAACAAAUGGAUAUUUAAUGGAAGCAAAAAUUGCAUAUGGCUUGUGGGUCUCUUAAAAGACAAUGAAUAAACCAAUAUGAUACACUGAUUCUGUCAUCUUUAAUGAUGUCUUUACUAAAUGGGAAUCAGAAUAAGUUAGAAUUGGAAUGAGCUUGAAUCGAAAUAAGGAAUUAUAAUAAAAAUGAAUUGUUUAUUUAAUUUGUAUGAAUCAGAAUCGGAAUAAAUUUUACUCAAAUUAAUAUGUUUAUUUUCUCUUAAAAUUAUAAUGCACUAUUACAAGUUACUAAAAAAAUCAUUUGGUAAUUGUUGUCUCUACUACCACUACUACUACCACGACUACUACUACUACUACCACUACCACUACCACUACUACUACCACUACCACUACCACUACUACUACCACUACCACUACUACUACCACUACCACCACUACGACUACUACGACUACUACUACCACUACUACCACUACCACUACCACUACUACCACCACUACCACCACUACCACGACUACCACUACUACCACUACUACCACGACUACCACUACUACUACAGUCUCUCAUUUUCUAUUUCUAAUUUGAUGUGGGUCUUAUUAUUUGGAUUCUAAUUCUUAUAUUUAUUUGUGAGACAAAAUUAUGGUGCAACUGUAGUACCAUUGGAUCCAGCUACAGUUAUCAUCAUGACUUGAUAUAAUGAUUAAAAGUAAUUGUGGUAUAGUACCAUAGUUGCACCAUAACUGAACAUUUAUUUAUGAAGUAAAAUGAUGUUAAUAAUUUCGAUUUCCAAUUCGAGAAGUAAACACAUUAUAAUAUUUUUUUAGAUGCUUCUAUGCCAUAAUCUCAUUGGUCCAUUUUUCUUCACGCCUUAGAUUCAACUUCAAGAUUCAAGAUUCAAGAUUCAAUUUGAAGCAAACACAACUACAAAACAAAUAUAAUAAGCGUUAAUAAGCCUGUGGCUGACUGGCUGUGGCCAAGCAAAUGUACUACCUCAUAGUGAUUAGUGACCGUAUCAUAUCUUAUUAUCUUACGCCAGAAGCUAAACAAUGUUCCCAUUCCACGUGUCACUCUCUGACCAAUCCCCGAACUUUCUUCAUAUUUCCAAAGAAACCCUCACCAAGUCAGGAUAAUUACCUUCACUCUACUCAUAUAAAUACUGUCCUCCAUUCAACUGAUGUCUGAUAACGACAUAUCCUUAGUCUUUAUUUAAAAGGGGAAAUUAUAAAAAAUUCUCCUCGUUCCCUGACAAUCUAGGGUUUCUCAAGAAUCGCUAAACCUAGGUCCCAAUCCUUCAAAAUCUCAAUUUAACCUCUCUAGGGUUUCAAUUGUCGAGGAUUCGCUUCAAAAUUUAGUAUUUUUUAGGGGAUUUUGCUUGUCUCGUAUCCUUCAAUUGUUGUUCGGUUCUGAAAAUAAUUUGGAAUUUUAGGGAUUUUCAGAUUAUUUGGUUUUGCUUGAGCGCAAUUUCCUCUAGUUACGGUUUCAGUUUGAAGGGUUAAGUGCGAUUUCGAAUAUUUUUAUAAAACUAAAAUUAAAAUUCAUAAAACGAUUGGGCGUUUAAUAAUUAAUUGAUGGCUAGCGAUACUACAACGGCGGCCGCAGCUGCGGAAGAAGCAGAGGCGGUGGAGGAGUAUGAUAGCGAUCCAGAUGAAGUGAAACGCUCUCUUGCGAUGCGCAGAAGGGAAGCCAGCGAUGAGGAGGUUGAGGAGGAUAAAGAUUCAGAGCUUCCAAUAGUUCAAAGUGUCCACAUUCCUGCGGGAAGCCGAGGCUGUGGAUGAGUAUGAGAGCGAUCCAGAUGAAGUGAAACACUCUCUCAUUAUGCGCAGAAGGGAAACAAGCGAGGAUGAUGAGGAGGAGACAUAAUUUGAGCGUCGAAUGAAUUGAAGGGUCCAUAUUCACUCUUACAUUGAAUCUGAUGGCCAAGGUGGUGCUCCAGCUGAGUAUGAUGAUGAAGAAGAAGAAGAGGAACAUGACAGAGAAUUAGAAGAAGAAGAUGAAGAAGGGGAUGUUUAUGAGGCUGUAGAGGAAGAAGAAGUUUAUGAAGAAGAGGAGAGGAAUGAUGGGGCGGUUAAAGUCAAAGGAAUAGAGGGUAAUGAUGCAUGAGGAGUACGGAGGGUGCAGUGGAAGUGAGUAAAGGGAAUAAUGAUAAUCGCAAUGGUGCUAAAAGAAUGAUGCAGCAGAGGAGGGAAUGGAGGAAGAGAAGAAGGAGAGUAAUGAGCCUUUUGCACAGCAGCUGGGGCUUUUUAUAUGGGACAAUGUUGCAGGUCGACACAGGUAUUAUUUGAUUUGAGUGACAAUUUAUAAAUAGCUAAUAGCUAUGGGACAAUGUUGCAGGUCGACACAGGUAUUAUUUGAUUUGAGUGACAAUUUAUAAAUAGCUAAUAGCUGUACUUUCAUUAGGGCUUGUCAAUUAAUCCAGUCUCGAGUUUUGGUGCUGUAUAAUGAUUGUUUGCUGGAAUCUGUGUAGAAGGCUUUUGGCCUAGUAGGUUGAAAGGAGAGAAAGUUCUCAAAUAAACAUCUGUGCUUUGUGAAAUAUAAUUAAUAGGUACAAAGCAUACUAAAUUACUUGACAGAUAGAUGCCGAGCUAAUCAUGGGCUAUGAUAGCAUUAUCCGUGCUUUCUGUAUUUUUAAUAGGGCUUGUCUAUUUCAAAGUGUGUAGUGUAGAAUUUUUGGGUUUAGUUUGAGUGAUGAAGUGUUAGAUAGGUUUCUGUUUGGCAUAGUUAAGUGGUUAAUACGAGCUAUUGAAGCAAAUAUGGAGUAGGAUAUCUAGUUUUGGGUUUGGUCUUAGUUUGAAGAUGGCUACUGAUUAUGCAGCUAGGUACGUAUUAGUGUUUGUGGAUUGCUAAAUGCUUUCUGUCAAAUGUGAGUAGAUUAUUACUUGAAGUGCAUGGAUCUUACACUUAAUUAAUUAUAUAUCCAUUUGUAAUGUUCAAAAUGAUCAUGUACUAUUGCUUAAAAUUAUGUUUUCAAGCCAUGGUUGUAAUGUGUCUCUAAAUUCAGUAAUACAAGUUCUGUCAAUUGCUGUCGGAUGGCAGUGACUUGAAUAGUUUAAUGUUCAUUUGCAGACAAAAUUUGAGAAAGAAAACUAAAAAUUUCUGUGCGUUCUGCUGGAAAUUUAAUUAGCUUCAUUUGAGCAUUAAUUGCUGGCAUUAUCUCUUAGAUUUCUCUUGCAUUGAAUGAAUGGAUGAGUGCUAAUCCAUGCAAAGACUCCCAUGCAUACACAAUGAAUGCUUCAUCAAAGGUAUGGUAAAAUGUCAACACGCUUGGCCCAAAUUAUCAAGCUGGUGUGGUGGCUGCUAGAUUUGUUCAUCCGGAUUUUGGACCAUUUUCAUUGACAAUGAGAAAAGCUGCAAGAUCUGUAAAUCGGAAACUCAUUGAAGUGCCAAAAGAGAGAUGGAAGUGAAUAACAAGAGAGUUAGUGAAGAGAGGGUGCAGUGAUUGUGUGGGAAGCUUUGGGUUUACUUGGGGUUUGGAUGUGAGAUAAAAUAAUUUGAGAGAGAGGUUGUAACAAUUUUUCGGUAAUAGAGUUUUUCAGGUAACUCUUGUGUUGUGUGCUUAGAGUAUUCUCUAUUGUAUUUUUUUUUUGUUAUUUAUUUGACGUAUUGCUAGCGGAGAUCUUGGGUGGGAACCAAAAAUUCCCAACAAUUGUCAAUUGUUUUAAACUCUAUUUCGAACAGAGCAUGAAGGGAUUCACUUAUCUGAUUAUGUCUUUUAUGCUUUAACUUCACUUGAUUUCAUCUUGUCUGUCACCUUUAUUAAAGUUGUAUAUGUUGGAGUAUUAGGUUCAUCACAGGGAUCAUAUUAUGGCUAAGGAAGGGGCACAGUUUAUCAGCUGCACUCAAGUGUAGCAGAGUAUUUGGAUUCAAGACUGUUAGAAGGUUGUUACAAUGCAAGGCUGUUGCUGUGUAACUGUAUGCCAUUCUCGCAAGUGCACUCUUAACAGAUUGCUGAGCUGGCACCGGAUGUUUUUAGCUAAUAUUAGUUAUUGGUCUAGAGUGUUCUGAUUUAUUCUAUAAAUAGCUCAUUUGAGCUUAGAACCUUUAUAGUGUAUCAUACGUUUCUGUUUCUUCUAAUAACGAUUUUCUCUAUUCCUUUUUCUUUCACUUUCUCUUUCAUUUUCAUGAUCCCCAAACACCAUCAAUCCAUGAUUUUCUAGAGUAUUAGUUGUCUAUUUCUACAAACAUAGAAUUGUUGUUUUAAGAAACAAAGUACUCUGUCCUGUCACCCGCGGUCUUCUUGUUUAUCGACUUGUGAACAGGGCUAAAUAAACGGCAAAUAAGAUAUUGGGUCAAUGGGUCUAACAUGACAAGAUAUUGAAUUAUUGCCCUUUUCUUGUCUCCACAAAUUUUUGGUAAAUUUUUAGGUUCCCUCAACUUUUUUCCCCUUUAGCACUAAAAUUCAUUUUUGAUACUUUAUGCAAAAAUUAUGAUGAAAAUGAGUCACUUUAGAACAUCAAUAAAUUUUUAUUUUUACAUCCAAGAUGACGAUAGUUACACUUAGAUCACUCUCAUUUAGUUGAAUUAUAUAGGUAAUAAAGUUGGCUUAACAAAAUAUGAUUCUUAACUGUUGUAAUUAAGGGUUAGUAUUCUUUGGUUUUAGUUGUAGGGCUUAUAAUGCUGUGGCUCAGUUCUUGGUGGGUUCGAAUUAUUAGACGAUCAUUCUCAAUUCUUUACGAUUCAUAAUUAAAAAUUCCUAUAUCACAAUUAGAACUUACAAACAAGUCAAAGUGGGUUAAAUCUUAUGUAUAAAUUUGAGGUCUAUUACAAACUUUUAAAAAAGAUUUUUACCAUAUAAAAAAAUACUAUUCCAAAAAAAAUUGAAAAUCCAACCAAUUGAAUCGGUUCAGUGUCACUCAAAAUGUGUGUGUGUGUAAAACAACACAAUUAUCAUAUUAAUGAGGCACUGUUAAAUUCAUUCAAUGAAUAUUUUUCCUUUUCAUUUUCAAUGAAUGCUUAAAAUGACAAACAAUCGCUUGUUUUACAAUUCUUUUAUAUAUCUUUGAAACUUUCAGCUUCCCAACACAUCAUAUUGUUCUCAAUUCGUCUAAAUUAUUAUUAUUUUUUUUCAAACACUGCAGCAACAACCAGUAUAAAAUAGAAUAAACUCAUUUAAUGGAAAUUUUCCUAGAGGCUUUCAUGGCAGAAUCUCAUUGGUCUAUUUCUCUUCGCACCUUAGGUUCCUCUAACAAACCUACCUCUUAACUCUCAUGUCCGAAUUUAAACUUAAAAGAUGUUCCCCGUCCCACGUGUCCCCAAAUAUUUGUAUUUCCAAACAAACCCCUGCCAACUAAGUCAAGUGAUAGGAUGGCUUUUAUUACAAACUGUAUGAACGUUAUGGCCAUGGGACAUUGGAUAAAACUAAUGGAAUGUAAAGCAAAAUUACCGAUUAAACUAAAUUGAAAAUCCAACCAAUUGAAUCGGAUCAGUGUCACUCAAAAUAUGUGUGUGGUGGUGUGUGUAAAACAACACAAUUAUCAUAUUAAUGAGGCACUGUUAAAUUCAUUCAGCGAAUAUUUUUCUUUUUCAUUUUCAAUGAAUGCUUAAUAUGACAAACAAUCUGUCUCAUUGAGCACUGUUUAAGUCAUUCAAUGAAAAUGAAUACUUCUAUAACAAAACAAUAAUUCCCUUAUUUAUUUGACACGCAAAGAAUUUUCUUGCUCAGCUCGGCGGCCAAUCCUUUAAAAUUUGUUAAAAUUCAGUUAAUUGAUGAACGAGACAUAACCCAAUAAAUCGUUUAAUUUGUAUAAUUGAUAAAAAUUUAAACUUCAAACAAUAUAGAUAGAAUGAAUAAUGUUUUUCAAUAUUUAGAUAAUUUAUAUAUGUCAUGUUACUAUGAGUAAAAGAAUGAAGUGUAUGAUAGAAAACAUAAUGUUUAUGUUUGUAUUAAAAAUUCUAGGUGCAAAUCUAUUUAGUGUAGGUUAGACAUAAAAAUAGUUACCAAGUUGUCUUGUUUCUCAUUUUGUUUAAUUUUCCUAAUUUGAAUAACUAUUAAUUAUGAGUCAAGGGUUUAUUGUAAAAAUAUGGUCUUCCAUUUACUAUAAAAAGAUUAGCAUGAUUUAAUUAUUUUUCUUUUUGCUUGGUGUCUGUAAAAUUAUGAAUACUUUGGUAAAUAAGAUAAUUAUAAAUACCAUUUUGAAAACCCAUGGCCAUGGUUGUGAUGUAUCUUUAUCAAUCACGGAUACAAAAAUUAAUCAAAAUUAUCGAUUGAUUACUUUUUAUACUUUGACUUCACUUAAUACAGCUUCUUCCUCUUUUAACUGUAUGCCAUGCCGGCAAGUGUAUUGUACAGAUUACUGAGCUAGCACCGAUAACUAAGCUAAUUAUUAGGAAUCAAUCUAGAGCGUACCUGUAAAUACAAUAGGUUGCUUAGGUGGCACCAAUAUACUAACUUUAUGCCGUGUUUCUGGUGUGUCUUCACAAAUUCACCGAUAAAAAUUAAUUUCUACCAAUAUUACCAAAUGAUUGUAUUUUACGUUUCUAUUUACUUGUAAUAAAGAUCUUCCAUGUGUAUAUAAGUGUUGAUUUUAACUGAUAGCUGAUAGCUGUAUUUUCAUGGUCAUUCAAUUUUAUUGGGUACAAAAUUCUCUAGGAUUGCAUGUACAUUAUACUUUUAUAUACAUAUUUUCUUCUUUCUCAUUCGUUUUCUGGGUGAACAUAUUAUUUUCGUCAUCAUCUCUAUAACAAUCAAGUAAAAAUAGUCCUCAUUUAAAGUAUUGGCAGCAAUGUUAUACUCAAUAUAACGUAUAAAGCACGCAUAAUUUACUCAAUGGGGCAGCUGCUAGUACCUUCUUUAGAAGAGAAUUAUUGCAGCAAGUUAAUUGGAAGCUCAAAGAGUUUCCGUAUUAGCCGAAUCUAAGCGAUAAGUGUUUCCAUGUGAGCCAUAAUUUGGGAAAAAGACCAAUUCGAGUUAAAGAUCAGAAAACAAACAGUGUCAACAAGCAUUAAUGUCAUUUGAUGCAUGAAAGACAAUUAAUCCCAUUUUUUGUCCUGUUUACUUGGCUUGGGCAAUUUGCCGUCAACUUUUCUCAUCCACGUCAGGUAAUGUGGCUUUUAUUUGGUAUGAAAAAGGCAAUGCUUUACGAUAAAACUAUCACACACAUAUUAUCCAUCUGUAAUGUUCAAAUGACACUGAAGUAUUGCCUAAAUUAGCCUUUCAAAAAUUUAUUUUCAAAAACCCAUGGUUGUGAUGUGUCUCUAUAAAUUAAGAUCUAUCUAUUACCAACUGUUUUAAUUCUGUUCUGAACAGAGCUUGAAAGGGUACAUUCACUUAUCUAGUUAUGUUUUUUAAGUUUUCACUUUACUUGAUUCACCUUAUCCCUCUUUUUAAAAACAAUUGUUCACUGGCUGCACUCAGUUGACAGAAUAUUUUGGGAUUCAAGACUUGGUUGUUACGGAUGCAACUUGCAAGGCUGUUGCCAUGCUGGCAAGUGUGCUGCUGUAACUGAUUGUUGAGAUGGCACCAAAGAUUGUAAACUAAUUAGUACUGGAAAUUCAUGAGUUUGAUGAUGAAGAGGACGAAAAAUAUUAUUUUAUUAUUUAAAAAUAAGACUAUCAAUUAUUUCCAUGGUCAUCUUAUUUUUUUUUAUUAAUUGGCCUAAAUAUUGUAUUUUUUGUCAGGAGUCUUGCAAUGCUGCGUAGCACCGUAAGUAAGAAGAAACGUGUCUAAGGUUGCCACGUGUUGUCUCAACAUCUGUGUGAAAACCGAAUUAACCAGUUUGCGUUCGACAACAAAGGAAAAUGCUUCUUGUUGCUGACCGAUUGCUAAGUAUUUCAAUACCUCCACCAAAAUCUUUAUAACACCCUUUUUAAUUUUAUUUCUGAAGAGUAAUGAUAUAGUCAUAAAUUCUUGUACAAACUUAUUUUGUACAAACUGACGUGGCAUGAUAAGAUUGGCUGAAUUAAAUAUCACUUGGCCCACAUGAUUUGUUUUUAUUAUUUUAUAUUUUCAUUCAACCAAUGAAUUAAUGCCAUGUUAGUUUGUACAAAAUAAGUUUGUACAAGAGUUUGUGGCUGUAUCAUUACUCUUUUCUAAAAUACACUUAGUUUAAAAAAAAAAGAGCUUUAUGAGAAAUUUUCAGUGUGUCAAAAGGCCUACUUAAUGGACUGGAUCCCGACUCAUUAAUUUUAUAACCCGACUUACAAUCCGACUCAUUAUUCACAGAGAUUAAUUUUCUAUUGCUUAAGGCACAAUAUUUACUAAGCAAUUUAUCGGCAAUAAAACAUGUAUAUUAUAGUGGUUUGUAAUAAAAUUGGAAGAAGACAUCACGUACGAAUUGGAUUUAUCCCAUGAAAUUUGAUUAACGAAAGUGUAUGAAAAUCUAUAAAGAAAAUAGUAAAAACAAUUGUUGUGUAAAUGCUGUAUAGGUGAUAUAUUACUUUUAUAAUCCAUCAAGGUACAUUUGAUUUUAAUGAUGAAACAAAUACAAAUAAAUCCAUGUAUGUCAAUGCUAGAUGGUUCCAUAUUAAACUUGUGAAGUAUAGAAAAUAAGCGAGAUUCGUAAAAAAAUAUUUUAGAUAAUACCACUGAAAAGUUAUAAAAAUAUUUAAAAAAAAAAAGAAAUACAUACUUGAGACACCAAGACUGAUACGCACAAACUCACACAUUUACAUAUUAAUUGAGGGAAAAAAAUAAUAUUCUGAGUAAUAUUGUUGACAUAUGAUUAAAAUUCUUUUUAAUGAAACAUUUUCGUAUAAAUACUAGUGAUAUUUGUACAGAAAGUAGAAUGAAGUGAAAAAAAAAACUUGAAUAUAAAUGCUCCAAUAUAAUUUUUCCCAUGCCAAUUAUGAACUAGUGAACUUUAAAGCAUCAUAAAAUUGUUUCAACAUAAGUAAUUAGUUUGAAAAAUUGCCAAUGUGGGAACGAAAAGAUUAUAGUAUACGAGACACGAUAUUAUUUAAGACAACUUAUAAAUUAUGGGAAAUAUAUCGAUCUUACAAAUAAUAUUUAAUAAGUACAAAUUUCAAAUUAAAUAAUAAAUCCUUAAUUUCCCUUUAAUCAUAAUUAUGAUCUUAAUAAUUAAAGUCAUUCAAUCUUAAUCACUUUUUCAUUGUUUUAAACUAUCUAAAUGACAUCGAAAACUCUACUCAAUAUGGGAUUUUUAUUGAAUUAUUUAAUAAUAUACUACUAUCUAAUAAAUGAUUAAUUUCCUUUUAUUCGAAUUUAAUAAUAUACAUCAUUUGAGCGUCGAAUGAAUUGAAGGGUCCAGAUUCACUCUUACAUUGAAUCUGAUGGCCAAGGUGGUACUCCAGCUGAGUAUGAUGAUGAUGAAGAAGAAGAAGAGGAACAUGACAGAGAAUUAGAAGAAGAAGAUGAAGAAGGGGAUGUUUAUGAGGCUGUAGAGGAAGAAGAAGUUUUUGAAGAAGAGGAGAGGAAUGAUGGGGCGGUUAAAGUCAAAGGAAUAGAGGGUAAUGAUGCAUGAGGAGUAUGGAGGGUGCAGUGGAAGUGAGUAAAGGGAAUAAUGAUAAUGGCUAACGAAGGACCACAGCUCAUUGGCUGCACUCAUGUGUAGCAAAGUAUUUGGACUCAAGACUGUUAGAAGGUCGUUACAGACGCAAGACUGCUGCUGUGUAACGGUAUGCCAUGCUGGCAAGUGGGGCACCAAAUAUUGUGAGCCAGUAUUCGUAAUUAGUGUAGAGUGUUCUGAUUUAUUCUAUAAGUAGCUCAUUCGUGCUUAAAACCUACAUGUAUUGUACGUUUCUAUCGGUAAUUUGAUUACCUUUCCGUACUUUAUCAAUCAUUGAAUGAUUUUACUGGUUUAAUUGCUUGAUUGUUUGAGUAUAAUCGGUAAUUUGAUCGUCUGUCAGCAAGUGAUUUACAAUUCACUCUCCAAUUUUCAUUAAUUUAGUGUAGCAAAGCUUUAACUAGAUAGGUAGAUAACGUGGACAUGAAAACUUGAUUAAGAGUUUAGAGCAAUCAAAUCUACUUUAAUGAUUAUUUAAUGCACGGAGAUUUAACAUCAAUUAUCAUCACGUUAUUCUAACAACGAGAUUGCAGAACUUGGAUCUUUACUCGAACAAUUUCAAUUCCUGUAUGAUCAUUUCCCCAACUAUUAUUUGAAUAAUUAUUUAAUGCCGUUCAUUCCAGCUCUGUUUGGCUGUUAACUUUAUUUAGUUAUUUAUGAGGAGAUUCAUUUCUCACCUGAAGCUAGAAAUUUACGAAUCAAUGACUUUUUAUUUUUUCUUUUAUAUGAUAGCUUGCAAUCCCUGGUGUGUGUUGAUAGUGCCUUACAUGAAUACAAAAAUGAACAUUUUUUUUUUUUUUUUUUUUUUGGGGCCAAUUGCAGUUUUGAUAACAACUAAAAUCUGUGUGGUCCGGUUGCUACAAAGCCUUGCCCCAGAUCCCUGCCAUUUUCUCCUCCACCUCCAUUUGGGGAAAUUACUACUUACUUUUUGCCAAUUUUUCUUGAAAUAUUUAUUUUAAGAAGAAAACCAACAAUACAUUUUAUGAUUUGGGCUGUUUCAAAGAUCUUCGCUUGAUGUCUCUGCUACUGGCUUUCAGCAGAGUGCCAAAAAUAAUCAGUGCACGCACUAUAGGCUCUAUUAUUAUCAGUAAAAGGCAUUAAUGAUAUAUUGGGAUCGACUUUUUUAUUUGGGAGUGGAAGGAUGCUUGAAAGAGUAGAGUGGUGCAUCUUGUUCAAACAUGCACCGUAGAGCCAAUUCCAUUUUAUGAAAUAGAAGUUAGACUGAACAACGUUAUGUCUUCGUUAUCAUUUCAGAAGGAAACAAAUCAAACAAUGCCGAAAUUGAGUGCCCACACAUUUUCAUGCCCAAAUUGAGUGCUGGAAUGGUGGUCAAAUCUCGAACGAAGACAGAUCUAUCAAACUCCAAAUCUCGAACAAGUAAUUGAAAUCUGAAGUUUACGAGCAAACAAACUGAAAUCUGAAGUUUACUGAAGUUAAGGGACGAGCGCAAAACAGAAACUCUGUCCACUACUGAUGAUAUAACAACGAACCUUUGUAUUUUUUUUAAAAAAUAAUAAUAAUAAUACAACUAAACUUUGUUUUUUUUUUUUUUUUUAAAAACAGUAACAAAAUAUCAUUAGACAAAUGAAAAUAUUUUUUCAUGUCGUUCAGAUAACUGAUUGAUAAAGUAUCAUUAGACAAAUGAACCUUUGUUACCUAAUUCAGACUUGUUUUCUUUGAACCAGCGCCUGAUUCACAAGAAUCCAGUAAUUUGGCUUUUGAUCAACUGAUUGAUAAAUGUUCAAUUUCUUUGGUGAUAAAUGUGUAUGUGAAGCAGGCGAUGGCGAUGCAAGUUUCGUCUUACUAUACAAAGUCUUUUUAAUCUCAUGUCAAUCUCAUGUAUUAAUUGUAACCCUUCCGUUACUGCAAUCUGCAAAUGUGUCAAAAUCGGUUAGCACGAAUUAUGGCAGAUUGUUGAAGAUAAAUAUUCCACAGAAUCAUCAUUCUUUGCUCCACAAACUUUUAACUUUUUAAAACAUUGAGUUUGUAGUUAAAUGUCAUAAUGAUGCUUUACGAAAUUACGAUUAUGUUUACUGCUUGCACCUUUUUGAUGAAUUUGAUUAUGAUGGCAUUUCUAAUCAUAAAUUAUGUUAUUAUUGUAUGAAUUUAUUAUUCUGAUGUUAUUUAUAGACGAAUGUCAAUAAAUAUUAACAUAUUUUUGGGGUUCUCUUUUUUGUAUUUAAAAAAAUGAAGUAUGUUGUUUGACAACAUUUUGGACCAAAUCAAAUUAAGGAGUCUUUAAGAGUUAUUAAACGUGGGUAUAAUAUGCGCAAGUUGGAGUGCAAGGGGGGCGCCAUUGGGAGCUCUCACACACGACUGUGGAAAAGAGAAGAUUUUAGUGAAAGGCGAGACUCAGAUAAUUCUACGCGUUUUGGCUGAUUUAUAUAAUUCGUGAAAUUUUAUUUCCAUCUGUUACAAGAUCAAACUGAAGCAUAACUCAGAAAAAUAUUCUAUUUCUUGCGGCAAUCUUGCCUUCAUUCAGACUAUGAACCAUUUCCUUUCACCAAGUUCUUCCUAAACAUUGAAUAAGUUUCAUGGUUGGACAUAGUUAGCUUCUGUAUCUUUUGGUGCAUUUAGGUGCUAUCAAGUGACAGCCGUAAGUAUGAUUGCAUUAUUGGGAAAUUUUACGAUUUGAUGGUUCCCCACGUUAUUGCCAAGAAAGAUGUCAGAAGCUGCGGUUCUUUUCAUCAGCCUGAACCCGAACCUGUCCCUAUGGAUAAUUCAGGUUUUUGUCAUCAACUAUAUCAUCUUUUUCACUGUUUUGAAACUCUUAAUAUUAAACUUCAGUAAACUUCAGAUUUCAGUUUGUUUGCUCGAAACUUGUAUGGUGACAAGGAUACUGGCAAGGAUAAUGAGAUAGUUUUUUGUGUGAGUGAAUUUUGAGAGCUCGAGUGUUCUGGGAUUUGCAAUUGCAAUCAUCCUCUGUUUCAGGUGAUUUCUUCUCCUGCUCUGUCUUUAUUUGCUCUCUAAUUGAAAAGCAUAAAGUAUUUCAAUCAAAUUCUGUACCAGGAAUACUUUAAAGUUACUGAUACUUUAUUUCCAUCUGUUUGCAUUGAUAACUUGGCGGCAUAUGUACUAGUUAAAAAACAAACAGAAGUAGAGAAGUAGAGUUCAGGAAAAAGCUUCUUCGGCCACCAUAUUUGAAAAUGAAACCAUUUCCUGGAAGCAGUUGGCAGCAAAUUCAUAUAAAGUGUAGACAAUGAUUAGCAGAAAGGUGAUUCACAAUUUCAUUUUUUUAAAAUGAAAUUAUUUGUUAAGUUGGAGCUGAUACUGUUAGAAGGCCAAUGAGCUAACCUAUGACACUGCUUGCCUAGUUUGCAGGAGGUCAAGGCUCAAAAGAAGCACUGAAUUUUAAAAGUCAUGCAAUAAUUCUUAGGGCCAUAUGUCAAUUCAUGUAAGUUUGAAUAAGUUUAAUGGUGGAACGCUUUUAGCUCCUUUUCCUUUCGUGCAUUUUGGGGUGCUAUCAAGUGACCGCCGUAUGUAUGGCUGCAUAUAGCUGCUGCUGGGAAAUUUGAGGAUUUGAUGGCUGCCCGUAUUAUUGUCUUAAAUUAGAUGUGAUAAGCUGUUGCUUAGAGAUUCUGUUGCCAAGACUUUGCUCACAUCAGAAGCUGUGGAACCUGAACCCUUCUCUAGAUAUCAUCUUUUUCAUUGUUUUAAAACUCUCAGGAUUAAACUUAAGUAAAUUUGUUCGGUUGUCUAUAUAAUCAGGUCAAGUAUACUGGGCAGGCAAAUGUCAGAACUCGGUUUAUUCGACAAAAACUUGUUUAAGAUUCUUGGCAAAGCUGCAUGGAGUGAAUUUUGGGAGCUUGAGAGUGAAAGAAGUUAGAGAAUGUAUUAGGAUUUGGGUUUAUUAGGAAGUUAUGUAUUUCAUUAUCAGUUUUUUUUUUCUUUUGUAAAAAGUAAGGAUGGGCCAAAUCCAAGUAGCUUUUAUUUUCCUCUUUUCUCCCUUAAGGCUCGAACCUCCUUUAUUAGAAAAAGUCUUAAGUGUUCUUACUCAAUGGUAGAAUCAUAAUUUUACUUCAAUGGAAGCCAUACUAAUUAGAGUAUACUCUUUUGAUUAAUUACUUAUUUGAUGUUGCUCUCUCUACCUUCAUCUCCUUCUUUAUGAAAAAUUUAUUGUAAUACAUGGAAGUAAAUAUUGUAUUGAAUAAAAUGAAAUUGUUCAAAAAUUAACAAAUUCAGCUUUAUUAUAAUCUAAAACAAAGUAAAUAAAAUAAUACCCAUCAAGUAAAAAUAAAAAAAUAAAAAAUUUUGUACCACUUUGAAUCUAUUUUAAAUUUUUUGGUAAAUCUCAAAAGCACAAACUUUGAACAAUAAUAAUAGGUAAAAACUAAUAAUCUUAUAAUAAAAAGUAAGAAAAAAAUAAAGUUGAUUUAGCAUGUAAGAAUAAAAAAAGAAGAAUAGAAAGAGAGAGAAAUUAGUUUAGGCUUUAACUAUUGUUAUAGUAGAGAAGUAAUUUUAUGACUUUUUAGAAAUGAGUGAAUUAAAAUAGUAAGUUAUAAUUUGAUAACUAUCUUAAUUAAAAAAGUGGGUGUUGAAAUAAAAUUAAUGGAUUCAAAUAGCCCACCCAAAAUCCAAAAUUGCAUGCCAAUUAUUUUCUAAUUUACAUAAAGUUCUUCAAUUUUUUUUAUAACAUUUGUUUCUCAAUUGGUCUAAUGGAGAAACAACCAGCAAAAAAAUAAAAUGAAUGCAAUUACAUGGAAAUUUGAAAAGAGCAGUAGAUGACAUUUAUGUGCAAGCAAAAUGCAAAAUUGCAUUCUGUUUGUGGGAUCCUGGAAAAAAUAAAAGAAAGAAAACAGAGUAAGACGCUGAGACCGGGGGCUUGCUUCCAUGGCAGAUUCUCGUUGGUUCAUUUUUCUUUACGCCUUAGAUUCUAAUCAUUCUAUGAUUCAAUUUCAAUAAAAUACGACAAACAAAAGAAGCUUUUAAGCCUGCAGCUGAAAUAGAUGGCACUUUAAUUUUCAGCUGAGAAUCAAAUGAAAUAGAUGGUAAGAUUAUCAUUAUUGAGCUUGAUAACUGAUAAGGCUAUAGAAAAUUCAAUAUCCAGAUCGGACAAGGAUCCAAUAAAUUAUAAAAUAUUGCGGCUCAAACCCCAUAUGAUCAUGGGCCACCGCUUGCUCAUGCUUUGAAUCAAAAUUUUCUAAUGAAGUGAGGUUGGAAGCUAAAAGGGGCAAGUAAUGAAAUGGGGUUCAUCAUAUAUUGAGCCCAAUGGGACAAGAUCAUCAUUUAAUUCCCUCCUCUUGUCGAUAGAUAUUUGCCGAAUUCUUUCAUUUAAAAAAUAUUAUAUUGGUUAAUAGAAUUUGAAGUUUUACAAAAUAUAAGUUUAAUUUUAAAAAAUUAUAUUUUUUAAUUUAAAAUUUUCAUUUGGUGGUUAUGUUUGAAAAAAAGUUUAGGUAUACUCGGACAUACUCUCUUAUUAUUCAUUGAAUUUGGGCAUUUAAACAUAUUAGUAUGCAGUAUUUCUAGGUAAUUAGCUGAGAAGUAUAGGUGACAAAAAUAUAACAUGUGAAACAAUACACAAUGAAAUUAUCUACAAUUUUCCAUUGACUUAGGUGGCGUUUGUUUUUUUGUUUGAAAUCUGAAUAGAUCUGAAUUAGUCUGAAUUCUGAAUAGGUCUGAAUGUCUGAAUCUGAAUAUUACGUUUGUUUUUUCGUCUGAAUCUCGGAAAAUAAGUAUUAAGUUGUUUGUUUUUUUCAACUUAAAAAGUUGAAAAUAUGUACUUUUACAUUUGUAUCCUUAUUAAAUUUAAAUGUCAAAUAAAUAAUAUAUUAAAUACCAUAAUAUUUUAACAUUUAUAAGUAAAACUAUAUUCAAGUUAAUACAUAAUUAUUUUAGAAUUUUAAUAUAUAAAAUAUCAUAAAUUUCAAAUUUUAUCAUAUAUAAUAUAAAAAAGAAAAAAUAUGGAUAUUUUUAUGUGGGGUAAAUAUCUAUAGGUGAGUUUUGGGAUAGACAUGAAAAAUAAAUUAUAAAACAGGGAUAUUUUUUACAUUAGCAAGUAAUUGACUUAAUUCAGAUUUCUCCAUUAAGUAAAAAGAUAAAAAAAUUAGCUUAUUUUAUUAAGUCAAAAUUAUCUAAAAAGUCUUAUUAAGUUAUAAAAACAAACACAUCUAAUUAACUUAAUUAAUUAAGUUAAGUCACUUUAAGUCAUUAAGUUAAAAAACAAACGCCACCUUAGUCAACUCUUCAUUGAUUUCAUUGACUUGAUCAACUCAUGAUCUAACUUGACAACUUAAAAAUUAAAUUAUGCUAGUAAUUCCGUAAAAUUAAAAUUUAUCUCUCAAAAUUGAUAAAUACUGUGUCACUUUGUCAAAUUACUUAGGGUAAAAGCUCUGUGGCUAAAAACUUUUAAGAUUAGAUGUAUGCUAAUUGAGAAGGACAAGACACAAAACACAAAAGAAUCAAUGAAUGCCACAUCAUGUAACACUAACACUACUUACUCUUAACAAAUUCUUACAAACGUGAUUCAUGAAAUUAACUUGACUUUUUGUCUAAAAAAGGCCUAAAGAAACAUGCCAAGCAACAAAUAAAGUAGUCCAAACGUGAUUCAUGAAACUUGAUAGGCGCUAUCUAAAUAGUAUUAAUAUGGCAACCGAAAACAUGCGCGCAAAGUAGACUUUCUUGGACAAUCCAUGCCAAUCAGCAAAUAAAGUAGUCCAAACGUGAUUCGUGAAACUUGACUUCUUGUCUAAAAAGGCCUAAGGAAACAAGACCAAAAGUUCCAUGCAAUAGCAAUAUGGUGGCCACAAUGCACUUUUUAAGCCAUUUUUCAAAACUAAGUUUCUUCGUUUCACAUGCACUAUUCAAGCAAUUUAACAUUUUCUCCUUCCCCUGAAAGCUAUUGGAGAAAAAUUAGUUUCUUAAAUUUUAAUAAAAACUUUUAGAACCGAUCUCAUACAAUAGAUAAGAAUUCGUAAUCUAAAAAUCGUACCUUGAAAAUAUGAGAAGAUGUACAAUCUUUGUUUUUUUUCCUCUGAACUGAUUUAGGCUCCCAGAUCACGAUUUGUCAUCACCACACCUGUUAGAUCACGAUCCGUCACCACCACGCCUGUUAGAUCACGAUCCGUCACCACCACGCCUAUUAGAUCAUGAUCUGUUACCACCAUACUUGUUAAAUCACGAUCUGUCACCAAAGAUCUUCCAAGUUAUGACUCAGAUUUGAUCUGCACUUGAUGUGUGGGCACCUUUAUCACUACUAAAGCAACUAGCAAGAGAAAAUUUUUCUCUUAAAAUUAAAGAGAAAAAUUCUUUUUCUCUGAAUUAUAUAAUACGACUCUAUCUUUUUUCUUUAAAGAAAAUAAAUCUUUUUAUAUCUCCCUUCAAUGAAAACGCUCCAAAUAAUAAAAACCAAUCCUUGAUUUUCUAGAGUACAGCUAUGCAGUUCUACAAACACGAAACUGCUGUUGGUCCAAUUACUUUCAAGAAACAACGUACUCUGUGGUUUAUUGACUUGUGACAUGGGCAAAUUAGUCACGGUCCGAUUCUCUCCUCUUCCACUGACUCUGUCAAUUCAUGACUUUGGCACACAGUAGAAGCCAGCUGCCUGCUCCAUUUGACGUGCAAAGAACUUUCUUGAGUCGGGAUAAAAUCGAUUAAUUAUUUUGUUUGGUGAUGAUGAGUUAGUUGUCAAUUCAUGAGUUUGAUGCAGUGAAACACUUAACGCUCUCUUGUGAUGAGUAGGAGAAAAGCCAGCGAUGAUGAAGAGGACUAAAAACAUUAUUUUGUUAUUUACAAUAAGGCUAUCAAUUAUAUAUUCCAAAAUAAUUGGGUUUGGAUGGUCAUUUUGUUUUCUAAAAUAUCCAAAUGGAAACAGAAUUUAUAAAGUGGGAAAAUCAAGAAAUUAAAUACUCUUCAUAUAGUGGAAGGAGAUUUGGUUGCCGUUAUACUAAAUAAAAGAAAAAUAAAGUAAAAUUACAAUACUUUAAUAAUCUCAUUCCCAAUCGUACCGGAAAUAAAAUUUUCUGUAUAUUUAUGAAAUAAUUACUGAUUGGUGCAAGAGAUUGGUGGGACUCAUUUGAUUCAAGAAAAACAAUCAGUCUCAUUUGGUACGCAAAGAGCUUUUCUACUCUGUAGCCAAUAUUUUGAUGAAUGUGACGUUACUGGUUUGUAUAAUUUUUUGGAUAUUAUCUCAAUUUUACUUCUGUAGGUUUGUGGUUUGUAUAUUAUCUCAAUUUUUUAAAAAAUGUAAUUGCAAUUAUCAAACACGACUAAUCCCAACAAUUUAUCCAAAAUUUUUUAUUUAAAGAAAUGUAGCAUUUAUGAUAGAAUGGCUAAUUUUUUCAAUCAACUUUCUGGAAAAUGAUAAUUUUUUGAUAGAAAUGUUACUUACUUAUUACAGGAAGAAAAUUAUAGAAUAAUUUUUUGAAUUAAUAGUAUUACUUUACGAUAACACUAUCACAAUCUUAAAAAAAAAAAAAGUUAUUCUUUAAAUUUCGCAUUACUAUUCCUACUUUUCUUGUUAUACUACUUAAUGGCACUAGUGAAUCCUCGAAUUAUCAAACAAAAGGCAAAAAUAGUUCAAUAUCUGCUGUCCCAUUGAGCAUUGUUAAAUUCAUACGAUAAAAUGAGUACUUAUAUUAAAAAAACAAUCGGUCUCAUUACGUGCUCUUUCACUGACAUAGGCAAGUUGCGGCCAACUUGUGGCACUUCUAUGAAUUUUCAAGACUGGUGAAUUUUUCAAAUUUCAAAGAAAAAUAUACAGAAAUGUAAUUUCAAUUUAUCCAAAAAUUUGAGUUUCAUGGAAUAUAGCAUUUAUUAUAUGUCAUGUUAAUAUAGAGAAGAAAAUUUUAAAAACUUCUUUUUGGAUGAAUAAAAGUAUUUUCUGAUAAAUAUUUCACAAUCAUAUUUAAAAAUUUUCACUCCUCUUGGUACAUAAUUUAAGAAUUUAACAUUAUAAAUUAAUCUUUUUAAUCAAAGUAAUAAUCUCUCCUCGGGUCUGCAAAUGCUAAAAUUUAAUAUUAUAUCCGUUGACGAUAUUUGCUCCAAAUUCAUGAAAAUAAAAUUUCGAACAGAAUUAUGAAAUUCGUUACUAGAAAUUUGUAUAAAAGUUGUGAGAAUAGAAGGUUUGAUCAUAGGAAAUUAAUAUAUCCCUAUCCGAUGCAAAAAUGAUUGUAAAGAAAAACAAAAGUCACGGGCUUAUUUAGAAGAAAAGAAAAAAUUACAUUCCAUUUUCUAGUUAUUAAAAUAACUAGAAAAUAGAACCGCGCUUCACGCGAUUUUUAAAAAAAAUUAGUAUUAUCUUUUUUUCUUAUUUUACACUUAAUAAAACUGAUAAAAAAUAUGAAUUAGUUUUUUUUAAGAUGAGGCAGCCUUAUAAAAAAUAAAAAAUAAAAAAUUUAUUAGCCAGCAAUACAAAUAAAGAAGCAAUGCAAGAUAAAAAAUAAAAUAAGAUAAUAUAUUAUAGAGUGAUUUUAUUCAUUCUAAUUGUGUGUGUACAAAACAAAAAGAUGAACUUUCCUUUUAUAGUUACAUAAUCACUCCAUGAAAUUAAUGAAAAAUUAUGGAUCAUAAUUUCUUGUGAGAUAGUGAGAGUUAUAGGGAAGCUAAAGGUUGCUAAUGGGAGAUAGUGGGGAGACUAAGAACUAUAUGUUAUGAACAUCUACAUUUAUUUUAAUAAAUUCAUAGCACUCCCUCUUGAAUGUUCAUUACAAAGAAUAUGACUCAUUAAAUUAUUUAUAUAAUUGUUAUUGCGUAAUAACAAUCAAAUUAAUUAUGAGAGGAUGAAAAGCCAAAUUUAAAAGAAAAUUUUCUAUUUAUUAGAUAAUAGAGAAUAUAUAAAGAUGACAAACGGUGAUGCAACAUCACCUCCUCAAGUCUCAACUUUAUAUAUAUAUAUAUAUAUAUAUAUAUAUAUAUAUAUAUAGAUUAAUUCAUGUAUUUUAUGCCACUAAAGUUUAAUUGCUAGCAUAAUAAAAUAAAUAAAUGUUUCAAAAGACUUAUAAUUAAUAUUAUUAAUGAUUACAUAUUGUUGAAUUUAAAUAGAAAGAGAAAAAAAUUACAAAGAAUAUCCACCAAUAUUUUAGAUAUUUUAGAUAAUAGAAAAUAUAAAAAGAUGAGGAAUGAUAUAUAUUAAUAAAGUUACUAUUUAUUAAAUGAGUUAAAUACAAUCAAAUUAAUUAUGAGAAGAUGAAAGGUCAAAUCUAAAAAAAAAUCUCUAUUUAUUAGAUAAUAGAGAAUAUACAAAGAAGCAAAAUGGUGAUGCCGCAUCACCUCCUCAAGUCCUAACUUUAUAUAGAUACUAGGAAAUAGAACCGCACUUUGUGCGGUUUUAAAAAAAGAAUUUAAUAUUAUCUUUUUUUAUUACUUUGCAUUCGAUGAAACUGAUAAAAAAUAUAAAUUUUUUUUUUUAAGAUGACGCAGCCUUAGAAAACUAAUGUUAUUUAUGAAAGUUUAUUAUUUUUUUGUUAACAUUAAAAAAAUAUAUUAAUGUGUAUAGUUAAGUGUACACAACUUUUUCAUCAAUAACAAUCAUGUUCAUACUAAUCAACUCUUUAUUUUUCUUGGUAUUAACAGACUCCCACAUCUUACAAAGCCUAACCCUUAUCAUCCAACAAUGUUUAUCAUUGUUUAACUCAUGAAGAAAAGAGUACUCAAUGAAGCACACAAUACUAAAAAUUUAAAUAAGUCAAAAAAUAAAAACACAAUAACAUUUUUAAAGAGGAUGUUCGUUAAAUAAUAAAAAAAAAAACUUAAACAUAACAAAUCUUAAAUGCUUAAUAUUUAUAGAGUUUGAAGAAGCCAAAAGACACUAAAUAAAAAGUUGCAUAAUUAAAUAUAGGAUUAUGACAUUAAAAUUAGGUCCUAAUGGCAUUGGUGAGGGAAGAUGAAGGAACCUUCCUUCCUAUAUUAAUUAGUUGAUGUAUUUUAAACCACUAAAAUUUAGUUGUUGGCUUAAUAAAAUAAAUGAAUGUUUCAAAACUUAUAAUUAAUUUAUUAUUAAUGGUUACAUAUUGUUGAAUUUAAAUAGAAAGAGGAAGAGACAUGUAAUCUUUUGUAAUCUAUUAAUUAUUUUCUAUUUUUAAUAUUUUGUCAUGUAAUUAUUUUUUAAUCUCAACCAAUAUAUUAGAUAAUAGAGAAUAAAAAAAGAUGAGAAAUAAUGAUGCCACAAAUCUUAACUAUUUAAUAUUUAUAGAGUUUGAAAAAGCCAAAAGGCACUAAACAAAAGAUUGAAUAAUUAAAUAUGAGAUUAUGACAUUAAAAUUAGGCUCUAAUGGCAUUGUUGAGGGAAGAUGAAGGAACCUUCCUUCCUAUUAAUUAAUUGAUAUAUUUAAGCCACUAAAGUUUAAUUGUUGGCAUAAUAAAAUAAAUAAAUGUUUCAAGAUUUAUAAUUAAUUAUUAUUAAUGGUUACAUAUUAUUGAAUUUAAAUAGAAAGAUGAAGAGACAUGUAAUCUUUUAUAAUCUAAUAAUUAUUUUUUAUUUUUAAUAUUUUGUAAUGUUUUAAUAUCAACCAAUUUAUUAGAUAAUAGAGAAUACAAGAAGAUGAGAAAUAAUGAUGCAAUAUCACCUCCUCUAGUCCUAACUUUAUAUAUAUAUAUAUACAUAGAUGAAUAUAGAUUUUUAAUAUUUUGUAAUGUAAUUAUUUUUUAAUCUCACCAAUAUAUUAGAUAAUAGAGAAUAAAAAAAAGAUGAGAAAUAAUGAUGCCACAAAUCUUAAAUAUUUAAUGUUUAUGGAGUUUGAAGAAGCCAAAAGGUACUAAACAAAAGAUUGAAUAAUUAAAUAUGGGAUUAUUUUAUUAAAAUUAGGCUCUAAUGGCAUUGUUGAGGGAAGAUGAAGGAACAUUCCUUCCUAUAUUAAUUAAUUGAUGUAUUUUAAGCCACUAAAAUUUAAUUGUUUGCAUAAUAAAAUAAAUGAAUGUUUCAAGACUUAUAAUUAAUUAUUAUUAAUGGUUACAAAUUGUUGAAUUUAAAUAGAAAGAGGAAAAGACAUGUAAUCAUUUAUAAUCUAAUAAUUAUUUUCUAUUUUAAUAUUUUAUAAUGUAAUUAUUUUUUAAUUUCAACCAAUUUAUUAGAUAAUUAUAUAUUAACUGAUAUCUUUAUUAUUAAUAUAUUUUUUAUCUUUAUUUUUUUGAGUGUCAUAAUAUGAUAUAUGUACAAAGAAUAUCCACCAAUAUUUUAGAUAUUUUAAAUAAUAGAGAAUAUAAAAAGAUGAGGUUGAAAGAAGAUGAAAGAACCUCUCUUCCUAUGUUAAUUAGGUGAUGUAUUUUAAGGCACUAAAGUUUAAUUGAUAGCAUAAUAAAUUUUGAAGAAGCCAAAAGACACUCAACAAAAAGUUGUAUAAUUAAAUAUGAGAUUAUGACAUUAAAAUUAGGCCUUAGUGGCAUUGUUGAGGGAAAAUGAAAGAACCUCUUUUCCUAUAUUAAUUAAUUCAUAUAUUUUAAGCCACUAAAGUUUAAUUGCUAGCAUAAUAAAAUAAAUAAAUGUUUCAAAAGACUUAUGAUUCAUUAUUAUUAAUGAUUACAUAUUGUUGAAUUUAAAUAGAAAGAGAAAAAAAAGUACAAAGAAUAUCUACCAAUAUUUUAGAUAUUUUAGAUAAUAGAAAAUAUAAAAAGAUGAUGAAUGAUAUAUAUUAAUAGAGUUACUAUUUAUUAAAUGAGUUAAAUAUAAUCAAAUUAAUUAUGAGAAGAUAAAAAGUCAAAUUUAAAAAAAUCUCUAUUUAUUAGAUAAUAGAGAAUAUACAAAGAAGUGAAAUGGUGAUGCCACAUCACCUCCUCAAGUCCCAACUUUAUAUAUAUAUAUAGAUAGAUAUAUAGAUAUAGAUAUAGAUAUAGAUAUAGAUAGAUAGAUAGAUUAAUGAUUACAUAUUGUUGAAUUUAAAUAGAAAGAGAAAAAAAAGUACAAAGAAUAUCCACCAAUAUUUUAGAUAUGUUAGAUAAUAGAAAAUAUAAAAAGAUGAGAAAUGAUAUAUAUUAAUAAAGUUACUAUUUAUUAAAUGAGUUAAAUACAAUCAAAUUAAUUAUGAGAAGAUGAAAGGUCAAAUCUAAAAAAAAAUCUCUAUUUAUUAGAUAAUAGAGAAUAUACAAAGAAGCAAAAUGGUGAUGCCGCAUCACCUCCUCAAGUCCUAGCUUUAUAUAUAUAUAUAGAUAUAGAUUCUAAAAUCGCUAGGAUCACAAAGGAUAGCCUUUGGUUGACUGAGGUCAGCCUUAACGCAUGCCGGUCUUUUUCUCCUCUACAUUCUUAGAAAUUUUGGUUUCACUAUAAAUACUCGGUAUAUAGCAAACUUAAGUGUUCUUGCAUUACCAAUCCAACUAAGCACACGCUUACAAUAUAAAUACUCUCAUCUCAUGGAAAGAGUUCAUUCUCUCAGGAUGAUGAGCAGAUUUCUCUUACUCCAUUGUUUGAUUAUUAUUUUCUUAUUUAUCUCGGCAGCAGCAGCCAACACAAGUUCUACUAUCACAGACCGAGAAGCUCUGUUAGCCCUGAAAGCUCACAUAACUCAUGAUCCGACCAAUUUCUUGGCUAAGAAUUGGAACACAAGUACUCCUGUCUGUAAUUGGACAGGUGUCACUUGUGAUGUCCAUAGCCAUAGAGUCACAGUCUUGAAUAUUUCAAGCUUAAAUCUCACAGGCACCAUCCCUUCUCAACUUGGGAAUCUUUCUUCUCUGCAAUCACUCAAUCUCAGUUUUAAUCGACUUUCUGGUUCCAUUCCCUCCGCCAUCUUCACCAUGUAUACACUGAAAAAUGUUACCUUCCGUGAAAAUCAGCUCUCUGGACAAAUUCCUGCAAAUAUUUGCAGUAGUCUUCCUUUUCUUGAAUUUCUUUCUUUGUCCCAAAACAUGUUCCAUGGCGGAAUACCGUCCACUCUAUCAAAUUGCACAUAUUUAAGAAUCUUAAGUUUGUCAUACAAUGAUUUCUCGGGAGCCGUACCUAGAGAAAUCGGUAAUUCGACCAAACUUAAGAUAUUAUACCUUGGUCGUAACAGACUCCAAGGUGCGCAUGAUCACGAAGUUUAAUUAUGAAAAUUGUUGCAUAAGUUGUGGUAUGAAUAAUGUUCCAUAAUACAGUUUACACACGUUGAUUAAUUUGCAGGAGAAAUUCCUCGAGAGUUUUGCAAUCUUACGGAAUUGGAGCAUAUGUCGUUGGCAGGCAACAAUCUCCAAGGCAUGAUUUUUAACUUUUUGCUAUUUUAUUUUAGCUAUGCUUGCUUCUGUAUUCAUUCGCUUGUUCUUUGAUUAUGCAAUGAUUUAUUGUUUUUCUUUCAGAUAGAGAUAAAGCUCCAUGUCUCCCCUCACUCAUUUCAUUCUUUAAAUUAUGCAGAUUAAAAAAAAAGAAUGUUCUGUAAUUUUCUUUUGUCAUAUUACCACUUCCAUUUUGAAGCUUCCAAUUAAGUCGAUGAAAAUAAAUGAUGUUUCAUUCUUAUUCUUGUCAGCCUAAUUCUUAUAUAAUUGAAGAGUAAAUUGUUAUUACGAUAUUCGUCGGCCAAUAAAUUCUUCUUUUUUUCCCCCAAAUAUGAGUGAUCAAAUUGUUUGCGCAUAUAUAAAUGUACUUAAUUUGCAGGAGGUAUUCCACAGGAAUUGGGGAAUCUUGCAAAAUUGGAGAUGUUACAGCUGUUCCAGAAUAACUUGACUGGUAACUUUCUUUACGAUAAAUAUAUGAGACAUCUUCCGCUUCUUAAUUAAUAGAUGUCUUAAUUAAAAGAUUUCAAGUCUCUCAUUAUAAAUUCUCAUAUGAGGAUGUGUAGUUACCACUAUCUAACGUUAUUCCUUUUUUAUUAGAAAUUAGUUUGUGUUAAUUCAAAAUUCUGUAGCAUUUAAAAAAAAUUAAGAACACGUGGAAUAAAUCAUCAAUCUUUCUACUUUACUGAAUUUGGAUUUCUCAAAAAUUAUCUUGACAAAUUUGCUUCACUAAUGAUAUGCAUGUGUGACAACUUCAUAAAAUAUUUUACUUGGAAUCACCAAUUAUCUUUAAAUAAUUGGAGAUGCCAUCAGCGAGACAUAAUUUCUUAACAAGCACCAUACCAAAAGAAAUUAAUAAUUUUAUUAAUCUUAAAGAGUUACAUCUUCACUGCAAUUAUGACAUAAAUUUUUAGUCAUCAAUCGCAUAAUAUUUUAUCUUAACGGAUGAUGUUCAGUCUUGGAAUUUAUAAUAUCUUGAAGGUUAGUAGCAUUGAAAAUAAGAAAUUGUUCAUGUGCUAAAAAGUUAACUUAGGAUUUAAGUUUUCCAAUAAAAGCGUUGAGAACUGGCGCUCCAUAGCAUUUCAUCAGAUAAAUAUGAAAAAUAGGCUAGAAGAAAUUAUUUUACUGAAAUAAGAGUUAAAAAGAGAGGAGAAGUACAGUACUCAUUACUUAGGUUUGCUGUGUGAGCUUAUUCUACUUGGGCUUUGGGCUUGAUUACACCCGUUAUAAUAAUAUGCUUUUACUUUCACCACACAUGAUGAUUUCUUUACCUUCCCAAUUAGGUUUUAGCAAUUUAUAUAUAAAUAACUAAAGCAUACUAAAGCUAGCAUUGAUGUACAGAUGAGUGGCGUAAAAAGUGUAUCUGUUUUCAUGUAUUAUUUAUUCUCUAAAACAUAUCUGAAUACAAUUCUUUCAAAAUACCGAGGAAAUAGCACAUGAAAUCGGAAAUAUUUUAUUGCGAUGAAAAUUCGUAUAUUCAUUGUAGUAGAACAUAUAAAAUAGAUUAUAAAUUUAUUAUUCUUUGAAACAAACCUGAUUAUAAUUCCUUCGAAAUUAAGUUUGUCAUUAAAUGAUUUCUCAGGAGCCCUACCAAAAGAAAUCGGGAAUUUGACCAAACUCAAGGAAUUAUCUCUUAACCAUAACAGGCUCCAAGGUGCGCACGAUCACAGAGUUUAAUUAUGAAAAUUGUUGCAUAAGUUGUAGUAUGAAUAAUGUUCCAUAAUACACUUUACACACGCUGAUUAAUUUGCAGGCGAAAUUCCUCGAGAGUUUGGCAAUCUUGCCGAAUUGGAGCUGAUGUGGUUAUCAGAAAACAAUCUCCAAGGUAUGAUUUUAAACUUAUUGCAAUUUUAUUCUAGCCUCUGCUUGCUUCUGUAUUCAUUCGUUUGUUCAUUAAUUAUGCUGUGAUUAAUUGUUUUUCUUUUAGAUAGAGAUAAAGCUCCAUGUCUCUCCUCACUCAUUUCCUUCUUUAAUUUAUGCAGAUAAAAAUUAAAAAAAUGUUUUGUAAUUUUCUUUUGUCAUAUUGCCACUUCCGUUUUGAAGCUCCCAAUAAGUCGAUGAAAAUGAAUGAUGUUUCAUUCUUAUUCUUGUCAGCCUAAUUCUUAUAUAAAUGAAGAGUAAAUUGUUAUUACGAUAUUCGUCAGCCAAUAAAUUCUUUUUUUUUCCCCCAAAUAUGAGUGAUCAAAUUGUUUGCGCAUAUAUAAAUGUACUUAAUUUGCAGGAGGUAUUCCACGGGAAUUGGGGAAUCUUACAAAAUUGGAGAUAUUACAUCUGUGGAAGAAUAACUUGACCGGUAACUUUCUUUACAAUAUAUAUAAGAGACAUCUUCCGCUUCUUAAUUAAUAGAUUUCAAGUCUCUCAUUAUAAAUUCUCAUAUGAGGAUGUGUCGUUACCUCUAUCUAACAUUAUUCCGUUUUUUAUUAGAAAUUAGUUUGUGUUAAUUCAAAAUUCUGUAGCAUUUAAAGAAAUUAAGAACACGUGGAAUAAAUCGUCAAUCUUUCUUCUUUACUGAAUUUGGAUUUCUCAAAAAUUAUCUCAACAAGUAUGCCUCACUAAUGAUAUGCAUGUGUGACAACUUCAUAAAAUAUUUUACAUGAAAUCACUAAUUAUCUUUAAAUAAUCAGAUAUGCCAUCACUGAUACAUAAUGUCUUAACAAGCAUCAUACCAAAAGAAAUCAACAAUUUUAUUAAUCUUAAAGAGUUACAUCUUCACUGCAAUUAUAACAUAAAUUUUUAGUCAUUAAUCGCAUAAUAUUUUAUCUUAACGGAUGAUGUUCAGUCUUUGAAAAUAAGAAAUUGUUCAUGUGCUAAAAAGUUAACUUAGUAUUUAAAGUUUUCCAAUUGAAAAUUUUGAAAAAAGCGUUGAGAACUGGCGCUCCAUAGUAUUUCAGCGGAUAAAUAUGAAAAAUAGGCUAGAAGAAAUUAUUUUACUGAAAUAAGAGUUAAAAAGAGAGGAGAAGUAUAGUAUUCAUGACUUCGGCUUUUUGUGUGUGCUUAUUCUACUUGGGCUUUGGGCUUGAUUACUCCCGUUAUAAUAAUAGGCUUUUACUUUCAGCACACAUGAUGAUUUCUUAACCUUCCCAAUUAGGUUAUAGCAAUUUAUAUAUAAAUAACUAAAGCAUGCUAAAGCUAGCAUUGAUGUACGGAUGAGUGGUGUCAAAAGUGUAUCUGUUUUUAUGUAUUAUUUAUUCUCUAAAACAUAUCUGAAUACAAUUCUUUCAAAAUACCGAGGAAAUAGCACAUGAAAUCGGAAAUAUUUUAUUGCGAUGAGAAUUCGUAUAUUCAUUGUAGUAGAACAUAUAAAAUAGAGUAUAAAUUUAUUAUUCUUUGAAACAAACUUGAUUAUAAUUCCUUCAAAAUUAAGUUUUUCAUUAAAUGAUUUCUUAGGAGCCAUACCAAAAGAAAUCGGAAAUUUGACCAAACUCAAGGAAUUACCUCUCUACAGUAACAGGCUCCAAGGUGCGCAUGAUCACAGAGUUUAAUUAUGAAAAUUGUUGCAUAAGUUGUAGUAUGAAUAAUGUUCCAUAAUACAGUUUACACACGAUGAUUAAUUUGCAGGCGAAAUUCCUCGAGAGUUUGGCAAUCUUGCCGAAUUGGAGAUGUUGUCGUUAUAUGAAAACAAACUCCAAGGUAUGAUUUUAAACUUUUUGCAAUUCUUAUAUUGUUGAAGAAUUAAUUGUUAUUAUGACAUUUUGAGAUUAAUUGUCAUAGGAGGAUGUGUUGUUAUUACUAUUUAACAUUAUCUCGUUUUUUAUUAGAAAUUAGUCUGUGUUUAUGCAAAAAAUUUUAGCUUCUAAAAAAAGUAUAAAAACACAUGGAAUAAAUCGAAAAUCUUUCUUCAUUACUGAAUUUGGAUUUCUCAAAAACUAUCAUGAUAGUUAUGUUAGUGUCUUACUAAUGAUAUGCAUGUGUGACAGCUUCAUAAAUUAUUUUAUAUGGAAAAUAUGAAAAAUAGACUUGAAAAAAAUUAUUUUACUGAAAUAAUAGUUAAAAAGAGUGGAGAAAUACAAUACUCAUGACUUAGGCUUGUUGUGUACUUAUUUUGCUUGGGCUUCGGGCUUGAUUACACAUGGUUGAACACUUACAUCCCCCCACAUAGGCUUUUAGGGAUGAGUGGCGUCAAAUGUGUAUCUACUUUUAUGUAUUAUUAUUCUUUGAAACAAAUCUGAUUAUAAUUCUUUUAAAAUACAGAUUAAAUAGCACGUGAAAUCGGAAAAUAUUUUACUGCGAUAAGAAUUCAUAUAUUCAUUGUACUAGCACAUAUAAAAUAGACUAUAAAUUUAGUUCCAAAAUACAUUCUUAUCUUCAUAUAAAUUUUACAUUAUUAAUUUAAAUUAAUAUUAAAAUAUGUUGUUUCUUUCACUAUGUUAUUUUAUUUACACAAUGAUGUGACUAUUGGAAUUAAUAAUACUUUUAAUGAUUUUGUAAAAAUAUAAAUUUAAUACUUUGUUAACAUUUUAUCUACAUAUAAUAAUUAAACUGAAACUUGUAUUUAAAAAAUUCUAGUUACACAUAUUCAUUUCAUGACAUAAAAGUGUAUAUUUAUGCUAAUUUACCAUUAUCAAAAAAAUGCUUUGAGACAAAUAAUCUAAUUUAUAUUUUUAUAUUUUAAAAUACUUGCAUUUAUUAUAUUUUGAAAAAAAUUUAUUUGCAAUUAUUUUAAACCGUUGGAUUCAAAUUUUCGUUGUUAUUAAAGUCAAAUGGUAUAAAUGUAUAAUAGUCAAAAACAUAUUUGUAUGAUCAUUUUUCAAUGUAUAAAUUUUCUUAGUUUGUAGGAAAAUUAGAAAUUGUUGAUUUACUCAUAAAUAAAUUUAAUGUUUAGCAUUUCAAUUUUGGAAAAUUUGAGCUACACUUUGAUAACUUUGAAUUGGUCGAGCCGAGUUUCGCUUCCUUGAUCCAUGGACCCAUUGAAAGUUCUAUCGAACUGAGUUUCCUGGUGCUUAUAAAAAGCAUUUCUUUUCCUUGUCGCAGUAAUUUAUUCACAAAUGAGUUGAUUAGCAUCGAAGUUACCUGAGAGUCUGAGACUAUGUUAAUAGGAGAAAUUUGAAAAGAAAUUAUUUUACUGAACUAAUUUAUUUUAUCUUGCUGUGACUGAAAUACUACUUUUUUUUUGGAGCAAUCACUGGGGCUUGAUUUACUUUAAUAGUAGCAGCCACCGACUUAGUCAUUUUUUACUUCUCACCACACAAUUUGAUCUUUUAAUUUGUUUUAACCAAUAAUCUAUCUAUCUAUUUCUCACCUAUUGCUUACUUAAAACACAUACAUAUUUUACCUACUAAUUUUUAUAAAUAUUAAUCAAAUAUAUUUUAUUACGUUUCCCUCGUAAUUGCUCCAAAUGUGUACAAUUAAUACUUAACCCUCCCUUUACUGUGCAAUCUAUCUAUCACUUAAGUCACAUAUAUAUUUUACCUAUAUUUUACCCUAAAAAAUAUAAAAAUAAAAGAAAAAGAAUAUGUGUAGCAAUUUGCAUAUAACUAACAAAGCAUUGACGGUGUGUAGCCUUUCAAUACUUCACGACUGGCUUUUCUUGUGUGUUAGUACUUGUAAUAAUUGUGUAGUGUAUAAAUGACAUUUUAUUAUUAAAGUGCGUCCAUUUUUAGAUAUUACUUAUUAUUUGAAAAAUAAACUGAAUAUAAUCAUUUAAAAUACAGGGGAGAUACCACUUGAAAUCAGUAAUCUCCAAAAACUGGAGGACUUGGGCCUUGGUCAAAACAAAUUAAUUGGUAUUGUCCCAGUUGCAAUCUUUAAUGUGUCAACACUCAAAUUUCUUGAGCUUCAAGAUAAUUCUCUCUCGGGAAGUCUUUCGUCCAUCGUAGACGUCCUACCAAAUCUUGAAAAGCUUCUUUUGUGGGGUAAUAAUUUUAGUGGCACAAUUCCUCAUUUCAUCUUUAAUGCUUCUAAGCUCUCUAUACUAGAGUUAUCACAGAACUCAUUCGCCGGUUUUAUUCCCAACACAUUUGGCAACUUAAGAAACCUUCAGCGGCUGAAAUUAUAUGAUAAUUAUUUGACAUCUUCAACUCCAGAAUUGAGCUUUCUAUUCUCGUUGUCAAAUUGCAAGUCUUUAACACAUCUUUCCUUAUCAAAUAAUCCACUAGAUGGCAUUCUUCCAAGGACGUCUGUCGGUAAUCUUUCUCAUUCUUUGAAAGAAUUUUACAUGUCCAAUUGUAAUGUUAGUGGCGGCAUCCCUGAAGAGAUCACCAACUUGACCAACUUGACAACCAUUUUUUUUGGGGGCAAUAAAUUGAAUGGAUCAAUUCCGAUUACUCUCGGCAAAUUACAGAAGCUUCAAGGUUUGGGUCUUGAAGAUAACAAAUUAGAAGGAUCAAUCCCAGACAAUAUUUGUCGUUUGACUGAACUGUAUGAGUUGGAGUUGGGUGGCAAUAAACUUUCUGGAUCAAUCCCUGCAUGCUUCAAUAAUCUGGCUUCUCUGAGGAUACUGUCGUUGGGUUCCAAUGAGUUAACUUCUAUUCCCUUAACUUUUUGGAACCUUAAGGAUAUCUUGCAACUCAAUUGUUCAUCAAAUUUUUUGACUGGCCAACUCCCAUCGGAGAUUGGAAAUUUGAAGGUUUUGGUUGGAAUUGAUUUUUCGAUGAAUAAUUUUUCAGGCGUUAUCCCAACAAAAAUUGGAGGCCUAAAAAAUCUAGAAUAUCUCUUCUUAGGAUAUAACAGAUUGCAAGGAUCAAUUCCUAAUUCAUUUGGUGACUUGAUAAGUUUGAAAUCCUUGAAUUUGUCUAAUAAUAAUCUCUCUGGAGCUAUUCCUGCAUCUUUAGAGAAACUGUCAUAUCUUGAAGAUCUAAAUCUUUCUUUCAACAAGCUGGAAGGAGAAAUUCCUACCGGAGGAUCUUUUGGAAACUUUUCAGCUGAAUCAUUUGAGGGAAAUGAAUUAUUAUGUGGUUCACCCAAUUUACAAGUCUCGCCAUGCAAAACUAGCAUCCACCGCACAUCAUGGAAAAAGUCUCUUCUCCUCGGGAUUGUCUUGCCAUUGAGUACUACAUUUAUGAUAGUAGUCAUUUUGUUGAUCCUAAGAUAUCGACAGAGAGGAAAACGACCAUCGAAUGAUGCUAGUAUGCCACUAGUAGCAAUGUGGAGAACGUUUUCAUACCUAGAACUCUGUCGAGCAACAGACGAAUUCAGUGAAAACAAUCUAAUCGGCAAAGGGGGUUUUGGCUCUGUUUAUAAGGCGAGACUUGGGGAUGGGAUGGAGGUUGUAGUGAAAGUUUUCAAUUUGCAAUGUGGAAGAGCAUUCAAGAGUUUCGAUGUUGAAUGUGAAAUGAUGAAAAGUAUUCGCCAUCGAAACCUUAUCAAAGUUAUUAGCAGUUGUUCAAAUGAAGAGUUUAAAGCGUUGGUAUUAGAAUACAUGCCUCAUGGAAGUUUGGAGAAGUAUUUGUAUUCAAGUAACUGCAUUUUGGAUAUUUUUCAAAGAUUGAACAUAAUGAUAGAUGUUGCAUCAGCUUUGGAAUAUCUGCACUUUGGUCAUUCAGCUCCAAUAAUUCACUGUGACUUAAAGCCAAGCAAUGUAUUGUUAGACGAUAAUAUGGUUGCUCAUUUGAGUGAUUUUAGCAUCGCAAAAUUGCUAACAGGAGACGAUCAAUCUAUGACUCAAACACAAACAUUUGCCACAAUAGGCUAUAUGGCACCAGGUUUGUCAAUAAAAAAAUUUUCUAUUUCUUGUAAACUUCCUAAUAAGUUGUUUAUGUUUCAUGAUCUUCAUUAGAUGAGGAAAUUCUUAUUGAUGAUAUAUCUUACUAUGUAACUAUUGCAAUUCAUAGAGUAUGGAAGAGAAGGACGAGUAUCCGCAAAUGGAGAUGUUUAUAGCUUCGGGAUUAUGUUAAUGGAAACUUUUACUGGGAAGAAACCCACAGAUGAAAUUUUUAACGAAGAAAUGACAUUAAAGCAAUGGGUUAAUGAUUGGCUACCCAUUUCCACAAUGGAAGUUGUUGAUGCUAAUUUGCUUAGUCAGGAGGACGUACAUUUUGUUGCAAAGGAGCAAUGUGUGUCAUUUGUCUUCAAUUUGGCUAUGGCGUGCACUGUGGAAUCUCCUGAGCAGAGAAUCAAUGCGAAAGAAAUUGUAACAAAGCUCUUAAAAAUUAGAGGCUCAUUACUUAGAAAUGUUGGAGGCAGAUGUAUAAGACAAUCAAAUUUAAAUUGAUUCUGCCACUCCAUUGCUUGCUAUCAUUUUCAGAGACUUGAAUGGUUAUCCUUCAUACCAGUUUUGUUGAUAUGUUUCGUUAUUGCUCUUGCUCAUGUUUGUUUCUCUAUUUCUUUAAUUUGCAUGCAUGUAUUUUUCGUUCUCUUUUAUGUUUUUGUUGGUUUGUAUGUAGUUUGUUUUUAGGGGUAAGGUUGAUUAUGUCCUCCCCUAAUUACAUGUAUCCUUUUUAUGUUUAUUCAAUAAAGCUUCUCUAAUACUAUCGAGGUUCAUCAAAAGAAAAUUUUUAAUUAAUUUUCUUUUCUUUGACAGGUAAUGAAAUUCUAAUCUUCAUAGUGAAUAACUUCAAUAAUAGAGUGUAAGAGUAUUAGUAGUUAUGGUUGUUUUUUUAACCUGGAGUCAAGAGCAAUUUAAUAGCAACAAACAAGUCUCUUGUAUUGUAGGCAAAAUUCUUUUCAUUAAUCUUGUUUGUCUACAUGUUCUCCUAUUUUCUCCAUUAAUCUUCGCUCUAGGUUUCAUGCUUCCUCUUUGAUAAAGGAAAAUAUUACUUGCGAAUAUUUCAAUUUGACAUAAGAGACUGUUUUGCCAACCAUUUGAUAAAAUGGAUAUGAGUGGAGCUUUCAAUCAUUACCUCCACCAAAAUCCUUACAACGCCACUUUUAAAUUUUAGUUUUUAAAAUACAUUCAGUUUAAUUUAUAAAAAAUAAAUCCAUUUGUUAAAAUUAAUCUUUUUCUCAUAAAUUUCAACCUAAAAAAUAUAUUUCUUUUAAAUUUUUAAUUAUAAAAUACAUACAAGUUCUAAAUUAUUAUAUUAUUUUCUUCUUAUUAUAUAGUUUAUAUCUCCCUAACUCUAAACUCCUAUAAUUUUUUUAAUUUAAAAUAUAAAUAUAAAAUAUAGAAUGGAGUGGGUAUAAAAAAACUUGUUAAAAGAAUAAUUCAUUUAAGUAUUUAACUGAAUUUAAAUUAAAAUAAAAAAUAAAUUAAUUUAUUUUUUAUUAGUUAAGUAAUUUUCAAUUGAAAAAGAGCUGUAUGCGUAAUAUUAUUGAAAUAUGAUUAAAAUUCUUAUAAAUUAAAUAUUUUCGUAUAAAUACUAGUGAUAAUUACAGAGAAAGGACGAGGAACCAAAGAAAACUUGAAUAUAAAUACUCCAAUGUAAUUUUACACAUGCAAAUUAUGAACCAGUGAUCUUUAGAGCAUCAUAAAAUUAUUUUGACAAAAUUAUUUAUUUUGAAAAAUUGCCAACAAUGUUUAAAGUGGGAUUGAAAAGAUUAUACUACUUAUAUAAGACAUGAUAUCAAUUAGACGGGCCCAGCUACCUUCCACCCGCUGGAAGGUAUAGCUUAUUUUGUCCUCUAUUGUUGUGGGCGUUGGAUAUUUGAGAAGUUGAUCUAACGGUUCUUGUUCGGCAGCGUGAAAUUGAAUUUCAAUUGGCAACCGUUUCAUGAACUUUGCAAGAGACAAUUAUCUACAAAAAUAUUAAAAAAAUAAAACCAAUUUUUCCCUUUCAUCAGCCGCCGCCGCCGCCAUCCACGAACCCUUAAUAUCAUCAUCACCAUCCCAAUCCUUAGUCGCCAUCCACAAGCUCUAACAACCACCAUGACUGCCAUCACAACCACCACUCCUCACAACCCCUAGCCACCACUACAAACAUUCACAAAUUCUAUCCAUCAUUGUCAGUUCACCAGCCUUAUCCUCCAUUGCCGCGGCCUACCAAUCAUCCACAACACCUAACCGUCGUCACCAACAAACUUUCGCCGCCGCUUCCUACAAGGAAGCCUCACCACCCACCGCCGCACACACUCAAAGCCACACCAACCUCCAUACUAUUGCGAAAGAGGCCACAAUGUAGAAAAAUUCCAGCAGAGGAAGGAUGUUUUCCUUCUCCAGCUGACUAUUCCUUUUUAUCCUUUUUUUGUUUUUUAAUUAUUAUAUUACUUUUAGUUAUUUUUAGUUUUUCUUUUAUUUUAUCUAUAUUUUGGUUGUUAGAAUGUUUUUGUUGUUGUUGUUGGCGGCAGUGCAGUUGUAGCUCGUGAUGAUGAUGGUGAUGUUGGUGUCAUUUUAAUCGAGAUUUGUUUCUUUUUACCGGCUACGUCAGUCAUCUUCAUUCACUACAUGUCCAUUUCUAACAUGUUAGAUUUUACUACUUUUUAAUCCAAGAGUUAGACCACAACGAGACAAAAGAUGGUGUACCUUCCAACGAGUGGAAGGUAGUUCGGCCCAAUUUAGACAGAGUCUAUGCAAUAAAAAUUUCAAAUUAAAAAAUAAACCCUUUAUUUUCUUUUAAUCAUAAGUGUGAUCUUAAUUAUUAAAGUCUUUCAAUGUCCAUUACUUAUUCAUUUUUUUAAUUACCUAAAUGACAUUGAAAACUCUACUCAAUAAUAAUUCGUUCAAAUGUUUUCUUUUAAAGUAAUCGGAAAUUGCAAAUGAAACAAAUGCUUGAAAUCACAAACGGCCUAAAAUUAGAUUUUCAUUUUUCAAUGUUGCAGUGACAUUGAUCUUGAUAUUGAAAUUUUAUUUGUAACUUAUAUAAAGGCCUCAAUUUUAUCAUAAUUGGUUAGUAAGGCUACGUAGGGAGCAUAGUCUGUUAGGACUAGCAACUUAGUCUAAAAUUAUUGAAAUUAUUAAUAUUUUAUACUAUAAUCUUUUCAUUCCCACUUUAAAUAUUAUUGGUAACUUAAAUCAUUUUUAAAAAUUAAAUAUAAAAAUUAAUUUAAUUAAAUAUAAAAAUCAUUUAAAUUAAAUAUUAACAUUAAUUUCAUAAUUUUUUUACCUAGAAUUUUAUACUAUAUUAAAUACUAAAAUUAUAUUCGAUAAUGUAUUAUCAUUUAUUUAAUAAAUGUUUAGGUUUUAGUAUGUUAUAUUAUUAUUUAAAUUAAUUUUGUAAUUUUAAUAUGGGCAAAUUAGAUAGUCCAGUGAACAAGAGACUGAUUCCCAACCAUCCUAAGAAUUAGUCCCUCAUUUUUUAUUUCUAAUUGGAUGUGGGUCCAGUUAUUUUGAUUUCUCUUGCAUUGAAUGAAUGGAUGAGUGCUAAUCCAUGCAAAGACUUCCAUGCAUACACAAUGAAUGCUUCAUCAAAGGUCUGGUAAAAUGUCAGCACGCUUGUUCAUCCGGAUUUUGGACCAUUUUCAUUGACAAUGAGAAAAGCUGCAAGAUCUGUAAAUCGGAAACUCAUUGAGGUGCCAAAAGAGAGAUGGAAGUGAAUUACUAGAGAGUUAGCGAAAAGAGGGUGCAGUGAUUGUGUGGGAAGCUUUGGGUAUACUUGGGGUUUGGAUGUGAGAUAAAAUAAUUUGAGAGAGAGGUUGUAACAAUUUUUCGGUAAUAGAGUUUUUCAGGUAAUUCUUGUGUUGUGUGAUUGGAGUAUUCUCUAUUGUAUUUUUUUUAUUUGUUAUUUAUUUGACGUAUUGCUAGCGGAGAUCUUGGGUGGGAACCAAAAAUUCCCAACAAUUGUCAAUUGUUUUAAACUCUAUUUCGAACAGAGCAUGAAGGGAUUCACUUAUCUGAUUAUGUCUUUUAUGCUUUAACUUCACUUGAUUUCAUCUUGUCUGUCACCUUUAUUAAAGUUGUAUAUGUUGGAGUAUUAGGUUCAUCACAAGGAUCAUAUUAUGGCUAAGGAAGGGGCACAGUUUAUCAGCUGCACUCAAGUGUAGCAGAGUAUUUGGAUUCAAGACUGUUAGAAGGUUGUUACAAUGCAAGGCUGUUGCUGUGUAACUGUAUGCCAUUCUCGCAAGUGCACUCUUAACAGAUUGCUGAGCUGGCACCGGAUGUUUUUAGCUAAUAUUAGUUAUUGGUCUAGAGUGUUCUGAUUUAUUCUAUAAAUAGCUCAUUUGAGCUUAGAACCUUUAUAGUGUAUCAUACGAUUCCCUCUCUUCUAUUAAUGAUUUUCUCUAUUCCUUUUUCUUUCACUUUCUCUUCCAUUUUCAUGAUCCCCAAACACCAUCAAUCCAUGAUUUUCUAGAGUAUUAGUUGUCUAUUUCUACAAACAUAGAAUUGUUGUUUUAAGAAACAAAGUACUCUGUCCUGUCACCCGCGGUAUCCUUGUUUAUCGACUUGUGAACAGGGCUAAAUAAACGGCAAAUAAGAUAUUGGGUCAAUGGGUCUAACGUGAAUCGAGGGGGCUUGGCUUGUACCAGGCUCUAAAAGAGUUUUCUACGAGCGAGCAGUCUUUCUAUCCUUUUUUUGGGGUUGCAUGCCUUAUAUUGAAUUAUUGCCCUUUUCUUUUCUCCACAAAUCUUUGGUUAAUUUUUUAGGUUCCCUCAACUUUUUUCCCCUUUAGCACUAAAAUUCAUAUUUGAUACUUUAUGCAAAAAUUAUGAUGAAAAUGAGUCACUUUAGAACAUCAAGAAAUUUUUAUUUUUACAUCCAAGAUAACGACAGUUACACUUAGAUCACUCUCAUUUAGUUGAAUUAUAUAGGUAAUAAAGUUGGCUUAACAAAAUAUGAUUCUUAACUGUUGUAAUUAAGGGCUAGUAUUCUUUGGUUUUAGUUGUAGGGCUCAUAAUGCCAUGGCUCAGUUCUUGGUGGGUUCGAAUUAUUAGACGAUCAUUCUCAAUUCUUUACGAUUCGUAAUUAAAAAUUCCUAUAUCACAAUUAGAACUUACAAACAAGUCAAAGUGGGUUAAAUCAUAUGUAUAAAUUCGAGGUCUAUUACAAACUUUUAAAAAAGAUUUUCUCUGUUUUUUUUUUCUUUCACCUUCUCUUCCAUUUUCUCAAUCCCCAAACACCACCAAUCCCUGAUUUUUUUAGUAUUAGCUGUCUAUUUCUACAAACAAGUUCUUGAAUUGAAUGGCUCCUCUUUUAUCCAUAGAUCUUUGCUUAAUAUUUUUGUUCCCUCAACCUUUUUCGGCCCUUUGCUCUAAAAUUCUUUUUUGAUACAUUACGCAAAAAUUAUGAUGAAAAUAAGUUACUUUAGAACAUCAAUAAAAUUUUAUUACAUCUAAGAUAAGACAAUUAUACUUAGAUUACUCUUAUUUAGUUGAAUUAUAUGUAAGAAAAUUAGUUCAAUAAAAUAUAAUCCGUAAAUAUUCCUUAUCACAUGAUUAACGUACUUAAAAAUUCUUAACUGAUCGGUCGCUUGUUUUACAAUUCUUUUAUAUAUCUUUGAAACUUUCAGCUUCCCAACACAUCAUAUUGUUCUCAAUUCGUCUAAUUUUUUUUUUUUCAAACACUGCAGCAACAACCAGUAUAAAAUAGUAUAAACUCAUUUAAUGGAAAUUUUCCUAGAUGCUUUCAUGGCAGAAUCUCAUUGGUCUAUUUCUCUUCGCAUCUUAGGUUCCUCUAACAAACCGGCCUCUUAACUCUCAUGUCCGAAUUUAAACUUAAAAGAUGUUCCCCGUCCCACGUGUCCCCAAAUCUUUGUAUUUCCAAACAAACCCCUGCCAACUAAGUCAAGUGAUAGGAUGGCUUUUAUUAUUUUUAAUCUCAUAUAUGAACGUUAUGGCCAUGGGACAUUGGAUAAAACUAAGUAAAGUGAUAGUGAUAGGAUGUCCCACUGUAUGAACGUUAUGGCCAUGGGACAUUGGAUAAAACUAAUGGAAUGUAAAGCAAAAUUACCGAUUAAACUAAAUUGAAAAUCCAACCAAUUGAAUCGGUUCAGUGUCACUCAAAAUAUGUGUGUGGUGGUGUGUGUAAAACAACACAAUUAUCAUAUUAAUGAGGCACUGUUAAAUUCAUUCAGCGAAUAUUUUUCUUUUUCAUUUUCAAUGAAUGCUUAAUAUGACAAACAAUCUGUCCCAUUGAGCACUGUUUAAGUCAUUCAAUGAAAAUGAAUACUUCUAUAACAAAACAAUAAUUCCCUUAUUUAUUUGAGACGCAAAGAACUUUCUUGCUCAGCUCGGCGGCCAAUCCUUUAAAUUUGUUAAAAUUCAGUUAAUUGAUGAACGAGAUAUAACCCAAUAAAUUGUUUAAUUUGUAUAAUUGAUAAAAAUUUGAACUUCAAAUAAUAUAGAUAGAAUGAUUAAUUUUUUUCAUAUUUAGAUAAUUGAUAUAUGUCAUGUUACUAUGAGUAAAAGAAUGAAGUGUAUGAUAGAAAACAUAAUGUUUAUGUUUGUAUUAAAAAUUUUAAGUGCAAAUCUAUUUAGUGUAGGUUAGACAUAGAAAUAGUUACCAACUUGUCUUGUUUCUCAUUUUGUUUAAUUUUCCUAAUUUGAAUAACUAUUAAUUAUGAGUCAAGGGUUUAUUGCGAAAAUAUGGUCUUCCAUUUACUAUAAAAAGAUUAGCGUGAUUUAAUUAUUUUUCUUUUUGCUUGGUGUCUGUAAAAUUAUGAAUACUUUGGUAAAUAAGAUAAUUAUAAAUACUAUUUUGAAAAUCCAUGGCCAUGGUUGUGAUGUAUCUUUAUCAAUCACGGAUACAAAAAUUAAUCAAAAUUAUCGAUUGUUUUAAAUUCUGUUUUUAACAAAGCAUGAAGAUGUUACUUAUCUAGAUUUAAUUUUUAUGCUUUCACUUCACUUAAUACAGCUUCUUCGCAGCAAGCAGAAGCGCUAUUGGUGACGAGAGGGAGAUCAACGGAACGCGGCCCCAGUGGGAGUCAAAAUCAGGGUAGAUCAAAAUCCAGAAGUAAGAAGAAUGUUAAAUGCUACAAAUGUGGCAAGAAAGGGCACGUCAAGAAAGAAUGUUGGAGUAACCAGAAGAGAAAAGAAGGCAAAGAAACUGAGUCAUCAAAUGCUCAGGGUUGUGUAGCAAGUACCUCGGAUGAUGGCGAAAUUCUUUACAGCUAGGCAACAACUGUUUCAGAAGGCAGAAAACGACUUUCUGAUGUCUGGCUUAUAGACUCAGGAGCUACCUGGCACAUGACCUCUAGGAGAGAAUGGUUCCACACAUAUGAACCUAUCUCAGGAGGAUCUGUAUAUAUGGGAGAUGAUCAUGCCUUGGAGAUCGCUGGUAUUGGUACUAUCAAAAUAAAAAUGUUUGAUGGUACAAUUCGCACAAUUGGAGAGGUACGACAUGUCAAUGGCCUGAAGAAAAAUCUAUUGUCUUUGGGACAAAUGGAUAGUCAUGGGUACAAAACUCAUGUGGAGAAUGGAAUUAUGAAGAUUGUUAAAGGCGCGCUUGUAUUGAUGAAGGCAGAAAAGAUCGGUGCUAAUCUAUUCAUGCUUAAAGGAGAAACACUACAGGAGGCUGAUGCGUGUGUCGCGUCAAAUGGAGAAGAAUCAACAAUGAUGUGGCAUCUCAAACUUGGUCACAUGUCAGAACAAGGUUUGAAGAUUCUCUCUGAGCGAAAAUUGCUUCCGGGGCUUAAAUCGGUAAGUUUACCAUUUUGCAAGCAUUGUGUUACAAGUAAGCAGCAUAGAUUAAAAUGAAGUAUUAUUUUCGACGAGGCGCCACCUAAUCAUUCGUUUUCUGGGUGAACAUAUUAUUUUCGCCAUCAUCUCUAUAACAAUGAAGUGAAAAUAGUUCUCAUUUAAAGUAUUGACAGCAAUGUUAUACUCAAUAUAACGUAUAAAGCACGCAUAAUUUAAUUAAUGGGGCAGCUGCUAGUACCUUCUUUAGAAGAGAAUUAUUGCGGCAAGGUAAUUGGAAGCUCAAAGAGUUUCCGUAUUAGCCGAAUCUAAGCGAUAAGUGUUUCCAUGUGAGCCAUAAUUUGCGAAAAAGACCAAUUCGAGUUAAAGAUCAGAAAACAAACACUGUCAACGAGCAUUAAUGUCAUUUGAUGCAUGAAAGACAAUUAGUCCCAUUUUUUGUCCUGUUUACUUGACUUGGGCAAUUUGCCGUCAACUUUUAUCAUCCACGUCAGGUAAUGUGGCUUUUAUUUGGUAUGAAAAAGCUAAUGCUUUACGAUAAAACUAUCACACACAUAUUUAUCCAUAUGUAAUGUUCAAAUGACACUCAAGUAUUGCCCAAAUUAGCCUUUUAAAAAUUCAUUUUCAAAAACCCAUGGUUGUGAUGUGUCUCUAUAAUUAAGAUCUAUCUGUUACCAACUGUUUUAACUAUGUUCUAAACAGAGCUUGAAAGGGUACAUUCACUUAUCUAGUUAUGUUUUUUAGGCUCUCACUUCUCACUUUACUUGAUUCACCUUAUCCCUCUUUUGAAACAAUUGUAUAUGUUGGGGUAUCAAGUGCAUCACAUCGAUCAUAAUCAUAUUAUUCACCUUAUCCGUCUUUUUAACAGACUGUUGAGAUGGCACCAAAGAUUGUAAAGUAAUUAGUACUGGAAAAUCAUGAGUUUGAUGAUGAAGAGGACGAAAAAUAUUAUUUUAUUAUUUAAAAUAAGACUAUCAAUUAUUUCCAUGGUCAUCUUGUUGUCCUCUUGAUCUUCAUAACAUCCAUAUUAAAUUACUGAGAAAUACGAAAGCGGAAGCGUACCUGAAUCCAUGAUGAUUCGUAGUGGUUCUUGAGUGUAGGAGACGGACUUCCAAUCUUCUCUUUCUCUUGAGUUUAGAAUUCUCUUUGAGAGGAUUAGAGAAUUGCAAAGGAUUAAAGAGAUUGGGGACCAUAACCCCUUUUAUAUAAAUAUCGUGACUAUUGGUAUUCUUUUAGAAAACCCAACAGUCACGUUAUUUAUGAUAAUAAUUAUCACUUCAGCCCCUCAUUAAAGUGAUGAUUAAAUUCUGGUAUCUAUGCAUUUAAUCCACAACAAUUAUACUCUUAGCCAUUUAAUUACCUUCAAAUAGAUCAUUUAAUUCUUGGCUUAUUAAAUAAUAGCACACACAUUUUAUUUAUUUCAUGUGUGGCCCCAAAUAUAUUAGAUUAAUAUAAAAUUGAUCUAACACAUCUUACUUUUUUUUUAUUAUUAAUUGGCCUAAAUAUUGUAUUUUUUGUCAGGAGUCUUGCAAUGCUGCGUAGCACCGUAAGUAAGAAGAAACGUGUCUAAGGUUGCCACGUGUAGUCUCAACAUGUGUGUGAAAACUGAAUUAACCAGUUUGCGUUCGACAACAAAGGAAAAUGCUUCUUGUUGCUGACCGAUUGCUAAGUAUUUCAAUACCUCCACCAAAAUCUUUAUAACACCCUUUUUAAUUUUAUUUUCUGAAAUACACUUAAUUUUUUAAAAAAAGAGCUUUAUGAGAAAUUUUCAAUCUGUCAAAAGGCCUACUUAAUGGACUGGAUCCCGACUCAUUAAUUUUAUAACCCGACUUACAAUCCGACUCAUUAUUCACAGAGAUUAAUUUGCUAUUGCUUAAGGUACAAUAUUUACUAAGCAAUUUAUCGGCAAUAAAACAUGUAUAUUAUAGUGGUUUGUAAUAAAAUUGGAAGAAGACAUCACGUACGAAUUGGAUUUAUCUCAUGAAAUUUGAUUAACGAAAGUGUAUGAAAAUAUAUAAAGAAAAUAGUAAAAAAAAUGUUGUGUAAAUGCUGUAUAGGUGAUAUAUUACUUUUAUAAUCCAUCAAGGUACAUUUGACUUUAAUGAUGAAACAAAUACAAAUAAAUCCAUGUACGUCAAUGCUAGAUGGCUCCAUAUUAAACUUGUGAAGUAUAGAAAAUAAGCGAGAUUCGUAAAAAAUAUUUUAGAUAAUACCACUGAAAAGUUAUAAAAAUAUUUUUUUAAGAAAAGAAAUACAUACUCGAGACACCAAGACCAACACGCACAAACUCACACAUUGACAUAUUAAUUGAGGGGAAAAUGAUAUUCUGAGUAAUAUUGUUGACAUAUGAUUAAAAUUCUUUUUAAUGAAACAUUUUCGCAUAAAUACUAGUGAUGUUUGUAGAGAAAGUAGAAUGAAGUGAAAAAAAUUUGAACAUAAAUGCUCCAAUAUAAUUUCGCCCAUGCAAAUUAUGAACUAGUGAAACUUUAAAUCAUCAUAAAAUUGUUUCCACAUAAGUAAUUAGUUUGAAAAAUUGCCAAUAAUGUUUAAAGUGGGAACGAAAAGAUUAUUCUAUAUGAGACACGAUAUUAUUUAAGACAGCUUACAAAUUAUGGGAAAUGUAUUGAUCUUACAAAUAAUAUUUAAUAAGUACAAAUUUCAAAUUAAAUAAUAAACCCUUGAUUUCCUUUUCAUCAGAAUUAUGAUCUUAAUAAUUAAAGUCAUUCAAUCUUAAUCACUUUUUCAUUUUUUUAAACUAUCUAAAUGACAUUGAAAACUUUACUCAAUAUUAAUUUAUUCGAAUGUUCUGUUUCAAAAUAAUUGAAAACUGUAAAUGAAACAAAUGCUUGCAAUCACAAAUGGCCUAAAAUGGGAUUUUUAUUUUUUAAUAUUGCAAUGACUUUGAUCUUGAUAUUGGAAAUUUAUUUGUAACUUAUACUAAGUCUUCAAUUUUAUCAAAAUUAGUUUCUAGAGAUGCAUUUGCCAUAAUGUGUAGUUGUAUUGUAUGAUGAUAUAUUACAUUAGGGUGCAUUGUAUUGAGCUGUAAUGCAAUACUAUUUUAUAUUAAUGUUAAAACUAAAUCAACCUUAUUUAAAUUUAUUAAUAUUUUAGGGUUUUAUUAGUAAUAUCUGAAAUUAAGUAUUAAAUAAUUAUUUUUAUAAUAUACAAAUUAUUUAAUAAUAUUCUACUAUUAAAUAAUAAAAUAUUACAAUAUUAUGUUAUAUUAUUAACAAUUAUUCUGUUAUAAUAUAAUUUAUUUUUAUAUAUUAGUUAUUAUAAUUCACUAACACGAAUUAAUUUCUACCAACAUUACCGAAUGAUUGUAUCGAUUUUUAAGCACGUAAACAUACCAGCUUUCUUUCUUUUACUCUCUAUUUCAUGUUUAUUCAAUUUCAAUCUUCUGCAAGUUUUUGGCUGUUUUAUUAGUUACAAAAUUCUCUAGGAUUGCAUGUAGAUUAUGGUUUUACGUGCAUUUUUUCUUCUUUUUUUUUUUUUUUUUGGGUAAACAUAUUAUUUUAUCAUCUAUCACUAUAAGAAUGAAAUGGAAAUAGUUCUCAUUUAAAGUAUUGACAGCAAUGUUAUACUCAACAUAACGUAUAAAGCACGCAUAAUUUAAUAAGGUUCUGUUUGGGAUUGAGGUGUUAUACUUUUUAAGUUACAGCUGCUGUGAAAAAAAAUUGUAACUCUAGAACAAAAGUUAAUAACAUUUAGUAAAUAUAAAUUUUAAAUAAUAAUUUUGAAAAAAUUAUUAAAGAUAUAAAGAUUUCCAUCAUAUAAGUGAAAAAUCAUAUCAACAUAGCUUCCAAGCUACAGCACUUAGUAUUUACCAAAUAUUCUAGUGCUGUACUUUUAAGUUACAACUGUCCAACCUCAAUCACAAACACACUCUAAAUGGGGUUGCUAAUAUCUUCUUUAAAAGAGAGUUAUCGCAGCCGCGUAAUUGGAAGCUCAAAGGGUUUCCAUAUUAGCCGAACCUAAGUGAUAAGUGUUUACAUAUGAGCCACAAUUUGGGGAAAAAAACAAUUCAAAGUUAAAGAUAAGAAAAGUGUGUCCCGGACGAAUACAAUAAUUCAAGCCACAGAUUUAUCAAACGCAUGGCAGAGACGCUUCAACAUGUUGUCUCAUGGAAAGAGAUCCUUCAGUCUUUGGCGUAAUACUUGGGGAAACGUAAAUUGACUUUACAUUAAAACAAAACAAAACAAACACUGUCGACAAACAUUAAUGUCAUGUAGUUAAGAAAAACUUACUUUAUCUUCGAUAAGUGCAAGAGAGGGGUGGGACAGUUGGACUCAUUUGAUGCAUGAAAGACAAUUAGUCCCAUUUUCUGUCUUGUUUACCUGACUUGGGCGAUUUGCCGUCAACUUUUCUCAUCUACGUCAGGUAAUAUGGCUUUUAUUUGAUAUGAAAAAGCCAAAACUUCGAUGAGCGGGACAUCACUGAUUUGUAUAAUUUUCAGGACUAGAAAAUUAUCUCAAUUUCAAAAUAUAUAAUUACAAUUAUCGAACACCACUAAUUCCAACAAUUUAUCCAAAGAUAUUUUUGAGCUUCAAGGAAUGUAACACUUAUGGUAGAAUGGUCAAAAUUUUCAACUUUUUAGAUAUUUGAUAUAUGCCAUGUUCUAACUUACAAUCAGAAUAAAAUUAUAGUAUAAUUUUUUUAAAUUAGUGGAAUUAUUUUACGAUAAAACUAUCACAAUAAAAUUUAAAUAUAAAGUUAUUCUUUAAUUUUUCACUACUAUUACUGAUAUUCUUAAACUCUUUGCUGAAUGGAGCAUGAAAGGACUACUUAUCUAGAUACGUUUUUUAUGCUUUCACUUCGCUUGAGCUUAGAACUUACAACUCGUAUUUUACGUUUCUCUUACUUUCUCUUCCAUUUUCCCGACACCCAAACACCAUCAAUCCUUGAUGUUGUAGAGUAUUGGCUGUCUAGUUCUACAAACAUGGACCUACUGUUAGUGCUUUAGAUCUUCAGACGGUUAGCUAACUAUUAUUUGAAUAUUAAAAUUAAUUUGUUAAAUAAAUAAAGAAAACAAGAGACAACUGCCAUAUCUAUUCCAUAUUAAUUAGUCACCGUCCCACUGACUCUGUCGAUUCACGCUUUGAUGAAGUGAAACGCUUAACGCACUAUUGUGAUGCGCAGGAGAGGAGGAAAACACAAUUUUAUUAUUGCAAUCCUGACACGCACAAAGAGCUUUCUUACAGGGCUUGGCAGCUAAUUCUUUAAAAUUUGUUAAAAUUCAUUUAAUUGAUGAAUGUGACAUAAAUCUCUAUAAAUAGUUUAAUUUGUAAAAUUGUUAAAAAUUUAAAAUUCAACUAGGGGUAGAUAAAAUGAUUAAUUUUCUCAAUAAUUAGAUAAUUGAUAUAUGUCAUGUUAUUAGGAGUGAAUGAAUGAAAUUUUCAAUAGAAAACACAAUGCUUGUAUUAACAAUUUUAAGUGCGAAUCUAUUUAGCGUAGGUUGUCCAUAAAAGUAGUUGCCGACUUGUCUUGUUUCUCAUUUUAUUUAAUUUUCAUAAAUUGGACUCACAAUCAAUUAUGAGUGAAGAGUUUGUUGGAAAAAUCUGCUCUUCCAUUUAUUGUAAUCAGAUGAGUGUAAUUUAAUCCUUUUUUUUUCUUUUGCUUGAUGUCCUGAAAAUUAUGAAUGGUUUGUACUACAAGAAAAACUAGAUAUAGCAACGAGUAUUUUACGUUUCUAAAACCAUUAACAACAUGCAUCCGCGUGCUGUGGAUCAAGAUGUUGUCUUUGGGUAAGUUACUUCUAACAAUAGCAAGACGCGUUGUUAAAACUCACGCGCUUGUAGUUAAAAAUGCUUUAAACAACGCAAAAUUUCUUUUAACAACAUGCAGUAUGAUCGUCGUGAAUUGUGUUACUUUAUUUUAUUUAUUUUAUAUCCACAUUUUGCUUACAAAAUCCUUUUAUUUAUUUUUUCCAAUAUUUCUUUUUUUUAAUAAAUAUUAAAAACUUACAGCUACAAACAAACUACUAAUUGAAUACAAAAAUUAUAGUUCAUAAAAAAAAUAGCAAUAAAUUUAUUUGAUAAUCACUACAAUUAAAACAAUUUAUAUUACAAAAUUCAAUACUCUCACAAAGAUAUCAUCAUUACAGUGAUCUCUUCAUCACAUACAAAGGCUUUGGAUGGAGCUUCUGAAUGCUGAUAACACCCAAAGCCUGCUUCAUAUAUCAUGUCAUUAGCAAUAAAAUCAAAUCUCCUAGACAAACAAAAUCAAGAUGAAUCGAAAUAUAUAGCCUAGCAAAUGAAAUUUCAAUUCACUCUCAAUAGAAUGAACUUUCUAAGAACUUAUCUUGUCCUAUUAUUAAAAUUAUAAAUUUUACAUAAAAUGAAAAGUUAAUUAUUGGCUAAAAAAUGAUACAUAAAAUGACCGUCCAAUUAAAUUGCAAGUGGGCAUUCCUACCAUUCUUGUCUCAUGCUUGUUAUAUUUAAAUUUACAAAUCACACCAUGUCAGUAUGGUGAUGAUGUAAAAUUGUUUCACCAAAUUUUUUAUCUUGAUAAUCUUGGUUAUAGAAAAAAUAUUGGGCGCUCCCAGUGGAUGCUUCUAUUGAGUGGCAGAAUCAGCAUUUUAUUUCGAUGGUAGCCAUAAUAAUUAAACUAUAAACUUAAGUUGAUUGUGAAAUAAAAUCAACGUUGUAAAUACUGCGUCCACAUUUUAUAUACAAACAUAUAUAUAUACAUACAUACAUACAUACAUAUAUAUAUAUGUAUGUAUGUAUGUAUGUAUUUUCGUUCAAUUAAUUAUUAUACCAUAUGAUGUAUUCAAUUAAUUAUUAUACCAUAUUAUUGUACAAAUUGAUGAUAAUAUGGUAUAAUAAUUUAUUUUAAUUUAUUUUCUUAAAAGAGAAUUCAUCAAUUUGUACAAUAAUAUGGUAUAAUAAUUAAUUGAACGAAAAUACAUACAUACAUACAUACAUACAUACAUACAUACAUAUAUAUAUAUAUAUAUAUAUAUAUAUAUAUAUAUAUUGUAUAAACUAACAUGGCAACAUAUGAUUGGUUAAUAAAAGAAUAAAUAUAUAUCAAGUGGGUUCUACCAUGUUUUUAAUUCAACUAAUGAUAAUAUGCCACAUCAAUUUGUACAACAAUAUUUGUGACUAUAUCAUUACUCGUUAAUUAAUAUGAACGCUAAUUUAUUUUCUUAAAAGAGAAUUCAUCAAUUUGUACAAUAAUAUUUUCACAAAAAUAUUUGUGACUGUAUCAAUACUCAUUAACUAAUAGACCGCUAUUUUAUUCUUCUUGAAAGAGAAUUACUGCAGCGAGGUUGGAGGCUCAAAGAGUUCUCAUUUAGCCAAACAUAAGAGAUAAGAGUUCACAAGAGACGUAAUUUGGAAAAUCAAUUCUAUCCAAUAGGCGAUAGGUCUCAAUGGAUUCGACUCAGUAUACGAUCAUUUGCGAUUUUUUAACGUCUUGUAAUUACAGAUUCCGAUAUCACAUUAUAAUUUUCAAACAAAUCAAAGUGAGUCAACUCAAAUUUAGAAAUUUGAGGUCUACUUUAAACUUUUGACAUUAAAUUUAAGAUAAUUAAGUAAAUGCUAGACAAAAUCUAACUUGUAAAUAUACCUUACUGCACGAUGAACGUUCUUAAAAAUCUUAACUGAUUGCUCACCAAUUAAUUGUUGUUUUAUAAUUUUGAUAUAUCCUUUCUUUUCCCUAAAACUUCUAGUUUCCUAACAUAUUGUUCUCAAUUGGUCUAAUUAUAAUGUAAUUUUUUUUUAAAUAUUAAAAAAAUGAAUUUAUUUAAUGGAAAUUAAAAAAAAAAAAAAGACACUUAUCUAUGCAAGCAAAGUUGCAUUCUGUUUGUGGGGACCUUAAAAGAAAAAGCAUAAUGAUACACUGAUGACGACAAUCCUUAAGUAUUUGUUUUCUUUAGUUACAGUUUGGUUCGAAUGGUUAAGUUCAAGUUCGAAUUUUCUUUAGUUACAUGUCAUAAGAUACUUUGCUCAAAGCUGCAAUUGGGCAACGCCGUGCUGUUCUUAUCGGCCAAUGCAAGCCAUUUACUAUUCUUUCUAAUGGAGCAAAAUAAGAUGAUUCUUACCUGCAUAGAGAAUUAGAAAAGAAAAGGAGGAUUACUGAUCCACAGAGCUGUCAUUUGCUAGAAGCACAUAAAUCUUACACUUAAUUCAUUAUCCAUAUGUAAUGUUCUAAUGAUACUUAAGUAUUACCUAAAUUAGCCUUUCAAAAUUUCACUUCGAAAAAAUCCAAGGUUGUGAUGUGUCUGUAUAAAUUCGCUAAUACAAGUUCUCUCUAUUCCCAAUUGUUUUAAACUCUGUUCUGAACAGAGCAUGAAAGGAUAUAUUCGUUUAUCUAGUUAUAUUUUUUAUGUUCUCACUUCACUUGAUUCACCUUCUCCAUCUUUUAAAACAGUUGUAUAUGUCGGAGUAUCAAGUUCAUCACAAGGAUCAUAUUAUGGCCAACAUAUACAACUGUUUUAAAAGUGUUAGUAGGUCGUAACACUAUAUGCCAUGCUGGCAAGCGUGCUAUGACUGAUUGCUAUUUGCACGUAAAAUUUGCCCAAAACAAAUAGAAUGAGAAUACUUGUACAAAAGGACGAGAUUAAUAAAGUGAAACCUAAGUGAUAAGAUUAAUGCUUGCCAAACCUAAGUGAUAAUAUGAGAUAUAAUUUGGAAAAAAAAAAAAAAUUCAAGUUAAAGAUAAAAAAUCUAUGUUCCUUAAAAAACAUAAUUCAAGCCACACAAUUUUUCUUGUUUUAUUUGAAAAAAAGAAAAUUGUGUUCCUCACAAAAACACUUUAACAUUUGUUGUCUCAUAGAGGGAAAUGUCCUUCACUCUUUGACGUAUCCCUGGGGCAAUGUAAGUUGACUUAAUUUUGACAAGUGCAAGAGAUUGGUGGGACUCAUUUGAUUCAAUUGAAACGUUGUCCACAAACUCUAUCACAAUCUAAUUUAAAAAAAAAAAGUUAUUCUUUAAAUUUCGCAUUACUAUUCCUACUUUUCUUGUUAUACUACUUAAUAGCACGGGUGAAGCCUCAAAUUAUCAAACAAAAGGCAAAAAUAGUUCAAUAUCUGCUGUCCCACUGAGCAUUGUUAAAUUCAUACGAUAAAAUGAGUACUUAUAUUAAAAAAAUAAUCAGUCUCAUUGCGUGCUCUUUCAUUGACAUAGGCAAUUUGCUGUCAACUUGUGGCAUUUUUAUGAAUUUUCAAGACGGGUGAAUUUUUCAAAUUUAAAAGAAAAAAAUGCAAAAAUGUAAUUUCAAUUUAUCCAAAAAUUUGAGUUUCAAGGAAUACAACAUUUAUUAUAUGUCAUGUUAAUAUAGAGAAGAAAAUUUUAAAAACUUAUUUUUGGAUGAAUAAAAGUAUUUUCUGAUAAAUAUUUCACAAUCAAAUUUAAAAAAUUUCACUCCUCUUGUUACAUAAUUUAAGAAUUUAACAUUAUAAAUUAAUCUUUUUAAUCAAAGUAAUAAUCUCUCCUCGGUCUGCAAAUGCUAAAAUUUAAUAUUAUAUCCAUUGACAAUAUUUGCUCCAAAUUCACGAAAAUAAAAUUUCUAACAGAAUUAUGAAAUUCGCUACUAGAAAUUUGUAUAAAAAUUGUGAGAAUAGAAGGUUUGAUCAUAGGAAAUUAAUAUAUCCCUAUCCAAAAUGAUUGUAAAGAAAAAAAAAAGUCAUGGGCUUAUUUAGAAAAAAAGAAAAAAUUACAUUCCAUUUUCCAGUUAUUAAAGUAAUUCUAAAAUCGCUAGGAUCACAAAGGAUAGGCUUUGGUUGACUGAGGUCAUGCCGGUCUUUUUCUUCUCUACAUUCUUAGAAAUUUUGGUUUCACUAUAAAUACUCGGUAUAUAGCAAACUUAUAAGUGUUCUUGAAUUACCAAUCCAACUAAGCACACGCUUACAAUAUAAAUACUCUCAUCUCAUGGAAAGACUUCAUUCUCUCAGGAUGAUGAGCAGAUUUCUCUUACUCCAUUGUUUGAUUCUUAUUUCCUUAUUUAUCGCGGCAGCAACAGCCAACACAAGUUCUACUAUCACAGACCGAGAUGCUCUGUUAGCCCUGAAAGCUCACAUAACUCAUGAUCCGACCAAUUUCUUGGCUAAGAAUUGGAACACAAGUACUCCUGUCUGUAAUUGGACAGGCGUCGCUUGUGAUGUCCAUAGCCAUAGAGUCACAGUCUUGAAUAUUUCAAGCUUAAAUCUCACGGGCACCAUCCCUUCUCAACUUGGGAAUCUUUCUUCUCUACAAUCACUCAAUCUCAGUUGUAACCGACUUUUUGGUUCCAUUCCCUCCGCCAUCUUCACCAUAUAUACACUGAAAUAUGUUAGUUUACGUGAAAAUCAGGUCUCCGGGCAAAUUCCUGCAAAUAUUUGCAGUAAUCUUCCUUUUCUGGAUUACCUUUCUUUGGGCAAAAACAUGUUUCAUGGAGGAAUACCGUCCGCUCUAUCAAAUUGCACAUAUUUGCAAAUCUUACAUUUGUCAUACAAUGAUUUCUCGGGAGCCGUACCUAAAGACAUCGGUAAUUUGAGCAAACUUAAGGAAUUAUAUCUUGGUCGUAACAGACUCCAAGGUGCGAAUAAUCACGGAGUUUAAUUAUGAAAAUUGUUCCACAAGUUGUAGUAUGAAUAAUGUUCCAUAAGACAAUUUGCACACGUUGAUUAAUUUGCAGGAGAAAUUCCUCGAGAGUUUGUCAACCUUACGGAAUUGGAGCGGAUGUCGUUAUCAGAAAACGAACUCCAAGGUAUGAUUAUGAACUUUUUGCAAUUUUAUUCUAGCCUCUGCUUGCAUCUGUAUUCAUUCGUUUGUUCGUCAAUUAUGCUCCAUGUUUUAUUGUUUUUUCUUUCAGAUAUAGAUAAAGCUCCAUGUCUCGCCUCACUCAUUUCAUUCUUUAAAUUAUGCAGAUAAAAAUUUUUAAAAAAUGUUUUGUAAUUUUCAUUUGUCAUAUUGCCGCUUCCGUUUUGAAGCUCCCAAUUAAGUCGAUGAAAAUGAAUGACGUUUCAUUCUUAUUCUUGUCAGCCUAAUUCUUAUAUAAAUGAAGAGUAAAUUGUUAUUACGAUAUUGGUCAGCCAAUAAAUUCUUCGUUUUUUUCCCCAAAUAUGAGUGAUCAAAUUGUUUGCGCAUAUAUAAAUGUACUUAAUUUGCAGGAGGUAUUCCACGGGAAUUGGGGAAUCUUACAAAAUUGGAGGGGUUACAGCUGUUUCGGAAUAAUUUGACUGGUAACUUUCUUUAGGAUAUAUAUAUAUGAGACAUCUUCCACUUCUUAAUUAAAAGAUUUCAAGUCUCUCAUUAUAAAUUCUCAUAUGAGGAUGUGUCGUUAGCACUAUCUAAUAUUAUUCUAUUUUUUUAUUAGAAAUUAGUUUGUGUUAAUUCAAAAUUCUAUAGCAUUUAAAAAAAAUUAAAAACACGUGGAAUAAAUCGUCGAUCUUUCUUCUUUACUGAAUUUGGAUUUCUCAAAAAUUAUCUCAACAAGUAUGCUUCACUAAUGCUAUGCACGUGUGACAACUUCAUAAAAUAUUUUACGUGGAAUCACUAAUUAUCUUUAAAUAAUUAGAGAUACCAUCAGUGAUACAUAAUUUCUUAACAAGCACCAUACCAAAAGAAAUCAACAAUUUUAUUAAUCUUAAAGAGUUACAUGCCUCUGUAUUAAUUCGUUUGUUCAUUAAUUAUGCUGUGAUUUAUUGUUUUUCUUUCAGAUAGAGAUAAAGCUCCAUCUCUGUCCUCACUCAUUUCAUUCUUUGAUUUAAGCAGAUAAAAAUAAAAAAAAAAUGUUUUGUAAUUUUCUUUUGUCAUAUUACCACUUCCAUUUUGAAGCUUCCAAUUAAGUCGAUGAAAAUGAAUGAUGUUUCAUUCUUAUUCUUGUCAGCCUAAUUCUUAUAUAAAUGAAGAGUAAAUUGUUAUUACGAUAAUCGUCAGCCAAUAAAUUCUUCUUUUUUUUUUGCCCCCAAAUAUGAGUGAUCAAAUUGUUUGCGCAUAUAUAAAUGUACUUAAUUUGCAGGAGGUAUUCCACGGGAAUUGGGGAAUCUUACAAAAUUGGAGAGGUUACAACUGUUCUGGAAUAACUUGACCGGUAGCUUUCUUUACAAUAUAUAUACGAGACAUCUUCCGCUUUUUAUUAGAAAUUAUAUAUUCAAGUUAAAUUAUUCCGUUUAUUAUUAGAAAUUAGUUUGUGUUAAUUCAAAAUUCUGUAGCAUUUAAAAAAAUUAAAAACACGUGGAAUAAAUUGUUAAUCUUUGCUCUUUACUGAAUUUGGACUUCUCAAAAAUAAUCUUGACAAGUAUGUUUCACUAAUGAUAUGCAUGUGUGACAACUUCACAAAAUAUUUUACAUGGAAUCACCAAUUAUCUUAAAAUAAUUGGAGAUGCCAUCAGUGAUACAUAAUUUCUUAACAAGCACCAUACCAAAAGAAAUCAACAAUUUUAUUAAUCUUAAAGAGUUACAUCUUCACUGCAAUUAUGACAUAAAUUUUUAGUCAUCAAUCGCAUAAUAUUUUAUCUUAACUGAUGAUGAUGUUCAAUCUUGGAAUUUAUAGUAUCUUGAAGGUUAGUAGCUUUGAAAAUAAGAAAUUGUUCGUUUGCUAAAAAGUUAACUUAGUAUUUAAGUUUUCCAAUUGAAAAUUUUGAAAAAAGCGUUGAGAGCUGGCGCUCCAUAGUAUUUCAGCGGAUAAAUAUGAAAAAUAGGCUAGAAGAAAUUAUUUUACUGAAAUAAGAGUUAAAAAGAUAGGAGAAGUACAGUACUCAUGACUUAGGCUUUCUGUGUGUGCUUAUUCUACUUGGGCUUUGGGCUUGAUUACGCCCGUUAUAAUAAUAGGCUUUUACUUUCACCACACAUGAUGAUUUCUUAACCUUCUCAAUUAGGUUAUAGCAAUUUAUAUAUAAAUAACUAAAGCAUACUAAAGCUAGCUUUGAUGUACGGAUGAGUGGCGUCAAAAGUGUAUCUGUUUUUAUGUAUUAUUUAUUCUCUAAAACAUAUCUGAAUACAAUUCUUUCAAAAUACCGAGGAACUAGCACAGGAAAUCGGAAAUAUUUUAUUGCGAUGAGAAUUCGUAUAUUCAUUGUAGUAGAACAUAUAAAAUAGAUUAUAAAUUUAUUAUUCUUUGAAACAAACCUGAUUAUAAUUCCUUCAAAAUUAAGUUUGUCAUUAAAUGAUUUCUCAGGAGCCAUACCAAAAGAAAUCGGGAAUUUGACCAAACUCAAGGAAUUAUCUCUUGACGGUAACAGGCUCCAAGGUGCGCAUGAUCACAGAGUUUAAUUAUGAAAAUUGUUGCAUAAGUUAUAUGGAUAUCCUUGAUAACCGCAGCAAGCAAACGAAAUCAAAUAAAAGCUAACUGAGACUCGAAUAUCCUAAACCCUGAAAAGGAAUGGUAAUGGUAUAAUAUGGAUUCUGUAGGCAUAUUUCACUGGACUCAACAUUUAUGGUUAAUUUACAACUCUUUGUUGGAAAGUCUGAGAAAUUGCUUUAUAUUAGGGGUGGGGAAAAUAAUGCUGGGCCACGAAUUUCAGGCAGAAUCCAGAUGGGGCCCUAUUAGACUUAUAGCUCAGCUCUGUGUCGAUAUCUGGGCCUUUACAAAUAAUUAAUGGGCCAAUUAAUAAUAAUAAAUAAAUUGAGAAGGGUGUGAGUGAAAUUAGAUAUGAAUGAAUCUGCCAGUGUAUGUACACAUUUUUCUAAUUAAUGCGUUAUGAGCCUGCCGCUGCUGGAAAUUAAAAAAUUUAAAUAUUUUAUAAUAUGGUAAUUAUUUUAUUUUAAGUCUCUAAUUUUUAAUUUAUUGAAAUCAUAUUUUUAUAUCUACUAUAAAAUAAGUAAAUGGGGAAUGGGGUGGGGAUGGGGGAAUCAUUCCCCACGUGGGGAUUCCUCAUCCCCAACUCACUAAAUUUAUUGGGGAAUGGGGUGAGGAAUGGAGGCAAAAAUUUUUAAUGGGAUGGGAAAUGGGGUAGGCAUCCCCACCCCCACCCCGCCCCAUUGCCAUCCCUAGCGUUAUGAGCCUGCCGCUGCCAGCAUGGAAAUUACAGCAACUAAGAAGAGAAUUGACCCAUUAAUUAAAUUAAAAAGAACACUGAAUAUAUAAGCAGUCAAAAUAUAGGUGAAGUAGGCAUGAAUUGUCACAUAACUAACUUUGAGAGUAAAACCGUGACUUGGGUUUGAAUGUUUGAUUAAGUUACUUCUAUUUCAAGUUGCUUAUUUUGCGUGGGCUUCCGGCUUAAUUACACACGGUCGAACACUUACACAGUUCCCCAGACAUAGGCUUUCACUUUUCACCACACAUUUGAUAAUUUCUUAGCCUUCCCAAUUAGAUUAUAGCAAUUUAUAUAUAAAUAACUAAAGCAUACAAAAGCCACCAUUGAUGUACGGAUGAGUGGUGUGAAAAGUGUAUCUUGUUUUAUUUAUUAUUGUUCUAUGAUACAAAUCUGAAUAAUGGAAUAUAAUGCUUUGAAAAUACCGAUGAAAUAGCACAUGAAAUCAGAAAAUAUUUUACUGCAAUAAGAAUUCAUAUAUUCAUUGUAGUAGCACAUAUAAAAUAGACUAUAAAUUUAAUUUUAAAAUACAUUCUUAUCUUCAUAUAAAUUUUACAUUACUAAUUUAAAUUAACAUUAAAAUAUGUUGUUUCUUUCACUAUGUUAUUUUAUUUACACAAUGAUGUGACUAUUGGAAUUAAUAAUACUUAUAAUUAUUUUGUAAAAAUAUAAAUUUAAUACUUUGUUAACAUUUUAUCUACAUAUAAUAAUUAAACUGAAACUUGUAUUUAAAAAACACUAGUUACGCAUAUUCAUUUCAUGACAUAAAAAUGUAUAUUUAUGCUAAUUUACCGGUAUCAACAAAAUGCUUUGAGACAAAUAAUCUAAUUUAUAUUUGUAUAUUUAAAAACUUGCAUUUAUUAUAUUUUGAAAAAAAUUUAUUUGCAAUUAUUUUAAACCGUUGGAAGUUGGAUUCAAAUUUUUGUAGUUAUUAAAGUCAAAGGGUAUAAAUGUGUAAUAGUCAAAAACAGAUUUGUAUGAUCAUUUUUCAAUGUAUAAAUUUUCUUAGUUAGUAGGAAAAUUGGAAAUUGUUGAUUUACUCAUAAAUAAAUUUAAUGUUUAGCAUUUCAAUUUUGGAAAACUUGACCCACGGACCCAUUGAAAGUUUUAUUCGAAUUGAGUUUCCCGGUGCUUACUCAUUUUAUUUACAAAUGAGUUGAUUAGCAUCGAAGUUACUUGAGAGUCUGAGACCAUGCUAGUAGGAGAAAUUUGAAAAGAAAUUAUUUUACUGAAUUAAUUUAUUUUAUCUUGUUGUAACUGAAAUACUACUUUUUUUUUGGGCUGUCACUGGGGCUUGAUUUACUUUAAUAGUAGCAGCCACCGACUUAGGCGUUUUUUACUUCUCACCAGACAAUUUGAUCUUUUAAUUCGUUUUAACCACAUAAUCUAUCUAUUUCUCACCUAUUGCUUACUUAAAUCGCAUACAUAUUUUACCUACUAAUUUUUAUAAAUAUUAGUCAAAUAUAUUUUAUUACGUUUCUCUCGUAACUGCUCCAAAUGUGUACUAUUAAUACUUAACCCUCCCUUUUAAUUUACUGUGCAAUCUAUCUAUCACUUAAGUCACAUAUAUAUAUUUUACCUAGAUUUUAACCCAAAAAAUAUAAAAAUAAAAGAAAAAGAAUAUGUGUAGCAAUUUGCAUAUAACUAACAAAGCAUUGAUGGCGUGUAGCCUUUCAAUACUUCACGAGUGGCUUUUCUUGUGUGUUAGUACUUGUAAUAAUUGUGUAGCGUAUAAAUGACAUUUUAUUAUUAAAGUGCGUCCAUUUUUAGAUAUUACUUAUUAUUUGAAAAAUAAUCUGAAUAUAAUUCUUUUAAAAUACAGGGGAGAUACCACUUGAAAUUAGUAAUCUCCAAAAUCUGGAGGAGUUGGACCUUCGUCACAACAAAUUAGUUGGUACUGUCCCAGCUGCAAUCUUUAAUAUGUCAAUGCUCAAAUUACUUCAUCUUCAAAAUAAUUCUCUCUUGGGAUGUCUUUCGUCCAUUGCAGACGUCCGACUACCAAAUCUUGAAGCGCUUUUAUUGUGGGGUAAUAAUUUCAGUGGCACAAUUCCUCGUUUCAUCUUUAAUGCUUCUAAGCUCUCUAUACUAGAGUUAUCACAGAACUCAUUCUCCGGUUUUAUUCCCAACACAUUUGGCAACUUAAGAAACCUUGAGUGGCUUAAUUUACGAGAUAAUUAUUUGACAUCUUCAACUCCAGAAUUGAGCUUUCUAUCCUCGUUGUCAAAUUGCAAGUCUUUAACAUUUAUUCACUUAUCAGAUAAUCCACUGGAUGGCAUUCUUUCUAAGACGUCUAUCGGUAAUCUUUCUCAUUCUUUGAAAGACUUUUACAUGUCCAAUUGUAAUGUUAGUGGCGGCAUCCCUGAAGAGAUCACCAACUUGACCAACUCGAUAACCAUUGAUUUAGGGGGCAAUAAAUUGAAUGGAUCAAUUCCGAUUACUCUCAGCAAAUUACAGAAGCUUCAAGGUUUGGGUCUUGAUGAUAACAAAUUAGAAGGAUCAAUCCCAGACAGUAUUUGUCGUUUGACUGAACUGUAUGAGUUGGAGUUGGGUGGCAAUAAGCUUUUUGGAUCAAUCCCUGCAUGCUUCAGUAAUCUGGCUUCUCUGAGGAUACUGUCGUUAAGUUCCAAUGAGUUAACUUCUAUUCCCUUAACUUUUUGGAACCUUAAGGAUAUCUUGCAACUCAACUUUUCAUCAAAUUUUUUGACUGGCCCACUCCCAUUAGAGAUUGGAAAUUUGAAGGUUUUGAUUGGAAUUGAUUUUUCGAUGAAUAAUUUUUCAAGCGUUAUCCCAACAGAAAUUGGAGGCCUAAAAAAUCUAGAAUAUCUAUUCUUAGGAUAUAAUAGAUUGGAAGGAUCGAUUCCUGAUUCAUUUGGUGAUUUGAUAAGUUUGAAAUUCUUGAAUUUGUCCAAUAAUAAUCUCUCUGGGGCUAUUCCUACAUCUUUAGAGAAACUCUCAUAUCUUGAAGAUCUAAAUCUUUCUUUCAACAAGCUAGAAGGAGAAAUUCCUAGGGGAGGGUCUUUUGGAAACUUCGCAGCUGAAUCAUUUGAGGGAAAUGAAUUAUUAUGUGGUUCACCCACUUUACAAGUCCUGCCAUGCAAAACUAGCAUCCACCAUACAUCAUGGAAAAAUUCUCUUCUCCUAGGGAUUGUCUUGCCAUUGAGUACUACAUUAUUGAUAGUAGUCAUUUGGUUGAUCCUAAGAUAUCGUAAGAGAGGAAAACAACCAUCGAAUGAUGCUAAUAUGCCACUAGUAGCAACGUGGAGAACAUUUUCAUAUCUAGAACUUUGUCGAGCAACAAACGGAUUCAGUGAAAACAAUCUAAUCGGCAGAGGAGGUUUUGGCUCUGUUUAUAAGGCAAGACUUGGGGACGGGAUGGAGGUUGCAGUGAAAGUUUUCAAUUUGCAAUGUGGAAGAGCGUUCAAGAGUUUUGCUGUUGAAUGUGAAAUGAUGAAAAGUAUCCGUCAUCGAAACCUUAUCAAAGUUAUUAGUAGUUGUUCAAAUGAAGAGUUUAAAGCGUUGGUAUUAGAAUACAAGCCUCAUGGAAGUUUGGAGAAGUAUCUGUAUUCCAGUAAUUGCAUUUUGGAUAUUUUUCAAAGAUUGAACAUAAUGAUAGAUGUUGCAUCAGCUUUGGAAUAUCUGCACUUUGGUUGUUUAGCUCCAGUAAUUCAUUGUGACUUAAAGCCCGACAAUGUAUUGUUAGAUGAUAAUCUGGUUGCUUAUUUGAGUGAUUUUGGCAUCGCGAAGCUCUUAAUUGGAGAAGAUCAGUCUAUGACUCAAACGCAAACACUUGCCACAAUAGGUUAUAUGGCACCAGGUUUGUUCAAUAUAAAUAUUUUCUAUUUCUUGUAAAUUUCCUAAUAAGUUAUUUAUGUUUCAUGAUCUUCAUUAGAUGAGGAAAUUAUUAUUAAUGAUAUAUCUUACUAUUUAACUGUUGCAAUUCAUAGAGUAUGGAAGAGAAGGACGAGUAUCCACAAAUGGAGAUGUUUAUAGCUUUGGAAUUAUGUUAAUGGAAACUUUUACCGGGAAGAAACCCACAGAUGAAAUUUUUAAUGGAGAAAUGACAUUAAAGCAUUGGGUUAAUGACUGGCUACCCAUUUCCACUAUGGAAGUUGUUGAUGCUAAUUUGCUAAGUCAGGAGGACAUACAUUUUGUUGCAAAGGAGCAAUGUGUGUCAUUUGUCUUCAAUUUGGCUAUGGCGUGCACUGUGGAAUCUCAUGAGCAGAGAAUCAAUGCAAAAGAAAUUGUAACAAAGCUCUUAAAAAUUAGAGACUCAUUACUUAGAAAUGUUGGAGGCAGACGUAUAAGUCAACCAAAUUUAAAUUGAUUCUACCCCUCCAUUGCUUGCUAUCCUUUUCAGAGACUUGAACGGUUAUCCUUCAUACCAGUUUUGUUGAUAUGUUUUGUUAUUGCUCUUGCUCAUGUUUGUUUCUCUAUUUCUUUAAUUUGCAUGCAUGUAUUUUUCGUUCUCUUUUAUGUUUUUGUUGGUUUGUAUGUAGUUUGUUUUUAGGGGUAAGGUUGAUUAUGUCCUCCCCUAAUUACACGUAUCCUUUUUAUGUUUAUUCAAUAAAGCUUCUCUAAUACUAUCAAGGUUCAUCAAAAGAAAAUUUUUAAUUAAUUUUCUUUUCUUUGACAGGUAAUGAAAUUCUAAUCUUCAUAGUGAAUAACUUCAAUAAUAGAGUGUAAGAGUGUUAGUAAUUAUGGUUGUUUUUUGAACCUGGAGUCAAGAGCAAUUUAACAGCAACAAACAAGUCUCUUGUAUUAUAGGCAAAAUUCUUUUCAUUAAUCUUAUUUGUCUACAUGUUCUCCUAUUUUCACCAUUAAUCUUCGCUCAAGGUUUCAUGCUUCCUCUUUGAUGAAGGAAAAUAUUACUUGCGAAUAUUUCAAUUUGACAUAAGAGACUGUUUUGCCAUCCAUUUGAUAAAAUGGAUAUGAGUGGAGCUUUCAAUCAUUACCUCCACCAAAAUCCUUACAACGCCACUUUUAAAUUUUAUUUUUUAAAAUACAUUCAGUUUAAUUUAUAAAAAAUAAAUCCAUUUGUUCAAAUUAAUCUUUUUCUCAUAAAUUUCAACCUAAAAAACAUAUUUCUUUUAAAUUUUUAAUUAUAAAAUACAUACAAGUUCUAAACUAUUAUAUUAUUUUCUUCUUAUUAUAUAGUUUAUAUCUCCAUAACUCUAAACUCCUAUAAUUUUUUAAAAAAUGUUUUUAAUUUAAAAAAUAUAUAUAAUAUAGAAUGGAGUGGGUAUAAAAAAAACUUAUUAAAAGAAUAAUUCAUUUAAGUAUUUAACUGAAUUUAAAUUAAAAUAAGAAAUAAAUUAAUUUAUUUUUUAUUAGUUAAGUAAUUUUCAAUUGAAAAAGAGUUGUAUGAGUAAUAUUAUUGAAAUAUGAUUAAAAUUCUUAUGAAUUAAAUAUUUUCGUAUAAAUACUAGUGAUAAUUACAGAGAAAAGACGAGGAACCAAAGAAAACUUGAAUAUAAAUACUCCAGUGUAAUUUUACAUAUGCAAAUUAUGAACUAGUGAUCUUCAGAGCAUCAUAAAAUUAUUUUGACACAAUUAUUUAUUUUGAAAAAUUGCCAACAAUGUUUAAAGUGGAUUGAAAAGAUUAUAAUACUUAUAUAAGACAUGAUAUCAUUUAAGACGGCUUAUAAAUUAUAAGAAAUAUAUUGAUCUUACAAAUAUUUAAUACGUCAAUUAGACAGGUCCAGCUACCUUCCACCCGCUGGAAGGUACAACUUAUUUUGUCCUCUAGUGUUGUGGCCAUUGGAUAUUUGAGAAGUUGAUCUAACGGUUCUUGUUCGGCAGCGUGAAAUUGAAUUUCAAUUGGCAACCAUUUCAUGAACUUUGUAAGAGAAUUAUCUACAUAAACAUUAAAAAAAGAAGGGAAAAGGACACAGAGACCCUCAACGUUUAAAUAAGGUACAUAAAACUCCCUAAUGUUUCAAAAAAGACACUCAGACCUCCAUUGCUUAACAGAAUCCGUUUCUUUUAACAGAAAUUAUAAUUUUAAAGUGCAAUUACCAUUAUACCCUUAUAGCAUAUUAAAACUAAUUGUUCAUUGUCCAAUUUAUCCCUAUAUUAUCAAUAAAAUUACGAAAAUAAAUUUGAUAAAGAUAUUUCCAUGCACAUCUAAAAAUUGAUAAAGAAAAAAAAUAACAAAAGUAAUUAGCAAGAAAUCUCCAAUAAACUGAACAAAUUAAGAACUCUGUUCAUCAAACAACCAUAAACCAAAAAAAAAAAAUUUCUCGUAAUCAUUUAUUUAUAUUCUUGCACAUACAUCACAUAUGCAUCAAACAUGCUAGAGAAGUUAAUUUAGUAAAAAAAAUGAAAAUUAAAGAGAAUUCAAUAGGCAAGAUCAGCAACCGAACGCGAGCACAAGCAGCAGCCAAAAGCGAGCACAAGCAGUAGCCAAACACGAGAUUCAACAAGCAAGAUCAGCAACCAAACGCGAGCACAAGCAGCAGCCAAACGUGAGCACAAGCAGCAGCCAAACGCAAGCAAUUCCAGCAGCCAAACGCGAGUAGUUCCAACAACCAAAUGCGAGAUUCCAGCAGUUCCAACAGCACAAGCAGUAGCCAAACGUCGAUCGCGAGCAGAUUCGGCAACCAGAUGCGGUCUCGAUUGACGCACGAGCAGUUCCAGCAACUUCCGGUAGCGUGAGCUGUUCCAGCAACUUCCGGCAGUCCCAGCAGCUUUCGGCAAGGCAAACCGUGAGUGUGUGUUAAAAGAUUUGUCUGGAAUCAAUGUGUGUGUGUGGGGUUUGUUUGUGCGUGUGAUGUGUGUGUGGGUUUUUAGUCAAUUCACUUGUUUUUAAUUUGUAAUUAUGAUAUAAACCUUGUAAUGAUUUAACGAAACGAUUUCCGAUAAGCAAUGGGGGUCUGAGUGUCUUUUUUGAAACAUUAGGGAGUUUUAUGUCCCUUAUUCAAACGUUGAGGGUCUUUGUGUCCUUUUCCCAAAAAAGAAAACCAAUUUUUCCCUUUCAUCAGCCGCCGCCGCCACCCACAACCCCUUAAUAUCAUCAUCACCAUCCCAAUCUUUAGCUGCCAUCCACAAGCUCUAACAACCACCAUGACCGCCAUCACAAUCACCACUCCUCACAACCCCUAGCCACCACUACAAACAUUUACAAACUCUAACCAUCAUUGACUCAUUGUCAGUUCACCAGCCUUAUCUUCCAUUGCCGCGGCCUACCAAUCAUUCACAACACCUAACCGUCGUCACCAACAAACUUUCGCCGCCGCUUCCUACAAGCAAGCCUCACCACCCACCGCCGCACACACACAAAGCCAUACCAACCGCCAUACUAUUGCAAUAGAGGCCACAAUGUAGACAAGAUCCAGCAGAUGAAGGAUGUUUUCCUUCUCCAGCUGACUAUUCUUUUUUAUCCUUUUUUUUGUUUUUUAAUUGUUAUAUUACUUUUAAUUAUUUUGGUUGUUAGAUUGUUUUUGUUAUUGUUGCCGGCGGCAAUGGAGUUGCAGCUCGUGAUGAUGAUGGUGAUGUUGGUGUCAUUUAAUCGAGAUGAGAGAGAUUCAGAGCUAAACAAAAAAGUGGAGGCUGUGGAUGAGUAUGAGAGCGAUCUAGAUGAAGUGAAACACUCUCUCGUUUUACGUAGAAUGGAAACAAGCAAUGAUGAGGAGGAGUAGACAGAAUUUGAGCGUCGAAUAAAUUGAAGGGUCCAGAUUCACUCUUACAUUGAAUCUGAUAGCCAAAGUGGUGCUCCAGCUGAGUAUGAUGAUGAUGAAGAGGACGAAGAGGAACAUGACAGAGAAUUAGAAGAAGAAGAUGAAGAAGGGGAUGUUUAUGAGUAUGAAGAGGAAGACGAUUUUUAUGAAGAAGUGGAAAGGAAUGACGAGGCGGUUAAAGUCAAAGAAAUAGAGGGUAAUGAUGCAAGAGGAGUACAGAGGGCGCAGUGGAAGUGAGUAAAGGGAAUUAUGAUAAUGGCAAUGGUGCUAAAACAAUGAUGCAGCGAAUGAGGGAAUAGAGGAAGGGGAGAAGGAGAGUAAUGAGCCUUUUGCACAGCAGCCGGGGCUUUUUAUAUGGGACAAUGUUGCAGGUCGACACAGGUAUUAUUUGAUUUGAGUGAUCUAUAAAUAACUGAUAGCUGUACUUUCGUUAGGCUUGUCGAUUAGUCUAGUCUCGUUUUUUGGUGCUGUCUAAUGAUUGUUUGCUGGAAUUUGUGUAGAAGGCUUUUGGCGUAGUAGGUUGAAAGGAGAGAAAGUUCUCAAGUAAAGAUCUGUGCUUUGUGGUGUCAAAAGCAGCCAUCUAGAUGGUCUAAAGCAGCCAUCUAAAUGGUCAGCAACAAUUUGUUCAAACAAGAAGAAUUUGGUAGCAGCAAAUAUGGAAUGAAGAAAAUUGAAAAAAAAAGAAGUUUGAAGAAGAAAAUGGGGAACACAAUUUUGACGAGAAAAAAAAAAUUAAUUAUUAUUUUAAUAGCCAAUUUUGGCUAUAUAAAGGGAGCUCUUCAUUUGGUUUUCUGCAUUCAAUUCCAUUGAGAGAGAAGCAUUGCCUUGCUUUAGAGUUGAGAGUAUUAAAGAGUUUAAUAAACUCUUGAGUGAUUAGUGUUAUGAGAGUUUGGGUGUAUUGGGGUUUUGGAAGUGAGCUAAAAUACUACAAUACUUGUAACUCCUUUUCACUAGUAAAAUAUUUCCUUUUGUCUUCGCCCGUGGAUGUAGGCUGAAAGCCGAACCACGUAAUUUCUGGUGUCCUCUAUUGUGCUUAUUCUUUAUUUUUCUACCAAUUUUGCUUUAGCUGCGGUCCUACUUCACCCAUCAAUUUCCUAACAGUGGUAUCAGAGCUAUUGGUUGUAUUUUUGGAGUCGGGAACUGUUCACGUAAGGGGUACUAUUCACGUAUAUGGUACUGUUCACGUAUACAAUACUGUUCACGUAUACGGUACUAUUCACGUAUACGAUACUGUUCACAUAUUUGGUACACUAACUUGUGUGCAGUAUUGAUCAACAAAAUGGCGACAAAGUAUGAAAUUGAGAAGUUUAACGGAAAUAAUUUUUCGUUGUGGAAAAUGAAGAUGAAAGCUGUAUUGAGGAAAAAUAAUUGCUUGGCAGCAAUUGGAGAAAGGCCCAUGGAGAUAACUGAUGACAAGUGGAACGAGGUAGACGGCAACGCCAUUUCUGAUCUACACUUGGCACUUGCGGAUGGAGUAUUAUCCAGUGUGGUAGAGAAAAAUAAGGCGAAGGAAAUAUGGGAUACUCUCACAAAAUUGUAUGAGGCCAAGUCACUACACAACAAAAUCUUCUUGAAGAGAAAACUCUAUAUUCUUCGAAUGGCGGAAUCUACAAUGGUGACCGACCAUAUCAACACAUUGAAGACUCUAUUUUCACAACUCACAAUGUUGGGUCAUAAUAUAGAGGAAAAUGAACGUGCAGAGCUUCUACUUCAAAGUCUACCAGAUUCGUAUGAUCAACUUAUCAUCAACCUGACGAACAACAAUCCAGUGGAGAGUCUAGUUUUCGAUGAUAUUGCAGCCUCCGUAUUAAAUGAGGAAAGCAGGCGAAAAAAUAAGGAAAAUAGACAAGCAAGUUCGCAGCAAGCAGAAGCGCUAUCGGUGACGAGAGGGAGAUCAAUGGAACGUGGCCCCAGUGGGAGUCAAAAUCUGAGUAGAUCAAAAUUCAGAAGUAAGAAGAAUGUUAAAUGCUACAAAUGUGGCAAGAAAGGGCACGUCAAGAAAGAAUGUUGGAGUAACUAGAAGAGAAAAGAGGGCAAAGAACCUGAGUCAUCAAAUGCUCAGGGUUGUGUAGCAAGCACCUCGGAUGAUGGCGAAAUUCUUUACAGCGAGGCAACAACUGUUUCAGAAGGCAAAAAACGACUUUCUGAUGUCUGGCUUAUAGACUCAGGAGCUACCUGGCACAUGACCUCUAGGAGAGAAUGGUUCCACACAUAUGAACCUAUCUCAGGAGGAUCUGUAUAUAUGGGAGAUGAUCAUGCCUUGGAGAUCGCUGGUAUUGGUACUAUCAAAAUAAAAAUGUUUGAUGGUACAAUUCGCACAAUUGGAGAGGUACGACAUGUCAAUGGCUUGAAGAAAAAUCUAUUGUCUUUGGGAUAAAUGGAUAGUCAUGGGUACAAAACUCAUGUGGAGAAUGAAAUUAUGAAGAUCGUUAAAGGCGCGCUUGUAUUGAUGAAGGCAGAAAAGAUCGGUGCUAAUCUAUUCAUGCUUAAAGGAGAAACACUACAGGAGGCUGAUGCGUGUGUCGCGUCAAAUGGAGAAGAAUCAACGAUGAUGUGGCAUCUCAAACUUGGCCACAUGUCAGAAUAAGGUUUGAAGAUUCUCUCUGAGGGAAAAUUGCUUCCGGGGCUCAAAUCGGUAAGUUUACCAUUUUGUGAGCAUUGUGUUACAAGUAAGCAACAUAGAUUAAAAUUCAGUAGAUCUAUUGCUAGAAGUAAAUGCAUUCUAGACUUGAUUCAUUCUGAUGUUUGGGAAUCACCGGAUAUAUCCAUGGGAGGUGCAAAGUACAUGGUGACUUUCAUUGAUGAUUAUUCCAGAAGAUGUUGGGUGUAUCCAAUUAAGAAAAAGUCAGAUGUAUUUAUAGUGUUUAAAGAAUACAAAGCGCGGGUGGAACUUGAAUCUGGUAAAAAGAUCAAGUGCUUGAGGACAGAUAAUGGUGGAGAGUAUACAGACGGCGAGUUUCUUGCUUUCUGUAAGCAAAAAGGUAUUCAGAGGCAGUUCACGGUAGCAUACACUCCUCAACAAAAUGGAGUGGCAGAGCGGAUGAACAGAACUCUUACAGAAAGAAUAAGAGCUAUGUUGAGGACUGCUGGUCUACCCAAUUCAUUCUGGGCAGAAGCAGCCAAAACUGCCUGUUAUAUAGUAAAUCGGUCGCCAUCUACAGCUAUUGGGUUGAAGACGGCAAUGGAGAUGUGGACUGGAAAGCCAACUGAUUAUUCCUACCUACAUGCAUUUGGAUGUCCUGUGUACGUGAUGUACAAUGCCCAAGAAAGAACAAAGCUGGAUGCAAAAUCUAGAAGAUGUAUCUUCUUGGGAUAUGCUGAUGGAGUAAAGGGGUAUCGUCUGUGGGACCCCACUGCCCACAAGAUCGUCAUCAGCAGAGAUGUUAUUUUUGUAGAAGAUCAACUGCAAAGAAAAGAUGGAGAUGACGACACUGUAAAAGAAAAGUCAAAAACUAUGCCGGUAUAUGUCGAAAAUAAUCCAGAAAAUUCAGAUUCUUCUAAAGCAGCACCAGAGCACAAGAACAAGAACCAGUCGAGUCUGAGGCUCUAGAAGUUCGUCGGUCAACUCGUGAGAGACGACCGCCGGCGUGGCACUCGGAGUAUGUCACAGAGAUCAACGUUGCAUACUGUCUUCUAACAGAGGAUGAAGAGCCUUCAACUUUUCAUGAAGCUUUAGAAAGCUCAGAUAUUGCUUUGUGGAUGACAGCAAUGCAGGAAGAAAUUGAAGCUCUACACAAGAACAAGACAUGGGAACUUGUACCACUACCACGUGGAAGAAAAGCCAUUGGAAACAAAUGGGUCUACAAGAUCAAGCGUGAUGGCAAUGACCAAGCGGAACGGUAUCGUGCAAGAUUGGUGGUGAAAGGAUAUGCUCAGAAAGAAUGUAUUGACUUCAACGAGAUAUUUUCUCCGGUGGUUCGACUCACAACAGUCAGAAUAGUCUUGGCGAUGUGUGCUACAUUUGAUCUACAUCUUGAGCAGUUAGAUGUGAAAACUGCAUUUCUUCAUGGAGAACUUGAAGAAGAAAUAUAUAUGCUCCAACCAGAAGGUUUUGCAGAAACAGGAAAGGAGAACUUGGUUUGCAGGUUGAACAAAUCUUUAUACGGUCUCAAACAGGCGCCGAGGUGUUGGUAUAAGAGAUUUGAUUCCUUCAUCAUGAGCCUUGGAUACAACAGACUCAGUUCAGACCAUUGUACAUAUUACAAGAGGUUUGAAGAUAAUGAUUUCAUUAUUUUGCUGUUGUAUGUGGAUGACAUGUUGGUAGCAGGUCCCAACAAAGAUCGAAUCCAAGAAUUGAAGGCACAUUUAGCUAGGGAGUUUGAAAUGAAGGACUUGGGACCAGCAAAAAGAUUCUAGGGAUGCAAAUUCACCGAGACAGAAAUAACAGGAAAAUUUGGCUUUCGCAGAAGAAUUACUUGAAGAAAAUCUUGCGACGCUUCAACAUGCAAGAUUGUAAGUCAAUUUCUACCCCACUUCCUGUUAAUUUCAAAUUAUCCUCAAGUAUGUGUCCUAGUAAUGAAGUAGAGAGGAAGGAGAUGUCUCGAGUACCGUAUGCAUCAGCAGUGGGAAGUUUAAUGUUCGCUAUGAUAUGUACAAGACCAGACAUUGCACAAGCAGUGGGAGCAGUCAGUCGAUACAUGGCGAAUCCUGGUGGAGAGCAUUGGAUAGCUGUGAAGAGGAUUCUGAGAUACAUUAGAGGAACCUCAGGUGUUGCAUUAUGUUAUGGAGGAUCAGAGUUUACUGUCAGGGGCUAUGUAGAUUCAGAUUUUGCAGGAGACCUUGAUAAAAGGAAAUCCACUACUGGUUAUGUGUUUACACUUGCGAGAGCAGCUGUAAGCUGGGUUUCAAAACUGCAGACCGUUGUGGCUUUAUCUACAACAGAAGCAGAGUACAUGGCAUCUACACAAGCUUGCAAGGAAGCUAUUUGGAUACAAAGGUUAUUGGAGGAGCUCGGGCACAAACAAGAGAAAAUUUCUGUGUUUUGUGACAGUCAGAGUGCUUUGCACAUUGCAAGGAAUCCAGCCUUUCAUUCCAGGACAAAGCACAUAGGAGUUCAGUAUCACUUCGUUCGAGAAGUAGUGGAAGAUAGAAGUGUGGAUUUACAGAAAAUCUAUACCAAAGAGAACUUAGCAGAUGUUUUGACCAAGCCGAUAAAUACUGAUAAGUUUGUCUGGAGUAGAUCCUCUUGUGGCCUAGCAGAAACGUAGGCAACAUGAUUAUGGCGAAGCAGAAAGGAUGGUGUGGAGAUUGAUUGAUUCUCAAUCUAAUCUCCAAGUGGGAGAAAUGUCAAAAGCAGCCAUCUAGAUGGUCUAAAGCAGCCAUCUAGAUGGUCAGCAACAAUUUGUUCAAACAAGAAGAAUUUGGCAGCAGCAAAUAUGGAAUGAAGAAAAUUGAAAAAAAAAGAAGUUUGAAGAAGAAAAUGGGGAACACAAUUUUGACGAGAAAAGAAAAAUUAAUUAUUAUUUUAAUAGCCAAUUUUGGCUAUAUAAAGGGAGCUCUUCAUUUGGUUUUCUGCAUUCAAUUCCAUUGAGAGAGAAGCAUUGCCUUCCUUUAGAGUUGAGAGAAUUAAAGAGUUUAAUAAACUCUUGAGUGAUUAGUGUUAUGAGAGUUUGGGUGUAUUGGGGUUUUGGAAGUGAGCUAAAAUACUACAAUACUUGUAACUCCUUUUCACUAGUAAAAUAUUUCCUUCUGUCUUCGCCCGUGGAUGUAGGCUGAAAGCCGAACCACGUAAUUUCUGGUGUCCUCUAUUGUGCUUGUUCUUUAUUUUUCUACCAAUUUUGCUUUAGCUGCGGUCCUACUUCACCCACCAAUUUCCUAACAUGUGGAAUAUAAUUAAUAGGGACAAAGUAUACUAAAUUACUUGAUAGAUAGAUGCCGAGCUAAUCAUGAGCUAUGAUAGCAUUAUUCGUGCUUUGUGUAUUUUUAUUAGGGCUUGUCUAUUUCAAAGUGUGGAGUAUAGAAUUUUUGGGUUAAGUUUGAGUGAUGAAGUGUUAGAUAGGUUUCUGUUUUGCAUAGUUAAGCCGUCAAUACGAGCUAUCGAAACAGAUAUGGAGCAGGAUAUCUAGUUUUGGGUUUGGUCUUAGUUUGAAGAUGGCUACUGAUUAUGCAGCUAGGUACGUAUUCGUGUUUGUGGAUUUCUAAAUGCUUUCUGUCAAAUGUGACUAGAUUAUUACUAAAAGUGCAUGGAUCUUACACUUAAUUAAUUAUAUAUCCAUUUGUAAUGUUCAAAAUGAUAAUGUACUUUUGCUUGAAAUUAUGCUUUCAAGACAUCAUUUUGAAAAUCCAUGGUUAUAAUGUGUCUCUAAAUUCAGUAAUACAAGUUCUGUCAAUUGCUGUUGGAUGCAGUGACCUGAAUAGUUUAAUAUUCAUUUGCAGAAAGGAGUUGAGAAAGAAAACUAAAAAUUUCUGUGCGUGCUGCUGGAAAUUUAAAUAGCUUCAUUUGAGCAUUAAUUGCCGGCAUGAUCUCUUAGACUUCUCUUGCAUUGAAUGAAUGGAUGAGUGCUAAUCCAUGCAAAGACUUCCAUGCAUGCACAAUGAAUGCUACAUCAAAGGUAUGGUAAAAUGUCAGCAAGCUUGGCCCAAAUUAUCAAGCUGGUUUGGUGGCUGCUAGAUUUGUUCAUCCGGAUUUUGGACCAUUUUCCUUGACAAUGAGAAAAGCUCCAAGAUCUGUAAAUCGAAAACUCAUUGAAAUGCCAAAAGAGAGAUGGAAGUGAAUAAGUAGAGUGUUAGUGAAAAGAGGGUGUAGUGAUUGUGUGGGAAGCUUUGGGUAUAACUGGGGUUUGGAUGUGAGAUAAAAUAUUUUGAGAGUGAAGUUGUAACAAUUUUGUACGUAGAUAAAUUUUUUGUCUCGUUGUCCUUGGCAACUGUGGUUUUUUAUUUGGGUAAUAGAGUUUUUCAGGUAACUCUUUUGUUGUGUGAUCCGAGUAUUCUCUGUUGUAUUUCUUUUAUUUGUUAUUUAUUUGACGUAUUGCUAGCAGAGAUCUUGGGUGGGAAUAAAAAAUUCCCAACAAUUGUCAGUUGUUUUAAACUCUAUUCCGAACAGAGCAUGAAGGGAUUCACUUAUCUAAUUAUGUCAUUUAUGCUUUAACUUCACUUCAUUUCAUCUUGUCCGUCACCUUUACUAAAGUUGUGUAUGUUGGAGUAUUAGGUUCAUCACAAGGAUCAUAUUAUGGCUAAGGAAGGAGCACAGUUUAUUAGCUACACUCAAGUGUAGCAGAGUAUUUGGAUUCAAGACUGUUAUAAGGUUGUUACAGAUGCAAUGCUGUUGCUGUGCAACUGUAUGCCAUGCUCGCAAGUGCGCUGUAACAGAUUGCUCAGCAGGCACCGGAUAUUUUAAGCUAAUUUUGGUAAUUAGUCUAGAGUGUUCUGAUUUAUUCUAUAAAUAGCUCAUUUGAGCGUAGAUAUCGUACAUUUCUGUUACUUCUAAUAAAGAAAUUCUUUAUUCCUUUUUCUUUCACUUUCUCUUUCAUUUUCAUGAUCCCCAAACACCAUCAAACAUAGAAUUGCUGUUUUAAUUCCCUCCUCUUGUCGAUAGAUGUUUGCCGAAUUUUUUCAUUUAAAAAAUAUUAUAUUGGUUAAUAGAAUUUGAAGUUUUACAAAAUAUAAGUUUAAUUUAAAAAAUAUAUAUUUGUUAAUUUAAAUUUUUUAUUUGGUGGUUGUGUUUGAGAAAAUUUUAGGUAUACUUGGAUAUACUCUCUUAUUAUUCAUUGAAUUUGGGCAUUUAAACAUACUAGUAUGCAAUAUUUUUAAGUAAUUACCAGAGAAGUAUACAUGAGAAAAAUAUAACACGUGAAACAAUACACAAUGAAAUUAUCUACAAUUUUCCAUUGACUUAGUCAACUCUUCAUUAAUUUCAUUGACUUGAUCAACUCAUGAUCUAACUUGACAACUUGAAAAUUAAAUUAUGCUAGUAAUUCUGUAAAAUAUGCUAGUAAUUCCGUAAAAUUAAAAUUUAUCUCCCAAAAUUGAUAAAUACUGUGUCACUUUGUCAAAUUACUUAGGGUAAAAGCUCUGUGGCUAAAAACUUUUAACAUUAGUUGUAUGCUAAUUGAGAAGGACAAGACACGAAAGAAUUCAAUGAAUGCCACAUCAUGUAACACUAAUACUAACACUACUUACUCUUAACAAAUUCUUACAAACGUGAUUCAUGAAAUUAACUUGACUUUUUGUCUAAAAAAGGCCUAAAGAAACAUGCCAAGCAACAAAUAAAGUAGUCCAAACGUGAUUCAUGAAACUUGAUAGGCACUAUCUAAAUAGUAUUAAUAUGGCAACCAAAAACAUGCGCGCAAAGUAGACUUUCUUGGACGAUCCAUGCCAAUCAGCAUAUAAAGUAGUCCAAACGUGAUUCGUGAAACUUGACUUCUUGUCUAAAAAGGCCUAAAGAAACAAGACCAAAAUUUCCAUGCAAUAGCAAUAUGGUGGCCACAAUGCACUUUUUAAGCCAUUUUUCAAAACUAAGUUUCUUCGUAUCACAUGCACUAUUCAAGCAAUUUUUCAACAUUUUCUCCUUCCCCUAAAAGCUACAUGCAUGAAUCAUGUCCCAAUCAAUUUCUUGGCAAAAAUUGGAACGCAAGAACCGAUUGGAGCAUAAGGACAAUGUCGCGAUUCAAGAUUCUCAGCAAGACCACGUCACAAUGCAUCACUUUUGGAAAGUAAUUUAGCAAUUUCCAAUGCCUUAGCUGAUUAAUGGCUUGACCAUGUGACGAUUGGUCCACCUUAUGCACAUGGCAAGAUCAAAGAAAAUAUCACAGCUAGCUCGACGACUACUAGCCAAAAUAACAAGACAAUGACGGCCAGUUACAAACUCUAUACGAAGGAAAUACCGAAAUAUGAAUAUCCCUCCUAAUCACUUUCUUAUAUUAUCAUUAUUUUGUACAUGUAACAGAACACGUUCUCUCUUGUAAUGAAGUCAAGAAAACGGUUUUAGUUUUUAUAUCAAUAAUGGAAUCCAAAAUCUUUCACAGCUUGCUUCUCCUUUGGACGCUUGAAAGACUUUCUUACCUGGCUAAAACUGUGAAAAUUGUUCAAACUAAUUUGAUUGAUAACUUUCUGACACUAUAUUGUAUAUGAAGGCUGCAUUUAAAUGUGAAAUAAAAAUGAGUGCUUAUAUUAAAAAACAAUCAGUCUCAUUGCGUCCUCUUUCAUUGACAUAGGCAAUUUUGCGGUCAACUCGAGGAGUUGUUUGAUUUUAUGUUUCAAAUUAAGUACCAUAGCAUUACUACUUCUAUAAAUAACUCAUUUGAGCUUCGAGCUUGUUAUUUGUAUUUUACGUUUCUGUUUCUCUUCAUAAAGAUUUUUUUUUUUCAUUCUCUUUUUCUUCCACUUUCCCGACUCCCAAACACCACCAGUCUUUGAUUUUCCUAGAGUAUUAACUGUCUGUUUACACGAACAUAGACCGACUGUUUGUCUAAUUACUGACAAGAAACAGCAUACUCUGUCUCGGGGUCUCAUCGUUUAUUGACAUGUCACUUGUGAACGGGCUAAUUAAAGGGCGUUCCUUCCUUCAAGAAAGAAUGCCAAGAAAGUACCAUCCAUUAGACACGUUAAGAAUUAUUUAACAUUAAAAAUGAUAAUAAUCAUAAUAAUCGGUUUAGUGUUACCCCGUUAUUAGGUAAUGACUGUCCGAUUGUCUUCGCUUUCAUUGACUUCGCAACUGUGAAUUCUAAGCCGGGUUAAGGAUUGACAAAAUGUUAUAACCCAUAAACACUACAACAAACAGUUAUAUCACCGACGAAAUAUUUCCGAGGGCGUAAAAUACCUUUGAUAAUAAGUACUUUUUUCUAAGGUGUAAGAUGGCCGUCGGAUAAGGAUGAAAAUAUGAUCAAUAUUUCCGAGGGCAAUUUGCCCUUGGUGAUAAUGAAUACUUCGUCGAAAAUGCCUGCUAGACUUAACUAGAAGCACCCCAGAAUUUACACACUUCGGGCCCGGCCUUUGGAGUAGAGUACUAAAACCACAAGCCCGCAGCCAUAACUUCCACUAAUUGUUUUUUUUAAGAGUAGCGUACUUGGAAAUUUUUUUUCUUGUAAAUUUAAUUACUCUUGGUAAAAUUAAAAACCUAAAAGAAUGAAAUACAAAUAAAAAGCUAAGAAAAUACAGAAGAAACGAAAAAAUAAACAAAAGGAAAAAAAUUAAAACAGAAGGGAAAGUUCAAAAGAAAACGAAAAAGAACAAAGUUAAAGAGAACGAAUAAGAAAGAAAAAGAAGGGGAAAGUUCUUCAAUCAUUGCAGCGCAAGCACUCACAUCUCUCACUUUUCAAUUUCUCAUUGUCUAUUGCUCGCCCAAUCGCUUUGGUAAUUAUUUCACUGUUGCUUUCUCUAUUUGCGCUAGAUUUCAUCUUUUUUUUUUCCUUCAAUUAACUUAGGGUUAGGUUAUAGUUUCCAUCAUUGAUGAUGAGUCUGAAGGCUAAUUAUUUCUCUUAAGUUUGUAAUUGUUACCAUCUCUUGCAUAAUCGCUCACUCUAUGCUUCUAAUUUUGUUUUUAAUUUGUUUUUGCUGCUUCCGAUUUUGUUUUAGGCCAAAUGGUAGCUUCCUAUAAGUUCGGUGAAGCUAUUGCAUUUUUUUUUUUUUAAUUUUUAUUUUGGAGCCCUUACUUGUGAUGCUAAUUAUUUAGAAUUCAUUGUUUGUUAUCUGAUUUGGAUUAAUUUUAAUGAUCUUUUUGCUGGAUUUCAUUAAUUUUUUUUUCCAUUUUUAAUGUUAUGUGAUGCUAAGUAUGGACUCUAAAGGAUGUUGAUAUUUUUUAAUUUUGAGGAGUUGUAGGGAGAUGAAGUGAAAUAAACAUUUAGGGGGUCAUGUGUAUAUAGAAUUGUUUGAUAGAGCUAACAUGACUAAAAAAUGUAAGUUAAUGCUAUACUAAAGCGAUGGUUAACUUUGUACUUUGAAUUUUGCAGCAUGAAUUUAGUAUAUUGGUAUUUUCAUUUUAUGUGUACUAAAAAACUAAAAAGGAAGAUAAAAAUAGAUGAGUUACCAGGGAGAUAAAAUUCAAUCUGCGGUGAACUAGUUGUAUUUCUUUUUCUCCUUUUUUUUUUUUUUUGCCCCACUUUCUAUGCAUCCUCAUUUUAAAUAGUUAGUAUUGCUGGUAUUGGUUUUAUCAUAAUCAUAACUUGUGAGAUGAAUUUUGUGCUUAAUUUUUUUUUUGUUUUGUUGAAAGGGUGUAUAAAAUUUAAUAGUAAUAUCAAGAACAAGUUUCUUAAGCUUUGAACUGAAUAUAUAUUAAGCUUUUAAACUUUUCCUGGCUUGCUGCAAUGAUUUCUUUUCUAAGCUUUUCCUUCCUUGUUAAAGCACUUAUUCACAUGUUUCAGGCUUUGAUUGUUGUACUACUAUAUGAAGUAGCUCUAUGCUUUGUAGGGGAUGCCUUCUUGAUGAUAUUCUGCAGGUUAGAAUCUGAUUCUCUAAAAAUUCUUAUACAUGUAGAGAACAGGAGCUUAAAGAUGUCGUAGAACUUCAUGUAAAAAUUCGUUUUUCAGAUUGGAUGUCAGAGCUGAGGAGGGGAAUUUUUAAGAAGUAUCCAACUGUUGGAGAGCAUUAUGCACAUGCUCCUGAGAAUGUGCCUCCAAGAAUAUUGAGACAAAUGGUUGACAAAUGGAUGGAUGAGGGGUGGAAGGUACCAAUAAUGACUAUUAGCAUAAUAUUUUUCUGUCCUUUUCUUUCCUAAGCUUUGCUGUUAUUUUAAUUCAUCAGUGAAUUAUAGUUGCUAGAAUCAUUAUAGAAAUAGGAACUGAUAAAUCUUAUCCAUGUGCUUUGUACAUGAGUUGUUCUUGGCGGGUUUAGAAUAACCAAGUUGAUUUUAUGUUUUUUUUUAACUUAUAUAUAGAAAACAAGCACAACAAACAAGAGGAACCGAACCAAGUCCAAACUUAUUCACACUAUAUAUUCCUAUAUUUAUUUUUUUUUUGGCAUGAUUUCAUUACUAUAUGCACUCAGACAAAUGUAUGUAUUUAUUAUAGGAAACAAUGGAAUCAAUAUGAUCAACUGUUAUAGAUCAAGGCUUGUCAGUUGAUGAAUGGAAAAUAUUUCGAGAAGUAACAGGAGAACCAGCACAUGGUCGUGUUGUUGGUUGGAGAGCCGGCAUCAAAGGCAAGGAUGUGUAUGGUUCUCCAGGUCAAGGAGGUAACAAGCAUCAAUGUACUAAUUUGGAAGUGAAAGUAAAAGACUUAGAGAAGAAGUCAAGAAGUUGAAAAGACUGAUAAAGCUCGUUCUUGGAAAAUCCGCACAAGAAUCAUCUCAAAAGGUAUAGGUUGUUUAUUUCAUUUUAUUAAUAGAUUAAGUGAAUGAGUAUGUUCUAUGUUUUGAGUUCUCAUGGAAAAUGAUUGGUGACUUGUCAUUGCUCUGUUAGUUAAUGAACUGAAGUGAUUAUGGACAAGCUUAUAAUAUAGGUGGAUGAUUGAAUAAUUAUUAGAUUUUUUUUUUUUGAAACAGAGACUGCAUUUAUAUAGAGUUUUUUUUUAUUGCACAAUUUUUCUCAUUAGUCUCAGCUUCUUUAUUAUAUUUUAUACCAGUUUUUGUUUUGGUAAUAAUAGUGCUUAAAAUUUUUUCUUUUACCUAGGAUAUUGUUUUGACGGAAGAAGAUGACAGGUAUGAGGAUGAUGAAGUUGAGCCAAACGAUUUAGAAAUUGAAGAAGUUGCUUUAGAGGAUGAUUGAACACAUUCAAGAUAUGAUGAUAUCAUUUUGUAUAUACAUUUGGUAUUUUUUUGCAUAAAAGAUACGAUAAAAUUGAAUUUUUUGUUGUAUUCUUGAAUGAUGAAUGUGAUUUUAUGAAUUUUUAAAAUUAAUGAAGUUACAUUUAGUAAUUUCGAAUAUUAUUAUUACUUUUGUUACAUCACUUCUCUAAUAUAGAUAUUUCAACAAUAAAAAUAAAAAAAUUAAUGAAAUAUUAUUAUUAAAUAAAAUAAAGGGGGCCAUUAAACAACAAAAUAAGUUUAUUUUCGACGGUAUAUCUUUUAUUUCCGAGGGCAAGUUGCAGAUGAAAAUAAAAAUAACCAGGUUUAUUUAUCUUUUUUCCGAGGGCAUUUAAUUCCAUUUCCGACGGCAAUGCGCUCGGAAAUAAUUUUUUUCUCUGACGACUCGUCGGAAAUUCGACAUUUCCGAUAAGACUUAAUACGGCGACGGUCGACGGCAUACCACGCUCGAAAAUGAGUUUUUCUAAGGGUUUUUGUGUAUUUCCGACUCCGAGGGUAUUUGCCCUUGGAAAUGACCCAUUUUCUUGUAGUGAAAGCACAGAUAAUUAAUCAAUGGGCCACUGAUUUCUUCUUUCAUAAAAGAGAACUUUUCCAGGGAGAUUGGAAUAAAAGGCUAAUUCUUGGUAAAGAUCAGAAAGUUCUCAAAUAAAAAUUCGGCUUUGUGGAAAUUAAAUUAAAAGCAAUUAAGCAUUAUAAAUUACUUAACAGCUUAAUCGAGUUUGGUUUUGAAAAAUAUAUCUUUAAAUCUCUUGUAAUUAAAGAUAAUUAUCAUAUUACCGUCUCAAAUGGACCGAUUUCAAUCAAAUGAAAUCUAGAAAAUUGAGCAGCUCAUUGAUGUAUUUGGUGGAAUUGUGACUUGUGUCAGAGUCUUCGUUUUAGAAGAGUGCACAGCAGCUGCCAGGUCCACUUGGCAGUUGGCACGCCAAAAUUUUUCUGUUGACCAAUAAUUUUGAAAGGGAUAUUAUUAAUUCACUAUCAAAUAUUUUCGAACACAUCACUUUACUAUCAAAAUUUUUUGACAAUAAUUUUUUGUCAUUUAAUAUUUCAAUUUUUAUCAUUUUAUCAUUAAAAAAAUAGUAAAUACAUGCUUAGCGUAAGUUAUCCAUAAAAAUGGUUGUUGAAUUGUCUUGUUUCUCAUUUGGUUUAAUUUUCAUAAAUUCGACUCACACAAUUCAAUUAUGAGUGAAGAGUUUUUUUGGGAAAAAUCUGGUCUUCCAUGUACUAGAAUCAGGUCUGUUUGAUUUUAUUAUUUUUCUUUUGUUUGAAAUAUACGUGGAAAAUGUUGAACACUUUGUAGGAUUUAGAAGAAUUUGAAAGUUUGAAUGCAUAUAGUUUACUAUCGAUCAGCUAGUGCAUAUUCUGUAUUUUAUGAAAUCAAAGCUGGUUGAUUGAGAAAUGGACCUUAUUACAUGUCAUAAGAUUUUACAGUGCUUUCUAAUGGAGCAAAAUAAAAUGAUUCUUACCUGCACAGAAAAUUAGAAACGAAAAGGAGGGUUACUGAUCCACAGAGUUGUUAUUUACGAGAAGCACAUAGAUAUUACACUUAAUUUAUUAUCCAUCUGUAUUGUUUGGAUGACACUGAAGUAUUACCUAAAUUAGCCUUUCAAAACUUCUUUUUCAAAAAUCUAUGGUUGUGAUGCGUCUCUAUAAACUCACUCGUACAAAUUCUGUCUAAUGCCAAUUGUUUUAAACCCUGUUCUGAACAGAGCAUGAAAGGAUAUGUUCACUUAUCUAAUUAUGUUUUUUAUGCCUUCACUUCACUUGAUUCACCUUGUCCCUCUUUUAAAACAGCUGUAUAUGCUGGAGUGCCAAAUCCAUCACAAGGAUCAUAUUAUAUCCUACGGAAGGAGCACAGUUCAUUGGCUGCACUCAGUUUACAGAGUAUUUCGGGAUUCAAGACUGUAGGUUGUUGCGGAUGCAACUUGCAAGGCUGUUGCUGUGUGACUGUAUGCCACGCUGGCAAGUGUGCUCUGACAGAUUGUGGAGAUGGCACCAAAGAUUGUAAACUAAUUAGUACUGAAAAAUCAUAUUUGCACAUAAAAUUGCACAAAAUAAAUAGAUUGAGAAAAGUUGUACAAAGAAAUAAGAUUAAUAAAGUAAAUAAAUUUAUCUUUUAACAAAAUAUUUCUAGUCUUUUGGCGUUUUUGUGUAUUUUUGUGUAAGUGCAAAUAGCAUUACUCAUUAGUGAUUAACCUAGAGUGUUCUGAUUUCUUCUAAUAAGUAGCUCGUUUUAGCCUAGGACCUGUAAUUAUGUUUUACCUUUCUGUUACUUUCUCUUAAAUAUUAUCUCAGUUCUUUUCUUCUUUUCUUUCACUUUCUCUUCCAUUUUCCUGACUCCCAAACACCACCAAUCCUUGAUUUUCUAGAGUAUCAGCUAUCUAUUUCUACAAACACAAAACUGUUAUUUUUUUUUUUUUUUGAAGUCUGUUAUACACAGAUAUUACUGACAUUACAUCAGACAUUACAAUUAAUAUUUACAAUCAUACUAUAUAACUGGGAUUACCAUCAUACAUUGACACACUGAAGUAUAUGCUCAGAUAUUUUAAACCCUCUCUAAUAUUCGAGGGAUGCCUAUCCACUCACAUUUCGUGAGAGAGAGACUGUCUCCACUCAAUUAAUUGAUAAUUGAGGAAGAACUGAAACUAACCUCCAUAAUGCUUUUAUAGAGGCUCGAACCCUUACACUCAACAUUGUAAGUGCAAGGCUUCUCCCAUUGGACCAAAGGCCCAUUAGUACAAAAAAACAAAACUGCUAUUUACUUUCAAGAAAUAACAUAUUCUGUGGUUUAUUGGCUUAUGCCUCGUGAAUGGGGCUAAUGUUGGUCUAACUACUCCCGUGAAACAACGUACUCUGUGGCUUAUUGUCUCCUCUUCCAUUGACUCUGCCAAUUCACGACUUUGACACGCACACUAGAUGCUAACUGCCUUCUCCAUUCGACGUGCAAAAACUUUCUUGAGUCGGGUUAAAAUUAAUUGAUCAUUUUAUUUGGUGAUAAUGACUUAGUUGUCAAGUCAUGAGUUUGAUGAUGAAGAGGACGAAAAAUAUUAUUUUAUUAUUUAAAAUAAGACUAUCAAUUAUUUCGAUGGUCAUCUUAUUUUCUAAAAUAACUAAAUGGAAUCUUACAGAAUUAAAGUGCUUGACGUCUUCAUACCUUGCUUGACUUCUUUUUACAGAAUUAUAAAGUGAAAAAGGAAAUUAAGAAAUUAAAUACUUUUCAUGCGAGUGGAGAAGAUUGGGUAGCGAUUACAUUAAAUAAAAGAAAAUUAAUUUAAAAGUACAACACUUUAAUAAUCUCAUUCCCAAUCAUAUCGGUACAAAAAUUCUGUAGAUUUAUUGAAUAACUAUUUAUUUUACUUUGGUAAUUUCUUUCUAAAAGUGAGGUAAACAUUUUUAUUUUCUUUGCAUUCGAGCUUUCUUUCUUUUGCGCUGGCCUUCACUUUUGACCGUAUUUCAUGGGGCACAUUCAAUCUGAAUUUUCUGCAAGUUUGUGGCAGUUUUGUUAAUUACGAACAUUUGUAGGAUUUUAUGUAGAUGAUACAUUUUUCUUUUCUUUUUUUCUUCGGUGAACAAAUUAAAAUUUUAGUUUUUGUCAUCAUGACUAGUGAAAUGAAAAUAGUCCUCAUUUCAAGGAUAUACCGAUUAAUGGGGAACUAAUUUCGUCCUCUUAAAAAAGAAUUAUUUGCAGCGUGGUAAUUCGGAGAUUUCUGUAUUAUAUAGCCAAACCUAAGUGAUGAGAAAAAUGAGAAAUAAUUUGGAGGGAAACAAAAAAACUAAUUCAAGUUAAAGACCAGGAAUUGGUGUUCCUCACAAAAACAAUAAUUCAAGCCUCGCAAUAAUUUUUUUGAUUUAUUUAAAAAAAAGUUGUUUUCCUCACAAAACAUUUCAACGUCUAUUCUCUCGUACAGGGGAAUAUCCUUCACUCUUUGGCGUAUCCCUGGGGCAAUGUAAGUUGACUUUACAUUAAAACAAAAAAUAAUUACAAUCACAUAAUUACAAUUAUCAUCACUGAUUUGUAUAAUUUUCAGGACUAGUAAAUUAUCCCAAUUUUUAAAAAACAUAAUUACAAUUAUCGAUCGAACACCACUAAUUCCAACAAUUCAUCCAAGUUUUUCAACUUUUUAGAUAUUUGAUAUAUGUCAUGUUUUAACUUGGUACGAGAAAAAAAUUAUAGAAUAUUUUUUUUUCAAAUUAGUGGAAUUAUUUUGCGAUAAAACUAUCACAAUCACAUUUAAAAACAUUCUUUAAAUUUUCACUAUUUCUACUGUUAUUCUUUAAACUUUUUUCUGAACAGAGCAUGGAGGGUCGCUUAUCUAAAUAUGUUUUCUGAGCUUUCACUUCACUUGAUUCAUCUUGUCCCUCUUUUAUAGCUUCUAUCUCGUGUGAGCUUAGAACCUGCAACUCGUAUUUUACGUUUCUGUUACUUUCUCUUUCAUUUUCCCGACUCCCAAACACCAUCAGUCCUUGAUGUUAUAGAGUAUUAGCUGUCUAUUUGUACAGACAUAGAGCUACUGUUCCCACUGUAGAUCUUCAGAUGGUUAGCUCACUAUUGUUUGAAUAUUAAAAUUAAUUUGUUAAAUAAAUAAAGAAAACAAGAGACAAUUGCCAUAUAUAUUCCAUAUUAAUUAGUCACCGUCCGAUUGUCUCCACUUCCAUUGACUCUGUUGAUUCAUGCUUUCAUGAAGUGAAACGCUUAACACUCUGUUCUGAUCCGCAGGAGAGGAGGAAAAACAUAAUUUUAUUAUUUCAUUCCUGACACACGCAAAGAGCUUUCUUAAUUGAUGAAUGUGACAUGAAGCUCUAUAAAUAGUUUAAUUUGUAAAAUUGUUAAAAUUUGUUAAAUUUCAUUUAAUUGAUGAAUGUGACAUGAAGCUCUAUAAAUAGUUUAAUUUGUAAAAUUGUUAAAAAUUUAAAUUUCAAGGUAGAUAAAAUGAUUAACUUUUUUCAAUAUUUAGAUAAUUAACAUGUGCCAUGUAACUAUGAAUGAAUGAAUGAAAUUUUUGAAGUGCGAAUCCAUUUACAAGUUACAGACUUGUCUUAUUUCUCAUUUUACUUAAUUUUCAUAAAUUUGACUCACGAUCAAUUAUGAGUGAAGAGUUUGUUGGAAAAAUAUGGUAUUCCAUUUAUUGUAAUCAGAUGAGUGUGAUUUAAUUAUUUUUUCCUUUUGCUUGAUGUCCCGAAAAUUAUGAAUACUUUGUAGGAUGCAGAAGAUUAAAAAUUUUAACGCAUAUCUAUAGUCAAAACUGAGGAAACAGAACAUUAUUGCUUCUAUAAAUAGGUCAUUUCAACUUAAAACUUGUUACUUGUAUUUUAUAUAUUUUUUUUUUAACUUUUUCUUCCAUUUUCCCAAACACCACCAAUCCUUGAUUUUUUUCUUAGAGUAUUAGCUGUCGAUUGUUAUAAACGUAGACAUACUGUUUGUCUAAUUACUAUCAAGAAACAACAUACUCUAUCCUGGGGUCUCUUCGUUUAUUUAAUAUUUAGGUUUAUUAAUAUACUAUAUUAUUAAUUAAAUUAAUUAAUAUUAAUUAAUAAUUUAAAUUAAUUAAAUAAUAAAAGUUAAAUGAUUAUAUUGAAAAUCCAAGUAGUAUUUUAAUGUAAUGAAACCUAAAUCCCACCUCUAUACCACAUUUGUUACACAAUGUAAUUAUAUAAAAAUAAUAUUUUAAUACAAUAUAAUACAAGUAUAAGGCUGUGUAAGGCUGUAAUAUUAAUUAGCCUGUGUAAUAGUAUGCCAUGCUGGCAAGUGUGCUAUAACAGAUUGUCGAGCUGGCACCAAUUAUUUUAAACUAAUAUUAGUAAUUAGUUUAGAGUGUUUCGAUUUAUUCUAUAAAUAGAUCAUUUAAGCUUUGAACCUGUGAACUUGUAACGUGUACUGUACUUUUCUAUUACUUCUAAUAAAGAUUUUCUCUAUUCCUUUUUCUUUCACUUUCUCUUCUGUUUUCCCGACCCUCAAACACCGUCAAUCCUUGAUUUGAACUACUGUUUGUUUGUCUAAUUACUUUCAAGAACAAUACCCUCCAUCCCGCGGUCUCCUCGUUUAUUGACUUGUUACUUAUGAACAGGGCUAAAUAAAGGGCAAAUAAGAUGUUGGGCCAAUGGACCCAACGUCACAGAUCUUGAAUUGAUUGCCUCUUCUUUUCUCUACAAAUCUUUGCUUAAUUUUUAUGUUUCCUCAACUUUUUCCCCCCUUUUGUGCUAAAAUUAUUUUUCUGAUACUUUAUGCAAAAAAUAUGAUGAAAAUGAAUUAGUUUAGAUUAUCAAUAAAUUUUUAUUACAUUCAAGAUAAGGACAACUACUCUUAGAUCACUUUUAUUUAGUUGAAUUAUAGGUAAUAAAAUUGGUUUUAACAAAAUAUGAUUCUUAACCCUUGUAAUUAAAGACUGGUGUUAUUUAGUUUAGUUGUAACACCAUGCAACAGGUCAUCUUGGUGGGUUCAAAUUAAUAUACGAUCAUUCUCAAUAUUUAAUAGUUCGUAAUUAAAAAUUCCAAUAUCACAAUUAGAAUUUACAAACAUGUCAAAGUGAGUUAAAUCAAACCUAUAAAUUUAAGGUUUACUACAAGCUUCUAACAAAUUAAAAUUUAAAAUGAUUAAUUAAAUGCUAGACAAUAUUUAGCUUAUAAAUGUUCCCGACCACAUGAUGAAUGUACUUAAAACAUCCUAAUUGGUCGCUAAUUGAUUGGUUGUUAUUUUUUCAAUUUCUUUUUAUAUAUCUUUGAAGCUUCUAGUUUCAUAACAUGUUAUUUGCAAUUCGUGUAAAUUAUUAUUUUUUAAAUAUUAGAGCAACAACCAGUAUAAAAAUAAAAUGCACUCAUUUAAUGGAAAUUUUUCUAGAUGCUUCAAUGGCAGAAUCUCAUUGGUCUAUAACUCUCAAUAAAUUUUUCUAGAUGAUUCAAGAUUCAAUUUCAAACCAAUGCCGAACAAACAGUAUAAACCUUAAUAAGAUAGUUGAAUAACCAUCUCUUACGUCGGGUGACCGAAUAACCAUCGCUUACGUCGGAAUUUAAACUUAAACAAAGCUACAUCCCACGUGUUCCCCACUUUCUUCAUAUUUCCAAAAAACCCCUACCAGAUCCAGAUAAUCACCUUAACUUUUCUCGUAUAAAUAGAGAAGACGACGACGAUUCCUGCAAAGCCAGGUGAGUCACGUGAACGUUACGGCCAUGGGACAUUGGAAUUGGAUCAAACCACUGGAAUGCACAGCAAAAUUAACCCGAAUAAACUAGGUUGAGUUAAGAAUUACUUUUCUUUUCAUAAUAAAUUAGAUUGAGUUAAUAAUAUUUGCCUGUGUGAAAUGAAUAAUCAGUUUAGUGUCACCCCAUUAUUAAUUUGUGACUGUCCGAUUGUCUCCUUUUUCAUUGACUUUGCAACUGUGACUUCUGAACCGGGUUAAGAGUUGACAAAAAUGUUAAUGUUAAUAUGUUAUAAUUCAUAAAACACGCAUAAUUAAUUAAUGGCCCACCAAUUUCUUCUUCUCAAAAGAGAAUUUUUGCAGGAGAUUGAAAAAAGGCUAAUUCAUGUUAAAUAUCUUAGAUGAGUGUCUAUCACGGAUACAAGUCAAGCCACACGAUUUUUCUUGUUAUACUAUUUGUUGGCACUUGUGAAUCCUUGAAUUAUCAAAUGAAUAGCAACAACACUUCAAUAUCUAUUGUUACACGGAGAGAAAUCCGUUCUCUCUUUGAUGUACUACUUGGCAAUAUACAUUGAUCUUUCACUAAAACAAGCAUUCUCAUAUUGUUGAGAAAAACUCACGUUAAACUAUUCAAUUUAAUCAUUUAUUAAACGGAUAUUUGGUUUGAUUCAUUUUAUUCAUUUAGUAGAAUUAAUAAACGAAUCGAAUCGAAUCCAGAUUCAUUUAUUCUAUUACAAAUCUACAACGAAUUGAAUCGAAUCGAAUCAGAAUUCAUUUACAAUUCGUUUAGAAAAAUAUAAUUGAUAAACAAAAUUAAGCAAAAUAAAAUAUAAAAAAGCCGCAAAUUUAAUACCACUUCCUACACCAUAUUCCUAAUUAGCUAGGGAUAGUCUACCAUGCAAUGGCUGCUGUCUUCAUUAAAUAAAAUAUGUGCUUUUAUACGCCCUCUCAAAGAAUAUCGAUCUCCUCAAGACUUUACAUAUUUGUUUUUGAAUAUAAACACUUGUUCACUUCUACAUAUUUUUUUUUAGCUACAUCCAUAGAAUUGCUCUAGCCUCUACGUUGGACAUAGCUGCUGUCUUAAUUAAAUAAAAUAUGUACUUUCAUACGCCCUCUCAAAGAAUAUCGAUCUCGUGGAGGCUUUACAAGCUUCGGUGGGAUCUUUAGAAAACGUCUCGACGACUCAAAAGACUACACUCCCACUUUCAAAAGUGGCACGAUUUGAACUUAUCCUGCCAACCUUCUAGAAGAGUAGUGAUAAACUUCAAGAUCAUUCUUUUAAUUUUCUCCCUUUUAACAUUUUGGUUUCAGGUAAGGACCAAUCACUUGGACACUUCAAUUUUACUUUUGGACCUUUCUUAUAAUGACAACACCCUCCAUCCCUCGGUCUCUUCGUUUAUUGACUUAUUACUUGUGAACAGGACUAAAUAAAGGGCAAAUAAGAUGUUGGGCCAAUGGACCCAACGUCACAUAUCUUGAAUUGAUUGCCUCUUUUUUUCUCCAUAAAUCUUUACUUAAUUUUUAUGUUUCCUCAACUUCCCCCCCCCCCCCCCCCCUUUUGAUGAAUUAUUUUUCUGAUACUUUAUACAAAAAAUAUGAUGAAAAUGAAUUAGUUUAGAAUAUCAAUAAAUUUUUAUUACAUUCAAGAUAAGGACAACUACUCUUAGCUCACUUUUAUGAAAUUCGUUACUAGAAAUUUGUAUAAAAGUCGUGAGAAUAGAAAUUUUGGUAAAACAAAAGUCGCGGGCUUAUUUAGAAAAAAGAAAAAAUUACAUUCUAUUUUCCAAUUACUAAGGUCAGCCUUAACACAUGCCGGUCUUUUUCUCCUCUACUUUCUAGAAAUUUUGGUUUCACUAUAAAAACUCGGUAUAUAACAAACUUAUGAGUGUUCUUGCAUUACCAAUCCAACUAAGCACACGCUUACAAUCUAAAAUACUCUCAUCUCAUGGAAAGAGUUCAUUCUCUCAGGAUGAUGAGCAUAUUUCUCCUACUCCAUUGUUUGAUUAUUAUUUCCUUAUUUAUCGCAGCAACAACAGCCAACACAAGUUCUAAUAUCACAGACCGAGAUGCUCUGUUAGCCCUGAAAGCUCACAUAACUCAUGAUCCGACCAAUUUCUUGGCCAAGAAUUGGAACACAAGUACUCCUGUCUGUAAUUGGACAGGCGUCGCUUGUGACAUCCAUAGCCAUAGAGUCACAGUCUUGAAUAUUUCAAGCUUAAAUCUCAGAGGCACCAUCCCAUCUCAACUUGGGAAUCUUUCUUCUCUGCAAUCACUCAAUCUCAGUUGUAACCGACUUUCUGGUUCCAUUCCCUCCGCCAUCUUCACCAUAUACACACUGAAAAAUGUUAGUCUCGGUAAAAAUCAGCUCUCUGGGCAAAUUCCUACAAAUAUUUGUAGUAAUCUUCCUUUUCUUGAAUUUCUUUCUUUGUCCCUAAACAUGUUCCAUGGCGGAAUACCGUCCACUCUAUCAAAUUGCACAUAUUUAAGAAUCUUAAGUUUGGCAUACAAUGAUUUCUCGGGAGCCGUACCUAGAGAAAUCGGUAACUUGACCAAACUUAAGGUAUUAUAUAUUGGCGCGAAUAGACUCCAAGGUGCGUAUGGUCAUGGAGUUUAAUUAUAAACAUUGUUCCAUGAGUUGUAAUAUGAAUAAUGUUCCAUAAUACACUUCUGAGCCCGAAAUCCUUUCCUUUCCUCCUUGACUCUCCUAUCGUCGAGCUAAGUGACUCUGUCAUGCCGCUUCAAGUAAUACAAACGUUGAUUAAUUUGCAGGAGAAAUUCCUCGAGAGUUUGGCAAUCUUACCGAAUUGGAGCAGUUUUCGUUACCAACAAACAAUCUCCAAGGUAUGAUUUUAAACUUUUUGCAAUUUUAUUCUAGCUCUGCUUGCUUCUGUAUUCAUUCGUUUGUUCAUUAAUUAUGCUAUGAUUUAUUGUUUUUCUUUCAAAUAGAGAUAAAGCUCCAUGUCUCCCCUCACUCAUUUCGUUCUUUGAUUUAUGCAGAUAAAAAUAAAAAAAAAUGUUUUGUAAUUUUCUUUUGUCAUAUUGCCACUUCCCUUUUAAAGCUCCCAAUUAAGUCGAUGAAAAUGAAUGAUGCUUCAUUCGUAUUCUUGUCAGCCUAAUUCUUAUAUAAUUGAAGAGUAAAUUGUUAUUAUGAUAUUCGUCAGCCAAUAAAUUCUUUUUUUUUUCUCAAAAUAUGAGUGAUCAAAUUGUUUGCGCAUAUAUAAUUUUACUUAAUUUGCAGGAGGUAUUCCACAGGAAUUGGGGAAUCUUGCAAAAUUGGAGAUUUUACAGCUGUUCCAGAAUAACUUGACCGGUAACCAUCUUUACUAUAUAUAUAUGAGACAUCUUCCGCUUCUUAAUUAAAAGAUUUCAAGUCUCUCAUUAUAAAUUCUCAUAUGAGGAUAUGUCAUUACUACAAUCUAACAUUAUUCCCUUUUUUAUUAGAAAUUAGUUUGUGUUAAUUCAAAAUUUUGUAACAUUUAAAAAAAAAUUAAAAACACGUGGAAUAAAUCAUCAAUCUUUCUUCUUUAUUGAAUUUGGAUUUCUCAAAAAUUAUCUUGACAAGUAUACUUCACUAAUGAUAUGCAUGUGUGACAACUUCAUAAAAUAUUUUACAUGGAGUCACCAAUUAUCUUUAAAUAAUUGGAGAUGCCAUCAGUGAUACAUAAUUUCUUAACAAGCACCAUAUCAAAAGAAAUCAACAAUUUUAUUAAUCUUCAAGAGUUGCAUCUUCACUGCAAUUAUGACAUAAAUUUUUAGUCAUCAAUCGCAUAAUAUUUUAUGUUAACGGAUGAUGUUCAGUCUUGGAAUUUAUAAUACCUUGAAGGUUAGUAGCUUUGAAAAUAAGAACUGUUCAUUUGCUAAAAAGUUAACUUAGUAUUUAAGUUUUUCAAUUGAAAAUUUUGAAAAAAGUCUUGAGAACUGCCCUCCUUAGUAUUUCAGCUGAUAAAUAUGAAAAAUAGGCUAGAAGAAAUAUUGUUGUGUGUGCUUAUUCUACUUGGGCUUUGGGCUUGAUUACAAGGUCGAGCCUUGAUUACAAGGUCGAGCACUUACACCUGUCAUAAUAAUAGGCUUUUACUGUCACCACACGUUUAAUAAUUUCUUAACCUUCCGAAUUAAGUUAUAGCAAUUUAUAUAUAAAUAACUAAAGCAUACUAAUGCUAGCACAAAGUACUCAUGACUUAGGCUUGUUGUGUUACCUAUUACACACGGUCGAACACUUACAUCUAUUAGAAUAACAAUAGCAUCCGCGGAUCGACUAUCAGUGAUCAAAUUGUUUGCACAUAUGUAAUUUGCAGGACCAAUUCCACGGGAGUUGGGAAAUAUUACAGGAUUGGGGAUCUUAGCGCUGUCUGAUAAUUUUUUAACCGGUAUCAUUCCUUCAUCUAUCUACGAAUUGCUUUUCUCUAUUAAAUUUGGAACUGUCAUUUAAUAACUUAACAGGUAACUUCCCUUACAAAAUGUCUGUGUGACAUGUUUUGCUUCUAAAUUAAAAUAUUUCGCGUCUCUCAUUAUAAAUUCUCAUAGGCGGAUGUAUUGUUACUACUAUUUAACAUUAUCUCAUUUUUUUAUUAGAAAUUAAUCUGUGUUUAUGCAAAAAAAUUUAGCAUCUAAAAAAAGUAUAAAAACACGUGGAAUAAAUCGAAAAUCUUUCUUCAUUACUGAAUUCGGAUUUCUCAAAAAUUAUCAUGAGAACUUCAUAAAAUAUUUUACAUGGAAUCAGUAAUUAUCUUUAAAUAGUUGGAGAUGCCAUCACUAAUAAAUAGUUUCUUAAAAAGCAUCAUACUAAAAGAAUUCAAUAAUUUUAAUAAUCUUAAAGGGUUACAUCUUCACUGCAAUUAUGACAUAAUUUUUUAUCUAAAUAUAUUUUUAGUCAUCAAUCGCAUAAUAUUUUAUCUUGACGGAUGAUGUUCAAUCUUGGAAUUUAAAAUAUCUUGAAGGUUAGUAGCUAUGAAAAUUAGAAAAUUUUUAUUUGCUAAAAAAUUAACUUAGUAUUUAAGCUUUUCAAUUGGAAAAUUUGAAAUAAAUGUUGAGAACUGGCCCUCCUUAGUAUUUCAGCGGAUAAAUAUGGAAAAUAGGCUAGAAAAAAUUAUUUUACUGAAAUAAUAGUUAAAAAUAGAGGAGAAGUACAGUACUCAUGACUUAGGCUUGCUGUGUACUUUUUUUUACUUGGGGUUCGGGCUUGAUUACACACGGUCGAAUACUUACACAACUCCCCCCACAUAGGGUUUUACUUUCAUCCCACAUUUGAUAAUUUCUUAACCUUCCCAAUUAGAUUAUAGCAAUUUAUAAAUAAAUAAAUAACUAAAGCAUACUAAAGCUAGCAUUGAUGGAUGGAUGAGUGGUGUCAAAAGUGUAUCUGUUUUUAUGUAUUAUUGUUCCCUGAUACAAAUCUAAAUAAUGGAAAAUAUAAAUUUAAUACUUUAUUUAAUACUCUGUUAACAUUUUAUCUAUAUAUAAUAAUUAAACUGAAACUCGUACUUAAAAAAAUUUUGGUUACGCAUAUUCAUUUCAUGAUAAAAAAAUGUCUAUUUACACUAAUUUACCAUUAUCAAUAAAAUGCUUUGAGACAAAUAAUCUAAUUUAUAUUAGUAUAUUUAAAAUACUUGCAUUUAUUAUAUUUUGAAAAAAAACUAUUUGCAAUUAUUUUAAACCUUUGAAUUCAAAUUUUCUUAGUUAUUAAAGUCAAAGGGUAUAAAUGUAUAAUAGUCAAAAACAGAUUUGUAUGAUCAUUUUUCAAUGUAUAAAUUUUCUUAGUUAGUAGGAAAUUAAAAAUUGUUGAUUUACUCAUAAAUGAAUUUAGUGUUUAGCAUUUCAAUUUUGGAAAACUUGAACUAAAUGUUGAUAACUUCGAAUCCAUCGAGCCAAGUUUCGCUUCCUUGACACACAGACCCAUUCGAAUUGAGUUUCCAAGUGCUUAGAAAAAGCAUUUCUUUUCCAUGUCACUAUAAUUUAUUCACAAAAGAGUUGAUUAGCGUCGAUGUUGCUGCAGAGUCUGAGACCAUGUUAGUAGGAGAAAUUUGAAAAGAAAUUAUUUUACUAAAUUAACUUAUUUUAUCUUGCUGUAACUGAAAUACUACCUUUUUUUUUUUUUUGUUAUCACUGGGGCUUGAUUUACUUUAAUAAUAGCAGCCACAAGCUUAGGCUUUUUUACUUUUCACCACACAAUUUGAUCUUUUAAUUCGUUUUAACCACAUAAUCUAUCUAUCUCACACCUAUUGCUUACUUAAAUCGCAUACAUAUUUUACCUACUAAUUUUUACAAACAUUAGUGAAAUAUAUUUUAUUACAUUUCGCUUGUAACUGCUCUAGUUGUGCACUAUUAAUACUUAACCCUCCCUUUUAAUUUACCGUGCAAUCUAUCAACAACUUAAAUUACAUAUAUAUUUUAUCUAUAUUUUUCCCGAAAAAAAAUAUAAAAAUAACAGAAAAAGAAUAUGUGUAGCAAUUUGUAUGGAACUAACAAAGCAUUAACGGUGUGUAGCCUUUCAAUACUUCAUGAGUGGCUUUUCUUGUGUGUUAGUACUAGUAAUAAUUGUGUAGUGUAUAAAUGACCUUUUAUUAUUAAAGCGCGUCCGUUGUUAGAUAUUAUUUAUUAUUUGAAAAAUAAUCUGAAUAUAAUUCUUUCAAAAUACAGGGGAGAUACCAACUGAAAUCAGUAAUCUCCGUAAUCUGGAGGAGUUGGACCUUGCUCGAAACAAAUUAGUUGGUAUUGUCCCAGCUGCAAUCUUCAAUGUGUCAACACUCCAGCAUCUUGGUCUUCAAGAUAAUUCUCUCUUGGGAUGUCUUUCGUCCAACGGAGACGUCCGACUUCCAAAUCUUGAAGGGCUUUAUUUGUCGGGUAAUAAUUUCAGUGGCACAAUUCCUAGAUUCAUCUUUAAUGCUUCUAAGCUCUUUAAGCUAUCGUUGCAAAGGAACUCAUUCUUUGGUUUUAUUCCCAACACAUUUGGCAACUUAAGAAACCUUAAGUGGCUGUCUUUAUAUGAUAAUUAUUUGACAUCUUCAACUCCAGAAUUGAGCUUUCUAUCCUCGUUGUCAAAUUCCAAGUCUUUAACAUUUAUUGACUUAUCAAAUAAUCCACUAGAUAGCGUUCUUCCAAAGACAUUUGUCGGUAAUGUUUCUCAUUCUUUGGAAUUCUUUGUCAUGUCGUAUUGUAACAUUAGUGGCGUCAUCCCUGAAGAGAUCACCAACUUGACCAAAUUGACAACCAUUAUUUUAGGAGGCAAUAAAUUGAAUGGAUCAAUUCCGAUUACUCUCAGCAAGUUACAAAAGCUUCAAUAUUUGGGUCUUGACGAUAACAAAUUAGAAGGAUCAAUCCCAGACAGUAUUUGUCGUUUAGCUGAACUGUAUGAUUUGGAGUUGGGUGGUAAUAAGCUAUCUGGAUCAAUCCCUGCAUGCUUCAGUAAUCUGGCUUCUCUGAGGACACUGUCGUUGGAUUCCAAUGAGUUAACUUAUAUUCCCUUAACUUUUUGGAACCUUAAGGAUAUCUUGUACCUCAACUUUUCAUCAAAUUUUUUGAUUGGUCCACUCCCAUUAGAGGUUGGAAAUUUGAAGGUUUUAGUUGGAAUUGAUUUUUCGAUGAAUAAUUUUUCAGGCGUUAUCCCAACAGAAAUUGGAGGCCUACAAAAUCUAGAAUAUCUCUUCUUAGGAUAUAACAGAUUGCAAGGAUCGAUUCCUGAUUCAUUCGGUGAUUUGAUAAGCUUGAAAUCAUUGAAUUUGUCUAAUAAUAAUCUCUCUGGGGCUAUUCCUGCAUCUUUAGAGAAACUCUUAUAUCUUGAAGAUCUAAAUCUUUCUUUCAACAAACUAGAAGGAGAAAUUCCUAGGGGAGGGUCUUUUGGAAACUUCUCAGCUGAAUCAUUUGAGGGAAAUGAAUUAUUAUGUGGUUCACCCAAUUUACAAGUCCCGCCAUGUAAAACUAGCAUCCACCACACAUCAUCAAAAAAUUCUCUUCUCCUGGGGAUCGUCUUGCCAUUGAGUACUACAUUUAUGAUAGUAGUCAUUUUGUUGAUCCUAAGAUAUCGACAGAGAGGAAAACGACCAUCGAAUGAUGCUAAUAUACCACUAGUAGCAACAUGGAGAAUGUUUUCAUACCUAGAACUCUGUCAAGCAACAGACGAAUUCAGUGAAAAUAAUCUAAUUGGCAAAGGUGGUUUUGGCUCUGUUUACAAAGCAAGACUUGGGGACGGGAUGGAGGUUGCAGUGAAGGUUUUCAAUUUGCAAUGUGGAAGAGCAUUUAAGAGUUUCGAUAUUGAAUGUGAAAUGAUGAAAAGUAUUCGCCAUCGAAACCUUAUCAAAGUUAUUAGCAGUUGUUCAAAUGAAGAGUUUAAAGCGUUGGUAUUAGAAUACAUGCCUCAUGGAAGUUUGGAGAAGUAUUUGUAUUCAAGUAACUGCAUUUUGGAUAUUUUUCAAAGAUUGAACAUAAUGAUAGAUGUUGCAUCAGCUUUGGAAUAUCUGCACUUUGGUCAUUCAGCUCCAAUAAUUCACUGUGACUUAAAGCCCAGCAAUGUAUUGUUAGACGAUAAUAUGGUUGCUCAUUUGAGUGAUUUUAGCAUCGCAAAAUUGCUAACAGGAGAAGAUCAAUCUAUGACUCAUACACAAACACUUGCAACAAUAGGCUAUAUGGCACCAGGUUUGUUUAAUAUAAGUUAUUUAUAUUUCAUGAUCUUGAUUAGAUGAGGAAAUUAUUAUUAAUGAUAUAUCUUACUAUGUAAUUGUUGCAAUUCAUAGAGUAUGGAAGAGAAGGACGAGUAUCCGCAAAUGGAGAUGUUUAUAGCUUUGGGAUUAUGUUAAUGGAAACAUUUACUGGGAAGAAACCCACAGAUGAAAUGUUUAAUGGAGAAAUGACAUUAAAGCAUUGGGUUAAUGAUUGGCUACCCAUUUCCACUAUGGAAGUUGUUGAUGCUAAUUUGCUAAGUCAGGAGGACAUACAUUUUGUUGCAAAAGAGCAAUGUGUGUCAUUUGUCUUCAAUUUAGCUAUGAAGUGCACUGUGGAAUCCCCUGAGCAAAGAAUCAAUGCAAAAGAAAUUGUAGCAAAACUCUUAAAAAUUAGAGACUCAUUACUUAGAAAUGUUGGAGGCAGAUGUAUAAGACAAUCAAAUUUAAAUUGAUUCUGCCCCUCCUUCAUUGCUUGCUAUCCUUUUCAGAGACUUGAACAGUUAUCCUCCAUAGAAGUUUUGCUGAUAUGUUUUGUUAUUGCUCUUGCUCAUGUUUAUUUCUCUCUUUCUUUAAUUUGCAUGCGUGCAUUUUAGUUCUCUUCCAUGUUUGUGUUGGUUUAUAUGUAGUUUGUUUUUUGGGAUAUGGUUUAUUAUGUCCUCACCCUAAUUAGAUGUAUCCUUUUGAUUUUUAUCAAUAAAGCUUCGCUAGUACUAUCGAGGUUAAUCGAAAGAAAAUUUUCAAUUGAUUUUCUUUUCUUUGACUAAUAAUGGAAAUUCUAAUCUUUAUAGUGAAUAACUUCAAUAAUAGAGUGUAAGAGUAUUAGUAGUUGUGGUUGUUUUCUGAACUUGGAGUUAGAGUAGUUUAACAGCAACAAAUAGGUCUCUUGUAUUAUAGGCAAAAUUCUUUUCAUUAAUCUUAUUUGUCUACAUUUUCUCCUAUUUUCUUCUUUAAUCUUCGCUCAAGGUUUCAUGCUUCCAUUUUGACAUGUGAGAUUGUUUGUCAUCCAUUUGCUAAAAUGGAUAUGAGAGGAGCUUUCAAUCAUUACCUCCACCAAAAUCCUUACAAUGCAACUUUUAAAUUUAUUUUUUAAAAUACGUUCAGUUUAAUUUAUAAAAAAUAAAUCCAUUUGUUAAAAUUAAUCUUUUUCUCAUAGAUUUCAACCUAAAAAAUAUAUUUCUUUUAAGUUUUUAUUUUAAAAUACAUACAAGUUCUAAACUAUUAAAUUAUUUUUUUCUUAUUAUAUAGUUUAUAUUUCCAUAACUCUAAACUCCUAUAAUUUUUAAAAAAUAUAUUUUUAAUUUAAAAUAUGAAUAUAAAAUAUAGAAUGGAGUGGGUAUACAAAGUUUUGUUAAAAGAAUAAUUCAUUUAAGUAUUUAGCUGAAUUUUAAUUUAAAAUAAGAAAUAAAUUAAUUUAUUUUUUAUUAGUUAAGUAAUUUUUAAUUGAAAAGAGCUUAUAUUAUGGACAUAUGAUUAAAAUUAUCAUGAAUUAAACAUUUUCAUAUAAAUACUAGUGAUAAUUACAGAGAAAGUACGAUGAACCGAGGAAAACUUGAAUAGAAAUACUCCAAUGUAAUUUUACACAUGCAAAUUAUGAACCAGUGAUCUUUAGAGCAUCAUAAAAUUAUUUUAACACAAUUAGUUAGUUUGAAAAAUUGCCAAUAAUGUUUAAAGUGGGAUUGAAAAGAUUAUACUAAAAAUAUAAGACAUGAUAUCAUUUAAGAGCUUACAGAUUAUGAGAAAUAUAUUGAUCUUACAAAUAAUAUAAAAUAUGUCAAUUAGACUGAGUCUAUGCAAUAAAAGUUUCAAAUUAAAAAAUAAACCUUUAUUUUCUUUUAAUCAUUAAUGUGAUCUUAAUUAUUAAAGUCAUUCAAUGUCCAUUACUUAUUUAUUUUUUUAAUUAUUUAAAUGACAUUGAAAACUCUACUCAAUAUUAAUUCAUUCUAGUGUUUUGUUUUAAAGUAAUCGGAAACUACAAAUGAAACAAAUGCUUGAAAUCACAAAUGGCCUAAAAUUAGAUUUUUAUUUCUUAAUGUUGUAGUGACUUUGAUCUUGAUAUUGAAAAUUUAUUUGUAACUUAUAUAAAGGCCUCGAUUUUAUCAUAAUUGAUUAGUAAGGCUAUGUACGGGAGCAUGGAUAAAUUUUGAGAUUGGAUUAUAUUUUUGGAACUAAAAAAUUAAUUUCAUCCAAUGUUAUGUAUAGCUGUUGGGACUAGCAAAUUAGUCUAAAAUUAUUGAAAUUAUUAGUCUUUUAAAUUAUAAUUUUUUCGUUCCCACUUUAAAAACAAAAAAUAUUUUGGUGGAAAACUGUACAAUGAUUAAAAACAAAAAAUUAUCAUUUUCCAAUGUUUACAAAGAAAACAAGAGACAUUUUAUUUCACUUUUACGCUCGGGCCUCACUAUCUUAACUUUUGUAACAUAGUGUAAUAAAUUACGUGGGCCCAUUUAAUAAAGAAAUAAUCUAAUAAAUAAACUAAUAUAACAAAAUUUAAAAAUAAUAGCAAGAGUUUAUUCCAUACCUUGGAGCUUAACUACUUAAUAGAUUACCCAAAUAGUUUUAAAUAAAAAGUAAUAUCAUAUAAUUAUUAUACUAAAUUAUUACAUUGUUCGACCAAUAUGCAGUUAUUUAAAAAUUAUUACAAAUUUUCAUAUAUUAAUGAAAAUAUUUCAAUAAUAAAGUUACUUCUUGACAGCUAAUAUAAAUAAAUAUAUGAUAAUUAUGAAAUAAUUUAAAAUUUUCUCAAUUAAUAUUAUCUUAUAACUACAAUUUAUUUACAUAAUUAAAAGUUUUUAAGAAAUCAUAAAAUAUCAUCGUACCUAUAUGCAUUUAUAAUAAUAUAUAAUACAUCAUAAUAUAAUAGCUAAAUAGAUAAAUUAUUAAUGAUAUAAAAUAUAUAUUUAUAUUCACUGUAUUAUAUUAUUCUUUCAUAAUUGUUUCAUUAAAUAAUUCCCUAUUCUCUCUCUCUUUUUGUCUUCAUUUUUUCAGAUAAGCAACCAAAAAUCAUUUCACCUUUUUUAUUUUAUUUUCAAGUACUGUUUUUAAAAUAAGGUACCAAACAUGUUUUUAUUUUUAAUAAAAACUAAUCAUUCUUAUUUCAUAAAAUAAAUUCAAAAACACCAUUUAAAAAAUAAUACCAAAUGCACCCUUAGAAACUAUGAGAAAUAUACUGAUUUUGCAAAUAAUAUUUAAUACGUCGAUUAGACUGAAUCUUUGGAAUAAAAAUUUCAAAUUAAAUAAUAAACCCUUAGUUUCCUUUUAAUCGUAAUUAUAAUCUUAAUUAUUAAAGACAUUUUAUUUUGUGCUUGUCUUUUUUUAUUCACUUUUUUUUAAUGAAAAAUAUUGCUCUGCAUGCAAGUCUUUGGUCGCGGGCCUAGGCGUCCCAAACAUCCAGCUGACAGCGACGUUUCCACUUUGAUUAUCCGCACUUCCCAGAAGUCGCAAGGAAAGACUUAUUCGAGUAGUUUGAUUGGUUUGAAGAUUCAUGAGACUGCUUUUCACUAGAAUUCCACGGCCUCAUUCAUUUUUUUUUUUAAUAAUCUAAAUGACAUCGAACACUCUACUCAAUAUAAAUUUAUUCGAAUGUUCUGUUUCAACCUAAUCGGAAAUUACAAAUGAAACAAAUGCUUGCCAUCACAAACGGCCUAAAUGGGAUUUUUGUUUUUAAAUGUUGCAAUGACUUUGAUCCUGAUGUUGAAAAUUUAUAAUGGCUUCAAUUUUAUCAUAAUUGGUUUAUAAUGCUCUGUUAGGAAGCAUGGAUAAACUGUUGGAUUAGAUUAGAUUUUAGGACUAAAAAUUAAUUUCAUCCAAUGUCAUAUUUAGCUGUCGUGACUAAUAAAUUAGUCCAAAAUUAAGAUAAGAUUUAUAAUAUUAAAUGAAAUAUUUUUGUUCUCUUUAUCACUCUUUUCUUUUUCAUUUAAAUUAAAUAUAAACAAUAAUUUCAUAAUUUUUUAUGUAGAAUUUUAUAUUAUACUAAAUAUCGAAAUUCUAUUCAAUAAUUUAUUUUAAGUUGUAUUUACUUAAGAUUAGUUAUCUAAGUUUAAUACAAUAAUUUAUUUGAAUAGUAUUGAAUAUUAAACAUUAAAAAUUAUUCAAUUAUUUGUUUAAAAUAAAAUUGAAUAUUAAAUAUUGAAAUAAUUAUUUAAUAGCAUAUUAUAUUAUUUAUAUAAUUAUUUAAUAGUCCAAUCUAAUGUUGUACAAAACAUGCACAAUACUAUAUAUAAUCCAAACUAAUCCAAUUCAAUCUUAAUUAAUAAUUCAAUCCAAUCUUGUGAGUCAAAAUUGGCCUAAGGUUACCAAUUGUGCAAUAAUCUUUAUAGCCCGUUUCCCAGCCACACACCCUUUUGUAUUAGUAUUCUCACAGCCAUUGGAAAUAUGGCUCGUAAUCUAACAAAUGACAUUAUACGGCUGUUACUUGCUAGUUUUUAUAAGGUGGCCAAGGCCUUUUAUCAAACACUAUAGGAUCAACUAGUACAAAAUGAAUUCAUUUGGGAUGCAUUUAACGUACUGUGUUAGCUAUAUCGUAUUAUAAUGUAUUGCAUUAACAUGCAUUAUAUUAAGUUAUAAUGUUAUACUUUGAUAUAGUAUAAAUUGUAUUAUAUAAGGUAAUGUUUUAUAUUAAUGUUAAAACUAAAUUAAUAUUAUUUAAAUUUAUUAAUAUUUUAGGAUUUUUAUUAAUUUUUUAAAUUAAGUAUUAAAAAUUAUUUUAUAGUAUAUAAAUGAGUUAAUAAUAUACUAUUAUUAAAUGAUAAAAUAUUAAAGUACUAUGUUAUAUUAUUAAAAAUUAUUAUAUUAUAAUAUAAUUUAUUUCUAGAUAUUAAUUAUUAUAAUAUAGUAUAAUCAUAUAAUAAUAUAAUAUAAGUUAAUAUUAUAUUGUAAAAAUAUAAUAUUGUACAAUUAUUUAAUGUAAUAUAAAUUAAUUUAUACUAUAAUAUUAAAUUAUAAAUUUAUUUUUAUUAAUUAAAUAAAAUUAAAAUACUUUUAUGUAUUUAAACUAAAUAAUUAAAAUAAUUUAUGUAAUAGAAGUAUGAUAAUGUAUUAUCAUUUUCUCAUUAAAUAUUUUAGGUUUAUUAAUUUGUUAAAUUAUUAUUUAAAUUAAAAUUAAUUGUUUAAAUGUAAAUAUAAAUAUAAAUGAAUGUUUAAUAAAAUCUACUCCUAUGGAUCUAUUUUAUACACUUUUUAUUCUAUAAAUCACGCUUAUAAUGUAGUUGUAUAAUAGAAACUGGAUAUUUAAUGGAAGCAAAAUCGCGCACGGUUUGUGGGUUAAAAGGGUCAGGAUUCUCUCCUGAUCUGAUCUUCAUUUGAGCAAAUUCUGUUAAUAUGAUUAGUGGUUAAUAAGUUAAAAAGAAAAAGUAGUUAAAUCAUAAUCAUCCAAUUUGAUACACUGAUUUUGUCCUCUUUAAUAUUUUUCUAGAUGCUUCCAUGUCAUAAUCUCAUUGGUCCAGUUUUCUUCACUGCUUAGAUUCAACUUCAAAAAUCAAUUUGAAGCAAACACAACAAUUCAACAAAUAUAAUAAGCGUCGAUAAGCUUGUGGCUGACUGGCUGUGGCCAAGCAAAACGUACCUCAUGGUUACCGAAUCAUAUCUUACGUCAGAAUUUUUAACUUAAACUAUGUUACCGUUCCACGUGUCACUCUCCAAAAAAUCCCCAAACUUUUAUCGUAUUUCCAAAGAAACCCCUAACAAAUCAAGGUAAUUACCGUCACUCUGCUCAUAUAAAUAGUCUCCUUGAUUCAACUGAUGUAGGGAUGGCAAUGGGGUGGGUUGGGGUGGGGGUGCGGAAUGGGGUACAUUAAAAUUUUUUGUCUCCAUUCCCCACCUAUUCCCUAAUAAAUUUAGUGGGUUGGGGAUGGGGAAUCCCCACAUGGGGAAUGGUUUCCCCAUCCUCACCCCAUUCCCCAUUUACCUAUUUUAUAGUAAAUAUAAAUAUAUUAUUUCAGUAAAUUAAAAAUUAGAAACUUAAAAUAAAAUCAUCACCAUAUUAUGAAGUAUUUAUUUUUUUUUUAAAAAAUCUCUAAAAGUUUGAAACAAUAUCUUAAAAUGAUAUUAAAAGUGAAAAAUAUUUAAAGACAGCAACACCUUAAAAGAGAAAAGAAAACAUAAUAAUGUUUUAGAAUUGAAAAAUAUUGUAGGAUUUUCUUUUAUUCAUAUCUUGUUUAUAUUACAUAAAAAUUUAAAAAAAUUAUUAAUUGACAUUAUAGUUGAUAAAAUAAAAAUUACUAAAUAAGAAUUAAAAAUAUAUUUAUAUAUAAUGGGGAUUGGGGUAGGGGUGGGGUGGGGAGUGCAAUACCAAACCCCACUCCGUUAAUAAUUUGAGAAUUAUUUUUCCCCCACUCCCCACCCCAUUCCCCAAAAAUUAUUAAAAAAAUUUUCUAUUUGGGGUGGGGCUUCAUGGGGUCUCAAACCCGUGGAGGAUUUUGCCAUCCCUAAACUGAUGACAUAUCCUCAUAUAAAUAAAGACUAUGACGACAUUUAUUUAGAAGGGAAAAUUAUAAAAAAAAUCUCCUCUUUCUCUGAAAAUAUAGGGUUUCUCAAGAAUAGCUAAACCUACAUCCCUAUCCUGCAAAAUCUCAAUUUAACCUCUCUAGGGUUUCGAUUGAAGAGCAUACGCUUCAAAAUUUAUUAUUCUUUUAGUGGAUUUUGGUUGUCGCGUAUCCUUCAGUUGUUAGUUCGGUUCGGAUAAUAAUUUGGAAUUCAGUUUGAAGGGUUAAGUGCAAUUUCUAAUUUUUUAUACAAUUUAAAUUGAAAUUGAUAGAACAAUUGGGCGGUUAAUAAUUAAUUGAUGGCUAGUGAUACUACAACGGCGCCCGCGCCCGCAGCUCCGGAAAAAGCGGAGGCGGUGGAGGAGUAUGAUAGCAAUCCAGAUGAAGUGAAACGCUGUCUUGGGACACGCAGAAGGGAAGCCAGCGAUGACGAGGACGUGGAGGAGGAGAGAGAUUGGGACACGCAGAAGGGAAGCCAGCGAUGACGAGGACGUGCAAUACCAAACCCCACUCCGUUAAUAAUUUGAGAAUUAUUUUUCCCCCACUCCCCACCCCAUUCCCCAAAAAUUAUUAAAAAAAUUUUCUAUUUGGGGUGGGGCUUCAUGGGGUCUCAAACCCGUGGAGGAUUUUGCCAUCCCUAAACUGAUGACAUAUCCUCAUAUAAAUAAAGACUAUGACGACAUUUAUUUAGAAGGGAAAAUUAUAAAAAAAAUCUCCUCUUUCUCUGAAAAUAUAGGGUUUCUCAAGAAUAGCUAAACCUACAUCCCUAUCCUGCAAAAUCUCAAUUUAACCUCUCUAGGGUUUCGAUUGAAGAGCAUUUGCUUCAAAAUUUAUUAUUCUUUUAGUGGAUUUUGGUUGUCGCGUAUCCUUCAGUUGUUAGUUCGGUUCGGAUAAUAAUUUGGAAUUCAGUUUGAAGGGUUAAGUGCAAUUUCUAAUUUUUUAUACAAUUUAAAUUGAAAUUGAUAGAACAAUUGGGCGGUUAAUAAUUAAUUGAUGGCUAGUGAUACUACAACGGCGCCCGCGCCCGCAGCUCCGGAAAAAGCGGAGGCGGUGGAGGAGUAUGAUAGCAAUCCAGAUGAAGUGAAACGCUGUCUUGGGACACGCAGAAGGGAAGCCAGCGAUGACGAGGACGUGGAGGAGGAGAGAGAUUGAGGGCUUCCAAUGGCGAAGUGUCCACAUUCCUGCGGGAGAAGCGGAGGCUGUGGAUGAGUACGAGAGCGAUCCAGAUGAAGUGAAAUACUCUCUUGUGAUGGGCAGAAUGGAAGCAAGCGAUGAUAAGGAGGAGGAGGAUAAAGAAUUUGAGCGUCGAAUGAACCGUAGGGUCCACAUUCAUUCUUACGAUGAAUCUGAUGGCCAAGGUGGUGUCCAGCUGAGUAUGGUGAGGUUGAUGAUGAAGAAGAUGACAGAGAAUUAGAAGAAGAAGAUGAAGAGGGGGAUGUGAUAUGACUUCAUAUCAUUUAAUUUGUAUAACCGUGACGCCAAUCCCAUUGAUCCUGGUCCGACCCGAACGGAUCUUGUUGAAUGAAUUGAUCCAUUGUUGUAUGCCUUACUUCUUAGUGAUUUUUUUCCUACUUGGAGCCGCCUUUGAGUACUCCUGGGAGAUAAAGUGGAAACGUUUUUUUAUGGUGAAGAGUGGGGAGUGAAAAGACCAAUUCAGCAGAGAACGACCGCAUGAAUCGGAAUCCAAGAAAGGCUCCACGUUCUCCAAGUGAUUGAUCUUAGCGUAGCGUGCUAGCCGCUGCUUCAUUUCGUAUAGUGAUAACGCUUUCUUAGCGCUCCGCCGCCCCCCCCCCCCCGGCGGCCGCGCCCGGGGUAUAGUAGGGGACUGGUUGCGCGGCUUUCUCUUAUAGGGGUCUAUUUUCCCUUACUUUACUCAACUUGAGUCGGUUAGAGUAUCGCUUUCAUACGGCAAGAGUUAUUGAUUCAAAUCCAAUAGUAGGUAAUAAUGCUGUCAAUGUCGGUUAGAGUAUCCAAGAGUUAUUGAUUCAAACGCAGUUGUCAACCACAUUCGAAUAACCCUUCUGCUACCUUCUAAAAACCCUUGCAUGGGCAUUAAUGCUGGCAUAAUCUCUUUGACUUCCCUUGCAUUUGAAUGAAUGGAUGAGCGUUGCAUUUGAAUGAAUGGAUCAGUGUCAAUGCAGGCUAAGAUUUUCUGGACUUUCAUGGAUGCACAAUAAAUGCUACGUCAAAGGCCUGGUAAGAUGUCAGCAAGCUGGUCGAAGAUAUCAACCUGAUUUGGUGGCUGCAAGAUUUGUUCAUCCAGGACCAUUUUCUUUGACAAUGAGAAAGCCCCAAUGUCUAUAAAUUGAGAACUCACUGAAUUGUAGAGAGAGGGGAAAGUGAAUAACGGGAGAGCCAGUGAAAAGAGAGUGUGGGAAUAUUUGUGCGUAAUUGGGGUUUGGGUGUGAGAUAAAAUAAUCAGAGAGUGGUUGUAAUAAUUUUUUAUAUAGUGAAAAUUUUUGUCUCCUUGUUUUUUGCAGUGGUGGUAAAUUUUGUCUCUAAUAAAGGAGUCUUCCAAGUAAAUUUUGUGUGUUAUGAUUGGGAUAUUCACCAUUUUAGUUUUUUAUUUAUUAUUUGUUUUACAUAUUGCUAGCAAAAAUCUGGGGCGGGAACCGAAAAUUCCCAACAAUUAUUAAUUAUUUUAAACUCUGUUCUGAACAGAGCAUGAAGGGUUUCACUUACCUAGUUACGUUUUUCAUUCUUUCACUUCACUUGAUUUCAUCUUGUCCCUCUCCUUUAUAGAAGUUGCAGAGCUUGGAUCUUUACUCGAACAGUUUCACUGGCUCUAUUUCUGACACAUUGGGCAAGCUGAAGGAAUUGCAAUUCCUGUAUGAUAAUUUCCCCAACUAUUAUUUGAAUAAUUAUUUAAUGCCGUUCAUUCCAGCACUGUUUGGCUGUCAACUUUAUUUUGUUAUUUAUGAGGAGAUUCAUUUCCCACCUGAAGCUAGAAAUUUACGGAUCAAUGACUUUUUUUUUUUCGGGGGCCAAUUGCAGUUUUGAUAACAACUAAAAUCUGUGUGGUCCGGUUACCACAAAGCCUUGCCCCAGAUCCCUGCCAUUUUCUCCUCCACCUCCAUUUGGGGAAAUUACUACUUACUUUUUGCAAGUUUUUCUUGAAAUAUUUAUUUUGAUAAGAAAACCAAUAAUACAUUUUAAGAUUUGGGCUGUUUCAAAGAUUUCGCUUGAUGUCUCUGCUACUGGUUUUCAGCAGAGUGCCCAAAAAUAGUUUUCAGCAGUACAAAAAGUAUAUAUUUUGUACCUUCCAUACAUUUUGCUUUGUUAAUGUUAUUAUUUGAUAACAUGUUUGUCGAGUUGCACAGUGUAUAAAUGCUAUACAAAUACACUCCUUUCAUUUUAUACAACUUUGAUCGAUCAAGUUGUAUCUCUUUGAUAAUAUGUUCAAUCUCCUUUCAUUUUAAACUUCAAUUGAGUUGCUAUCUAUUUAACAUUGGCAAGUCAGAGAGAGGGAUGGGACUGUCCAAUUAAAAUUAAGUUCCAAGUGCCAAUCCCACCAUUGUCGUCUCUUGUUUGCCAAAUUCAAAUUUGAAAAUCUCACCAAGUCAGUAUGGUGAUGUUGUGGGAUUGUCUCGCCUAGGUUUUUAGCCUCAUGACCUCCUUUAUUAGAAAAUGUCUUAAGUGUUCUUACUCAAUGGUAGAAUCAUAAUUUUACUUCAAUGGAAGCCAUAAUGAUUAAAAUAUACUCUUUUGAUUAAUUACUUAUUUGAUGUUGCUCUCUCUACCUUCAUCUCCUUCUUUAUGAAAAAUUUAUUGUAAUACAUGGAAGUAUAUAUUGCAUUGAAUAAAAUGAAAUUGUUCAAAAAUUAACAAAUUCAGCUUUAUUAUAAUCUAAAACAAAGUAAAUAAAAUAAUACCCAUCAUGUAAAAAUUAAAAAAAUAAAAAAUUUUGUACCACUUUGAAUCUAUUUUAAUUUUUUUGGUCAAAUCUCAGAAGCACAAAAUUUGACCAACAAUAAUAGGUAAAAACUAAUAAUCUUAUAAUAAAAAGUAAUAUUUAAAAAUUGAAAAUUAAAUUAUGCUAGUAAUUCCGUAAAAUUAAAAUUUAUCUCCCAAAAUUGAUAAAUACUAUGUCACUUUGUCAAAUUACUUAGGAUAAAAGUUAUGUGGCUAAAAACUUUUAAGAUGAGUUGUAUGCUAAUGGAGAAGGACAAGACACAAAAGAAUUCAAUGAAUGCUACAUCACGCAACAAUGCUUACUCUUAACAAAUUAUUACAAUUUACAAACGUGAUUCAUGAAACUUGACUUUUUUGUCUAAAGAAAGGACUAAAGAAACAUGCCAAGCAACAAAUAAAAAGUUGAUAGGCACUAUUUAAAUAGUAUUAAUAUGGCAACAAAAAACAUGCGAGCAAAGUAGCCUAUUCCUUUAUUCUAUAAAUAGCUCAUUUGAGCUUAGAACCUUUAAAGUGUGUCGUACGUUUCUGUUACUUCCAAUAAAGAUUUUCUCUAUUCCCUUUUCUUCCACUUUCUCUUCCAUUUUCACGAUCCCCAAACACCAUCAAUCCAUGAUUUUCUAGAGUAUUAGCUGUCUAUUUCUACAAACAUAGAAUUGCUGUUUUAAGAAACAAAGUAGUCUGUCCUGUCACCCAUGAUUGCCUCUUUCUUUUCUCCACAAAUCUUUGGUUAAUUUUUAUUUUCCCUCAACUUUUUUCCCCUUUAGCACCAAAAUUGAUUUUUGAUACUUUAUGCAAAAAUUAUGAUGAAAAUGAGUCACUUUAGAACAUCAAUAAAUUUUUUUUUACAUCCAAAAUAACGACAAUUACACUUAGAUCACUCUUAUUUAGUUGAAUUAUAUAUGUAAUAAUGUUGGCUUAACAAAAUAUAAUUCUUGAUCGUUGUAAUUACGAGCUGGUAUUCUUUGGUUUUAGUAGUAGGGCUUAUAACGCUGUGCAACAAUUCUUGGUGGCUUCGAAUUAUUAUACGAUCAUUCUCAAUUCUUUACGGUACGUAAUUAAAAAUUCCUAUAUCACAAUUAGAACUUACAAACAAGUCAAAGUGAAUUAAAUCAAACGUAUAAAUUCGAGGUCUAUUACAAACUUCUAAAAAAAAUUUUCUCUGCUCUUUUUUCUUUCACUUUCUCUUCCAUUUUGCCAAUCCCCAAACACCGCCAAUCCUUGAUUUUUUAAGUAUUAGCUGUCAAUUUCUACAAACAUAGAACUGCUGUUUGUUUGUCUAAUUACUUUCAAGAAACAAAACUCUCUGUCAUGUGGUCUCUUCGUUUAUUGGCUUGUGAGCAAAUAAGAUAUUGGGCCGAUGGGCUUAACGUGACAAGUUCUUGAAUUGAAUGGCUCCUCUUUUUUUCAUAAAUCUUUGCUUAACUUUUUUGUUUCCUCAACCUUUUUUGGCCUUUCGCGCUAAAAUUCUUUUUUUGAUACAUUAUGCAAAAAUUAUGAUGAAAAUGAGUUACUUUAGAACAUCAAUAAAUUUUUAUUACAUCUAUAAUAAGACAACUGUAGUGAGAUUUCUCUUAUUUAGUUGAAUUAUAUGUAAUAAAAUUAGUUUAACGAAAUCUAACCCGUCAAUAUUCCAUAUGACAUAAUUAACGUAUUUAAAAAAUCUUAGCUGUUCCGUCGCUUGUUUUACAAUUCUUUUAUAUAUCUUUGAGACUUUCUGCUUCCUGACACAUCAUAUUGUUCUCAAUUCGUCUAAAUUAAUUUUUUCUUCAAACACUGCAGCAACAACCGGUAUAAAAUAGAAUGAACUCAUUUAAUGGGAAUUUUUCUCAUUGGUCUAUUUCUCUUCGCACCUUAGGUUCCUCUAACAAACUUAAAAGAUGUUCCCCAUCCCACGUGUCCCCAAAUCUUCGUAUUUCCAAACAAACCCCUGCCAAAUAGAGAAGAGGAUGGCUUUUAUUGCAACCUGUAUGAACGUUAUGGCCAUAGGACAUUGGAUCAAAAUCAAACCAAUGGAUUGUAAAGCAAAAUUACCAAUUAAAAAUUCAACCAAUUGAAUCGGUUUGGUGUCACUUAAAAAAUAAAUAAUAUAUAAAACAACACAAUUAAAUUCAUUCAGUCAGUAUUUUUCUUUUCUCAUUUUCAAUGAAUGCUUAAUAUGGAAAACAAUCUGUCCCAUUGAGCACUGUUUAAAUCAUUCCCUAGUUUGUUCAACAAGCAAAGAAUAUUCUUAUUCGGCUCGGCAGCCAAUCCGUUAAAAUUUGUAAAAAUUCAUUUAAGUGAUGACUGUGAUAUGACUCGAUCAAUCGUUUAAUUUAUAUAAUUUAUAAAAAUUUGAGCUUCAAGUAAUGUAGAUAGAAUGGUUAAUUAUUUUAAUAUUCAGAUAAAUUGAUAUAUGUCAUUAUAUUAUGAGUGGAUGAAAUAUCCAAUAGAAAAAAAAAAAAAUGUUUGUAUUCGUCAUUUUUAAUGGGAAUCUAUUUAGUUUAACUUAUCCAUAAAAAUGGUUGCCAGACUUAUCUUGUUUCUCAUUUUGUUUAAUUUUCAUAAAUUUGACUCACGAUUAAUUGUGAGUGAAGAAUUUUUUGAAAAAAAUCUGGUCUUCCAUUUAUUUUGUAGGAUUUAAAAGAUUAAAAAACUUUAAUACAUAUAAUUUUAUGCUCGAAACUAAAUACUCGUAGCAUUGCUGCUUCUAUAAAUAACUCAUUUGUGCUUCCAACUUGUUAUUUGUAUUUUACGUUUUUGUUUCUCUUCAUAAAGAUUUUCUUUUUUUUCUUUUUUCCUUUCACUUUUUCUUCCAUUUUCCCGACUCCCAAACACCACUAAUCCUUGAUUUUCUAGAGUAUUAACUGUCCGUUUCUACGAACAUAGACCUACUGUUUGUCUAAAUACUAUCAAGAAACAAUAUACUCUGUCGCGGGAUCUCUUCGUUUAUUGACUUUUGACUUGUGAACGGGGCUAAUUAAAGGGCAUUCCUUUCUUCAAGAAAGAAUGCAAAGAAAGUACUAUCCAUGAGACACGUUAAAAAUUAUUUUACAUAAAAAAUGAUAAUAAUCAUAAUAAUCGGUUUAGUGUAACCCCGUUAUUACUUAGUGACUGUUCGAUUGUCUUCUCUUUCAUUGACUUCGCAACUGUGACUUCUAAAUUGGGUCAAGGAUCGACAAAAAAUGUUAUAACCUAUAAAGCAUGGAUAAUUAAUUAAUGGGAAUGCACCUCUCAUCUUUACCAUUCUCUUUGUCAUUUUCAUAAUUCAGCUGUUUAUUAAUAAAGUGAAUAAAUUUAUCUUUUAAUAAUAUGUUUCUUGGCUGUUUUUUGUGUAUUUUUGCGUACAAUUUUGUGUGCAAAUAGCAUUAUUCAUUAGUAAUAAGUCUGGAGUGUUCUAAUUUCUUCUAACAAGUAGCUCAUUUUAGCUUAGGACAUGUAACUAGUAUUUUAUGUUUCUGUUAAUCUUUAAUAAAGAUUUUCUCUAUUUUUUUUUUUCCUUUCACUUUCUCUUCCAUUUUCCCCGACUCCCAAACACCACCAAUCCUUGAUUUUCCAGAGCAUUAGCUCUCUAUUUCGACAAAGGCAUAAUUAGUCACGGUCCGAUUGUCUGACUUCUCCGUUGACUCGGUCAAUUCACGACCUUGACCUGCACAGUUGAUACAAACGGACUUCUCCAUUUGAUGUGCACAAAACUUUCUUGGGUCAUUUUGUUUGGUGAUGAUGAAUUGGAUGUCAGUUCAUGAGUUUCAUGAUGAAGGGGACCAAAAACAUUAUUUUAUUAUUUAAAGAAGACUAACAAUUAUUUCGAUGGUCAUUUUAUUAUUAUUUUUUAAAUAUCCAAAUGGUGAAAUUUUAAAGAAUUAAGGUGGUUGACUUCUUUACACAGAAUUACAAAGCAAAACAAUUAAGAAAUUAAAUACUCGUCAUCCAAGUGAGAAGAGAUUGGGUUGUUGAUACAUUAAAUAAAAGAAAAAUCAAUUAAAAGCACAACAAUUCAAUAAUUUCAUUCUCAAUCAUAUCAAAAAUAAAAUUUACUGUACAUUGUUGUUCGGUUCUGUAAAAAAAAAAAAAUUAUUAGGGAUUUGCAGUUUUUUUUAGUGUAAUUCUCGUUAAUUAAAGUUUAGUCUGAAGGGUUAAGCACAUGGAUCAUAAUCAUAUUAUGGCCUAAGGAAGGAGCACAGUUCAUUGGCUGCACUCAGUUUACAGAAUAUUUUGGGAUUCAAGACUGUAGGUUGUUCCGGAUGUAACUUGCAAAGGCUGUUGCUGUGUAACUGUAUGCACUGCUGGCAAGUGUGCUAUACACAUAUUGUUGAGAUAGCACCAAAGAUUGUAAACUAAUUAGAACCGGAAAAUCCUAUUUGCACAAAAAAUUGCACAAAAUAAAUAGAAUGAGAAUACUUAUGCAAAAAAAAAUAAGAUUAAUAAAGUGAAUAAAUUUAUCUUUUAAUAAAAUAUUUCUAGUCUUUUAGUGUUUUCGUGUAUUUUUGUGUACGUGCAAAUAACAUUACUCAUGAGUAAUUAUGUUUUAUGUUUCUAUUACUUUCUAAUAAAGAUUUUCUCUGUUUUUGUUUUUUUUUUUCCCCUUUUACCUUCUCUUCCAUUUUUCCAACUCCCAAACACUACUAAUCCUUGUUUUUGGUUUUUUUUUCCAACUCCCAAACACUGCUUUCAUGAAACAACGUACUCUGCGGUUAAAAUUAAUUGAUCAUUUUAUUUGCUGAUAAUGAAUUGGUUGUCAAGUCAUGAGUUUGAUGAUGCACAGGACGAAAAACGUUAUUUUAUUAUUUAAAAUAAUACUAACAAUUAUGUUGAUGGUCAUUUUAUUUUUUAAAAUAUGCAAAUGGAAUCUUACCGAACUAUAGUGCUUGACUUCUUCAUACAGUGAUUGACUUCUUUGUACAGAAUUAUAAAGUGAAAGAAAUUACGAAAUUAAAUACUUUUCGUGCGAGUGGGGGAGAAAUUCUGUAAAUUUAUGAAAUAACUAUUGAUUUCACUUUGGUAAUUACUUUUUAAAAGUAACGUAAACAUUUUUAUUUUAUUUGCAUUCGAGCUUUCUUUCUUUUUCGCUGGCCUUUACACUUGACCGUAUUUCAUGGGGCAUAUUCAAUCUGAAUCCUCUGCAAGUUUGUGGCAGUUUGGUUAGUUACGAACUUUUGUAGAAUUGCAUGAAGAUGACGCUUUUAUAGACAUUUUUUCUUUUUUCAUUUUUUCUUCAGUGAACAUAUUAAAAAUUUAGUUUUUUGUCAUCGUGACUAGAACAGUAAAAUGAAAAUAGUCCUCAUUUCGACGAUUGACAAAAAUGUUGUACUCAUACCGAUUAAUGGGCCACUGAUUUCGUCUUCUUAAAAAAUUAUUAUUGCAGUGAGGCAAUUGAAUCGAAGAUGGACGAUUUCCAUAUUUGCCUAACCUACGUGAUAAGAAUUUUCAUAUGAGACAUAAUCUGAUUUAUUUUGCUUGACUGUAUGCCAAGAGACAGUCAUAUCUACUAAAUGAAACAAAUCUUGCUUUUCUAGAGAAAUAAUGCAAUAUGCAAUUAUGCAUGAAGGUACGCAUCCAUGUGAGAAAGUUGACGAAAGCUUCUUUUUCAGUAUUGGAAGUGCAAUCCACUGCGGAACAUUGGAUAAAACCAAUGGAAUGUAAAGCAAAAUUACCGAUUAAACUAAAUUGAAAAUCCAACUACUUGAAUCAGUUCAGUGUCACUCAAAUAUAUAUAUAUAUAUAUAACAACACAAUUAUCAUAUUAAUGAGGCACUGUUAAAUUCGAAUAUUUUUCUUUUUCAUUUUUAAUGAAUGUUUAAUAUGACAAACAAUCUGUUCCAUUGAGCACUGUUUAAGUCAUUCAAUGAAGAUGAAUACUUCUAUAACAAAACAAUUAUUCCCUUGAUUAUCUGACACACAAAGAACUUUCUUGCUCAGCUCGGCGGCCAAUCCUUUAAAGUUUGUUAAAAUUCAGUCAAUUGAUGAACGAGACAUAACCCGAUAAAUCGUUUAAUUUGUGUAAUUGAUAAAAAAAUUGAACUUCAAAUAAUAUAGAUAGAAUGAUUAAUUUUUUUCAAUAUUUAGAUAAUUGAUAUAUGUCAUGUUAUUAUGAGUGAAAGAAUGAAGUGUCUAUAGAAAACACAAUGUUUAUGUUUGUAUAAAAAAUUUUAAGUGCGAAUCUAUUUAGUGUAUAGGAUAUAAAUAAAAAUAGUUACCAACUUGUCUUGUUUCUCAUUUUGUUUAAUUUUCAUAAUUUGACUAAGGAUUAAUUAUGAGUCAAGGGUUUAUUGGAAAAAUAUGAUCUUUCAUUUACUAUUAAAGAUUAGCGUGAUUUAAUUAUUUAAUGGUCGUUCAAUUUUAUUGGUUACCAAAUUCUCUAGGAUCGCAUGUAGAUUAUACUUUUAUAUAUAAAAUAUAUAUAAAAACAAACACUGUACCAAUAAAGUGUUGGCUCCACUGGCAAUGGAGUCCCCUUAAGUGGCUUGACUGUGUUUGCUCCUCAGUUCGAGUCGCAGGGAAGUCGCCUUUGUUGGGAGAACCUGUGCCUCCCGGUUCGAGCGGGGACUUCUAGUCUGGGUUGUGGUACGGGCUUAAAGGUGCCUCCCACAGUUGGGGCCCUCCCCAAGAUACCUCGUGAUUAAGAUCAAAAAAAAAAAAAAAACAAACACUGUCAACAAGCAUUAAUGUCAUUUGACGCAUGAAAGACAAUUAGUCCCAUUUUUUGUCCUGUUUACUUGAACACCACUAAUUCCAACAAUUUAUCCAAAAAAAAAUAUAGUUACUCUUCUUCUUUUUUUUCCGAUCUGUUAAUGAAUGCUCCUACUCCUAUCAGUUCUAUAUCCAACUCGACCUCGGAAGCUAAUUCGCGUGGGCUUUGUUGGAAUAAUGGUAUCGAUUGGAAUUGUAAGGAAAGAGGUCUUCGUGUCGUGGACAGCUCAACCGAAGAGAGCAGAUGAAUAUCUUAUGUGAAAUUCAUUGAUGAAUGCCCUUUGCAGAAGCAGGAAAUAAGCUGCCUAAAAGUAAGCAUUAGAUGAAUGCCCGAUCGAACACCACUAAUUCCAACAAUUUAUCCAAAAAUAUCUUUGAGUUUCAAGGAAUGAAUGUAGCACGAAUGGCCAAGUUUUUCAAGUUUUUAAAUAUUUGAUAUAUGUCAUGUUCUGACUUAGUACGAGAAGAAAAUUAUAGAAUUUUUUUUAAAUUAAUGGAAUUAUUUUACGAUAAAACUAUCACAAUCACAUUUAAAAAUAUUCUUUAAAUUUUCACUAUUUCUACUGUUAUUCUUUAAACUCUUUCUGAACAGAGCAUGAAGAGUCACUUAUCUAAAUAUAUUUUUUUGUGCUUUCACUUCACUUGAUUCAUCUUAUCCCUCUUUUAUAGAACCUGCAACUCGUAUUUUACGUUUCUGUUACUUUCUCUUCCAUUUUCCCGACUCCCAAACACCAUCAAUCCUUGAUGUUACAGAGUAUAUUAAUUAAUUAAUGGGCCACUAAUUCUUCUUCUUAAAAGAAAAUUUUUGUAGGGAAAUUGGAAAAAAGGCUAAUUCAAUUUAAUUUUGAUAGGUGCGAGAGAAGGAUAGGACCGUCCAAUUAAAUUGCAAGUGGGCAUUCCCACCAUUCGUGUCACAUGCUUGUCAUAUUUAAAUUUAAAAAUCACACCAUGUCAGUAUGGUGAUGAUGUGGAAUUGUUUCACCGAAAUUUUUAUCUUCGUAACUGUUGUAGAAAAAAGCGUGCUCCCAGUGGAUGCUUCUAUUGAGUGGCAGAAUCAGUAUUUUAUUUCGAUGGUGGCCAUAAUAAUUAAACUACUGAUUAAGUUGGUUGUGACAUAAAAUCAAUGUUGUAUAAUUUUUUGGAUAUUAUCUCAAUUUUACUUCUGUAGGUUUGUUGUUUGUAUAUUAUCUCAAUUUUUAAAAAAAUGUAAUUGCAAUUAUCAAACACGACUAAUCCCAACAAUUUAUCCAAAAAUUUUUUAUGAUAGAAUGGCUAAUUUUUUUAAUCGACUUUCUGGAUAAAUGAUAAUUUUUUGAUAGAAAUGUUACUUAAGUAUUACAGGAAGAAAAUUAUAGAAUAAUUUUUUGAAUUAAUAGUAUUACUUUACGAGAACACUAUCACAAUCUAAUUUUAAAAAAAUAAAGUUAUUCGUUAAAUUUCGAAUUAUCAAGCAAAAGGCAAAAAUAGUUCAACAUCUGCUGUCCCACUGAGCAUUGUUAAAUUCAUACGAUAAAAUGAGUACUUAUAUUAAAAAAACAAUCAGUCCCAUUGCGUGCUCUUUCAUUGACAUAGGCAAGUUGCGGUCAACUUGUGGCACUUUUAUGAAUUUUCAAGAUGGGUGAAUUUUUCAAAAUUAAAAGAAAAAAAUAAAGAAAUGUAAUUUCAAUUUAUCCAAAAAUUUGAGUUUCAAGGAAUACAGCAUUUAUUAUAUGUCAUGUUAAUAUAGAGAAGAAAAUUUUAAAAACUUCUUUUUGGAUGAAUAAAAGUAUUUUCUGAUAAAUAUUUCACAAUCAUAUUUAAAAAUUUUCACUCCUCUUGGUACAUAAUUUAAGAAUUUAACAUUAUAAAUUAAUCUUUUUAAUCAAAGUAAUAAUCUCUCCUCGGUCUGCAAAUGCUAAAAUUUAAUAUUAUAUCCGUUGACGAUAUUUGCUCCAAAUUCACGAAAAUAAAAUUUGUAACAGAAUUAUGAAAUUCGUUACUAGAAAAUUGUAUAAAAGUUGUGAGAAUAGAAGGUUUGAUCAUAGGAAAUUAAUAUAACCCUAUCCGAUGCAAAAAUGAUUGUAAAGAAAAACAAAAGUCACGGGCUUAUUUAGAAAAAAGAAAAAAUUACGUUCCAUUUUCCAGUUAUUAAAGUAAUUCUAAAAUCACUAGGAUCACAAAGGAUAGGCUUUGGUUGACUGAGGUCAGCCUUAACGCUUUUCUCCUCUACAUUCUUAGAAAUUUUGGUUUCACUAUAAAUACUCGGUAUAUAACAAACUUAUAAGUGUUCUUGCAUUACCAAUCCAACUAAGCACACGCUUACAAUCUCAUGGAAAGAGUUCAUUCUCUCAGGAUGAUGAGCAGAUUUCUCUUACUCCAUUGUUUGAUUCUUAUUUCCUUAUUUAUCGCAGCUGCAACAGCCAACAGAAGUACUAUUACCACAGACCGAGAUGCUCUGCUUGCCAUGAAAGCUCACAUAACUCAUGAUCCAACCAAUUUCUUCACCAAAAAUUGGAAUACAGGUACUCCUGUCUGCAACUGGACAGGCGUCACUUGUGAUGUCUAUAGCCAUAGAGUCACAGUCUUGAAUAUUUCUCGUUUAAAUCUCACCGGCACCAUCCCUUCUCAACUCGGGAAUCUUUCGUCUCUACAAUCACUCAAUCUGAGUUUUAAUCGACUUUCUGGUUCCAUUCCCUCCGCCAUCUUCACCACGUAUACACUGAAACAUGUUAGUCUCAGUGAAAAUCAACUCUCUGGGCAAAUUCCUACAAAUAUUUGUAGUAAUCUUCCUUUUCUUGAAUUUUUUUCUUUGACCGGAAACAUGUUCCAUGGCGGAAUACCGUCCACUCUAUCAAAUUGCACAUAUUUGCAAAAAUUAGGUUUGGUAAACAAUAAUUUCUCGGGGGCCAUACCUAAAGAAAUCGGCAAUUUGACCAAACUUAAGAUAUUAUAUCUUGGCGGUAACAGGCUCCAAGGUGCGCAUGAUCACGAAGUUUAAUUAUGAAAAUUGUUGCAUAAGUUGUAGUAUGAAUAAUGUUCCAUAAUACAGUUUACACACGUUCAUUAAUUUGCAGGAGAAAUUCCUCGAGAAUUUGGCAAUCUUACGGAAUUGGAGCGGAUGUCGUUGGCAGGCAACAAUCUUCAAGGCAUGAUUUUAAACUUUUUGCAAUUUUAUUUUAGCGAUGAUUUAUUGUUUGAUUAUGCGAUGAUUUUAAACUUCUGUAUUCAUUCGCUUGUUCUUUGAUUAUACGAUGAUUUAUUGUUUUUCUUUCAGAUAGAGAUAACGCUCCAUGUCUCCCCUCACUCAUUUCAUUCUUUGAUUUAUGCAGAUAAAAAUUAAAAAAAAAAAAUGUUUUGUAAUUUUCUUUUGUCAUUGCCACUUCCGUUUUGAAGCUCCCAAUUAAGUCGAUCAAAAUGAAUGAUGUUUCAUUCUUAUUCUUGUCAGCCUAAUCUAUAUAUCUAUCUAUCUAUAUAUAUAUAUAAAGUUGAGACUUGAGGAGGUGAUGUGGCAUCACCAUUUCUCUUCUUUGUAUAUUCUCUAUUAUCUAAUAAAUUGAGAAAUUUUCUUUUAGAUUUGACUUUUCAUCUUCUCAUAAUUAAUUUGAUUGUUAUUAUACAAUAACAAUUAUGUAAAAAUUUUAAUUUUAAUGAGACAUAUUCUUUGUAAUGAAUAUCCAAAGAGAAGUGUUAUGAAUUUAUUAAAAUAAAUGUAAAUGUUCAUAACAUAUAUCUCUUAGUCUCCCCACUAUCUCUCAUUAGCAACCUUUAGCUUCCCUAUAACUCCCACUAUCUCACAAAGAAUUAUGAUCCAUAAUUUUUUAUUAAUUUCAUGGAGUGAUUAUAUAACUAUAAAAGGAGAGCUCAUCUUUUUGUUUUGUACACACACAAUUGGAAUGAAUAAAAUCACUCUAUAAUAAAUUAUCUCAUUGUAUUUUGUAUCUUGCAUUGCGUAUUUAUUUGUAUUGCUGGCUAAUAGCUUUUUUUGUUUUUUAUAAGGUUGCCUCAUCUUAAAAACAAUCAAUUCAUAUUUUUUAUCAGUUUCAUCAAGUGUAAAGUAACAAAAAAAAAAGAUAAUACUAAAUUCUUUUUUCAAAGCCGCGUGAAACGCGGGUAUAUUUUCUAGUUCUUAUAUAAAUGAAGAGUAAAUUGUUAUUACGAUAUUCGUCAGCCAAUAAAUUCUUCUUUUUUUUUCCCCCCAAACAUGAGUGAUCAAAUUGUUUGCGCAUAUAUAAAUGUACUUAAUUUGCAGGAGGUAUUCCACGGGAAUUGGGGAAUCUUACAAAAUUGGAGUGGUUACAGCUGUUCCGGAAUAACUUGACCGGUAACUUUCUUUACAAUAUAUAUACGAGACAUCUUCCGCUUUUUAUUAGAAAUUAUAAGUUCGAGUUAAAUCUUAAUUAAAAGAUUUCAAGUCUCUCAUUAUAAAUUCUCAUAUGAGGAUGUGUCGUUACCACUAUUGAUCUAACAUUAUUCCGUUUUUUAUUAGAAAUUAGUUUGUGUUAAUUCAAAAUUCUGUAGCAUUUAAAAAAAUUAAAAACACGUGGAAUAAAUUGUUAAUCUUUCUUCUUUACUGAAUUUGGAUUUCUCAAAAAUAAUUUUGACAAGUAUGCUUCACUAAUGAUACGCAUGUGUGACAACUUCAUAAAAUAUUUUACAGGGAAUCACUAAUUAUGUUUAAAUAAUUAGAGAUGCCAGCAGUGAUACAUAAUUUCUUAACAAGCACCAUACCAAAAGAAAACAACAAUUUUAUUAAUCUUAAAGAGUUACAUCUUCAUUGCAAUUAUAACAUAAAUUUUUAGUCAUCAAUCGCAUAAUAUUUUAUCUCAACGGAUGAUGUUCAGUCUUGGAAUUUAUAAUAUCUUGAAGGGUAGUAGCUUUGAAAAUAAGAAAUUGUUCAUUUGCUAAAAAGUUAACUUAGUAUUUAAGUUUUCCAAUAAAAAGCGUUGAGAACUGGCGCUCCAUAGUAUUUCAGCAGAUAAAUAUGAAAAAUAUGUUAGAAUAAAUUAUUUUACUGAAAUAAGAGUUAAAAAGAGGGAAGUACAAUACUCAUGACUUAGGCUUGUUGUGUGUGCUUAUUCUACUUGGGCUUUGGGCUUGAUUACCCCCGUUAUAAUAAUAGGCUUUUACUUUCACCACACAUGAUGAUUUCUUAACCUUCCCAAUUAGGUUAUAGCAAUUUAUAUAUAAAUAAUAAAGCAUACUAAAGCUAGCAUUGAUGUAUGGAUGAGUGGUGUAAAAAGUGUAUAUGUUUUCAUGUAUUAUUUAUUCACUAAAACAUAUCUGAACAGGGGUGGAUCUAGGAAUUUGUAUUACCCCGGGCUAAAUUAAAAAAUUUAUAUUUUAAAGUGAACAUAAAAAUUUAUAAGUAGAAAAAACUGCAUCAAAUAAGGGGGGCACGAAAAAUCUUAUCGCUAUAAGUUAUAAACAAAAAUAGUUAUAUAAAAAGAGUAGAAAACAAAAGCAAUUAAAAAAAUAAAACACUAUUUUACAAUUAUGAAAUCUGACUCUAAUAAAAUGUGAUUAUACAAGGAUUAUAUAAGGUUUAAUAUAUUAAUUAAGGAUUUUAAGCUGAAAAAAAUGAAUACAUGUAAUUACAAUCAAUUAAAAAUUGAAGUAAAACUUUAAUGUUUGAAGUCAAGUACUUAAUUACCAGGUUUCAAUAAAUUAAACAAUUCAAAUUUAUUCCUCUUUUUAAAUUAUAAAAAUAUUAUUAGUCAAAAGUUUCAAUUAUAAACUAAAUUCAACCUAACAAAAAUGUAUUUGGGUGUUGUUGUUUCUUUGCCAAACGCUCUAACUCUCUUUAAAGAACCAGUUGUUGAUGAUUUUUCUAUCAAAUUAAAGCUCCUCAAAAUAUUCAAAUUUUAUCUUAGUUAAUAUAACUAAUAAAUAAAAUCUCAAAAUUUACAUAAAAAGUUUAUGAAAAUGUUGAUAAUUGUUACUACAUGUUUUUUUUAAGUUGUUUAAUACUAGUGACAAUUUUAUAUUAGAUUGACAUACUUUUUUUCAAUUAGAAUUUUUUUAAAAUAAAUUAAAGUAAUAACAUUUUACCCCCUAAUGUUUUUUAUCUACAUUGUAAAUAUAUAAUUUACUCAUUUUAUAAAAUAAGUCACUAAUUUCAAUUGGAAAAAAAUAUAAUUGAAUUAAGGACAUAUUUAAAAAUAAAAUAAAAACUCUAUUAUAGUAUAAAAUUAAUGAAAAUAUAAGGAUAAUUAUAUUAGGGACAUGCAUGAAAACAAAAUAAAAUCUCUAUUAUUGUCUAUAAUUGAUAGUAAAAUAAGGGGUAUGAAUGAUUGUUUCCUAAGUUUGACCAGGCUACAGCCCGGUCUAGCCUUGCUGCAGGUCCGCCACUGUAUCUGAAUACAAUUCUUUCAAAAUACGGAUGAAAUAGCACAUGAAAUCGGAAAUAUUUUAUUGCGAUGAGAAUUCGUAUAUUCAUUGUAGUAGACUAUAAAUUUAUUAUUCUUUGAAACAAAUCUGAUUAUAAUUCCUUCAAAAUUAAGUUUGUCAUUAAAUGAUUUCUCAGGAGCCCUACCAAAAGAAAUCGGGAACUUGACCAAACUCAAGAAAUUAUCUCUUGGCGGUAACAGACUCCAAGGUGCGCAUGAUCACGAAGUUUAAUUAUGAAAAUUGUUGCAUAAGUUGCAGUUUGAAUAAUGUUCCAUAAUACACUUUACACACGUUGAUUAAUUUGCAGGCGAAAUUCCUCGAGAGUUUGGCAAUCUUGCCAAAUUGGAGGUGAUGUUGUUAUGGGAAAACAAUCUCCGAGGUAUGAUUAUAAACUUUUUGCGUUUUUUAUUAGAAAUUAAUUUGUGUUAAUUCAAAAUUCUGUAGCAUCUAAAAAAAUUAAAAACACAUGGAAUAAAUCGUCAAUCUUCUAAUUUGGAUUUCUCAAAAAUUAUAUUGACAAGUAUGCUUCACUAAUGAUAUACAUGUGUGACAACUUCAUAAAAUAUUUUACAUGGAAUCACCAAUUACCUUUAAAUAAUUGGAGAUGCCAUCAGUGAUACAUAAUUUCUUAAUAAGCAUCUUAUCAAAAGAAAUCAACAAUUUUAUUAAUCUUAAAAAGUUACAUCUUUACUGUAAUUAUGAAAUAAAUUUUUAGUCAUCAAUCACAUAAUAUUUUAUCUUAACGGAUGAUGUUCAGUCUAAGAAUUUAUAAUACCUUGAAGGUUAGUAGCUUUGAAAAUAAGAAAUUGUUCAUUUGCUAAAAAGUUAACUUAGUAUUUAAGUUUUUCAAUUGAAAAUUUUGAAAAAAGUCUUGAGAACUAGCCCUCCUUAGUAUUUCAGCGGAUAAAUAUGAAAAAUAGGCUUGAAGAAAUUAUUGUUGUGUGUGCUUAUUCUACUUGGGCUUUGGGCUUGAUUACACGGUCGAGCACUUACACCUGUCAUAAUAAUAGGCUUUUACUUUCACCACACGUUUGAUAAUUUCUUAACCUUCCGAAUUAAAUCUGAUUAUAAUUCUUUUAAAAUACAAAUUAAAUAGCACGUGAAAUCGGAAAAUAUUUUACAGCGAUAAGAAUUCAUAUAUUCAUUGUACCAGCACAUAUAAAAUAGACUAUAAAUUUAGUUCCAAAAUACAUUCUUAUCUUCAUAUAAAUUUUACAUUAUUAAUUUAAAUUAAUAUUAAAAUAUGUUGUUUCUUUCACUAUGUUAUUUUAUUUACACAGUUUACACACGUUGAUUAAUUUGCAGGAGAAAUUCCUCUAGAGUUUGGCAAUCUUGCCGACUUGGAGUGGAUGUCGUUGGCAGGCAACAAUCUCCAAGGCAUGAUUUUAAACUUUUUGCAAUUUUAUUUUAGCUAUGCUUGCUUCUGUAUUAAUUCGUUUGUUUAUUAAUUAUGCAAUGAUUUAUUGCUUUUCUUUCAGAUAGAGACAAAGCUCCAUGUCUCCCCUCACUCAUUUCAUUCUUUAAUUUAUGCAGAUAAAAAUAAAAAUAAAAUCUUUUGUAAUUUUCUUUUGUCAUAUUGCCACAUCCGUUUUGAAGCUCCCAAUUAAGUCGAUGAAUUAGAAUGAUGCUUCACUCUUAUUCUUGUCAGCCCAAUUCUUAUAUAAUUGAAGAGUAAAUUGUUAUUAUGAUAUUUGUCAGCCAAUAAAUUCUUUUUUUCCCCCCAAAUAUGAGUGAUCAAAUUGUUUGCGCAUAUAUAAAUGUACUUAAUUUGCAGGACGUAUUCCACGGGAAUUGGGGAAUCUUACAAAAUUGGAGAUAUUACAGCUGUUCACGAAUAACUUAUCCGGUAACUUUCUUUAUGAUAUAUAUAUAUAUGAGACAUCUUCCGCUUCUUAAUUAAUAGAUUUCAAGUCUCUCAUUAUAAAUUCUCAUAUGAGGAUGUGUCGUUACCUCUAUCUAACAUUAUUCUGUUUUUUAUUAGAAAUUAGUUUGUGUUAAUUCAAAAUUCUGUAGCAUUUAAAAAAAAUUAAAAACACGUGGAAUAAAUUGUUAAUCUUUCUUCUUUACUGAAUUUGGAUUUCUCAAAAAUAAUCUUGACAAGUAUGCUUCACUAAUGAUAUGCAUGUGUGACAACUUCGUAAAAUAUUUUACAUGGAAUCACUAAUUAUCUCUAAAGAUGCCAUCAGUGAUAAUAUUUUAUCUUAACCGACGAUGAUGUUCAGUCUUGGAAUUUAUAAUAUCUUGAAGGUUAGUAGCUUAGAAAAUAAGAAAUUGUUCAUUUGCUAAAAAGUUAACUUAGUAUUUAAGUUUUCCAAUUGAAAAUUUUGAAAAAAGCGUUGAGAACUGGCGCUCCAUAGUAUUUCAGCGGAUAAAUAUGAAAAUUUAUCCAAUUGUUCAUUUGCUAUAAAUUCAUUAUUCUUUGAAGCAAAUCUGAUUAUAAUUCCUUCAAAAUUAAGUUUGUCAUUAAAUGAUUUCUCAGGAGCCAUACCAAAAGAAAUCGGGAAUUUGACCAAACUCAAGGAAUUAUCUCUUGACCUUAACAGACUCCAAGGUGCGCAUGAUCACAGAGUUUAAUUAUGAAAAUUGUUGCAUAAGUUAUAUGGAUAUCCUUGAUAACCGCAGCAAGCAAACAAAAUCAAAUAAAAGCUAACUGAGACUCGAAUAUCCUAAACCCUGAAAAGGAAUGGUAAUGGUAUAAUAUGGAUUCUGUAGGCAUAUUUCACUGGACUCAACAUUUAUGGUUAAUUUACAACUCUUUGUUGUAGAGUCUGAGAAAUUGCUUUAUAUUAGGGGUGGGGAAAAUAAUGCUGGGCCACGAAUUUCAGGCAGAAUCCAGAUUGGGCCCAAUUAGACUUAUAGCUCAGCUCUGUGUCGAUAUCUGGGCCUUUACAAAUAACUAAUGGGCCAAUUAAUAAUAAUAAAUAAAUUACACACGGUCGAACACUUACACAGUUCCCUAGACACAUGCUUUCACUUUCACCACACAUUUGAUAAUUUCUUAGCCUUCCCAAUUAGUUUAUAGCAAUUUAUAUAUAAAUAACUAAAGCAUACUAAAGCUACCAUUGACGUACGGAUGAGUGGUGUCAAAAGUGUAUCUUGUUUUAUUUAUUAUUGUCCUAUGAUACAAAUCUGAAUAAUGGAAUAUAAUGCUUUGAAAAUACCGAUGAAAUAGCACAUGAAAUCGGAAAAUAUUUUACUGCAAUAAGAAUUCAUAUAUUCAUUGUAGUAGCACAUAUAAAAUAGACUAUAAAUUUAAUUUUAAAAUACAUUCUUAUCUUCAUAUAAAUUUUACAUUACUGAUUUAAAUUAACAUUAAAAUAUGUUGUUUCUUUCACUAUGUUAUUUUAUUUACACAAUGAUGUGACUAUUGGAAUUAAUAAUACUUAUAAUUAUUUUGUAAAAUUUAAUACUUUGUUAACAUUUUAUCUACAUAUAAUAAUUAAACUGAAACUUGUAUUUAAAAAAUUCUAGUUACGCAUAUUCAUUUCAUGACAUAAAAGUGUAUAUUUAUGCUAAUUUACCAGUAUCAACAAAAUUCUUUUGAGACAAAUAAUCUAAUUUAUAUUUGUAUAUUUAAAAUACUUGCAUUUAUUAUAUUUUGAAAAAAACUUUAUUUGCAAUUAUUUUAAACUGUUGGAUUCAAAUUUUCGUAGUUAUUAAAGUCAAAUGGUACAAAUGUAGAAUAGUCAAAAACAGAUUUGUAUAAUCAUUUUUCGAUGUAUAAAUUUCUUAGUUAGUAGGAAAAUUAGAAAUAGUUGAUUUACUCAUAAAUAAAUUUAAUGUCAAUUUUGGAAAACUUGAACUAAAUGUUGAUAACUUCGAAUCGGUCGAGCUGAGUUUCUCUUCCUUGACCCACGGACCCAUUGAAAGUUCUAUUCGAAUUGAGUUUCCCGGUGCUUAUAAAAAGCAUUUCUUUUCCUUGUUGCAGUAAUUUAUUCACAAAUGAGUUUAUUAGCAUCGAAGUUACCGGAGAGUCUGAGACCAUGCUAGUAGGAGAAAUUUGAAAAGAAAUUAUUUUACUGAAUUAAUUUAUUUUAUCUUCUUGUAACUGAAAUACUACUUUUUUUUUUUGGGCUAUCACUGGGGCUUGAUUUACUUUAAUAGUAGCAGCCACCGACUUAGGCAUUUUUUACUUCUCACCACACAAUUUGAUCUUUUAAUUCGUUUUAACCACAUAAUCUAUCUAUCUCUCACCUAUUGCUUACUUAAAUCUCAUGCAUAUUUUACCUACUAAUUUUUAUAAAUAUUAGUCAAAUAUAUUUUAUUACGUUUCUCUUGUAACUGCUCCAAAUGUGUACUAUUAACACUUAACCCUCCCUUUUAAUUUACCGUGCAAUCUAUCUAUCACUUAAGUCAGAUAUAUAUUUUACCUAUAUUUUACCCCAAAAAAUAUAAAAAUAAAAGAAAAAUAAUAUGUGUACCAAUUUGCAUAUAACUAACAAAGCAUUGACGGCGUGUAGCCUUUCAAUACUUCACGAGUGGCUUUUCUUGUGUGUUAGUACUUGUAAUAAUUGUGUAGCGUAUAAAUGACAUUUUAUUAUUAAAGUGCGUCCAUUUUUAUAUAUUACUUAUUAUUUGAAAAAUAAUCUGAAUAUAAUUCUUUUAAAAUAUAGGGGAGAUACCACUUGAAAUUGGUAAUCUCCAAAAUCUGGAGGAGUUGGACCUUCGUCAAAACAAAUUAAUUGGUACUGUCCCAGUUGCAAUCUUUAAUGUGUCAACACUCAAAUUACUUGGGCUUCAAGAUAAUUCUCUCUCUGGAAGUCUUUCGUCCAUCACAGACGUCCGACUACCAAAUCUUGAAGAGCUUGUUUUGUGGGGUAAUAAUUUCAGUGGUAGAAUUCCUCGUUUCAUCUUUAAUGCUUCUAAGCUCUCUAUACUAGAAUUGGAAGAGAACUCAUUCUCCGGUUUUAUUACCAACACAUUUGGCAACUUAAGAAACCUUGAGCGGCUUAAUUUACAAGAUAAUUAUUUGACAUCUUCAACUCCAGAAUUGAACUUUCUAUCCUCGUUGUCAAAUUGCAAGUCUUUAACAGUUAUUGGCUUAUCAAAUAAUCCACUAGAUGGCAUUCUUCCCAAGACGUCUAUCGGAAAUCUUUCUCAUUCUUUGGAAGAUUUUCAAAUGCACAAUUGUAACGUUACUGGUGACAUCCCUGAAGAGAUCGGCAACUUGACCAACUUGAUAACCAUUGAUUUAGGAGGCAAUAAAUUGAAUGGAUCGAUUCUGAUUACUCUUAGCAAAUUACAAAAGCUUCAAGGUUUGGUUCUUGAUGAUAACAAAUUAGAAGGAUCAAUCCCAGAUGAUAUUUGUCGUUUGGCUGAGCUGUAUAAAUUGGAGUUGGGUGGCAAUAAGCUUUCAGGAUCAAUCCCUGCAUGCUUCAAUAAUUUGAUUGCUCUGAGGAUACUGUCGUUGGGUUCCAAUGAGUUAACUUCUAUUCCCUUAACUUUUUGGAACCUUAAGGAUAUCUUGUACCUCAACUUUUCUUCAGCCCACUCCCAUUAGAGAUUGGAAAUUUGAAGGUUUUGGUUGGAAUUGAUUUUUCGAUGAAUAAUUUUUCAGGCAUUAUCCCAAAAGAAAUUGGAGGCCUAAAAAAUCUAGAAUAUCUCUUCUUAGGAUAUAAUAGAUUGCAAGGAUUGAUUCCUGAUUCAUUUGGUAAUUUGAUAAGUUUGAAAUUCUUGAAUUUGUCCAAUAAUAAUCUCUCUGGGGCAAUUCCUGCAUCUUUAGAGAAACUCUCAUAUCUUGAAGAUCUAAAUCUUUCUUUCAACAAGCUAGAAGGAGAAAUUCCUAGGGGAGGAUCUUUUGGAAACUUCUCAGCUGAAUCAUUUGAAGGAAAUGAAUUAUUAUGUGGUUCACCUAAUUUACAAGUCCCGCCAUGCAAAACUAGCAUCCACCACCCAUCAUGGAAUAUUUCUCUUCUCCUGGGGAUUGUCUUGCCAUUGAGUACUACAUUAAUGAUAGUAGUCAUUUGGUUGAUCCUAAGAUAUCGACAGAGAGGAAAACAACCAUCGAAUGAUGCUAAUAUGCCACUCGUAGCAAUGUGGAGAACGUUUUCAUACCUAGAACUUUGUCGAGCAACAGACGGAUUUAGUGAAAACAAUCUAAUCGGCAGAGGAGGGUUUGGCUCUGUUUAUAAGGCAAGACUUGGGGACGGGAUGGAGGUUGCAGUGAAGGUCUUCAAUUUGCAAUGUAGAAGAGCAUUUAAGAGUUUCGAUGUUGAAUGUGAAAUAAUGAAAAGUAUUCGCCAUCGAAACCUUAUCAAAGUUAUUAGCAGUUGUUCAAAUGAAGAGUUUAAAGGGUUGGUAUUAGAAUACAUGCCUCAGGGAAGUUUGGAGAAGCAUUUGUAUUCGACUAACUGCAUUUUGGAUAUUUUUCAAAGAUUGAACAUAAUGAUAGAUGUUGCAUCAGCUUUGGAAUAUCUGCACUUUGGUUGUUCAACUCCAGUAAUUCAUUGUGACUUAAAGCCCAGCAAUGUAUUGUUAGAUGAUAAUAUGAUUGCUUAUUUGAGUGAUUUUGGCAUCGCGAAGCUCUUAAUUGGAGAAGAUCAGUCUAUGACUCAGACGCAAACACUUGCCACAAUAGGUUAUAUGGCACCAGGUUUGUUCAAUAUAAAUAUUUUCUAUUUCUUGUAAACUUCCUAAUAAGUUAUUUAUGUUUCAUAAUCUUCAUUAGAUGAGGAAAUUAUUAUUAAUGAUAUAUCUUACUAUAUAAAUGUUGCAAUUCAUAGAGUAUGGAAGAGAAGGACGAGUAUCCACAAAUGGAGAUGUUUAUAGCUUUGGAAUUAUGUUAAUGGAAACUUUUACCGGGAAGAAACCCACAGAUGAAAUUUUUAAUGGAGAAAUGACAUUAAAGCAUUGGGUUAAUGAUUGGCUACCCAUUUCCACUAUGGAAGUUGUUGAUGCUAAUUUGCUAAGCCAGGAGGACGUACAUUUUGUUGCAAAGGAGCAAUGUGUGUCAUUUGUCUUCAAUUUGGCUAUGGCGUGCACUGUGGAAUCUCAUGAGCAGAGAAUCAAUGCAAAAGAAAUUGUAACAAAGCUCUUAAAAAUUAGAGACUCAUUACUUAGAAAUGUUGGAGGCAGACGUAUAAGACAACCAAAUUUAAAUUGAUUCUACCCCUCCAUUGCUUGCUAUCCUUUUCAGAGACUUGAACGGUUAUCCUUCAUACCAGUUUUGUUGAUAUGUUUUGUUAUUGCUCUUGCUUAUGUUUGUUUCUCUAUUUCUUUAAUUUGCAUGCAUGUAUUUUUCGUUCUCUUUUAUGUAUUUGUUGGUUUGUAUGUAGUUUGUUUUUAGGGGUAAGGUUGAUUAUGUCCUCCCCUAAUUAGACGUAUCCUUUUUAUGUUUAUUCAAUAAAGCUUCUCUAAUACUAUCGAGGUUCAUCAAAAGAAAAUUUUUAAUUAAUUUUCUUUUCUUUGACAGGUAAUGAAAUUCUAAUCUUCAUAGUGAAUAACUUCAAUAAUAGAGUGUAAGAGUAUUAGUAGUUAUGGUUGUUUUUUGAACCUGGAGUCAAGAGCAAUUUAACAGCAACAAACAAGUCUCUUGUAUUAUAGGCAAAAUUCUUUUCAUUAAUCUUAUUUGUCUACAUGUUCUCCUAUUUUCUCCAUUAAUCUUCGCUCAAGGUUUCAUGCUUCCUCUUUGAUAAAGGAAAAUAUUACUCGUGAAUAUUUCAAAUUUUCAAUUUGACAUGAGCGACUAUUUGCCAGCCAUUUGAUAAAAUGGAUAUGAGUGGAGUUUUCAAUCAUUACCUCCACCAAAAUCCUUACAACGCCACUUUUUAAUUUUAUUUUUUAAAAUACAUUCAGUUUAAUUUUAAAAAAUAAAUCCAUUUGUAAAAUUUAAUCUUUUUCUCAUAAAUUUCAACCUAAAAAAUAUAUUUCUUUUAAAUUUUUAUUAUAAAAUACUUACAAGUUCUAAACUAUUAAAUUAUUUUCUUCUUAUUAUAUAGUUUAUAUCUCCAUAACUCUAAACUCCUAUAAUUUCUUAAAAAAAAAAUUUUAAUUUAAAAUAUAAAUAUAAAAUAUAGAAUGGAGUGAGUAUAAAAAAACUUGUUAAAAUAAUAAUUCUUUUAAGUAUUUAACUGAAUUUUAAAUUAAAAUAAGAAAUAAAUUAUUUUUUUGGGAAAUAUUUAACCUACCCCCAAAUAAAUUGACAUUUUGCACCGCGUCCCCAAAAAAUUUGAUUUGUUGCACCGCGCCUCCAAUUCCGUUAUUUUCUCAGUUAAGUUUAACGGUGAGGGGGUAAAAUUGGAAGUUUAUUCCUCAAAUUACUUUUAAUAGGAAUUCUCUUUAUUGCAAUUGAAAUAAAAAUCUUUAAAAAUUAAAGGAAAAAUAAUAGUGGUGACAAUGUACAUGUAACAAGAAAUUUUUUUUAUUGCAAUUGAAAUAAAAAUCUUAAAAAAAUUAAAGGAAAAAUAAUAGUGGUGACAAAUGUACAUGUAACAAGAAAUUUUUUUUAUUGCAAUUGAAAAUUAAAGGAAAAAUAAUAGUGGUGACAAUGUACAUGUAACAUCAAUAAAUUUUUAUUACAUCUAUAAUAAGACAACUAUAGUGAGAUUACUCUUAUUUAGUUGAAUUGUAUGUAAUAAAAUUAGUUUAAAAAAAUCUAACCCGUCAGUAUUCCAUAUCACAUGAUUAACGUAUUUAAAAAAUCUUAGCUGUUCCGUCGCUUGUUUUAAACACUGCAGCAACAACCGGUAUAAAAUAGACUGAACUCAUUUAAUGGGAAUUUUUCUCAUUGGUCUAUUUCUCUUCGCACCUUAGGUUCCUCUAACAAACUUAAAAGAUGUUCCCCAUCCCACGUGUCUCCAAAUCUUCGUAUUUCCAAACAAACCCCUGCCAAAUAGAGAAGAGGAUGGCUUUUAUUGCAAACUGUAUGAACGUUAUGGCCAUGGGACAUUGGAUCAAAAUCAAACCAAUGGAUUGUAAAGCAAACUUACCGAUUAAAAAUUCAACCAAUUGAAUCGGUUUGGUGUCACUUAAAAAAUAAAUAAUAUAUAAAACAACACAAUUAUCAUAUUAAUGAGCCACUGUUAUAUUCAUUCAGUCAGUAUUUUUCUUUUCCCAUUUUCAAUGAAUGCUUAAUUUUCCAUAUGGAAAACAAUUUGUCCCAUUGAGCACUGUUUAAAUCAUUCCCUAGUUUGUUUAACACGCAAAGAAUAUUCUUAUUUGUAAAAAUUCAUUUAAGUGAUGACUGUGAUAUGACUUGACCAAUCGUUUAAUUUGUAUAAUUUAUAAAAAUUUGAGCUUCAAGUAAUGUAGAUAGAAUGGUUAAUUAUUUUAAUAUUCAGAUAAAUUGAUAUAUGUCAUUAUAUUAUGAGUGGAUGAAAUAUCCAAUAGAAAAAAAAAUAUUUGUAUUCGUCAUUUUUAGUGGGAAUCGAUUUAGUGUAACUUAUCCAUAAAAAUGGUUGCCGACUUAUCUUGUUUCUCAUUUUGUUUAAUUUUCAUAAAUUUGACUCAUGAUUAAUUGUGAGUGAAGAAUUUUUUGGAAAAAAUCUGGUCUUCCAUUUAUUUUGUAGGAUUUAAAAGAUUAAAAAACUUUAAUACAUAUAAUUUUAUGUUCGAAACUAAAUACUCGUAGUAUUGCUGCUUCUAUAAAUAACUCAUUUGAGCUUCCAGCCUGUUAUUUGUAUUUUACGUUUCUGUUUCUCUUCCUCUUCAUAAAGAUUUUUUUUUUUCCAUUCUCUUUUUCUUCCACUUUCCCGACUCCCAAACACCACCAGUCUUUGAUUUUCCUAGAGUAUUAACUAUCUGUUUACACGAACAUAGACCGACAGUUUGCCUAAUUACUAUCAAGAAACAACAUACUCUGUCUCGGGGUCUCUUCGUUUAUUGACUUGUCACUUGUGAACGGGCUAAUUAAAGGGCGUUCCUUCCUUCAAGAAAGGAUAACGUUACCCCGUUAUUCGGUAAUGACUGUCCGAUUGUCUUCGCUUUCAUUGACUUCGCAACUGUGAAUUCUAAGCCGGGUUAAGGAUUGACAAAAUGUUAUAACCCAUAAAGCACGGAUAAUUAAUUAAUGGGCCACUGAUUUCUUCUUUAAAGGCUAAUUCUUGGUAAAGAUCAGAAAGUUCUCAAAUAAAAAUUCGGCUUUGUGGAAAUUAAAUUAAAAGCAAUUAAGCAUUAUAAAUUACUUAACAGCUUAAUCGAGUUUGGUUUUGAAAAAUAUAUCUUUAAAUCUCUUGUAAUUAAAGAUAAUUAUCAUAUUACUGUCUCAAAUGGACCGAUUUCAAUCAAAUGAAAUCUAGAAAAUUGAGCAGCUCAUUGAUGUAUUUGGUCGAAUUGUGACUUGUGUCAGAGUCUUCGUUUUAGAAGAGUGCACAGCAGCUGCCAGGUCCACUUGGCAGUUGGCACGCCAAAAUUUUUCUGUUGACCAAUAAUUUUGAAAGGGAUAUUAUUAAUUUAAUAUCAAAUAUUUUCUAACACAUCACUUUACUAUCAAAAUUUUUUGACAAUAAUUUUUUAUCACUUAAUAUUUCAGUUUUUAUCAUUUUAUCAUCAAAAAAUAGUAAAAGCAUACUUAGUGUAAGUUGUUCAUAAAAAUGGUUGUUGAAUUGUCUUGUUUCUCAUUUGGUUUAAUUUUCAUAAAUUCGACUCACACAAUUCAAUUAUGAGUGAAGAGUUUUUUUGGGAAAAAUCUGGUCUUCCAUUUACUAGAAUCAGGUCUGAAUGAUUUUAUUAUUUUUCUUUUGUUUGAAAUAUACGUGGAAAAUGUUGAACACUUUGUAGGAUUUAGAAGAAUUUGAAAGUUUGAAUGCAUAUAGUUUACUAUCCAUCAGCUAGUGCAUAUUCUGUAUUUUAUGAAAUCAAAGCUGGUUGAUUGAGAAAUGGACCUUAUUACAUGUCAUAAGAUUUUACAGUGCUUUCUAAUGGAGCAAAAUAAAAUGAUUCUUACCUGCACAGAAAAUUAGAAACGAAAAGGAGGGUUACUGAUCCACAGAGUUGUUAUUUACGAGAAGCACAUAGAUAUUACACUUAAUUUAUUAUCCAUCUGUAUUGUUUAGAUGACACUGAAGUAUUACCUAAAUUAGGCUUUCAAAACUUCUUUUUCAAAAAUCUAUGGUUGUGAUGCAUCUCUAUAAACUCACUCGUACAAAUUCUAUCUAAUGCCAAUCAUUUUAACUCUGUUCUGAACAAAGCAUGAAAGGAUAUGUUCACUUAUCUAGUUAUGUUUUCUAUGCUUUCACUUCACUUGAUUCACCUUGUCCCUCGUUUUAGAAGAGUGCAGAGCAGCUGCCUUGUCCAUUAGGCACAGUUUCUUUUCUGGAAUUAGAAAAGAAAAGGAGGAUUACUGAUCCACAGAGGUGUCAUUUACUAGAAGCACAUAAAUCUUACACUUAAUUCAUUAACCAUAUGUAUGUUCUAAUGAUACUUAAGUAUUACCUAAAUUUGCCUUUCAAAACUUCACUUCGAAAAAGUCCAAGGUUGUGAUGUGUCUGUAUAAAUUCGCUAAUACAAGUUCUCUCUAUUCCCAAUUGUUUUAAACUCUGUUCUGAACAGAGCAUGAAAGGAUAUAUUCGUUUAUCUAGUUAUAUUUUUUAUGCUCUCACUUCACUUGAUUCACCUUCUCCAUCUUUUAAAACAGUUGUAUAUGUCGGAGUAUCAAGUUCAUCACAAGGAUCAUAUUAUGGCCCAAGGAAGGAGCACAGUUCAUUGUCUGCACUCAAGCUUAGCAGAGUAUUUUGGGAUUCAAGAGUGUUAGUAGGCCGUUACAGAUGCCAUGCUGGCAAGCGUGCUAUGACUGACUGCUAUUUGCACGUAAAAUUUGCCCAAAACAAAUAGAAUGAGAAUACUUGUACAAAAGGACAAGAUUAAUAAAGUGAAUAAAUUUUAUCUUUUAGUGAAUGCUUCUUGUCUUUUAGAGUUUUAGUGCAUUUUCGUGUGUAAUUUUAUGUGCAAAUAGCAUUACGCAUUAGUAAUUAGUCUAGAGUGUUCUAAUUUCUUCUAAUAAGUAGCUGAUUUGAGCUUAAGACUUGUAUUUUAUGAUUUUGUUACUUUCUAAUAAAGAUUUUCUCUGUUCUUUUUUUACUUUCACUUUCUCUUCCAUUUUCCCGACUCCCAAACACCACCAAUCCUUGGUUUUCUAGAGUAUAGCUAUGUAGUUCUGCAAACACGAAACUGCUGUUUGUCCAAUUACUUUCAAGAAACAACGUACUCUGUGGUUUAUUGACUUGUGACUUGUGGACGGGGCAAAUUAGUCACGGUCCGAUUGUCUCCUCUUCCACUGACUCUGUCAAUUCAUGACUUUGGCACACAGUAGACGCCAGCUGGCUUCUCCACUUGACGUGCAAAAAACUUUCUUGAGUCGGGUUAAAAUCGAUUGAUUAUUUUGUUUGGUGAUGAUGAGUUAUUUGUCAAUUCAUGAGUUUGAUACAGUGAAACGCUUAACGCUCUCUUGUGAUGCGCGGGAGAAAAGCCACCAGCGAUGAUGAAGAGGACGAAAAACAUUAUUUUGUUAUUUAAAAUAAGACUAUCAAUUAUAGGGUAAUGCUAAGUUACAUGCAUGUACCUUACAUCCCUCUCACAUGAAUAGUGUAUGGAUACUAUUCAUGUGAGAGGGUUGUAAGGUACAUGCAUGUAACUUAGAGGGAUCCUCAAUUAUAUAUUCCAAAAUAAUUGAGUUUGGUUAACCAAAGUUGGUUGAUGUGAGUGGUUCGGCACUCUCACUCCUUAAGAGAGAUCAGGGGUUCAAACCCCACUCUCGUAUGGAGUCACCACUUUGGCCAGCACUUUACCCCUUACGGGCCGACUCGGUGCAAGCGGGGAUUAGUCUGGGUUGUGGUACGAGCUUAAAGAUGCCUCCCAUAGUUAGGGUCCACUCAGGACUACCUCGUGGUUCAGACAAAAAAAAAUAAUAAUAAUUGGGUUUGGAUGGCCAUUUGGUUUUUUAAAAUAGCCAAAUGGAAUCUUACCGAAUUAGAGUGCUCGACUUCUUUAUACAGAAUUUUGAAAGUGUGAAAAUCAAGAAAUUAAAUACUCUUCAUAUGGUGGGAGGAGGUUUGGUUGCCGUUAUGCUAAAUAAAAGAAAAAUAAAGUAAAAGUACAAUACUUCAAUAAUCUCAUUCCCAAUCAUACCCGAAAUAAAAUUUUCUGUAUAUUUUUAUGAAAUAAUUAUUUAUUUUACUUUGGUAAUUUUUUUUAUUUAAAGUAAGGUAAACAUCCUUUGCUUUGGCCUUUACUCUUGACUCUAUUUCAUGGUCAUAUUCAAUCUCAUUCUUCUGUAGGUUUGUGGCUGCUUUAUGAGUUACGAUUUUUUAUAGGAUUGCAUGUAGAUGAUACAUUUAUAUACAUUUUUUCUUUUUUCUUUUCUUCUUCGGUGAGCAUAUAAAAAAUUUAGUUUUUGUUACUAUGUGAAAUGAAAAUAGUCCUCAUUUCAAGGAUUAAUGGGCCACUAAUUUCGUCUUCUUAAAAGAAAAUUAAUUAUUUUCAGCGAGGUAAUUGGAAGCUUGAGCAUUUCUAUAUUAUACAGCCAAACAAACCUAAUGGUGCGUUUACUUGCCGGAUUGGGGAAUCGGAAUCAGGAAUCGGAAUGACUGAUGGUGUUUACUUCAUAAAUAUGGAACAUGAAUCGGAAUCGGAAUAGUGGGGCCCACCACUAUUUGGGAAUGGAGAAUGAGAGAUUGAUUCCCAUGGGGGAGGUGGGAAUGUGUCUCCUAUUCCCGGGAUUGACCAUUUUGCCCUUCCCCAAAAUGGAAAAUGCCCACUUUGUCCUCUUUUAUAAUUAAUUAAUAUAAUAUUAUAAUCAAUUAAUUAAUAUAUUAUGAUAAAUAAAUAAAUAAAUAUAUUAUUAACUAUAAUUAUUAAAAAUUAUAGUUCUUGAAUAAAUAAUCACAAUAAUUAAUAUAUUAUUAUUAUAGUUAAUUAAUUAAUUAUUACUAUUAAUUAAUUAAUUAUUACUAUUAAUUAAUAUAUUAACAUAUUAUUAAUAAUAAUUUAUUAUUAUUAUUUUUGAAUAAAUAAUCACAAUAAUUAAUUUAUUAUUAUUAUAAUUAUAAUUAAUUAAUUAAUGUACUAUUACAAUAAUUAUUAAUAUAAUUAAUUUAUAUAUUAUUAUUAAUGAAUCAAUAUAAUUAUUACUAUUAAUUAAUAUAUUAAUAUAUUAUUAACAAUAAUAUAUUAAUAAUUAUUGUUCCUGAAUAAAUAAUCACAAUAAUAUAUUAAUAAUUAUUGUUCCUGAAUAAAUAAUCACAAUAAUUAUUAUUAAUAUUUUUAAUUAAUUAAUAUACUAUUAUAAUUAUUAUUAUAAUUAAUUCAUAUAUUAUUAUUAAUUAAAUAAUAUAUUUAUUACUAAUAAUUAAUAUAUUAUUAACAAUAAUUAUUAUAAUUAAUUCAUGUAUUAUUAUUAAUUAAUUAAUUAAAUUAAUAUUAUUAAAUAAAUAAAUAAUUUAAUUAUUACUACUAAUUAAUAUAUUAAUAUAUUAUUAACAAUAAAUAUUAAUAAUUAUAUUUUUUGAAUAAAUAAUCACAAUAAUUAAUAUAUUUUUAUAAUAAUUUUUAUUACAGUUAUUAUGAUUAAUUAAAAAAUUUUACAAGUAGUUAAUAUAUUAGUUAAUAAUAAUUAUGAAAAUAAUCCAUUAAGUACUUUUUAGUAAUUUGUUACAAUUUAAUUCAUUCCGAUUCUGAUUCCAAGACAAAGUAAACACAUUAAUGACAAUUCAACUCAUUCCGAUUUCGAUUCCUACAGUUCAAGUAAACAAUUUAUUUUGAUUCCCAUUCCAGCUCAUUCUCAUUCUUGUCCAUUUCGAUGCCAGCUCAUUCCAAUUCCAAUUUAGUAAACACAGCAUAAGUGAUAAGAAUUUCCAUAUGAGAUAUAAUUUGGAGGGAAAAAAAAUACUAAUUCAAGUUAAUAGAAAGAUUACAGCAAUAUAAUUUCAAUUUAUCCAAAAAUUUGAGUUUCAAGGAAUAUAGCAUUUAUUAUAUGUAUAGAGAAGCAAUUUUUAAAUAUUUCUUUUUUGAAUGAAUAAAAGUUUUUUUGAUAAAAAUUUCACAAUCAUAUUUAAAAAAAAGUUUAUUUUUUUUUAAAAAAAGUCACUCCUCUUCCUACAUAAUUUAGGAAUUUAACAUUACUUUCUUAGAAAUUUUGGUUUCACUAUAAAUACUCGGUAUACAGCAAACUUAUGAGUGUUCUUGCAUUACCAAUCCAAUUAAGCACACGCUUAAAAUCUAAAAUAAUCUCAUCUCAUGGAAAGUGUUCAUUCUCUCAAUAUUAUGAGCAGAUUUCUCUUACUCCAUUGAUUGAUUCUUAUUUCCUUAUUUAUCACAGCCAGUGGCGGACCUACACGUGGGCUACAGCCCGGUCUAGUCCAGAAAAAAUCGUUUAUACCCCUUAAUGUUUCAUUAAUUUAGUAAAAUUAUAGAGUUUUAAUUUUAUUUUCAUAUAUGUCCCUAACUCAAUUACCCUUAUAUUUUCAUCAAUUUAGUAUAACAAUAGAGUUUUUAUUUUAUAUUCAAAUAUGUCCCUAACCCAAUUACCCUUGUGUUUUCAUCAAUUUUAUAUAACAAUAGAGUUUUUAUUUUAUUUACAAAUAUAUCCCUUAUUCAAUUAUAUUAUUUUCAAUUGAAAUUAGUGACUUAUUUUAUAAAAUGAUUAAAUCAUAUAUUUAUUGAAUAGAUUGAAAACAUUAGGGAGCUAAAAUUUUAUUACUACUUUAAUUUAUUUUAAAAAACUUCUAAUUGAAAAAAAAAAUAUGUCAAUGUAAUAUAACAUUGUCACUAGUAUUAAAAGUACUUACAGAAACAACAUGCAGUAACAAUUAUCAAUAUUUUAUAAAAUUUUUAUGUGAAUUUUCAGAUUUUAUUUAUUAGUUAUAUUAACUAAGAGGGCAAGUUAGAAAAUAAAAUUUGAGUAUUUUAAGGAGCUUUUGAUAGAAGAAUUAUCAACAUCUAGUUUUUUAAAGAGAGCUAGAGCGCCUGACAAAGAAACAACUGCACCCAAAUACAUUUUUGCUGAAUUGAGUUUAGUUUAUUAUUGAAACUUUUGACUAAUAAUACCUUUACAAUUUGAAAGGAUGAAUAAAUUUUAAUUGUUUAAUUUAUUAAGUUUAGUAAUUAAGUACUUCACCUCAAACAUAAAAGUGUUACUUGUAAUUUUUAAUUGAUUGUAAUUACAUGUAUUGAUCUAUUUUAAUUUGAAAUUCUUAAUUGAUUUUUUAAUCCUUAUAUAAUUAUAUAUUAUUAUAGGCUGCAAUGUCAGAUUCUAUAAUUGAAGAAUAGUGUUUUCAUAUUCGAGUUACCUUUUGUUUUUUACUCUUUUUCUAUAAUUAUUUUUGUUUAUAGUUCAUAUUUAGAGAGAGAAAAUUUUUGGUAUUCCUCCUUAUUUAAUAUACUUAUUUUUAUAUAUAAAUUUUUAUGUUCGCUUCAAAAUAUAAAUUUUAAAAUUUAGCCCGGGGUAAUAUUAAGUCCUGGAUCCGCCCCUGAUCGCAGCUGCAACAGCCAACACAAGUACUAUUACCACAGACCGAGAUGCUCUGCUUGCCCUGAAAGCUCACAUAACUCAUGAUCCAACCAAUUUCUUCGCCAAAAAUUGGAACACGAAUAUCUCUUUCUGUAAUUGGACAGGCGUCGCUUGCGAUGUCCAUAGACAUAGAGUCACAGUCUUGAAUAUUUCUGGCUUAAAUCUCACGGGCACCAUCCCCUCUCAACUUGGGAAUCUUUCUUCUCUGCAAUCACUCAAUCUAAGUUUUAACCGACUUUCUGGUUCCAUUCCCUCCGCCAUUUUCACCACGUACACACUAAAAUAUGUUAAUCUCCGUCAAAACCAGCUCUCCGGCGCUUUACCUUCUUUCAUCUUCAACAAGUCUUCUUUACAACAUCUUGAUUUCACUUUCAAUACAUUGUCUGGUGAAAUUCCUGCAAAUAUUUGUAGUAAUCUUCCUUUCCUUGAAAUUCUUUCUUUACAAGAAAACAUGUUCCAUGGAGCAAUACCGUCCAAUCUAUCAAAUUGCACAUAUUUAAGAAUCUUAAGUUUGGCAUACAAUGAUUUCUCGGGAGCCAUACCUAGAGAAAUCGGCAAUUUGACCAAACUUAAGGGAUUAUAUCUUGGCGCUAACAGGCUCCAAGGUGCGUAUGAUGAUGGAGUUUAUGAAAAUUGUUGCAUAAGUUGUAAUAUGAAUAAUGUUCCAUAAUACAGUUUACACCCGUUGAUUAAUUUGCAGGAGAAAUUCCUCGAGAGUUUGGCAAUCUUGCCGUAUUGGAGCUGAUGUCGUUAGCAGGAAACAAUCUCCAAGGUAUGAUUUUAAACUUUUUGCAAUUUUAUUCUAGCCUCUGCUUGCUUCCGUAUUCAUUAGCUUGUUCUUUAAUUAUGCUAUGAUUUAUUGUUUUUCUUUCAGAUAGAGACAAAGCUCCACGUCUCCCCUCACUCAUUUCAUUCUUUAAUUUAUGCAGAUAAAAAAAAAAAAUGCUCUGUAAUUUUCUUUUGUCAUAUUGCCAUUUCCAUUUUGAAGCUUCCAAUUAAGUCGAUGAAAAUGAAUGAUGUUUCAUUCUUAUUCUUGUCAGCCUAAUUCUUAUAUAAUUGAAGAGUAAAUCGUCAUUAUGAUAUUCGUCAGCCAAUAAAUUCUUUUUUUCUUUUCCCAAAUAUGAGUGAUCAAAUUGUUUGCACAUACAUAUAUGUACUUAAUAUGCAGGAGGUAUUCCACAGGAAUUGGGGAAUCUUACAAAAUUGGAGGGGUUAGAGCUGGUCCAGAAUAACUUGACCGGUAACUUUCUUUACGAGAUAUAUAUAUAUAUAUAUAUAUGAGACAUCUUCCGCUUCUUAAUUAAUAGAUUUCAAGUCUCUCAUUAUAGAUUCUCACAUGAGGGUGUGUCGUUACCUCUAUCUAACAUUAUUCCGUUUUUUAUUAGAAAUUAGUUUGUAUUAAUUCAAAAUUCUGUAGCAUUUAAAAAAAAUUAAAACACGUGGAAUAAAUCGUCAAUCUUUCUUCUUUACUGAAUUUGGAUUUCUCAAAAAUUAUCAUGACAAGUAUUCUUCACUAAUGAUAUGGAUGUGUGACAACUUCAUAAAAUAUUUCACUAAUUAUCUUUAAAUAAUUGGAGAUGCCAUCAGUGAUACAUAAUUUCUUUGCAAUCACCAUACCAAAAGAAAUCAACAAUUUUAUUAAUCUUAAAGAGUUAUACCUUCACUGCAAUUAUGGCAUAAUUUUUUAUCUAAAGAAAUUUUAGCCAUCAAUCGCAUAAUAUUUUAUCUUAAUGGGUGAUGAUCAAUCUUGGAAUUUAUAAUAUCUUGAAGGUUAGUAGCUAUUAAAAUUAGAAAUUGUUUAUUUGCUAAAAAGUUAACUCAGUGUUUAAGCAUUUCAAUUGAAAAUUUUGAAACAAACGUUGAGAACUGGUCCUCCUUAGAAUUUCAGCGGAUAAAUAUGAAAAAUAGACUUGAAAACAAAAUAUUUUACUGAGAUAAUAAUUAAAAAGAGAGGAGAAGUACAAUACUCAUGACUUAGGGUUGCUGUGUACUUAUUUUACUUGGGCUUCGGGCUUGAUUACACGCGGUCGAACACUUACUUUUGGGGAUGAGUGGUGUCAAAUGUGUAUAUGCUUUUAUGUAUUAUUUAUUAUUCUUUGAAACAAAUCUAAUUAUAAUUCUUUCAAAAUACAGAUGAAAUAACAAGUGAAAUCGGAAAAUAUUUUUCUGCGAUAAGAAUUCAUAUAUUCAUUGUAGUAGCACAUAUCAAAUAGACUAUAAAUUUAGUUCAAAAUACAUUCUUAUCUUCAUAUAAAUUUUACAUUACUAAUUUAAAUUAAUAUUAAAAUAUGUUGUUUCUUUCACUAUGUUAUUUUAUUUACACAAUGAUGUGACUAUUGGAAUUAAUAAUACUCGUAAUUACUUAGCAAGAAUAUAAAUUUAAUACUUUGUUAACAUUUUAUCUACAUAUAAUAAUUAAACUGAAACUUGUAUUUAAAAAAUUUUAGUUACGCAUAUUCAUUUCAUGAUAUAAAAGUGUAUAUUUAUACUAAUUUACCAUUAUCAAUAAAAUGCUUUGAGACAAAUAAUCUAAUUUAUAUUAGUAUAUUUAAAAUACUUGCUUUUAUUAUAUUUUGAAAAAACUUUAUUUGCAAUUAUUUUAAACCUUUGGAUUCAAAUUUUCUUAGUUAUGUAUAAAUGUAUAAUAGUCAAAAACAUAUUUGUAUGAUCAUUUUUCAAUGUAUAAAGUUUCUUAAUUAGUAGGAAAAUUAGAAAUUGUUGAUUUACUCAUAAAUAAAUUUAGUGUUUAGCAUUUCAAUUUUGGAAAACUUGAACUAACUGUUGAUAACUUCGAAUCGGUCUAGCCGAGUUUCACUUCCUUGUCCCAUGGACCCAUUGAAAGUUCUAUUCGAAUUGAGUUAGUACUUGUAAUAAUUGUAUAGUGUAUAAAUGACCUUUUAUUAUUACAGUGCAUCCGUUUUUAGAUAUUAUUUAUUAUUUGAAAAAUAAUCUGAAUGUAAUUCUUUCAAAAUACAGAGAAGAUACCACCUGAAAUCGGUAAUCUCCGAAAUCUGGAGGAGUUGAACCUUGGUGAUAACAAAUUAGUAGGUACUAUCCCAACUGCAAUCUUCAAUGUGUCAAAACUCAAAGCACUUAAGCUUUAUAGUAAUUCUCUCUUGGGAAGUCUUUCGUCCAUCCCAGACUUCCGACUUCCAAAUCUUGAAGUGCUUCUUUUGUGGGGUAAUAAUGUUAGUGGCACAAUUCCUUGUUUCAUUUUUAAUGCUUCUAAGCUCUCUAAACUAGAUCUGGAAAACAACUCAUUCUCAGGUUUUAUUCCCAACACAUUAGGCAACUUAAGAAACCUUGAGCGGCUUAAUUUAGGUGAUAAUUAUUUGACAUCUUCAACUCCAGAAUUGAGCUUUCUAUCCUCGUUGUCAAAUUUCAAGUCUUUAACACAUAUUGUGUUAUCAAAUAAUCCACUAGAUGGCAUUCUUCCAAAGACGUUUUUCAGUAAUCUUUCUUAUUCUUUGGAAGAAAUUCAAAUGCACAAUUGUAACAUUAGUGGCGGCGUUCCUAAAGAGAUCGGCAACUUGACCAAUUUGACAACCAUUAUUUUAGGAGGCAAUAAAUUGAAUGGAUCGAUUCCGAUUACUCUCGAAAAAUUACAAAACCUUCAAUAUUUGGGUCUUAAAGAUAACAAAUUACAAGGAUCAAUCCCAGACAGUAUUUAUCGUUUGACUGAACUGUAUGAGUUGGAGUUUGGCGGCAAUAAGCUUUCUGGAUCAAUCCCUGCAUGCUUCAGUAAUCUGGCUUCUCUGAGGAUACUUUCGUUGGAUUCCAAUGAGUUAACUUCUAUUCCCUUAACUUUUUGGAACCUUAAGGAUAUCUUGCAACUCAACCUUUCAUCAAAUUUUUUUACUGGCCCACUCCCAUUAGAGAUUGGAAAUUUGAAGGUUUUGGUUGGAAUUGAUUUUUCGAUGAAUGAUUUUUCAGGCGUUAUCCCAACAGAAAUUGGAGGCCUAAAAAAUCUAGAAUAUCUCUUCUUAGGAUAUAAUAGAUUGCAAGGAUCGAUUCCUGAUUCAUUUGGUGAUUUGAUAAGUUUGAAAUUCUUGAAUUUGUCCAAUAAUAAUCUCUCUGGGCCAAUUCCUGCAUCUUUAGAGAAACUCUCAUAUCUUGAAAAUCUAAAUCUUUCUUUCAACAAGCUGGAAGGGGAAAUUCCUAGGGGAGGAUCUUUUAGAAAAUUCUCAGCUGAAUCAUUUGAGGGAAAUGAAUUAUUAUGUGGUUCACCCAAUUUACAAGUCCCGCCAUGCAAAACUAGCAUCCACCGCACAUCAAGGAAAAAUGCUCUUAUCCUAGGGAUUGUCUUGCCAUUGAGUACUAUAUUUAUGACAGCAAUCAUUUUGUUGAUCAUAAAAUAUCGAAAAAGAGAAAAAAGGCCACCAAAUUAUCCUAAUAUGCCACCAAUAGCAACGUGGAGAAGGUUUUCAUACCUAGAACUCUGUCAAGCAACAGACAAAUUCAGUGAAAACAAUCUAAUCGGUAGAGGAGGUUUUGGCUCUGUCUACAAAGCAAGAAUUAGGGAUGGGAUGGAGGUUGCAGUGAAGGUUUUCAACCUGCAAUGUGGAAGAGCAUUUAAGAGUUUCGAUGUUGAAUGUGAAAUGAUGAGAAGUAUCCGCCAUUGAAACCUUGUCAAAGUUAUUAGCAGUUGUUCAAAUGAAGAGUUUAAAGCAUUGGUAUUAGAAUACAUGCCUCAUGGAAGUUUGGAGAAGUAUCUGUAUUCAAGUAACUACAGUUUGGAUAUUUUUCAAAGAUUGAACAUAAUGAUAGAUGUUGCAUCAGCUUUGGAAUAUCUGCACUUUGGUUAUUCAGCUCCAGUAAUUCAUUGUGACUUAAAGCCCAGCAAUGUAUUGUUAGACGAUAAUAUGGUUGCUCACUUGAGUGAUUUUGGCAUUGCAAAGCUCUUAACUGGAGAAGAUCAAUCUAUGACUCAAACACAAACACUUGCCACAAUAGGCUAUAUGGCACCAGGUUUGUUCAAUAUAAACAUUUUCUCUUUCUUGUAAACUUCCUAAUAAGUUACUUAUGUUUCAUGAUCUUCAUUAGAUGAGGAAAUUAUUAUUAAUAAUAUAUCUUAUGAUGUAACUGUUGCAAUUCAUAGAGUAUGGAAGAGAAGGACGAGUAUCCACCAAUGGAGAUGUUUAUAGCUUUGGGAUUAUGUUAAUGGAAACUUUUACUGGGAAGAAACUCACAGAUGAAAUUUUUAAUGGAGAAAUGACAUUAAAGGAUUGGGUUAAUGAUUGCCUACCCAUUUCCACUAUGGAAGUUGUUGAUGCUAAUUUGCUAAGUCAGGAGGACAUACAUUUUGUUGCAAAAGAGCAAUGUGUGUCAUUUGUCUUCAAUUUGGCUUUGGAGUGCACUAUGGAAUCUCCUGAGCAGAGAAUCAAUGCAAAAGAAAUUGUAGCAAAACUCUUAAAAAUUAGAGACUCAUUACUUAGAAAUGUUGGAGGCAUAUGUAUAAGACAAUCAAAUUUAAAUUGAUUUUGCCCCUCUUUCAUUGCUUGCUAUCUUUUUCAGAGAUUUGAACGAUUAUCCUUCAUACAAGUUUUGUUGAUAUGUUUUGUUAUUGCUCUUGCUCAUGUUUAUUUCUCUCUUACUUUAAUUUGCAUGCAUGCAUUUUCGUUCUCUUUCAUGUUUGCGUUGGUUUGUAUGUAGUUUGUUUUUUGGGGUAAGGUUCAUUAUGUCCUCACCCUAAUUACAUGUAUCCUUUUUAUUUUUAUUCAAUAAAGCUUCGUUAUUACUAUCGAAGUUUAUUGAAAGGAAAUUUUCAGUUGAUUUUCUUUUCUUUGACUAGUAAUGGAAAUUCUAAUCUUUAUAGUGAAUAACUUCAAUGAUAGAAUGUGUGAACAUAUUUAGUAUGUUGAAAAUGAUCAUUAGAGAAAACAACAAGUAUCAAGGAAUAAGAUGUAAUUAAAUUGAUUGGACAGUUAAGAUAUCGAUUUAAUUAAUGAUGUGGUACAAAAGAUUGAGCGGUAAAGAAAUCAAUGUGGCUUGGGACGAAUGAUUAUUCGAACAUACAAUUAUGGAGGUCAACUCCAAUCUUAUAGUGGAGUAUAGUUGGAAUUAAAUGAUUAGGCUUAUUUAAUUACAGGCUUAAUUGUUGUAGCCAAUAGUGUAUGUUCCCAAAUGAUCCCCGAGUUAGCUCAUUUAAUUGACUGCACCACUAUUGGAUUAAUAAGCAAGAUAACUAACUAUUUGGGUCAAAAGCCUAAAUAUAUCAUUUAGUGGGAGGCUCCAUUUAAUAUGCUUGUGUGUAAGGGGCCUUAUGUUAUUUUACAAGGUGGGCCCCCUAUAGAAAAAGCAAGUAACUUGAUUUUUUAUUUUUAUUAUUUAGAGCCUAGGGUUUUCACUAAAGGGAGAUAUAAAAAGACUUAUUUUCUCAAAAGAAAAAAGUGAGCCGCAAUACAUAGAUUAGAGAAAAAGAAUUUUUCUCUCUCUAAUUGAGAGGAAAAUUUUCUGUUGCUAGUUGCUUUUAGUAGUGAUAAAGGCGUCCACAAAUCAAGUGCAGAUCAAAUCUAAGUCAUAACCUGGAAGAUCAUUGGUGACAGAUCGUGAUCUAACAAGCGUGCUGGUGACGGAUCGUGAUCUAAUAGGUGUGGUGGUGACGGAUCGUGAUUAGGGAGCCUAGAUUAACUCAGCGAAAAAGCCAAAUCAAAUUGUCAAGGUAUGAUUUUCUAGAUUACGAAUUCCUAUAUAUUAUAUGAGAUCAAUCCUAAAAGCUUUUUUUUUAAAACUGAUUUUUCCCUGACAAGAAAUUCACGGAUCAAUGGCUUCUUAUUGUUUCUUUUAGAUGACAGCUUGCAAUCUCUGGGUGUGCAUUCAUAAUGCCUUACAUGAAUACAAGAAUGAAGGUUGCCCCCCCCCCCCCCCCCCCCCCCCCCCCUCUCUCUGGGCCAAUUGCAGUUUUGAUAACAACUCAAAUCGGUGUGGUAGAAAGCCUUGCCCCAGACCUCCGCCAUUUUCUCUUCCACCACAAUUUGGGGAACCUAAACUACUUACUUUUUGCCAGUUUUUCUUGAAAUAUUUUUGAGAAGAAAACCAACAAUACAUUUUAUGAUUUGGGCUGUUUUAAAGAUCUUUGCUUGAUACCUCUGCUACUGGUUUUCAGCAGAGUGCCCAAAAAUAAUCAGUGCACGCACUAUAGGCUCUAUUAUUAUCAGUAAAAAGUAUUAAUGAUAUAUAUUGGGAUCGACUUUUUUAUUUGGGAGUGGAAGCAUGCUUGAAAGAGUAGAGUGGUGCAUCUUGUUCAAACAUGCCAAUUCCAUCUUAUGAAAUAGGAGUUAGACUGAACAAUGUUAUGUCUUCAUUAUCAUUUCAGAAGGAAACAAAUCAAAUGCAGCAAUUGAUGUACGAGUUGCUGUUGGCGCUGCUAUAUUUUUUACAGACUCUCAUACCAUGGAAAAACUCAGCUUUAAAGAAUGGUAUGAUGCUUUGAUUUAUGAAGUAAUUGGUAUAUAUUUUGUACCUUCCAUACAUUUUGCUCUGUUAAUGUUAUUAUUUGAUAACAUGUUUGUCGAGUUGCACAGUGUCUAGAAUUUUGAGAUUAAGAAGAGUCUAAAUGCUAUACAAAUACACUCCUUUCAUUUUAUACAACUUUGAUUGAUCAUUGUUUUAAAUUUACCUCAGGCAUCAAUGGAGUCUAUCCGAGUCUCCUUUGCUGGGGAAUCAGUCAAAUAACAGCACAGGUGCAUAUGUUCUAUCUCUUUUCAUUUAAAACUUCAAUUGAGUUGCUAUCUAUUUAACUUUGGCAAGUGAGAGAGAGGGAUGGGACCGUCCAAUUAAAUUUAAGUUUCAAGUGGCAAUCCCACCACUGUCGUCUCAUGUUUGCCAAAUUCAAAUUUGAAAAUCUCACCAAGUCAGUAUGGUGAUGUUGUGGGAUUGUCUCGCCUAGGUUUUUAGCCUCAUGACCUCCUUUAUUAGAAAAAGUCUUAAGUGUUCUUACUCAAUGGUAGAAUCAUGAUUUUACUUCAAUGGAAGCCAUACUGAUUAAAAUAUACUCUUUUGAUCAACUACUUAUUUGAUGUUGCUCUCUCAACCUUAAUCUCCUUCUUUAUGAAAAAUUUAUUGUAAUACAUGGAAGUAUAUAUUGCACUGAGUAAAAUGAAAUUGUUCAAAAAUUAACAAAUUCAGCUUUAUUAUAAUCUAAAACAAAGUAAAUAGAAUAAUACCCAUCAUGUAAAAAUAAAAAAUAAAAUUUUUAUACCACUUGGAAUUUAUUUUAAAUGUUUUGGUCAAAUCUAAGAAGCACAAACUUUGAACAAUGAUAAUAGGUAAAAACUAAUAAUCUUAUAAUAAAAAGUAAGAAAAAAAAUAAAGUUGAUUUAGCAGCUAAGAAUAAAAAAAGAAAAAUAGAAAGAGAGAGAAAUUAGUUUAGGCUUUAACCAUUGUUAUAGUAGAGAAAAAAAUUAAUUAAGAGUAAUUAGUUUAGACACUAUAAUGUAUUAUGUAUACGAAGGCUACAUUUAAAUGUGAAAUAAAAAUGAGUGCUUAUAUUAAAAAACAAUCAGUCUCAUUGCGUCCUCUUUCAUCGACAUAGGCAAAUUUGCGGUCAACUCGUGGCACCCUUAUUGACACGCAAAGAACUUACAUCGAGGAGUUGUUUGAUUUUAUGUUUCAAACUAAGUACCAUAGCAUUACUACUUCUAUAAAUAACUCAUUUGAGCUUCGAGCCUGUUAUUUGUAUUUUACGUUUCUGUUUCUCUUCAUAAAGAUUUUUUUUUCCAUUCUCUUUUUCUUCCACUUUCCCGACUCCCAAACACCACCAGUCUUUGAUUUUCCUAGAGUAUUAACUGUCUGUUUACACGAACAUAGACCGACUGUUUGUCUAAUUACUGUCAAGAAACAGCAUACUCUGUCUCGGAGUCUCAUCGUUUAUUGACUUGUCACUUGUGAACGGGCUAAUUAAAGGGCGUUCCUUUCUUCAAGAAAGAAUGCCAAGAAAGUACCAUCCAUUAGACACGUUAAGAAUUAUAAUUUUACAUUAAAAAUGGUAAUAAUCAUAAUAAUCGGUUUAGUGUUACCCCGUUAUUAGGUAAUGGCUGUCCGAUUGUCUUCGCUUUCAUUGACUUCGCAACUGUGACUUCUAAGCCGGGUUAAGGAUUGACAAAAUGUUAUAACCCAUAAAGCACGGAUAAUUAAUUAAUGGGCCACUGAUUUCUUCUUUCAUAAAAGAGAACUUUUCCAGGGAGAUUGGAAAAAAAGGCUAAUUCUGGGUAAAGAUCAGAAACUUCUCAAAUAAAAAUUUGGCUCUGUGGAAAUUAAAUUAAAAGCAAUUAAGCAUUAUAAAUUACUUAACAGCUUAAUUCUGAGCUAAUCGAGUUUGGUUUUGAAAAAUAUACCUUUAAAUCUCUUGUAAUUAAAGAUAAUUAUCAUAUUACCGUCUCAAAUGGACCGAUUUCAAUUAAAUGAAAUCUAGAAAAUUGAGCAGCUCAUUGAUGUAUUUGGUCGAAUUGUGACUUGUGUCAGAGUCUUCGGUUUAGAAGAGUGCACAGCAGCUGCCAGGUCCACUUGGCAGUUGGCACGCCAAAAAUUUUCUGUUGACAAUAAUUUUAUUAAUUUACUAUCAAAUAUUUUCUAUCACAUCAUUUUACUAUCAAAAUUUUUUGACAAUAAUUUUUUGUCACUUAAUAUUUCAGUUUUUAUCAUUUUAUCAUCAAAAAAUAGUAAAUGCAUACUUAGUGUAAGUUAUCCAUAAAAAUGGUUGUUGAAUUGUCUUGUUUCUCAUUUGGUUUAAUUUUCAUAAAUUCGACUCACGCAAUUCAAUUAUGAGUGAAGAGUUUUUUUGGGAAAAAUCUGGUCUUCCAUUUACUAGAAUCAGGUCUGAAUGAUUUUAUUAUUUUUCUUUUGUUUGAAAUAUACGUGGAAAAUGUUGAACACUUUGUAGGAUUUAGAAGAAUUUGAAAGUUUGAAUGCAUAUAGUUUACUAUCCAUCAGCUAGUGCAUAUUCUGUAUUUUAUGAAAUCAAAGCUGGUUGAUUGAGAAAUGGACCUUAUUACAUGUCAUAAGAUUUUACAGUGCUUUCUAAUGGAGCAAAAUAAAAUGAUUCUUACCUGCACAGAAAAUUAGAAACGAAAAGGAGGGUUACUGAUCCACAGAGUUGUUAUUUACGAGAAGCACAUAGAUAUUACACUUAAUUAGCCUUUCAAAACUUCAUUUUCAAAAAUCUAUGGUUGUGAUGCGUCUCUAUAAACUCAUUUUAAACUCUGUUCUGAACAGAGCAUGAAAGGAUAUGUUCACUUUUCUAGUUAUGUUUUUUAUGCUUUCACUUCACUUGAUUCACCUUGUCCCUCUUUUAAAACAGCUGUAUAUGUUGGAGUGCCAAAUCCAUCACAAGGAUCAUAUUAUAUCCUACGGAAGGAGCACAGUUCAUUGGCUGCACUCAGUUUACAGAGUAUUUCGGGAUUCAAGACUGUAGGUUGUUGCGGAUGCAACUUGCAAGGCUGUUGCUUUGUGACUGUAUGCGACGCUGGCAAGUGUGCUCUGACAGAUUGUGGAGAUGGCACCAAAGAUUGUAAACUAACUAGUACUGAAAAAUCCUAUUUGCACAUAAAAUUGCAUAAAAUAAAUAGAUUGAGAAAAGUUGUAUAAAGAAAUAAGAUUAAUAAAGUAAAUAAAUUUAUCUUUUAGUGUUUUUGUGUAUUUUUAGGUACGUACAAGAAGCAUUACUCAUUAGAGUGCAAUUUAUGCACUAGUUUUGCAUUAUUUACUUCCCUUAAUAUCGAUGUUUUGCAUUUAAUAAUAGUGAUUUACUUGUAUUUUACUUUUGUAGGUGCAAUUCUAUUGAUUGGUGAUAAAAUUGAGCUACAAGAUUAUGUCUAAGGAUGAUUGUUCUCUUGGAGAAAUUAUGAGCGUCAGAAGAACUUUGUUGAUAAGGCGUGGGCGCGUGCUGUCAACUACGGACCUGUAGUUUUUAGUUUAACGUGUUUUGUAUUUUUGGUUAUUUUUGUAAUUACGAAUUUAAUAUUUCAGAUAUUAGUAUUUUAUUUUAAAUAGAACUAUAGAGGAGAAGAGAGAGAGAGUAUUUAAGGGAAGAAUCUAUUGUGAAAAAGGGGACUUUCGGGGGAUUUUGAAAAAAAAGAAAGAAACUCUGGAUCUAAAUUUUUCUCUUCUCUCUAUGAAGAACUAAACCUAUUAUUCUGGUUUAAGGUUAAUGAAGCUUUGAUUCAUCACUACUGUGAGAUCUUUCUUAUUAUCAUGAUUAUGUUUGUUAAUUAGAUAAUUGACCACUAUUUAAUUAACAAACAUAAUCAUGAUAAUAAUUAAGAGAAUAAACAAAUACCCAAAAAGUAAUAAAACAAUUAAAGCAUAAGAAAGAUCUCACAGUAGUGAUAAUUAUAUUUUUUUUAAAAUAUAAAUAAAAUGAAUUUAUUUAAUGGAAAUUUAAAAAAGAGACACUUAUCUAUGCAAGCAAAGUUGCAUUCUGUCUGUGGGGACCUUAAAAAAAAAAGCAUAAUGAUAAACUGAUGACGACAAUCCUUAAGUAUUUGUUUUCUUUAGUUACAGUUAGGUUUGAAUGGUUAAGUUCAAGUUCGAAUUUUCUUUUUGUAAUUUAAAUUAAAAUUGAUAGAACAAAUGGGCUAAUCAGUAUGAUGAAGAAGAAGAAGAACUUUUGGUCCAUUCAAUGGACCGAAUUCAAUCAAAUGAAAUCUAGAAAAUAGAGCAGCUCAUAGAUGUACGUCGCUAAGUGGAUGUUCAUUUGGAAGUACUUUUGGUCGAAUUGCGACUUGCGCCGGAGGCUUCGUUUUAGAAGAGUGCAGAGCAGCUGCCUUGUCCAUUAGGCACGCCAACGACUUUCUAUUGACCAAUAAUUUUGAAAGCGAUAUUAUUAAUUUACCAUCUAAUUUUUUUAUAUUAUCAUUUCACCAUCAAAAUUUUUUGAUAAUUAUUUUUUUCACUUUGUGUUUUAGUUUUUAUUAUUUUACUACCAAAAAAUAGUAAACACACCCCUAAGAUAGGUUAUCCACAAAAAUAGUUACCGAAUUGUCUUGUUUCUCAUUUUGUUUAAUUUUCAUAAAUUCGACUCAUGAUUCAAACGUGAGUGAAGAGUUUUUUUUUGGGAAAAAAAUCUGGUCUUCCAUUUACUAGAAUUAGGUAUGUGUGAUUUUAUUAUUUUUCUUUUGCUUGAUAUAUAUCUGGAAAAUUAUGAAUACUUUGCAGGAUUUAGAAGGAUUUGAAUAUUUGAAAGCAUAUGGCUUUCUGUCCAUCAGCUAAUGCAUAUUCUGCAUUUUAUGAAUAUCAGAGCUGGUAGAUUGAAAAAUGGACCUUAUUACAUGUCAUAAGAUACUUUGCUCAAAGCUGCAAUUGGGCAACGCCGUGCUGUUCUUAUCGGCCAAGGCAAGCCAUUUACUAUUCUUUCUAAUGGAGCAAAAUAAGAUGAUUCUUACCUGCAUAGAGAAUUAGAAAAGAAAAGGAGGAUUACUGAUCCACAGAGCUGUCAUUUACUAGAAGCACAUAAAUCUUACACUUAAUUCAUUACCCAUCUGUAAUGUUCUAAUGAUACUUAAGUAUUACCUAAAUUAGCCUUUCAAAAUUUCACUUCGAAAAAAUCCAAGGUUGUGAUGUGUCUGUAUAAAUUCGCUAACACAAGUUCUCUCUAUUCCCAAUUGUUUUAAACUCUGUUCUGAACAGAGCAUGAAAGGAUAUAUUCGUUUAUCUAGUUAUGUUUUUUAUGCUCUCACUUCACUUGAUUCACCUUCUCCAUCUUUUAAAACAGUUGUAUAUGUCGGAGUAUCAAGUUCAUCACAAGGAUCAUAUUAUGGCCUAAGGAAGGAGCACAGUUUAUUGUCUGCACUCAAGCUUAGCAGAAUAUUUUGGGAUUCAAGAGUGUUAGUAGGCCGUUACAGAUGCCAUGCUGGCAAGCGUGCUAUGACUGAUUGCUAUUUGCACGUAAAAUUGCCCAAAACAAAUAGAAUGAGAAUACUUGUACAAAAGGACAAGAUUAAUAAAGUGAAUAAAUUUUAUCUUUUAGUGAAUGCUUCUUGUCUUUUAGAGUUUUAGUGCAUUUUCGUGUGUAAUUUUAUGUGCAAAUAGCAUUACUCAUUAGUAAUUAGUCUAGAGUGUUCUAAUUUCUUCUAAUAAGUAGCUGAUUUGAGCUUAAGACUUGUAUUUUAAGUUUUUAUUACUUUCUAAUAAAGAUUUUCUCUGUUCUUUUUUACUUUCACUUUCUCUUCCAUUUUCCCGACUCCCAAACACCACCAAUCCUUGAUUUUCUAGAGUAUAGCUAUGCAGUUCUACAAACACGCAACUGCUGUUUGUCCAUUUACUUUCAAGAAACAACGUACUCUGUGGUUUAUUGACUUGUGACUUGUGACUUGUGACUGGGGCAAAUUAGUCACGGUCCGAUUGUCUCCUCUUCCACUGACUCUGUCAAUUCAUGACUUUGGCACACAGUAGACGCCGGCUGCCUGCUUCAUUUGACGUGCAAAAAACUUUCUUUGGUUUUUUUGUUUGGUAAAUUAAACUCAACCUAUGGGUUAUUUUGUUUGGUGAUGAUGAGUUAUUUGUCAAUUCAUGAGUUUGAUGCAGUGAAACGCUUAACGCUCUCUUGUGAUGCGCAGGAGAAAAGCCAGCGAUGAUGAAGAGGACGAAAAACAUUAUUUUGUUAUUUACAAUAAGACUAUCCAAAUGGAAUCUUGUUUUCUAAAAUAAUUGGGUUUCGAUGGUCAUUUUGUUUUCUAAAAUAUCCAAAUGGAAUCUUACAGAAUUAGAGUGCUCGACUUCUUUAUACAGAAUUUAUAAAGGGGAAAAAUCAAGAAAUUAAAUACUCUUCAUAUAGUGAGAGGAGAUUUGGUUGCCAUAAUGAGAAAUAAAAGAAAAAUAAAUUAAAAGUACAAUACUUCAAUAAUCUCAUUCCCAAACAUACCAGAAAUAAAAUUUUCUGUACAUUUAUGAAAUAACUAUUGAUUUUACUUUGGUAAUUUUUUUUUUUUUAAAGUAAGGUAAACAUCUUUAUUUUCUUUGCAUACGAGCCUUCUUUCUUUUGCUUUGGCCUUUGCUCUUGACUAUAUUUCAUGGUCAUAUUCAAUCAAAAUCUUCUGUAGAUUUGUGGCUGUUUUAAGAGUUACAAUAAAUAUGUUAUCUCAAUUUAAAAAAAAAUGCAAUCGCAAUUAUCAAACACGACUAAUCCUAACAAUUUAUUCAAAAAUUUGAGUGUCAAGAAAUGUAGUAUUUAUGAUAGCAUGGCUAGUUUCAGAUAAAUGAUAAAUCAAUAUAUGACAUGUUACUAACUUACUUUAGGAAGAAAAUUAUAGAAUAAGUUUUUGAAUUAAUAGAAUUAUUUUACGACAAAACUAUCACAAUCUAAUUUAAAAAUAAAGUUAUUCUUUAAAUUUCUCAUUACUAUUCCUACCUGUCUUGUUAUACUACUUAAUGGCACUGCUGAAGCCUUGAACUAUCAAACAAAAAGCAAAAACACAUCAACAUCUGUUGUCCCAGUGAGCACUGUUAAAUUCAUACGAUAAAAGGAGUCUUUAAUUGACAUAGGCAAUGUGCGGUCAACUUGUGGCACCCUUACUGACACGUAAAGAACUUUCUUACACCACAGCCAAUACUUUUAUGAAUUUUUAGGACAGGUAAAAUUUUCAAAUUUAAAAGAAAAAAAUACAGAAAAGUAAUUUCAAUUUAUCCAAAAAUUUGAGUUUCAAGGAAUGUAGCAUUUAUUAUAUGUCAUGUUAACAUAAAGAAGAUUUAAAAAUUUCUUUUUUGAAUGAAUAAAAGUAUUUUUUGAUAAAAAUUUGACAAUCAUAUUUACAAAAAAAAAUAAAAAAAAAUCGCUCCUCUUCCUACAUAAUUUAAGAAUUUAACAUUUUAAAUUAAUCUUUUUAAUCAAAGUAAUAAUCUCUCCUUCCGUCUGUAAAUGCUAAAAUUUAAUAUUAUAUCCGUUGACGAUAUUUGCUCCAAAUUCACGAGAAUAAAAUUUCUAAUAGAAUUGUGAAAUUCGUUACUCGAAAUUUGUAUAAAAUUCGUGAGAAUAGAAGGUUUGAUCAUAGGAAAUUAAAAUAUCACUAUCCAAUGCAAAAAUGGUUAUAAAGAAAAACAAAAGUCACGGGCUUAUUAUAGAAAAAAAAAUUACUUUCCAUUUUCCAAUAAUUAAAUUAAUUCUAAAAUCAUAGACUUUUGGAAAGUAUCACAAAGGAUAGACUUUUGGUGACCGAGGUCAAGCCUAACGCAUGCCGGUCUUUUUCUCCUCUACUUUCUUAGAAAUUUUGGUUUCACUAUAAAUACUCGGCAUUACCAAUCCAAUUAAGCACAGACUUACAAUCUAAAAUACUCUCAUCUCAUGGAAAGAGUUCAUUCUCUCAGUAUGAUGAGCAGAUUUCUCUUACUCCAUUGUUUGAUUCUUAUUUUCUUAUUUAUCACAACUGCAACAGCCAACACAAGUACUAUUACCACAGACCGAGAUGCUCUGCUUGCCCUGAAAGCUCACAUAACUCAUGAUCCAACCAAUUUCUUCGCCAAAAAUUGGAACACGAGUAUCUGUUUCUGUAAUUGGACAGGCGUCACUUGUGAUCUCCAUAGCCAUAGAGUCACAGUCUUGAAUAUUUCAAGCUUAAAUCUCACAGGCCCCAUCCCUGCUCAACUUGGGAAUCUUUCUUCUCUGCAAUCACUCAAUCUCAGUUGUAACCGACUUUCUGGUUCCAUUCCCUCCGCCAUCUUCACCAUAUACACACUGAAAAAUGUUAGUCUCCAUAAAAAUCAGCUCUCUGGGCAAAUUCCUGCAAAUAUUUGUAGUUAUCUUCCUUUUCUUGAAGUUCUUUCUUUGUCCCAAAACAUGCUUCAUGGCGGAAUACCGUCCACUCUAUCAAAUUGCACAUAUUUAAGAAUCUUAAGUCUGCCAUACAAUAAUUUCUUGGGAGCCAUACCAAAAGAAAUUGGGAACUUGACCAAACUUAAGCUAUUAUAUAUUGGCGUUAAUAGACUCCAAGGUGCGUAUGAUCAUGGAGUUUAAUUAUAAAAAUUGUUCCGCAAGUUGUAAUAUGUAUAAUGUUCCAUAAUGCAAUUUACACACGUUGAUUAAUUUGCAGGGGAAAUUCCUCGAGAGUUUGGCAAUCUUGCCGAAUUGGAGCGGAUGUCGUUAGCAACUAACAAACUCCAAGGUAUGAUUAUAAACUUUUUGCAAUUUGAUUCUAGCCUCUGCUUGCUUCUGUAUUCAUUCGUUUGUUCAUUAAUUGUUUUUCUUUCAGAUGGAGAUAAAGCUCCAUGUCUCUCCUCACUAAUUUCAUGCUUUAAUUUAUGCAGAUAAAAAUAAAAAAAAAUUUAAUUUUCUUUAUUCAUAUUGCCACUUCCGUUUUGAAGCUCCCAAUCAAGUCGAUGAAAAUGAAUGAUGUUUCAUUCUGAUUCUUGUCAGCCUAAUCUAUAUAUAUAUAUAAAGCUGAGACUUGAGGAGGUGAUAUGGUAUCACUAUUUCUCAUCUUUGUAUAUUCUCUAUUUUCUAAUAAAUAGAGAAAUUUUCUUUUAAAUUUAGUUUUUCAUCUUCUCACAAUUAAUUUAAUUGUUAUUACACAAUAACAAUUAUGUAAAGGUUUUAAUGAGGCAUAUUCUUUGUAAUGAACAUCCAAGGGGGAGUGUUAUGAAUUUAUUAAAAUAAAUGUAGAUGUUCAUAACAUAUAUCUCUUAGUCUCCCUACUAUCUCCCAUUAGCAACCUUUAACUUCCCUAUAACUCCCACUAUCUCACAAGAAAUUAUGAUCCAUAAUUUUUCCUUAAUUUCAUGGAGUGAUUAUGUAACUAUAAAAGGAGAGCUCAUCUUUUUGUUUUGUACACACAAUUGAAAUGAAUAAAAUCACUGUAUAAUAUAUUCUCUCAUUUUAUUCUUUAUCUUGCAUUACUUCUUUAUUUGUAUUGCUGGCUAAUAGCUUUUUUUAUUUUUUAUAAGGCUGCCUCAUCUUAAAAAAAAAAUCAAUUCAUAUUUUUUAUCAGUUUCAUCAAGUGUAAAGUAAAAAAAAAAGGAUAAUACUAAAUUCUUUUUUCAAAGCCGCGUGAAACGCGGUUAUAUUUUCUAGUUCUUAUAUAAUUGAAGAGUAAAUUGUCAUUAUGAUAUUCGUCAGCAAAUAAAUUCUUUUUUUCUUUUUUCCCCCCAAAUAUGAGUGAUCAAAUUGUUUGCGCAUAUAUAUAUAUAUAUAUAUAUAUAUAUAUAUAUAUAUAUAUAUAUGUAUGUAUGGAGAAAUGUUCCAGUCAGGGAUUUUAAAGUACGGGAAAGUACGGGAAACCUUUAAAACCGCAUGGUUUUAAAGGCUUAAAACUGUAAGCCUUUAAAGCUGUGUGGUUUUAAAGGUUUCCCAUACUUUCCCGCACCUUAAAAUCCCUGAUCAGAAAACUACUAUGUAUGUAUGUAUAUAUAUGUACUUAAUUCGCAGGAGGUAUUCCACAGGAAUUGGGGAAUCUUGCAAAAUUGGAGGGGUUACAGCUGUUCGGGAAUAACUUGACUGGUAACUUUCUUUACGAUAUAUAUAUAUGAGACAUCUUCCACUUCUUAAUUAAAAGAUUUCAAGUCUCUCAUUAUAAAUUCUCAUAUGAGGAUGUGUCGUUACCACUAUCUAACAUAUAUAUUUUUUAUUCAAAAUUAGUUUGUGUUAAUUCAAAAUUCUAUAGCAUUUAAAAAAUAUUAAAAACACGUGGAAUAAAUCGUCGAUCUUUCUUCUUUACUGAAUUUGGAUUUCUCAAAAAUUAUCUCAACAAGUAUGCUUCACUAAUGAUAUGCAUGUGAGACAACUUCAUAAAAUAUUUUACAUGGAAUCAAUAAUUAUCUUUAAAUAAUUGGAGAUGCCAUCAGUGAUACAUAAUUUCUUAAUAAGCACCAUACCAAAAGAAAUCAACAAUUUUAUUAAUCUUAAAGAGUUACAUCUUCACUGCAAUUAUGACAUAAAUUUUUAGUCACCAAUCACAUAAUAUUUUAUCUUAACGGAUGAUGUUCAAUCUUGGAAUUUAUAAUACCUUGAAGGUUAGCAGCUUUGAAAAUAAGAAAUUGUUCAUUUGCUAAAAAGUUAACUUAGUAUUUAAGUUUUUCAAUUGAAAAUUUUGAAAAAAGUAUUGAGAACUGGCCCUCCCUAGUAUUUCAGUGGAUGAAUAUGAAAAAUAGGCUUGAAGAAAUUAUUGUUGUGUGUGCUUAUUCUACUUGGGCUUUGGGCUUGAUUACAUGGUCGAGCACUUACACCUGUUAUAAUAAUAGGCUUUUACUUUCACCACACGUUUGAUAAUUUCUUAACCUUCCCAAUUAGGUUAUAGCAAUUUAUAUAUAAAUAACACUUACACCUGUUAUAAUAAUAAUAGCAUCCGCCGAUCGACUACGAGUGAUCAAAUUGUUUGCACAUAUGUAAUUUGCAGGAGCAAUUCCGCGGGAGUUGGGAAAUCUUACAGGAUUGGGGACCUUAGAGCUGUCUGAAAAUUUUUUGACCGGUAUCAUUCCUUCAUCUAUCUACAAAUUGCUUUUCUCUAUUAAAUUUGAAAUUGUCAUUUAAUAACUUAACAAGUAACUUCCCUUACAACAUCUAUCUACAAAUUACUAAUUUAAAUUAAUAUUAAAAUAUGUUGUUUCUUUCACUAUGUUAUUUUAUUUACACAAUGAUGUGACUAUUGGAAUUAAUAAUACUUAUAAUUAUUUUGUAAAAAUAUAAAUUUAAUACUUUGUUAACAUUUUAUCUACAUAUAAUAAUUAAACUGAAACUUCUAUUUAAAAAAUUCUAGUUACGCAAAUUCAUUUCAUGACAUAAAAGUGUAUAUUUAUGCUAAUUUACCAUUAUCAACAAAAUGCUUUGAGACAAAUAAUCUAAUUUAUAUUUGUAUAUUUAAAAUACUUGCAUUUAUUAUAUUUUGAAAAAAAAUUAUUUUACUGAAAUAAUAGGCUUUUACUUUCACCACACGUUUGAUAAUUUCUUAACCUUCCGAAUUAGGUUAUUGCAAUUUAUAUAUAAAUAACUAAAGCAUACUAAAGCUAGCAUACAGUACUCAUGACUUAGGCUUGCUGCAAUAUCCAUUAAACACGGUCGAACACUUACACAUGUUAUAAUAAUAUUAGCAUCCGCCGAUCGACUAUGAGUGAUCAAAUUGUUUGCACAUGUGUAAUUUGCAGGAGCAAUUCCACUGGAGUUGGCAAAUCUUACAGGAUUGGAGAUCUUAGGCCUGUCUGAGAAUUUUUUAACCGGUAUCAUUCCUUCAUCUAUCCACAAAUUGCUUUUCUCUAUUAAAUUUGGAACUGUCAUUUAAUAACGUAACAGUUAACUUCCCUUACAACAUGUCUGUGUGACAUGUUUUGCUUCUUAAUUAAAAUAUUUCACUUCUCUCAUUAUAAAUUCUCAUAGGAGGAUGUGUUGUUAUUACUAUUUAACAUUAUCUCGUUUUUUAUUAGAAAUUAAUCUGUGUUUAUGCAAAAAAAUUUAGCAUCUAAAAAAAGUAUAAAAACACGUGGAAUAAAUCGAAAAUCUUUCUUCGUUACUGAAUUUCAAUUUCUCAAAAAUUAUCAUGACAGCUAUGUUAGUGUCUUACUAAUGAUAUGCAUGUGUGACAGCUCCAUAAAAUAUUUUACAUGGAAAAUAUGAAAAAUAGACUUAAAAAAAAAAAUUAUUUUACUGAAAUAAUAGUUAAAAAGAGAGGAGAAGUACAGUACUCAUGACUUAGGCUUGCUGUGUACUUAUUUUACUUGGGCUUCGGGCUUGAUUACACACGGUUGAACACUUACAUCCCCCGACAUAGGCUUUGAGGGAUGAGUGGCGUCAAAUGUGUAUCUGCUUUUAUGUAUUAUUAUUCUUUGAAACAAAUCUGAUUAUAAUUCUUUUAAAAUACAGAUGAAAUAGCAUGUGAAAUCGAAAAAUAUUUUACUGCGAUAAGAAUUCAUAUAUUCAUUGUACUAGCACAUAUAAAAUAGACUAUAAAUUUAGUUCCAAAAUACAUUCUUAUCUUCAUAUAAAUUUUACAUUAUUAAUUUAAAUUAAUAUUAAAAUAUGUUGUUUCUUUCACUAUGUUAUUUUAUCUACACAAUGAUGUGACUAUUGGAAUUAAUAAUACUUAUAAUUAUUUUGUAAAAAUAUAAAUUUAAUACUUUGUUAACAUUUUAUCUACAUAUAAUAAUUAAACUGAAACUUGUAUUUAAAAAAAUUCUAGUUACGCAUAUUCAUUUCAUGACAUAAAAGUGUAUAUUUAUGCUAAUUUACCAUUAUCAACAAAAUGCUUUGAGACAAAUAAUCUAAUUUAUAUUUUUAUAUUUAAAAUACUUGUAUUUAUUAUAUUUUGAAAAAAAUUUAUUUGCAAUUAUUUUAAACCGUUGGAUUCAAAUUUUCGUAGUUAUUAAAGUCAAAGGGUAUAAAUGUAUAAUAGUCAAAAAUAGAUUUCUGUGAUCAUUUUUCAAUGUAUAAAUUUUCUUAGUUAGUAGAAAAAUUAGAAAUUGUUGAUUUACUCAUAAAUAAAUUUAAUGUUUAGCAUUUCAAUUUUGGAAACUUUGAAUCGGUCGAGCCGAAUUUCGCUUCCUUGACCCACAGACCCAAUGAAAGUUCUAUUCGAAUUGAGUUUCCCAGUGCUUACAAAAAGCAUUUCUUUUCCUUGUCGCAGUAAUUUAUUCACAAAUGAGUUGAUUAGCAUCGAAGUUACCUGAGAGUCUGAGACCAUGCUAGUAGGAGAAAUUUGAAAAGAAAUUAUUUUACUGAAUUAAUUUAUUUUAUCUUGUUGUAACUGAAAUACUACUUUUUUUUUUGGGCUGUCACUUGGGCUUGAUUUACCUUAAUAGUAGCAGCCACCGACUUAGGCGUUUUUUACUUCUCACCACACAAUUUGAUCUUUUAAUUUGUUUUAACCACAUAAUCUAUCUAUUUUUCACCUAUUGCUUACUUAAAUCGCAUACAUAUUUUACCUACUAAUUUUUAUAAAUAUUAGUCAAAUAUAUUUUAUUACGUUUCUCUCGUAACUGCUCCAAAUGUGUACUAUUAAUACUUAACCCUCCCUUUUAAUUCACCAUGCAAUCUAUCUAUCACUUAAGUCACAUAUAUAUUUUACCCCAAAAAAUAUAAAAAUAAAAGAAAAAGAAUAUGUGUAGCAAUUUGCAUAUAACUAACAAAGCAUUGACGGUGUGUAGCCUUUCAAUACUUCACGAGUGGCUUUUCUUGUGUGUUAGUACUUGUAAUAAUUGUGUAGUGUAUAAAUGACAUUUUAUUAUUAAAGUGUGUCCAUUUUUAGAUAUUACUUAUUAUUUGAAAAAUAAUCUGAAUAUAAUUCUUUUAAAAUACAGGGGAGAUACCACUUGAAAUUGGUAAACUCCAAAUUCUGGAGGACUUGCACCUUGGUCAAAACAAAUUAAUUGGUACUGUCCCAGUUGCAAUCUUUAAUGUGUCAACACUCAAAUUACUUCAGCUUCAAAAUAAUUCUCUCUCGGGAUGUCUUUCGUCCAUCGCAAACAUCCGACUACCAAAUCUUGAAAAGCUUCAUUUGUGGGGUAAUAAUUUUAGUGGCAUAAUUCCUCGUUUCAUCUUUAAUGCUUCUAAGCUCUCUACACUAGAGUUGGAAGAGAACUCAUUCUCCGGUUUUAUUCCCAACACAUUUGGCAACUUAAGAAACCUUGAGCGGCUUAAUUUAGGUGAUAAUUAUUUGACAUCUUCAACUCCAGAAUUGAGCUUUCUAUCCUCGUUGUCAAAUUGCAAGUCUUUAACACUUAUUAUCUUAUCAAAUAAUCAACUAGAUGGCAUUCUUCCUAAGACGUCUAUCGGUAAUCUUUCUCGUUCUUUGGAAGAAUUUUACAUGCACAAUUGUAACAUUAGUGGCGGCAUCCCUGAAGAGAUCAGCAACUUGACCAACUUGACAACCAUUAUUUUAGGAGGCAAUAAAUUGAAUGGAUCAAUUCCGAUUACUCUCGGCAAAUUACGAAAGCUUCAACGGUUGAAUCUUGAAGAUAACAAAUUAGAAGGAUCAAUCCCAAACGACAUUUGUCAUUUGGCUGAACUGUAUAGAUUGGAGCUGGGCGGCAAUAAGCUUUAUGGAUCAAUCCCUGCAUGCUUCGGUAAUCUGGCUUCUCUGAGGAUACUGUCGUUGGGUUCCAAUAAGUUAACUUCUAUUCCUUUAACUUUUUGGAACCUUAAGGAUAUCUUGCAACUCAACUUUUCAUCAAAUUUUUUGACUGGCCCACUCCCAUUAGAGAUUGGAAAUUUGAAGGUUUUGAUUGGAAUUGAUUUUUCGAUGAAUAAUUUUUCAGGCGUUAUCCCAACAGAAAUUGGAGGCCUGAAAAAUCUAGAAUAUCUCUUCUUAGGAUAUAAUAGAUUGCGAGGAUCGAUUCCUGAUUCAUUUGGUGAUUUGAUAAGUUUGAAAUUCUUGAAUUUGUCCAAUAAUAAUCUCUCUGGGGCUAUUCCUACAUCUUUAGAGAAACUCUCAUAUCUUGAAGAUCUAAAUCUUUCUUUCAACAAGCUAGAAGGAGAAAUUCCUAGGGGAGGAUCUUUUGGAAACUUCUCAGCUGAAUCAUUUGAGGGAAAUGAAUUAUUAUGUGGUUCACCCAAUUUACAAGUCCCGCCAUGCAAAACUAGCAUCCACCAUACAUCAUGGAAAAAUUCUCUUCUCCUAGGGAUUGUCUUGCCAUUGAGUACUACAUUAUUGAUAGUAGUCAUUUGGUUGAUCCUAAGAUAUCGACAGAGAGGAAAACAACCAUCGAAUUAUGCUAAUAUGCCACUAGUAGCAACGUGGAGAACAUUUUCAUACCUAGAACUUUGUCGAGCAACAGACGGAUUCAGUGAAAACAAUCUAAUUGGCAGAGGAGGUUUUGGCUCUGUUUAUAAGGCAAGACUUGGGGACGGGAUGGAGGUUGCAGUGAAAGUUUUCAAUUUGCAAUGUGGAAGAGCGUUCAAGAGUUUCGAUGUUGAAUGUGAAAUGAUGAAAAGUAUUCGCCAUCGAAACCUUAUCAAAGUUAUUAGUAGUUGUUCAAAUGAAGAGUUUAAAGCGUUGGUAUUAGAAUACAUGCCUCAUGGAAGUUUGGAUAAGUAUCUGUAUUCAAGUAAUUGCAUUUUGGAUAUUUUUCAAAGAUUGAACAUAAUGAUAGAUGUUGCAUCAGCUUUGGAAUAUCUGCACUUUGGUUAUUCAGCUCUAGUAAUUCAUUGUGACUUAAAGCCCAGCAAUGUAUUGUUAGACGAUAAUAUGGUUGCUCAUUUGAGUGAUUUUAGCAUCGCAAAAUUGCUAACUGGAGAAGAUCAAUCUAUGACUCAAACACAAACACUUGGCACAAUCGGCUAUAUGGCACCAGGUUUGUUCAAUAUAAAAUUUUUCUAUUUCUUGUAAACUUCCUAAUAAGUUAUUUAUGUUUCAUGAUCUUCAUUAGAUAAGGAAAUUAUUAUUAAUGAUAUAUCUUACUAAGUAACUGUUACAAUUCAUAGAGUAUGGAAGAGAAGGACGAGUAUCCACAAAUGGAGAUGUUUAUAGCUUUGGGAUUAUGUUAAUGGAAACUUUUACCGGGAAGAAACCCACAGAUGAAAUUUUUAACGAAGAAAUGACAUUAAAGCAAUGGGUUAAUGAUUGGCUACCCAUUUCCACUAUGGAAGUUGUUGAUGCUAAUUUGCUUAGUCAGGAGGACGUACAUUUUGUUGCAAAGGAGCAAUGUGUGUCAUUUGUCUUCAAUUUGGCUAUGGCGUGCACUGUGGAAUCUCCUGAGCAGAGAAUCAAUGCAAAAGAAAUUGUAAAAAAGCUCUUAAAAAUUAGAGACUCAUUACUUAGAAAUGUUGGAGGCAGAUGUAUAAGACAAUCAAAUUUAAAUUGAUUCUACCCUUCCUUCAUUGCUCGUUAUCCUUUUUAGAGAAUUGAACAGUUAUCCUUCAUAUAAGUUUUGUUGAUAUGUUUUGUUAUUGCUCUUGCUCAUGUUUAUUUCUCUGUUUCUUUAAUUUGCAUGCAUGUAUUUUUCAUUAUCUUUUAUGUUUUUGUUGGUUUGUAUGUAGUUUGUUUUUAGGGGUAAGUUGAUCAUGUCCUCCCCUAAUUAGACGUAUCCUUUUUAUGUUUAUUCAAUAAAGCUUCUCUAAUAUUAUGGAGGUUCAUCAAAAGAAAAUUUUUAAUUAAUUUUCUUUUCUUUGAUAGGUAAUGAAAUUUUAAUCUUCAUCGUGAAUAACUUCAAUAACAGAGUGUAAGAGUAUUAGUAGUUAUGGUUAUUUUUUGAACCUGGAGUCAAGAGCAAUUUAACAGCAACAAACAAGUCUCUUGUAUUAUAGGCAAAAUUCUUUUCAUUAAUCUUAUUUGUCUACAUGUUCUCUUAUUUUCUCCAUUAAUCUUCGCUCAAGGUUUCAUGCUUCCUCUUUGAUAAAGGAAAAUAUUACUUGAGAAUAUUUCAAUUUGACAUAAGAGACUGUUUUGCCAACCAUUUGAUAAAAUGGAUAUGAGUGGAGCUUUCAAUCAUUACCUCCACCAAAAUCGUUACAACGCCACUUUUAAAUUUUAUUUUUUAAAAUGCAUUCAGUUUAAUUUAUAAAAAAUAAAUCCAUUUGUUAAAAUUAAUCUUUUUCUCAUAAAUUUCAACCUAAGAAAUAUAUUUCUUUUAAAUUUUUAAUUAUAAAAUACAUACAAGUUCUAAACUGUUAUAUUAUUUUCUUCUUAUUAUAUAGAUUAUAUCUCCAUAUCUCCAUAACUCUAAACUCCUAUAAUUUUUUAAAAAUAUUUUUAAUUUAAGAUAGGAAAAUUAUCAUUUGUAUACCCUAUAUUUGCUCUGUUAUCAAAAAUACUACAACACUUUGAGGGUGUAUCAAUCGUCCACCCUUAGUUGACAAAAUGUAUCAGCUGACCACCAAACCGUUAGUUGCCGUUUGAAAGUUAACGGAAUUACAGUGAAUUGACGAUUUUACCCUUGAAAAUUAUCACUUGUAUACCCUUAAUUUCUCUUUUUAUCACUUGUAUACCCUUAAAUUAUCACUUGUAUCUUAUGAAAAGACCAAAUUACCCUUCUAACGUCAUCAUAUUUAAACGGCAACUAACGGUUUGGUGGUCAGUUGAUACAUUUUGUCAACUUUGGGUGGAUGAUUGAUACACCCUCAAAGUGUUGUAGUAUUUUUGAUAAUGGAGUAAACUAAGGGUAUACAAAUGAUAAUUUCCCUUUAAAAUAUAAAUAUAAAAUAUAAAAUGGAGUGGGUAUAAAAAAACUUGUUAAAAGAAUAAUUCAUUUAAGUAUUUAACUGAAUUUAAAUUAAAAUAAGAAAUAAAUAAAUUUAUUUUUUAUUAGUUAAGUAAUUUUCAAUUGAAAAAGAGCUGUAUGAGUAAUAUUAUUGAAAUAUGAUUAAAAUUCUUAUGAAUUAAACAUUUUCGUAUAAAUACUAGUGAUAAUUAUAGAGAAAGUAUGAUGAACCAAAGAAAACUUGAAUAUAAAUACUCCAAUGUAAUUUUACACAUGCAAAUUAUGAACCAAUGAUCUUUAGAGCAUUAUAAAAUUAUUUUGACAUAAUUAUUUAUUUUGAAAAAUUGCCAACAAUGUUUUAUUAAAGUGGGAUUGAAAAGAUUAUGCUACUUAUAUAAGACAUGAUAUCAUUUAACAUGGCUUGCAGAUUAUGAGAAAUAUAUUGAUCUUACAAAUAUUUAAUAUGUUAAUUAGACAGGUCCAGCUGCCUUCCACCCGCUGGAAGGUACAACUUAUUUUGUCCUCUAGUGUUGUGGCCAUUGGAUAUUUGAGAAAUUGAUCUAUCGGUUCUUGUUCAGCAGCGUGAAAUUGAAUUUCAAUCGGCAAACGUUUCAUGAACUUUGCAAGGGACAAUUAUCUACAAAAAUAUUUUUUAAAAAAAUAAUUUUUCCCUUUCAUCAGCCGCCGCUGCCACCCACAACUCCUUAAUAUCAUCAUCACCAUCCCAAUCCUUAGCCGCCAUCCACAAGCUCUAACAACCACCAUGACCGCCAUCACAACCACCACUCCUCAUAACCCCUAGCCACCACUACAAACAUUCACAAACCCUACCAAUCAUCCACAACACCUAACCGCCGUCACCAACAAACUUUCGCCGCCGCUUCCUACAAGCAAGCCUCACCACCCACCACCGCACACACACAAAGCCACACCAACCGCCAUACUAUUGUGACAGAGCCCACAAUGUAGACAAGAUCCAGCAGAGGGGGGAUGUUUUCCUUCUUCGGCUGACUAUUCUUUUUUUUUUAUUUUUUAAUUAUUAUAUUACUUUUAGUUAUUUUUAGUUAUUCUUUUAUUUUGUCUAUAUUUUGGUUGUUAGAUUGUUUUUGUUGUUGUUAUUGGCGGCAGUGGAGUUGCAGCUCGUGAUGAUGAUGGUGAUGUUGGUGUCAUUUUAAUCGAGAUUUUGUCUUUUUUUUACCGGCUACGCCAGUCAUCUUCAUUCAUUACGUGUCCAUUUCUAACAUGUUAGAUUUUACUACUUUUUAAUCCAAGGAUUAGACCACAACGAGACAAAAGAUGGGGUACCUUCCAAUGGGUGGAAGGUAGUUUCGGCCCAAUUAGACUGAGUCUAUGCAAUAAAAAUUUCAAAUUAAAAAAUAAGCCCUUUAUUUUCUUUUAAUCAUAAGUGUGAUCUUAAUUAUUAAAGUCAUUUAAUGUCCAUUACUUAUUCAUUUUUUUUAAUUACCUAAAUGACAUUGAAAGCUCUACUCAAUAAUAAUUCAUUCAAAUGUUUUAUUUUAAAGUAAUCGGAAACUGCAAAUGAAGCAAAUGCUUGAAAUCACAAACAACCUAAAAUUAGAUUUUCAUUUUUCAAUGUUGCAAUGACUUUGAUCUUGAUAUUGAAAAUUUAUUUGUAACUUAUAUAUAGGCCUCGAUUUUAUCAUAAUUGGUUAGUAAGGCUACGUAGGGAGCAUGGAUAAAUUUUGGGAUUGGAUUAUAUUUUUGGAACUAAAAAAUUAAUUUCAUCCAAUGUUAGUUUGGCUGUUAGGACUAGCAACUUAGUCUAAAAUUAUUGAAAUUAUUGAUGUUUUAUAUUAUAAUAUUUUCAUUACCACUUUAAACAUUAUUGGUAACUUAAAUCAUUUUUUAAAUUAAAUAUAAAUUUAAUUAAUUAUAAAAAUUAAUUUAAUUAAAUAUAAAAAUCAUUUAAAUUAAAUAUUAACAUUAAUUUCAUAAUUUUUUACCUAGAAUUUUAUAUUAUAUUAAAUACUAAAAUUCUAUUCGAUAAUUUAUUAUCAUUUAUUUAAUAAAUGUUUAGUAUGUUAUAUUAUUAUUUAAAUUAAUUUUUUAUUUACAUAUAAACAUAAAUUAAUAUUUACUAAUUUCAAAUUUUUUUAGUUUGUUUAAUAAUAAAAGCUAAAUUACUAUAUUGAAAAUAUAAAUAGUAUUCUAAUGUAUUAUAGUCUAAAUCUCACCCCAAUGAGUUUAUUUUAUACACCUUUUAUUAUAUUAACCACAUUUAUAAUGCAGUGCAAUGCAACAAAAUUUUUUUAACAAAUAUGAGUUAGCAUGAAAAUAAUAUUUUAGUACAAUGUAAUACAAUGUAAUGUAAGCUGACAAAUGGAUAUUUAAUGGAAGCAAAAAUUGCAGAUGGUUUGGUUUGUGGGUCUCUCAAAAGACAACAAAGAAACCAAUAUGAUAAACUAAUUCUAUCCUCUUUAAUGGUGUCUUUACUAAAUGGAAAUCAGAAGAGUUAGAAUUGAAAUAGGCUUGAAUCGAAAUAAGGAAUUAAAAUCAGAAUAAGUUGUUUAUUUAAGUUGUAUGAAUCAGAAUCGAAAUAAUUUUUAUUCAAAUUGAUGUGUUUAUUUUCUCUUGAAAUUAGAAUGGACUAUUACAAGUUACUAAAAAAUCAUUUGGUAAUUGUUGUCUCUAGUAUUAUUUGUAUCUGUUAUAAUGUUAAAAAUAAUACUAAAAAUGAAAAUAAUAAUAAUAAUAAUAAUAAUAAUAAUAAUAAAGACAAUUAUAAUAAAAUUAAUAAAUUAUUAUUAUUAUUAUUACUACUACUACUACUAGUACUGAAGACCGCCUAGUGAAGAUUGGAUAGUGAAGAUGAAGACAACGAUCCUGGCAACCAACUGUUGCUUCAAAGAUGAUGUGCCCAAAUGGAGACAACCAGCGAUGACCAGCCAACUAGAUCCCAAUCUCGAUGUUGUGAUCUCACAUGAUCACUGAUAAAGCGAUGUGCGAUGCCAGUGUUGUGAUUUCUUUUUAUUUAUAUUUUUUAAUUUAUUGGGGGUAUUUUCAAAAUUUAGUAAUUUUAAUAUGGGCAAAUUGGAUAGUUGAGGGAACAAGAGACUGAUUUCCAACCAUCCUAAGAAUUAGUCUCUCAUUCUCUAUUUCUAAUUUGAUGUGGGUCCUAUUAUUUCGAUUUCAAUUUUUACAUUUAUUUGUAAAGUAAAUGACGUUAAUGAUUUCAAUUUCUAAUUGGAGAAGAAAACACAUCAUAAUAAUUUUUUAGAUGCUUCCAUGGCAUAAUCUCAUUGGUCCGUUUUUCUUCACGCCUUAGAUUCAACUUCAAGAUUUAAGAUCCAAUUUGAAGCAAACACAACUACAAAACAAAUAUAAUAAGCGUUACUAAGCCUGCGGCUGACUGGCUGUGGCCAAGCAAAUGGAACUCAUAGUGACCGAACCAUAUCUUAUUAUCUUACGCCAGAAGUUAAACAAUGUUCCCAUUCCACGUGUCACUCUCUGACCAACCCCCAAACUUUCUACAUAUUUCCAAAGAAACCCUUACCAAGUCAAGAUAAUUACCUUCACUCUACUUAUAUAAAUACUGUCCUCGAUUCAACUGAUGACGACAUAUCCUUACAGUCUUUAUUUAAAAGGAAAAAUUAUAAAAAAUUAUCCUCGUUCCCUAAAACUCUAGGGUUUGUCAAGAAUCGCUAAACAUAUAUCCCAAUCAUUCAAAAUCUCAAUUUAACCUCUCUAGGGUUUUGAUUGUCGAGGAUUCGCUUGAAAAUUUAGUAUUUUUUAGUGGAUUUUGCUUGUCUCGUAUGCUUCAAUUGUUGUUCGGUUCUGAAAAUAAUUUGGAAUUUUAGGGAUUUUCAAUUGUUGUUCGGUUCUGAAAAUAAUUUGGAACCAAAAAUUCCCAACAAUUGUCAGUUGUUUUAAACUCUAUUCCGAACAGAGCAUGAAGGGAUUCACUUAUCUAAUUAUGUCAUUUAUGCUUUAACUUCACUUCAUUUCAUCUUGUCCGUCACCUUGACUAAAGUUGUGUAUGUUGGAGUAUUAGGUUCAUCACAAGGAUCAUAUUAUGGCUAAGGAAGUAGCACAGUUUAUUAGCUACACUCAAGUGUAGCAGAGUAUUUGGAUUCAAGACUGUUAUAAGGUUGUUACAGAUGCAAUGCUGUUGCUGUGUAACUGUAUGCCAUGCUCGCAAGUGCGCUGUAACAGAUUGCUCAUCAGGCACCGGAUAUUUUAAGCUAAUUUUGGUAAUUAGUCUAGAGUGUUCUGAUUUAUUCUAUAAAUAGCUCAUUUGAGCGUAGAACCUUUAAGGUGUAUCGUACAUUUCUGUUACUUCUAAUAAAGAAUUUCUUUAUUCCUUUUUCUUUCACUUUCUCUUUCAUUUUCAUGAUCCCCAAACACCAUCAAACAUAGAAUUGCUGUUUUAGGCCAAUGGACAUAACGUGACAAGUUUUUGAAGUGAAUGACUCCUCUUUUCUCCAUAAAUCUUUGCUUAAUUUUUUUGUUCCCUCAACCUUUUUUGGCCUUUUCUGCUAAAAUUCAUUUUUUUGAUACAUUAUGCAAAAAUUGAUGAAAAUGAGUUACUCUAGAACAUCAAUAAAUUUUUAUUACAUGAUAAGACAAUUAUACUUAGAUUACUCUUAUUUGGUUGAAUUAUAUGUAAUAAAAUUAGUUUAACAGAAUCUAACCCGUAAAUAUUCCUUAUCACAUGAUUAACGUACUUAAAAAAUAUAACUGGUCGGCCGCUUGUUUUACAAUUCUUUUAUAUAUCUUUGAAACUUUCAGCUUCCUAACACAUCAUAUUGUUCUCAAUUCGUCUAAAUUAUUUUUUUUGGUCAAACACUAUAGCAACAACCAGUAUAAAAUAGAAUGAACUCAUUUAAUAAAAAUUUUUCUAGAUGCUUUCAUGACAGAAUCUCAUUGGUCUAUUUCUCUUCAUGGCAAAAUUUUUCUGAAAUACACUUAGUUUUUUAAAAAAGAGCUUUAUGAGAAAUUUUCAGUGUGUCAAAAGGCCUACUUAAUGGACUGGAUCCCGACUCAUUAAUUUUAUAACCCGACUUACAAUCCGAAUCAUUAUUCACAGAGAUUAAUUUGCUAUUGCUUAAGGCACAAUAUUUACUAAGCAAUUUAUCAGCAAUAAAACAUGUAUAUUAUAGUGGUUUGUAAUAAAAUUGGAAGAAGACAUCACGUACGAAUUGGAUUUAUCUGAUGAAAUUUGAUUAACGAAAGUGUAUGAAAAUAUAUAAAGAAAAUAGUAAAAAAAAUUGUUGUGUAAAUGUUGUAUAGGUGAUAUAUUACUUUUAUAAUCCAUCAAGGUACAUUUGAUUUUAAUGAUGAAACAAAUACAAAUAAAUCCAUGUAUGUCAAUGCUAGAUGGUUCCAUAUUAAACUUGUGAAGUAUAGAAAAUAAGCGAGAUUCGUAAAAAAUAUUUUAGAUAAUACCACUGAAAAGUUAUAAAAAAUAUUUUUAAAAAAAAAAAGAAAUACAUACUCGAGACACCAAGACCGAUACGCACAAACUCACACAUUUACAUAUUAAUUGAGGGAAAAAAUGAUAUUCUGAGUAAUAUUGUUGACAUAUGAUUAAAAUAAAAUUCUAUUUAAUGAAACAUUUUCGUAUAAAUACUAGUGAUAUUUGUAGAGAAAGUAGAAUGAAGUAAAAAAAAAAAAACUUGAAUAUAAAUGCUCCAAUAUAAUUUUUCCCAUGCAAAUUAUGAACUAGUGAACUUUAAAGCAUCAUAAAAUUGUUUCAACAUAAGUAAUUAGUUUGAAAAAUUGCCAAUAAUGUUUAAAGUGGGGACGAAAAGAUUAUACUAUAUGAGACAUGAUAUUAUUUAAGAUAGCUUACAAAUUAUGGGAAAUGUAUUGAUCUUACAAAUAAUAUUUAAUAAGUACAAAUUUCAAAUUAAAUAAUAAACUCUUAAUUUCCUUUUAAUCAUAAUUAUGAUCUUAAUAAUUAAAGUCAUUCAAUCUUAAUCACUUUUUCAUUUUUUUAAACUACCUAAAUGACAUUGAAAACUCUACUCAAUAUUAAUUUAUUCGAAUGUUCUGUUUCAAAAUAAUUGAAAACUGUAAAUGAAACAAAUGCUUGCAAUCACAAAUGGCAUAAAAUGGGAUUUUUAUUUUUUAAUAUUGCAAUGACUUUGAUCUUGAUAUUGGAAAUUUAUUUGUAACUUAUACUAAGUCUUCAAUUUUAUCAAAAUUAGUUUCUAAAGAUGCAUUUGCCAUACUGUGUAGUUUUAUUGUAUGAUGAUAUAUUACAUUAGGGUGCAUUGUAUUGAGCUGUAAUGCAAUACUAUUUUAUAUUAAUGUUAAAACUAAAUCAACCUUAUUUAAAUUUAUUAAUAUUUUAGGGUUUUAUUAGUAAUAUCUGAAAUUAAGUAUUAAAUAAUUAUUUUUAUAAUAUACAAAUUAUUUAAUAAUAUUCUACUAUUAAAUAAUAAAAUAUUAUAAUAUUAUGUUAUAUUAUUAACAAUUAUUCUGUUAUAAUAUAAUUUAUUUUUAUAUAUUAGUUAUUAUAAUUUAUUAUAAUCAUAUUAUAAUAAUAUUAUGUUGUAAAAAUAUAAUACUAUAUAAUUGUAUGAUAUAAUAUGAAUUAAUUUAUAAUUUAACAUUAAAUUAUAAAUUUAUUUUAUUUAUUAAUGUCAAAUAUAAUUGUCUAAUUUAAAUUUAGUAUUUUUUUAAAAAUAAACUACUAAAUAAUUAAAAUAAUUUUAUAUAAUAAAGUAAAAUAAUGUAUUAUUAUUUAUUAAUUAAAUAUUUAGGUUUAUUAAUAUACUAUAUUAUUAAUUAAAUUUAAUGAAUAUUAAUUAAUAAUUUAAAUUUAUUAAAUAAUAAAAGUUAAAUGAUUAUAUUUAAAAUAUAAAUAAUAUUUUAAUGCAAUAAAACCUAAAUCCCACAUGUAUACCACAUUUGUUAUACAGUGUAAUGCAACAUUUGUUAAGUGUGAAGGAUUAAUUGCAAUUUCGAAUUUUUGAUAAAAUUUAAAUUAAAAUUGGGCGGUUAUUAAUUAAUUGAUGGCUAGUGAUACUACAACGGCGGCCGAAGCUCCGGAAGAAGCGGAGGCGGUGGAGGGUUAUGAUAGCGAUCCAGAUGAAGUGAAACACUAUCUCGUGAUGCGCAGAAUGGAAGCAAGCGAUGAUGAGGAGGAGGUGGAGAAAGAAUUUGAGCGUCGAAUAGGAUCUACAUUUACUCUUAAGAUGAAUCUGAUGAUGAAUUAGAACAUGACAUAUAAUUAGAAGAAGAAGAUGAGGACUAUAAUAGAAAUAUUUAUGGGACCCAUUUUCGCAUCCAAUUGAAGGUUAAGACAAGACAUCUAAUAAGGGCUGCUCUCCAAAUUAUGUUACCACACCUACGGUCAAAGCUCGCUAGCACUUUUAUAACGGGAUGGCAAUGAGGCGGCUUCGGGGCAGGAUGACGAUCCUCACCCCCAUCCCGAAUUAGAAGCAGUCUCCAAACCUGCCUUCCAUAUCCCUGAUAAUUCUCAAAAUGAGACAAGGAUUAAAACAGAGGCUCAAUUCUCAAUUAUUUAGUUUUUAAGUAAAAAAAGAGCUCUCAAUCUGGAUCUGAAUAAUUGUUUAUUAAGGACUAAUUUUGAAGCUAGAACAUUUAACAAUUCAAAUGAGGUUCCUUUUGUUUCAUCUGAUAUUUUCAAAAGUUUGAAAGCUACUUGGAAGAUAUCAUCAAUCUCAGUCUAUAAAAAUCCAAAUGUUAUUUGUGCGGAAAAUACAAGAUAAUUAACAAUCUACAUGCUCUCUCUUCCACUGGAAAAAUAUAUAUAGUCCAAUAUAUAUUAAAUAUUUCUAUUAUAUGAAGAGGAAGAAGAAGUUUAUGAACAAGAGGAGAGAAGGUUGUUACAGAUGUAAGGCUGUUACUGUGUAACAGUAUGCCAUGCUGGCAAGUUUGCUAUAACAGAUUGCCAAGCUGGCACUAAUUAUUUUAAACUAAUAUUAGUAAUUAGUCUAGAGUGCUCUAAUUUAUUUUAUUCUAUAAAUAGCUCAUUUGAGCUUUGAACCUGUAACGUGUACUGUACUUUUCUAUUACUUCUAAUAAAGUUUUUCUCUGUUCUUUUUUCUUUCACUUUCUCUUCCAUUUUCCCGACCCUCAAACAGCGUCAAUCCUUGAUUUUCUACAGUAUUAGCUGUUUGGUUCUACAAACAUAGAACUGGUCGUUUAUUGACUUGUUACUUGUGAACAGGGCCAAUAAAGGACAAAUAAGAUGUUGGGCCAAUGGGCCCAACGUCACAGAUCUUGAAUUGAUUGUCUCUUCUUUUCUCCACAAAUCUUUGCUUAAUUUUUAUGCUCCCUCAACUUUUUUCCCCUUUUUGUGCUAAAUUUAUUUUUUUGAUACUUUAUGCAAAAAUUAUGAUGAAAAUUAAUUACUUUAGAACAUCAAUAAAUUUUUGUUACAUUCAAGAUACGGACAAUUACACUUAGAUCACUCUUAUUUAGUUGAAUUAUAGGUAAUAAAAUUGGUUUUAACAAAAUACGAUUCUUAACCCUCGUAAUUAAAGGCUCGUGUUAUUUGGUUUAGUUAUAACACCAUGCAACAGGUCGUCUUGGUGGGUUCAAAUUAAUAUACGAUCAUUCUCAAUUUUUAAUAGUUCGUAAUUAAAAAGUCUUAUAUCACAAUUAGAAUUUGCAAACAUGCCAAAGUGAGUUAAAUCAAAACCUAUAAAUUUGAGGUGUACUACAAACUUCUGACAAAUUAAAAUUUAAAACGAUUAAUUAAAUGCUAGACAAAAUUUAGCUUAUUAAUGUUCCUGACCACAUGAUGAAUGUACUUAAAACAUCCUAACUGGUCGCUAAUUGAUUAGUUGUUAUUUUUUCAAUUUCUUUUUAUAUAUCUUUGAAACUUCUAGUUUCCUAACAUGUUAUUCGCAAUUCGUGUAAAUUAUUAUUUUUUAAAUAUUAGAGCAACAACCAGUAUAAAAAUGAAAUGCACUCAUUUAAUGGAAAUUUUUCUAGAUGCUUCAAUGGCAGAAUCUCGUUGGUCUAUAACUCUCACGCCUUUGAUUCAAGAUUCAAUUUCAAACCAACGCCGAACAAACAGUAUAAACCUUAAUAAGUCUGUGGCUGUAGCCCAACAAACCUACUUCCGGCUCACCGAAUAAUCAUCUCUUACGUCGGAAUUUAAACUUAAACAAAGCUACAUCCCACGUGUCCCCAACUUUCUUCAUAUUUCCAAAAAACCCCUACCAGAUCCAGAUAAUUACCUUCACUCUUCUCGUAUAAAUAGAGAAGACGACGGUUCCUGCAACGUGAGUCACGUGAACGUCAAUUUCAAACCAACGUGAGUCACGUGAACGUUACGGCCAUGGGACAUUGGAAUUGGAUCAAACCACCGGAAUGCACAGCAAAAUUAACCGAAUAAACUAAAUUAGAUCCAACCAAUUGAAUCGGUUUGGGGCCAAUUGCAGUUUUGAUAGCAACUAAAAUCUGUGUGGCCCAGUUACCACAGAGCCUUGCCCCAGAUCCCUGCCAUUUUCUCCUCCACCUCCAUUUGGGGAAAUUACUACUUACUUUUUGCAAGUUUUUCUUGAAAUAUUUAUUUUGAGAAGAAAACCAACAAUACAUUUUAUGAUUUGGGCUCUUUCAAAGAUCUUCGCUUGAUGUCUAUGCUACUGGUUUUCAGCAGAGUGCCCAAAAAUAAUCAGUGCACGCACUAUAGGCUCUAUUAUUAUCAGUAAAAAGCAUUAAUGAUAUAUUGGGAUCGACUUUUUUAUGGGAGUGGUAAAGUGGUGCAUCUUGUUCAUGCACCGUAGAGCCAAUUCCAUUUUGUGAAAUAGGAGUUGAAUAAAAUUUAUUGUAAUACAUGGAAGUAUUGUUAGAAACACGAACACAGUGAGUUGACAAUUUAAAUUGCAAUUAAUUGAAACAAAAUGUAAACCAGCAAUUGGAAACAGCAAAUUAAGAACAGAAGAGAAAUGAAACGGAAUAAGAAAUAUAAACCCGAGGCCUGCACAAGGCAGUUUCCUUAAAACAGAUUUACCACCUCUUUUCUUGUGCUUAAGGUCUGCUGGUAUCUAUUUCCCAGGAUACAACGAGUACGAAUUUCUAGUCAAGCACAGGCUGGAGAUUCCGGCGAACCACAACAGGUAACUCGAUUAGAGAAAGACGAAGAAGGAUGAAGGAAAAAACAAGUGUGUUUUGUGCUGGUUUUUAUGGUGUCCAAAAACAGAAGAAGAGAUGCCUUUUUAUAAUCAUGUGAGGAUGUAACAGCUAAUGUGUAUUGAAUUUCCGAAUUCAAAAUUGAAUUAAAAAAACGUGAACAACAGCUAAAAAUAAUUGUAAAAGCUGUUACACAUUCUUUGAAUUCAAAACAUCAAAUUGUUACAAUAAAAAAUUCAAAAGGAAAUUAAAAACGUGCCAAGCUUGCAUGGAUGAUUUUGGGCUUCUUUUUCCCAUGUGGGAUAAGCCUCAUUUCCUUUCAAUCUAACUUCAAGGGUGAACUUUGAGAGACAAUUUCUCAUUCACCCAAGCACCAUUUUGAGAAAAUAAGAUUAUACUAUUGAAGUAUCAAUGGAGUAGAAUUCGAACCUCACAAUAUUUUCCACUUUUGUUAAGUGGGACCCACUCAAAAUGUGCCCUCAAAAUAGCAUGUUAUGCUAUUUUUCCAACAAUCCCCCACAUGAAUGAAAAUUGGCAGUAAAAACAAGAAAACCGCUAAAUUUUGACAUCAAAACCAUUUUUGACUCUUAAUGAUCGAGUUUAUUGGAUUGAUACCUAGCACAUGAUAGGUAGGUGUUAUCCUUUGAACCUUUCCUUGUAAUAGUAUAAAUACUUUACUAGCUGAUCAGUAGACGCGAUGUCUUUGAACUGUUCUGCCAUUAGUGUAAAGGAUCAUAUACUACACAUAGGUAUUUCCCCUAACACUGUUGAGUUCUCAUGAUUAUGUUCGUUUUGGCCUUGAACAUCUGCCUGGUUCUGCAAGAGUUUCUAAGAGCUGAACCCUUUAUAGCUCCCUUUGAAGCGGCCCCACUUCUCUCUCACAUAGGUAAUAUUUUAAUUAAGAGUAACCCGCAUUACUCCGCUAGAAUUUUCGACGCAUAAGAAUCAUUAAGAGCCUAGCUCAACCUUAUUCCCCACGGGCAACACUGUUUCAUCAUAGGAAUGGUCAAUGAGGUAAUCCUCUCAAGAGAAUGACCCCCACAGUGAUCCAUCUUUAGUCUUUAACAAAUAGGUUGUCCAAUUGAACCUAGAUCUUAGGAUCUCCAGUCUACUAGGUUAGGUUUUCCUUCGUUAUUGACUAAUCAAUCUAUAGGUUUUAAUCACAUCCCCCUCGAUAAUUUUUCUACUAGCUCUCUAUUUAAUCCUUUGGUUAGCGGAUCCUCUAUGUUAUCCUUUGACCUUACAUAGUCAAUAGAAAUAACUCCAGUAGAAAUAAGUUGUCUAAUGGUAUUAUGUCUACUACGAUGUAUGUGUCUAGACUUACCAUUAUACAUAUUGCUUUGUGCCCUACCGAUAGCUGAUUGACUAACGCAAUGUAUACAAAUCGUAUACACAGGCUUUGGCUAUUUUGGAAUACCUUCUAAAAAAUUGCGUAGCCAUUCUGUUUCUUCACCACAUUUAUCUAAUGCAAUGAAUUCAGAUUCCAUUGUAGAUCUAGCAAUUACUGUCUGUUUAGAACAUCUCCAUGAUACAGCUGCACCUGCUAGUGUAAAUACAUAGCCGCUAGUAGAUUUUGAAUCUUUUACAUCUGAUAUCCAGUUAGCAUCACUAAAUUUUUCUAAUACUUCUGGAUACCUAGUAUAGUGCAGUCUAUAAUUACGAGUGUAUCGAAGAUACCUAAGUACUCUUACAAUAGCUUUCCAGUGAUCAGUUCCUGGAUUACUCGUAUAUCUACUAAGUUUGCUUACUGUAUAGGCUAGAUCUGGUCUGGUACAAUUUGUUAAGUACAUCAGACUACCUAUUAUUCUAGCAUAUUCAACUUGAGAAAUACUCUCUCCUCUGUUUUUCGAUAGAUGAAUACUAGUAUCUAAUGGAGUUUUAGACAUAGUAUUAUCCUCUUUAUUAAAUUUCCCAAGAAUUUUAUCUACAUAAUGAGUUUGACUUAAAAUAAGUCCAUUAGAAGUCCUUGAAAUUUUAAUUCCCAAAAUGACAUCUGCAAGACCCAUGUCUUUCAUGUCAAACUUAGACUUCAACAUAUUCUUGGUAGAUUUAAUCAUGUCAUCAUUACUCCCAACAAUAAGCAUGUCAUCAACAUAUAAACAUAAAAUGACAUAGCCAUUUUCUGUUUCUUUGACAUAAACACAUUUGUCACAUUCGUUGAUCUUAAAGCCACUAUUAUCAUCGUAUGAUCAAAUUUCUCAUGCCACUGUUUCGGUGCUUGUUUCAAGCCAUAUAAUGACUUAACCAAUUUACAAACUUUCUUUUCUUGUCUUGGAGCUAUAAAACCUUCAGGUUGCUCCAUGUAGAUUUCUUCAUCUAAAUCUUCAUUUAGAAAAGCCGUCUUUACAUCCAUUAGAUGUAUCUCGAGAUUGCGCAAAGCUGCAAUUGCUAUUAUCAUCCGUAUGGAAUUUAUUCUCGUAACAGGAGAAUAAGUAUCAAAAUAAUCAAGGCCUUCUCGUUGCCUAUAACAUUUAAUUACAAGCCUAGCCUUGUACUUAUCGAUUGAUCCAUCGGCUUUCAUUUUCCUUUUGAAAAUCCACUUAUACCCCAAAGGUUUAUAUCCUGGAGGAAGAUCUACUAGCUCCCAAGUAUGAUUUUGUAAAAUGGAUUCAACUUCACUGUUAAUGGCUUCUUUCCAUAAAGUGCCUUCAGCUGAAGUUACAGCCUCUUUGAAGCUUUGAGGUUCAUUUUCUAGCAAAUACGUCAGAAAGUUUGGACCAAAAGACUUUUUUAUUCUAGCUCUUUUGCUACGUCUAACCUCAAUUUCUUGUUCUUCUUCUUCUUCUGGUGCUUGAUCAUUUUCUUCAUUUUCAAGUGUUGUUUCAUGAAAUUGUUCCAAUUCUCUCGAUUCCACUCUAGAAUUGCAAGGAAACACAUGUUUGAAAAACGAUGCAUUUCUUGAUUCUAUUAUUGUAUUUUUGUGGACAUCUGGAAUUUUAGACUCAUGCACCAAAAAUUGAUAUGCACUACUAUUUUGUGCAUAACCAAUGAAAAUGCAGUCAACAGUUUUUGGUCCUAUUUUCACUCUUUUAUUUAAAGGAACUACUACUUUAGCAAGACACCCCCACACUCAUAAGAAUUUAUAUGAAGGUGAUCUACCUUUCCAUAGCUCAUACGGGAUUUUAUCUUCUUGCUUUCGGGGUAUCUUAUUUAAUAAAUAAUUAGCUGACAAAACAACUUCUCCCCACAUAUUCUGGGGUAACCCAGAACUUAUCAACAUUGCAUUCAUCAUUUCCUUUAAAGUUCGAUUCUUUCAUUCUGCAAUCCCAUUAGAUUGAGGUGAAUAUGGAGCUGUGACUUGAUGUAUGAUUCCACUUUGUUCACAUAGUGACAUAAACGGAACAACAUACUCACCACCACGGUCACUCUUUAAUUCUUUGAUUUUUCUAUUAAGUUGAUUCUCAACUUCAUUUUUGUAGAGAAUAAACUUUUCCAAAGCUUUAUCUUUACUUUUCAAUAAAUAUACAUAGCAAUAUUUUGUGCAAUCAUCUAUAAAGGUAAUAAAAUAUUUAUUACCACCUCUUGUUUGAAGGGAUUUAAAGUCACAAAUAUCACUAUGUAUUAAAUCAAGUGGUUCGGUGUUUCUUUUAAUUAUUUGAAAAGACGACUUAGUUAGUUUUGCCUCAACACAAGUUUCACACUUAUGUUUCAAAUCAAUUUGGAAAUUGGGAAUAUGCUUCAUGUUAAUUAAUUUACGCAAAGAAUUAAAAUUAACAUGUCCUAAUCUACCAUGCCAAAGAUUAGAAGACUCAACCAAAUAAGCAAAAGAUGUAGCUUUAUUAUUAAUUGUUGGUUUCAAAGUCAUUACAUUGAGCUUAAAUAGCCCAUCAUCAACAUAACCCUUUCCCACAUACAUCCUAUUUUUAGAUAAAACUACCAUAUUUGACUCAAACACCAUUCGAAAACCAUGUUUAUUCAGCAGCGAUCCAGACACCAAGUUCUUCCGAAUUUCUGGCACAUAUAGCACAUUGUUCAGAGUCAGUUCUUUCCCAGACGUCAUCUUCAAAACCACCUUCCCUUGACCCUCAAUCUCAGACGUAGCCGAAUUCCCCAUGAGUAGCUUCUCUCCAUUGCUAUCUGCUUCAAAUGAAGUGAACAACCCUUUUUCCGAGCAAACAUGUCUGGUUGCUCCUGUAUCUAUCCACCAUUCUCUUGGAUUAGAGCCAACCAGAUUCACUUCUGAAACCACUGCAGAGAGGUUUAUGUCUUAAACAUGUUGCGUGAUGUUUUACACCACAUUCGCCUCUCGCUUCUUUUUAGGCAACCUGCAAUCCGAAGCCUUGUGACCCAUCUUAUCACAAUUAUAACAUUUUCCUUGAAACUUUGUUUGUUUCUUGGAAAUUCCUCCUUUCGGGCCCAAUUUUUUAUUUUUUAUUUUUAGGUCCAUGUUCAACAAAAUUUGCAUUUGCCAUAGAAAUAGGCCCUCUUCUUUCUGCAUUUCUGUUGUCUUUCUCAAUUCUGAGCUUAACAACCAGCCCUUCAAUAUUCAUCUCCUUUCGUUUAUGCUUCAAAUAGCUCUUGAAAUCUUUCCAAGCAGGAGGCAAUUUUUCAAUAAUUGCAGCAACUUGAAAAGUUUCACUUAGAUGCAUCCCUUCCGCAAGGAUUUCAGAUAAUAUAAUUUGAAGUUCUUGUACUUGACUUAUUACAGUUUUAGAAUCCACCAUUUUAUAAUCUAGGAAGCGACCAACAACAAAUUUUUUGGUACCCGCGUCCUCGGUUUUAUAUUUUCGGUCUAAGGAUUCCCAUAGCUCCUUGGCUGUUUUCUUUCCUAUGUAUAUGUUAUACAAGGAGUCACUAAGACCAUUCAUUACAUAAUUUUUACACAAAAAAUCCGAAUGGUGCCAUGCAUCAAUUGCACUUGCAACUUGAAUAUCUGUUUCACCCUCUUUGGGUUUAGGAGCAUCCUCGGUCAAGAACCUCGCAAGGUUCAACGUGGUCAAGUAAAAGAACAUCUUUUGAACUUUUCAGGCCUUUCCGCAUGAUUGACAAGAAUCGCCACAGAGGCUGGUUCCUUCACAACAUUUGGUGCAGAAACCGGAACAUACGGAACAUCAUCACUGGUUUCAGUUGCCAUCUCAAUGAUAAUAAAUUCUGUUUUAAGAUUGUUAGAAAAACGAACACAGUGAGUUGACAAUUUAAAUUGUAAUUAAUUGAAACAAAAUGUAAACCAGCAAUCGGAAACAGCAAAUGAAGAACAGAAGAGAAAUGAAACGGAAUAAGAAAUAUAAACCCAAGGCCUACACAAGGCAGUUUCCUUAAAACAGAUUUACUACCUCUUCUCUUGUGCUUAAGGUCUGCUAGUAUCUGUUUCCCAGGAUACAACGGGUACGAAUUUCUAGUCAAGCACAGGCUGGAGAUUCCGGCGAACCACAACAGGUAACUCGAUUAGAGAAAGACGAAGAAGGAUGAAGGAAAAACAAGUGUGCUUUGUGCUGGUUUUUCUGGUGUCCAAAAACAGAAGAUGAGAUGCCUUUUUAUAAUCAUGUGAGGAUGUAACAGCUGAUGUGUAUUGAAUUUCCGAAUUCAAAAUUGAAUUAAAAAAACGUGAACAAUAGCUAAAAAUAAUUGUAAAAGCUGUUACACAUUCUUUGAAUUCAAAACAUCAAACUGUUACAAUAAAAAAUUCAAAAGGAAAUUAAAAACGUGCCAAGCUUGCAUGGAUGAUUUUGGGCUUCUUUUUCCCAUGUGGGAUAAGCCUCAUUUCCUUUCAAAUUUCUAACUUUAAGGGUGAACUUUGAGAGACAAUUUCUCAUUCAUUCAAGCACCAUUUUGAGAAAAUAAGAUUAUACUAUUGAAGUAUCAAUGGAGUAGAAUCCGAACCUCAUAAUAUUUUCCACUUUCGUUAAGUGGAACCCACUCAAAAUGUGCCCUCAAAAUAGCAUGUUAUGCUAUUUUUCCAACAAGUAUAUAUUGCAUUGAAUAAAAUGAAAUUGUUCAAAAAUUAACAAAUUCAGCUUUAUUAUAAUCUAAAACAAAGUAAAUAGAAUAAUACCCAUCAUGUAAAAAUAAAAAAUAAAAUUUUUUAUACCACUUGGAAUUUAUUUUAAAUGUUUUGGUCAAAUCUAAGAAGCACAAACUUUGAACAAUGAUAAUAGGUAAAAACUAAUAAUCUUAUAAUAAAAAGUAAGAAAAAAAAUAAAGUUGAUUUAGCAGCUAAGAAUAAAAAAAGAAAAAUAGAAAGAGAGAGAAAUUAGUUUAGGCUUUAACCAUUGUUAUAGUAGAGAAAAAAAAUUAAUUAAGAGUAAUUUUAUGACUUUUUAGAAAUGAGUGAAUUAAAAUAAUAAAUUAUAAUUUGAUAAUUAUCUUAAUUAAAAAAUGGCUGUUGAAAUAAAAUUAGUGAAUUUAAAUAGGCCGCCCAAAAUCCAAACUCGCAUACCAAUAAUUUUCUAAUUUACAUAAAGUUUUUCUAAAUGUUUGAUAAAAUUUGAUUCUCAAUUGGCCUAAUGGAGAAACAACCAGCAAAAUGCAAAAUUGCAUUCCGUUUGUGGGAUCCUGGAAAAAAUAAAAGAAAGAAAACAGAGUAAGACGCUGAUACCGGGGGCUUUAAUAUUUUUCUAGGUGCUUCCAUGGCAGAUUCUCGUUGGUUCAUUUUUCUUUACGCCUUAGAUUCUAUGAUUCAAUUUCAAUCAAAUACGACAAACAAAAGAAGCUUUUAAGCCUGCAGCUGAAAUAGAUGGUACUUUAAUUUCGGCUGAACAUACAUAUGGCAAGAUUAUUAUUCAAUAUCGAGAUCGGAUAAGGGUCCAUAUGAUCAUGGGCCAGGCCACUACUUGCUCAUGCUUUGAAUCAAAAUUAGUGACGUUGGAAGCUGAAAGGGGCAAAUGAUGAAAUGGGGUUCAUCAUAUACUAUGCCCGACGGGAUAAGAUCAUCAUUUAAUUGCCUCCUCUUGUCGAUAGAUAUUUGCCGAAUUUUUCUAUUUAAAAAAUAUUAUAUUGGUUAAUAUAAUUAGAAGUUUUACAAAAUAUAACUAUAAUUUUAAAAAAAAUUUAUACUUAUUAAUUUAAAUUUUUCAUUGAGUUCUGCUAUUUAUCCCGGGUUAAAUUUCGGGUCAAACCCUGAAUUAAACAAAACGACGUCGUUUUCGCUUCUUUUUUUGGUCAUUUUUGCUUCUAUGGAACGAAGUCGUUUCAGCCAAACAAAAGCGAAUGUCUUCGUUUUCUGCAACAAAACCUCACUCUUCUUGAUCCCAUAUCUCUCCUACUUUCUCAGAACUCCAAUUCUCAAAACCCACCAGUCACACUGAAACUCAUUACAGAGAAUUACUUCAUGGAGAGGGGACCCAGAUUCCAUGAAUACGCUGAACUGAGAGAAUCAAGACUGAGAAGGAAGGUUAUACGAGUAGAAGAUGAAACUGAUGAAGCGUAUGAGCCAAAGCGAUCGCCUUUAAAGAAACAAGUGAAGUUUCGGGGGAUUUUGACUGGUUCAAGAAAAGGGUCCUCUGUUUCCUCUGUUUUGGCUCAGUCAGUGCCUGACUUUUCAGCAACUUUGCGGAAAGAAAAUCGGAGGCCGGCGGGUAGGGCGCUUGAGUUGACUCCUCCGGCUAAGAAUUGGUCGAAAAUGAAUGGGAAUUUGUCGAAUUCCAGAGGAAGUAAGUCGGCAAAUGCGGGGUAGAAGAAGGGAAUGAUGGCAAGAAAGAGUUAUGCGAGUAUUGAAGAAUUGAAGGGCAUGUCAAUGGGAGUGGCAAAGGACAAAAGUGAAAGAAUUAUAAAUAAUAGAAAGCAAGUUAAUUAGAAGCACAAAAGCAGAUUUUGUGGACACCAAAAUAGUCCAGAAUCAGCAGCUUUAUUGCCUUCUAUAAGCAUGAGAAAAAUGACACACACACACACACACACACACAUCACUGCUGCUGUUCAAGCUUUUGUUCGGGUGAUGAAUCGAAGAGGAAGAAGAAGAGAAAGAAAAGCAGCUGCGUUUUUUUCUGUUUUCACUGAGUUGAAACGACUACGUUUCAUGGAAGCAAAGAGAAAAAAAAAAAAAAAAAGAAACUAAAACGGCAUCGUUUUGAUUUGAUUCGGGAUUUGACCUGGGAAAAGUAGCAUUUUCCUUUUUCAUUUGGUAGUUGUGUUUGAGAAAAAGUUGAUAGGCACUACUUAAAUAGUAUUAAUAUGGCAACAAAAAACAUGCGAGCAAAGUAGACUAUUGCUUUAUUCUAUAAAUAGCUCAUUUGAGCUUAGAACCUUUAAAGUGUGUCGUACGUUUCUGUUACUUCUAAUAAAGAUAUUCCCUAUUCCCUUUUCUUCCACUUUCUCUUCCAUUUUCACGAUCCCCAAACACCAUCAAUCCAAGAUUUUCUAGAGUAUUAGCUGUCUAUUUCUACAAACAUAGAAUUGCUGUUUUAAGAAACAAAAUAGUCUGUCCUGUCACCCAUGGUCUCCUCAUUUAUCGGUUUGUGAACAGGGCUAAAUAAAGGGCAAAUAAGAUAUUGGGGCAAUGGGCCUAAUGUGACAAGAUCUUGAAUUGAUUGCCUCUUUCUUUUCUCCACAAAUCUUUGGUUAAUUUUUAUGUUCCCUCAACCUUUUUGCCCUUUAGCACCAAAAUUCAUUUUUGAUACUUUAUGCAAAAAUUAUGAUGAAAAUGAGUCACUUUAGAACAUCAAUAAAUUUUUUUGACAUCCAAGAUAACGACAAUUACACUUAGAUCACUCUUAUUUAGUUGAAUUAUAUAUGUAAUAAUGUUGGCUUAACAAAAUAUGAUUCUUAAUCGUUGUAAUUACGGGCUGGUAUUCUUUGGUUUUAGUAGUAGGGCUUAUAACGCCGUGCAACAGUUCUUGGUGGGUUCGAAUUAUUAUACGAUCAUUCUCAAAUCUUUACGGUAUGUAAUUAAAAAUUCCUAUAUAGCAAUUAGAACUUACAAACAAGUUAAAGUGAGUUAAAUCAAAUGUAUAAAUUCGAGGUCUAUUACAAACUUCUAAAAAAGAUUUUCUGUUCUUUUUUCUUUCACUUUCUCUUCCAUUUUGCCAAUCCCCAAACACCGCCAAUCCUUGAUUUUUUUAGUAUUAGCUGUCAAUUUCUACAAACCUAGAACUGCUGUUUGUUUGUCUAAUUAUUUUCAAGAAACAAAACUCUUUGUCAUGUGGUCUCUUCGUUUAUUGGCUUGUGAGCAAAUAAGAUAUUGGGCCGAUGGGCUUAACGUGACAAGUUCUUGAAUUGAAUGGCUCCUCUUUUUUUCAUAAAUCUUUGCUUAAUUUUUUUUGUUCUCUCAACCUUUUUUGGCCUUUCGCGCUAAAAUUCUUUUUUUGAUACAUUAUGCAAAAAUUAUGAUGAAAAUGAGUUACUUUAGAACAUCAAUAAAGUUUUAUGACAUGUAUAAUAAGACAACUAUAGUGAGAUUAGUUGAAUUAUAUGUAAUAAAAUUAGUUUAACAAAAUCUAACCCGUCAGUAUUCCAUAGCACAUGAUUAACGUAUUUAAAAAAUCUUAGUUGUUCCGUCGCUUGUUUUACAAUUAUUUUAUAUAUUUUUGAAACUUUCUGCUUCCUGACACAUCAUAUUGUUCUCAAUUCGUCAAAAUUAUUUGUUUCUUCAAACACUGCAGCAACAACCGGUAUAAAAUAGACUGAACUCAUUUAAUGGGAAUUUUUCUCAUUGGUCAAUUUCUCUUCGCACCUUAGGUUCCUCUAACAAACUUAAAAGAUGUUCCCCAUCCCACGUGUCCCCAAAUCUUCGUAUUUCCAAACAAACCCCUGCCAAUUAUCAUAUUAAUGAGCCACUGUUAAAUUCAUUCAGUCAGUAUUUUUCUUUUCCCAUUUUCAAUGAAUGCUUAAUAUGGAAAACAAUCUGUCUCAUUGAGCACUGUUUAAAUCAUUCCCUAGUUUGUUUAACACGCAAAGAAUAUUCUUAUUCGGCUCGGCAGCCAAUCCGUUAAAAUUUGUUAAAAUUCAUUUAAGUGAUGACUGUGAUAUGACUCGAUCAAUAGUUUAAUUUGUAUAAUUUAUAAAAAUUUGGGCUUCAAGUAAUGUAGAUAGAAUGGUUAAUUAUUUUAAUAUUCAGAUAAAUUGAUAUAUGUCAUUAUAUUAUGAGUGGAUGAAAUAUCCAAUAGAAAAAAAAAAUGUUUGUAUUCAUCAUUUUUAGUGGGAAUCUAUUUAGUGUAACUUAUCCAUAAAAAUGGUUGCCGACUUAUCUUAUUUCUCAUUUUGUUUAAUUUCAUAAAUUUGACUCCCGAUUAAUUAUGAGUGAAGAAUUUGUUGGAAAAAAUCUGGUCUUCCAUUUAUUUUGUAGGAUUUAAAAGAUUAAAAAACUUUAAUACAUAUAAUUUUAUGUUCGAAACUAAGUACUCGUAGCAUUGCUGCUUCUAUAAAUAACUCAUUUGUGCUUCCAACUUGUUAUUUGUAUUUUACGUUUUUGUUUCUCUUCAUAAAGAUUUUCUUUUUUUUUCUUUUUUCCAUUCACUUUUUCUUCCAUUUUCCCGACUCCCAAACACCACUAAGCCUUGAUUUUCUAGAGUAUUAACUGUCCGUUUCUACGAACAUAGACCUACAGUUUGUCUAAAUACUAUCAAGAAACAACGUACUCUGUCGCGGGAUCUCUUCGUUUAUUGACUUUUGACUUGUGAACGGGGCUAAUUAAAGGGCGUUCCUUUCUUCAAGAAAGAAUGCAAAGAAAGUACUAUCCAUGAGACACGUUAAAAAUUAUUUUACAUAAAAAAUGAUAAUAAUCAUAAUAAUCGGUUAAGGAUCGACAAAAAUGUUAUAACCUAUAAAGCAUGGAUAAUUAAUUAAUGGGAAUGCACCUCUCAUCUUUACCAUUCUCUUUGUCAUUUUCAUAAUUCAGCUGUUUAUUAAUAAAGUGAAUAAAUUUAUCUUUUAAUAAUAUGUUUCUUGGCUGUUUUUUUGUGUAUUUUUGUGUACAAUUUUGUGUGCAAAUAGCAUUAUUCAUUAGUAAUUAGUUUGGAGUAGCUCAUUUUGAGCUUAGGACCUGUAACUAGUAUUUUAUGUUUCUGUUAAUCUUUAAUAAAGAUUUUCUCUAUUUUUUUUUCCCUUUCACUUUCUCUUCCAUUUUCCCCGACUCCCAAACACCACCAAUCCUUGAUUUUCCAGAGUAUUAGCUCUCUAUUUCGACAAACGCAUAACUGUUGUUUGUCUAACUACUUUCAAGAAAUAACGUAGUCUGUGGUUUAUUGACUUGCGAACGGGGCUAAUUAGUCACGGUCCGAUUGUCUGACUUCUCCAUUGACUCGGUCAAUUCACGACCUUGACCUGCACAGUUGAUACAAACGGACUUCUCCAUUUGAGGUGUACAAAACUUUCUUGAGUCAUUUUGUUUGGUGAUGAUGAAUUGGAUGUCAGUUCAUGAGUUUCAUGAUGAAGAGGACCAAAAACAUUAUUUUAUUAUUUAAAGAAGACUAACAAUUAUUUCGAUGGUCAUUUUAUUUUUUAUUUUUAAAUAUCCAAGGUGCUUGACUUCUUUACACAGAAUUACAAAGCAAAAUAAUUAAGAAACUAAAUACUCGUCAUCCAAGUGAGAAGAGAUUGGGUUGUUGAUACAUUAAAUAAAAGAAAAAUCAAUUAAAAGCACAACAAUUCAAUAAUUUCAUUCUCAAUCAUAUCAAAACUAAAACAAAUUAUUAGGGAUUUGCAGUUUUUUUUAGUGUAAUCCUCGUUAAUUACAGUUUGGUCUGAAGGGUUGAGCACAUGAGAAUAGAAGGUUUGAUCAUAGGAAAAUAAUAUAUCCCUAUCCGAUGCAAAAAUGAUUGUAAAGAAAAAAUUACAUUCCAUUUUCCAGUUAUUAAAGUAAUUCUAAAAUCACUAGGAUCACAAAGGAUAGGCUUUGGUUGACUGAGGUCAGCCUUAACGCAUGCCGGUCUUUUUCUCCUCUACAUUCUUAGAAAUUUUGGUUUCACUAUAAAUACUCGGUAUAUAGCAAACUUAUAAGUGUUCUUGCAUUACCAAUCCAACUAAGCACACGCUUACAAUAUAAAUACUCUCAUCUCAUGGAAAGAGUUCAUUCUUUCAGGAUGAUGAGCAGAUUUCUCUUACUCCAUUGUUUGAUUCUUAUUUCCUUAUUUAUCGCGGCAGCAACAGCCAACACAAGUUCUACUAUCACAGACCGAGAUGCUCUGUUGGCCCUGAAAGCUCACAUAACUCAUGAUCCGACUAAUUUCUUGGCUAAGAAUUGGAACACGAGUACUCCUGUCUGUAAUUGGACAGGUGUCGCUUGUGAUGUCCAUAGCCAUAGAGUCACAGUCUUGAAUAUUUCAAGCUUAAAUCUCACAGGCACCAUCCCUUCUCAACUUGGGAAUCUUUCUUCUCUGCAAUCACUCAAUCUCAGUUGUAACCGACUUUCUGGUUCCAUUCCCUCCGCCAUCUUCACCAUAUAUACACUGAAAUAUGUUAGUUUCCGUGAAAAUCAGCUCUCCGGCGCUUUCUCUUCUUUCAUCUUCAACAAGUCUUCUUUACAACAUCUUGAUUUUAGUCACAAUACACUGUCUGGUGAAAUUCCUGCAAAUAUUUGCAGUAGUCUUCCUUUUCUGGAUUUCCUUUCUUUGCAAGAAAACAUGUUCCAUGGCGGAAUACCGUCCACUCUAUCAAAUUGCACAUAUUUGCAAAAAUUAGGUUUGGUAUACAAUAAUUUCUCGGGGGCCAUACCUAAAGAAAUCGGCAAUUUGACCAAACUUAAGAUAUUAUAUCUUGGCGGUAACAGGCUCCAAGGUGCGCAUGAUCACAAAGUUUAAUUAUGAAAAUUGUUGCAUAAGUUGUAGUAUGAAUACUGUUCCAUAAUACAGUUUACACACGUUGAUUAAUUUUCAGGAGAAAUUCCUCGAGAGUUUGGCAAUCUCGCCGACUUGGAGCGGUUGUCGUUGGCAGGCAACAAUCUCCAAGGCAUGAUUUUAAACUUUUUGCAAUUUUAUUUUAGCCAUGCUUGCUUCUGUAUUCAUUCGCUUGUUCUUUAAUUAUGCGAUGAUUUAUUGUUUUUCUUUCAGAUAGAGAUAAAGCUCCAUGUCUCCCCUCACUCAUUUCAUUCUUUAAUUUAUGCAGAUAAAAAUAAAAUAAAAAUGUUUUGUAAUUUUCUUUUGUCAUAUUGCCACUUCCGUUUUGAAGCUCCCAAUUAAGUCUAUGAAAAUGAAUGAUGUUUCAUUCUUAUUCUUGUCAGCCUAAUUCUUAUAUAAUUGGAGAGUAAAUUGUUAUUAUGAUAAUCGUCAGCCAAUAAAUUCUUUUUUUUUUUACCCCAAAUAUGAGUGAUCAAAUUGUUUGCGCAUACAUAUAUGUACUUAAUUUGCAGGAGGUAUUCCACAGGAAUUGGGGAAUCUUGCAAAAUUGGAGAUGUUACAGCUGUUCCAGAAUAACUUGAUCGGUAACUUUCUUUACGAUUUAUAUCUGAGACAUCUUCCACUUCUUAAUUAAUAGAUGUCUUAAUUAAUAGAUUUCAAGUCUCUCAUUAUAAAUUCUCAUAUGAGGAUGUGUAGUUACCACUAUCUAACGUUAUUCCUUUUUUAUUAGAAAUUAGUUUGUGUUAAUUCAAAAUUCUGUAGCAUUUAAAAAAAUUAAAAACACGUGGAAUAAAUCAUCAAUCUUUCUUCUUUACUGAAUUUGGAUUUCUCAAAAAUAAUCUUGACAAGUAUGUUUCACUAAUGAUAUGCUUGUGUGACAACUUCAUAAAAUAUUUUACAUGGAAUCACUAAUUAUCUCUAAAGAUGCCAUCAGUGAUACAUAAUUUCUUAACAACACCAUACCAAAAGAAAUCAACAAUUUUAUUAAUCGUAAAGAGUUACAUCUUCAUUGUAAUUAUGACAUAAAUUUUUAGUCAUCAAUCGCAUAAUAUUUUAUCUUAACUGAUGAUGAUGUUCAGUCUUGGAAUUUAUAAUAUCUUGAAGGUUAGUAGCUUUAAAAAUAAGAAAUUGCUCAUUUGCUAAAAAGUUAACUUAGUAUUUAAGUUUUUCAAUUGAAAAUUUUGAAAAAAGCGUUGAGAACUGGCGCUCCAUGGUAUUUCAGCGGAUAAAUAUGAAAAAUAGGCUAGAAGAAAUUAUUUUACUGAAAUAAGAGUUAAAAAGAGAGGAGAAGUACAGUACUCACGACUUAGGCUUUCUGUGUGUGCUUAUUCUACUUAGGCUUUGGGCUUGAUUACGCCCGUUAUAAUAAUAGGCUUUUACUUUCAGCACACAUGAUGAUUUCUUAACCUUCUCAAUUAGGUUAUAGCAAUUUAUAUAUAAAUAACUAAAGCAUACUAAAGCUAGCAUUGAUGUACGGAUGAGUGGCGUCAAAAGUGUAUUUGUUUUUAUGUAUUAUUUAUUCUCUAAAACAUAUCUGAAUACAAUUCUUUCACAAUACCGAGGAAAUAGCACAUGAAAUCGGAAAUAUUUUAUUGCGAUGAGAAUUCGUAUAUUCAUUGUAGUAGAACAUAUAAAAUAGACUAUAAAUUCAUUAUUCUUUCAAGCAAACCUGAUUAUAAUUCCUUCAAAAUUAAGUUUGUCAUUAAAUGAUUUCUCAGGAGCCCUACAAAAAAAAAUCGGGAAUUUGACCAAACUCAAGUAUUUAUCUAUUGGCGGUAACAGGCUCCAAGUUGCGCAUGAUCACAGAGUUCAAUUAUGAAAAUUGUUGCAUAAGUUAUAUGGAUAUCCUUGAUAACCGCAGCAAGCAUACAAAAUCAAAUAAAAGCUAACUGAGACUCGAAUAUCCUAAACCCUGAAAAGGAAUGGUAAUGGUAUAAUAUGGAUUCUGUAGGCAUAUUUCACUGGACUCAACAUUUAUGGUUAAUUUACAACUCUUUGUUGUAAAGUCUGAGAAAUUGCUUUAUAUUAGGGGUGGGGAAAAUAAUUGUUGGGCCACAAAUUUCAAGCAGAAUCCAGAUUGGGCCCAAUUAGACUUAUAGCUCAGCUCUGUGUCGAUAUCUGGGUCUUUACAAAUAAUUAAUGGGCCAAUUAAUAAUAAUAAAUAAAUUGAGAAGGGUAUGAGUGAAAUUAGAUAUGAAUGAAUCUGCUAGUGUAUGUACACAUUUUUCUAAUUAAUGCGUUAUGAGCCUGCCGCUGCCAGCAUGGAAAUUACAGAAACUAAGGAGAGAAUUGACCCAUUAAUUAAAUUAAAAAGAAUACGGAAUAUAUAAGCAGUCAAAAUAUAGGUGAAGUAGGCAUGAAUUGUCACAUAACUAAAUUUGAGAGUAAAACCGUGACUUGGGUUUGAAUGUUUGAUUAAGUUACUUCUAUUUCAAGUUGCUUAUUUUGCGUGGGCUUCAGGCUUAAUUACACACAGUCGAACACUUAUACAGUUCCCCUGACAUAGGCUUUCACCUUCACCACACAUUUGAUAAUUUCUUAGCCUUCCCAAUUAGAUUAUAGCAAUUUAUAUAUAAAUAACUAAAGCAUAGAAAAGCCACCAUUGAUGUACGGAUGAAUGGUGUCAAAAGUGUAUCUUGUUUUAUUUAUUAUUGUUCUAUGAUACAAAUUUGAAUAAUGGAAUAUAAUGCUUUGAAAAUACCGAUGAAAUAGCACAUGAAAUCGGAAAAUAUUUUACUGCAAUAAGAAUUCAUAUAUUCAUUGUAGUAGCACAUAUAAAAUAGACUAUAAAUUUAAUUUUAAAAUACAUUCUUAUCUUCAUAUAAAUUUUACAUUACUAAUUUAAAUUAACAUUAAAAUAUGUUGUUUCUUUCACUAUGUUAUUUUAUUUACACAAUGAUGUGACUAUUGGAAUUAAUAAUAAUUAUAAUUAUUUUGUAAAAAUAUAAAUUUAAUACUUUGUUAACAUUUUAUCUACAUAUAAUAAUUAAACUGAAACUUGUAUUUAAAAAAUUCUAGUUACGCAUAUUCAUUUCACGACAUAAAAGUGUAUAUUUAUGCUAAUUUACCAUUGUCAACAAAAUGCUUUGAGACAAAUAAUCUAAUUUAUAUUUUUAUAUUUAAAAUACUUGCAUUUAUUAUAUUUUGAAAAAAAAAUUAUUUGCAAUUAUUUUAAACCGUUGGAUUCAAAUUUUUGUAGUUAUUAAAGUCAAAGGGUAUAAAUGUAUAAUAGUCAAAAAUAGAUUUGUAUGAUCAUUUUUUAAUGUAUAAAUUUUCUUAGUUAGUAGGAAAAUUAGAAAUUGUUGAUUUACUCAUAAAUAAAUUUAAUGUUUAGCAUUUCAAUUUUGGAAAACUUGAAGUAAAUGUUGAUAACUUUGAAUCGGUCGAGCCGAGUUUCUCUUCCUUGACCCACAGACCCAUUGAAAGUUCUAUUCGAAUUGAGUUUCCCGGUGCUUAUAAAAAGCUUUUCUUUUCCUUGUCGCAGUAAUUUAUUCACAAAUGAGUUGAUUAGCAUCGAAGUUACCUGAGAGUCUGAGACCAUGCUAGUAGGAGAAAUUUGAAAAGAAAUUAUUUUACUGAAUUAAUUUAUUUUAUCUUGUUGUAACUGAAAUACUACUUUUUUUUGGGCUAUCACUGGGGCUUGAUUUACUUUAAUAGUAGUAGCCACCGACUUAGGCUUUUUUUAAUUGUCACCACACAAUUUGAUCUUUUAAUUUGUUUUAACCACAUAAUCUGUCUAUCUAUCUCUCACCUAUUGCUUACUUAAAUCGCAUACAUAUUUUACCUACUAAUUUUAUAAAUAUUAGUCAAAUAUAUUUUAUUACGUUUCUCUCGUAACUGCUCCAAAUGUGUACUAUUAAUACUUAACCCUCGCUUUUAAUUUAACCCAAAAAUAUAAAAAUAAAAGAAAAAGAAUAUGUGUAGCAAUUUGCAUAUAACUAACAAAGCAUUGACGGUGUGUAGCCUUUCAAAACUUCACGGGUGGCUUUUCUUGUGUGUUAGUACUUGUAAUAAUUGUGUAGUGUAUAAAUGACAUUUUAUUAUUAAAGUGCGUCCAUUUUUAGAUAUUACUUAUUAUUUGAAAAAUAAUCUGAAUAUAAUUCUUUUAAAAUACAGGGGAGAUACCACUUGAAAUUGGUAAUCUCCAAAAUCUGGAGGAGUUGGAGCUUGCUCAAAACAAAUUAAUUGGUAUUGUCCCAGUUGCAAUCUUUAAUGUGUCAACACUCAAAAUACUUCAGCUUCAAAUUAAUUGUCUCUCGGGAAGUCUUUCAUCCAUCACAGACGUCCAACUACCAAAUCUUGAAAAGCUUGAUUUGUGGGGUAAUAAUUUCAGUGGCACAAUUCCUCGUUUCAUCUUUAAUGCUUCUAAGCUCUCUAUACUAAAUUUGGGAGGGAACUCAUUCUCCGGUUUUAUUCCCAACACAUUUGGCAACCUAAGAAACCUUAAAUACCUUUAUUUAGAAAACAAUUAUUUGACAUCUUCAACUCUAGAAUUGAGCUUUCUAUCCUCGUUGUCAAAUUGCAAGUCUUUAACACAUAUUGACUUAUCAAAUAAUCCACUAGAUGGCAUUCUUCCUAAGACGUCUGUCGGUAAUCUUUCUCAUUCUUUGGAAGAUUUUCACAUGUACAAUUGUAACAUUAGUGGCGGCAUCCCUGAAGAGAUCAGCAACUUGACCAACUUGAUAACCAUUGAUUUAGGAGGCAAUAAAUUGAAUGGAUCGAUUCUGAUUACUCUUAGCAAAUUACAAAAGCUUCAAGGUUUGGUUCUUGAUGAUAACAAAUUAGAAGGAUCAAUCCCAGAUGAUAUUUGUCGUUUGGUUGAGCUGUAUAAAUUGGAGUUGGGUGGCAAUAAGCUUUCAAGAUCAAUCCCUGCAUGCUUCAAUAAUCUGAUUGCUCUGAGGAUACUGUCGUUGGGUUCCAAUGAGUUAACUUCUAUUCCCUUAACUUUUUGGAACCUUAAGGAUAUCUUGUACCUCAACUUUUCAUCAAAUUUUUUGACUGGCCCACUCCCAUUAAAGAUUGGAAAUUUGAAGGUUUUGGUUGGAAUUGAUUUUUCGAUGAAUAAUUUUUCAGGCGUUAUCCCAACAGAAAUUGGAGGCCUAAAAGAUCUAGAAUAUCUCUUCUUAGGAUAUAAUAGAUUGCAAGGAUCGAUUCCUGAUUCAUUUGGUAAUUUGAUAAGUUUGAAAUUCUUGAAUUUGUCCAAUAAUAAUCUCUCUGGGGCAAUUCCUGCACCUUUAGAGAAACUCUCAUAUCUUGAAGAUCUAAAUCUUUCUUUCAACAAGUUAGAAGGAGAAAUUCCUAGGGGAGGAUCUUUUGGAAACUUCUCAGUUGAAUCAUUUAAAGGAAAUGAAUUAUUAUGUGGUUCACCUAAUUUACAAGUCCCGCCAUGCAAAACUAGCAUCCACCACACAUCAUGGAAAAUUUCUCUUCUCCUAGGGAUUCUCUUGCCAUUGAGUACUACAUUAAUGAUAGUAGUCAUUUGGUUGAUCCUAAGAUAUCGACAGAGAGGAAAACAACCAUCGAAUGAUGCUAAUAUGCCACUAGUAGCAAUGUGGAGAACAUUUUCAUACCUAGAACUUUGUCGAGCAACAGACGGAUUCAGUGAAAACAAUCUAAUCGGCAGAGGAGGGCUUGGCUCUGUUUAUAAGGCAAGACUUGGGGACGGGAUGGAAGUUGCAGUGAAGGUCUUCAAUUUGCAAUGUAGAAGAGCAUUUAAGAGUUUCGAUGUUGAAUGUGAAAUAAUGAAAAGUAUUCGCCAUCGAAACCUUAUCAAAGUUAUUAGCAGUUGUUCGAAUGAAGAGUUUAAAGGGUUGGUAUUAGAAUACAAGCCUCAGGGAAGUUUGGAGAAGCAUCUGUAUUCAAGUAAUUGCAUUUUGGAUAUUUUUCAAAGAUUGAACAUAAUGAUAGAUGUUGCAUCAGCUUUGGAAUAUCUGCACUUUGGUUGUUCAACUCCAGUAAUUCAUUGUGACUUAAAGCCCGACAAUGUAUUGUUAGAUGAUAAUCUGGUUGCUUAUUUGAGUGAUUUUGGCAUCGCGAAGCUCUUAAUUGGAGAAGAUCAGUAUAUGACUCAAACGCAAACACUUGCCACAAUAGGUUAUAUGGCACCAGGUUUGUUCAAUAUAAAUAUUUUCUAUUUCUUGUAAAUUUCCUAAUAAGUUAUUUAUGUUUCAUGAUCUUCAUUAGAUGAGGAAAUUAUUAUUAAUGAUAUAUCUUACUAUUUAACUGUUGCAAUUCAUAGAGUAUGGAAGAGAAGGACGAAUAUCCACAAAUGGAGAUGUUUAUAGCUUUGGAAUUAUGUUAAUGGAAACUUUUACCGGGAAGAAACCCACAGAUGAAAUUUUUAAUGGAGAAAUGACAUUAAAGCAUUGGGUUAAUGAUUGGCUACCCAUUUCCACUAUGGAAGUUGUUGAUGCUAAUUUGCUAAGUCAGGAGGACGUACAUUUUGUUGCAAAAGAGCAAUGUGUGUCAUUUGUCUUCAAUUUGGCUAUGGCGUGCACUGUGGAAUCUCCUGAGCAGAGAAUCAAUGCAAAAGAAAUUGUAACAAAGCUCUUAAAAAUUAGAGGCUCAUUACUUAGAAAUGUUGGAGGCAGAUGUAUAAGACAAUCAAAUUUAAAUUGAUUCUGCCACUCCAUUGCUUGCUAUCUUUUUCAGAGACUUGAACGGUUAUCCUUCAUACCAGUUUUGUUGAUAUGUUUUGUUAUUGCUCUUGCUCAUGUUUGUUUCUCUAUUUCUUUAAUUUGCAUGCAUGUAUUUUUCGUUCUCUUUUAUGUUUUUGUUGGUUUGUAUGUAGUUUGUUUUUAGGGGUAAGGUUGAUUAUGUCCUUCCCUAAUUACACGUAUCCUUUUUAUGUUUAUUCAAUAAAGCUUCUCUAAUACUAUCGAGGUUCAUCAAAAGAAAAUUUUUAAUUAAUUUUCUUUUCUUUGACAGGUAAUGAAAUUCUAAUCUUCAUAGUGAAUAACUUCAAUAAUAGAGUAUAAGAGUAUUAGUAGUUAUGGUUGUUUUUUGAACCUAAAGUCAAGAGCAAUUUAACAGCAACAAACAAGCCUCUUGUAUUAUAGGCAAAAUUCUUUUCAUUAAUCUUAUUUAUCUACAUGUUCUCCUUUUUUCUCCAUUAAUCUUCGCUCAAGCUUUCAUGCUUCCUCUUUGAUAAAGGAAAAUAUUACUUGCGAAUAUUUCAAUUUGACAUAAGAGACUGUUUUGCCAACCAUUUGAUAAAAUGGAUAUGAGUGGAGCUUUCAAUCAUUACCUCCACCAAAAUCCUUACAACGCCACUUUUAAAUUUUAUUUUUUAAAAUACAUUCAGUUUAAUUUAUAAAAAAUAAAUCCAUUUGUUAAAAUUAAUCUUUUUCUCAUAAAUUUCAACCUAAAAAAUAUAUUUCUUUUAAAUUUUUAAUUAUAAAAUACAUACAAGUUCUAAACUAUUAUUUUAUUUUCUUCUUAUUAUAUAGUUUAUAUCUCCAUAACUCUAAACUCCUAUAAUUUUUUUUAAAAUGUUUUUAAUUUAAAAUAUAAAUAUUAAGUAUAUAAUGGAGUGGGUAUAAAAAAAUUUGUUAAAAGAAUAAUUCAUUUAAGUAUUUAACUAAAUUUAAAUUAAAAUAAGAAAUAAGUUAAUUUAUUUUUUAUUAGUUAAGUAAUUUUCAAUUGAAAAAGAGCUGUAUGAGUAAUAUUAUUGAAAUAUGAUUAAAAUUCUUAUGAAUUAAAUAUUUUCGUAUAAAUACUAGUGAUAAUUACAGAGAAAGGACAAGGAACCAAAGAAAAUGUGAAUAUAAAUACUCCAAUGUAAUUUUACACAUGCAAAUUAUGAACCAGUGAUCUUUAGAGCAUCAUAAAAUUAUUUUGACAGAAUUACUUAUUUUGAAAAAUUGCCAACAAUGUUUAAAGUGGGAUUGAAAAGAUUAUACUACUUAUAUAAGACAUGAUAUCAUUUAAGAUGGCUUACGAAUUAUAAAAAAUAUAUUGAUCUUACAAAUAUUUAAUAUGUCAAUUAGACGGGCCCAGCUACCUUCCACCUGCUAGAAGGUACAUCUUAUUUUGUCCUCUAGUGUUGUGGGCGUUGGAUAUUUUAGAAGUUGAUCUAACGGUUCUUGUUCGACAGCGUGAAAUUGAAUUUCAAUUGGCAACCGUUUCAUGAACUUUGCAAGAGACAAUUAUCUACAAAAAUAUUAAAAAAAUAAAACCAAUUUUUCCCUUUCAUCAGCCGCCGCCGCCACCCACGAACCCUUAAUAUCAUCAUCACCAUCCCAAUCCUUAGUCGCCAUCCACAAGCUCUAACAACCACCAUGACCGCCAUCACAACCACCACUCCUCACAACCCCUAGCCACCACUACAAACAUUCACAAACUCCAACCAUAAUUGUCAGUUCACCAACAUUAUCCUCCAUUGACGCGGCCUACCAAUCAUCCACAACACCUAACCGUCGUCACCAACAAACUUUCGCCACCGCUUCCUACAAGGAAGCCUCACCACCCACCACCGCACACACACAAAGCCACACCAACCGCCAUACUAUUGCGACAGAGGCCACAAUGUAGACAAAUUCCCUAAGAGGAAGGAUGUUUUCCUUCUCCAGCUGACUAUUCUUUUUUAUCCUUUUUUUUGUUUUUUAAUUAUUAUAUUACUUUUAGUUAUUUUUAGUUUUUCUUUUAUUUUGUCUAUAUUUUGGUUGUUAGAAUGUUUUUGUUGUUGUUGUUGGCGGCAGUGCAGUUGUAGCUCAUGAUGAUGAUGGUGAUGUUGGUGUCAUUUUAAUCGAGAUUUUGUUUUUUUUUUACCGGCUACGCCAGUCAUCUUCAUUCAUUACAUGUCCAUUUCUAACAUGUUAGAUUUUACUACUUUUUAAUCCAAGGGUUAGACCACAACGAGACGAAAGAUGGGGUACCUUCCAAUGGGUGGAAGGUAGUUCGGCCCAAUUUAGACAGAGUCUAUGCAAUAAAAAUUUCAAAUUAAAAAAUAAACCUUUUAUUUUCUUUUAAUCAUAAGUGUGAUCUUAAUUAUUAACGUCUUUCAAUGUCCAUUACUUAUUUAUUUUUUUAAUUACCUAAAUGACAUUGAAAACUCUACUCAAUAAUAAUUCGUUCAAAUGUUUUAUUUUAAAGUAAUCGGAAACUGCAAAUGAAACAAAUGCUUGAAAUCACAAACGGCCUAAAAUUAGAUUUUCAUUUUUCAAUGUUGCAGUGACUUUGAUCUUGAUAUUGAAAAUUUAUUUGUAACUUAUAUAAAGGCCUCAAUUUUAUCAUAAUUGGUUAGUAAGGCUACGUAGGGAGCAUGGAUAAAUUUUGGGAUUGGAUUAUAUUUUCGAAGCUAAAAAAUUAAUUUCAUCUAAUGUUAUGUUUGGUUGUCAAGACUAGCAACUUAGUCUAAAAUUAUUGAAAUUACUAAUCUUUUAUAUUAUAAUCUUUUCGUUCCCACUUUAAACAUUAUUGGUAACUUAAAUCAUUUUUUAAAUUAAACAUAAAAAUCAUUUAAAUUAAAUAUUAACAUUAAUUUCAUAAGUUUUUUACCUAGAAUUUUAUAUUAUAUUAAAUACUACAAUUCUAUUCAAUAAUGUAUUAUCAUUUAUUUAAUAAAUGUUUAGGUUUUCAGUAUGUUAUAUUAUUAUUUAAAUUAAUUUUUUAUUUACAUAUAAACAUAAAUUUAUAUUUACUAAUUUAUAUUUAUUAUAAUUUAUUAAAUAAUAAAAUCUAAAUGAUUAUAUUUAAAAUAUAAUUUGUAUGUUAAUGUAUUAUAGCCUAAAUCUUACCCCUAUGAGUUUAUUUUUUCCACCUUUUAUUCUAUUAACCACAUUUAUAAGGCAGUGCGAUGCAACUAAAAAUUAUAACCAAAUAUAAGUUAGCAUGAAAAUAAUAUUUUAGUACAAUACAAUACAAUGUAAUAUAAGCUGACAAAUAGAUAUUUAAUGGAAGCAAAAAUUGCAUAUGGUUUGUCGGCCUCUCAAAAGACAGCAAAGAAACCAAUAUGAUACACUGAUUCUGUCCUCUUUAGCAGUGCCUUUACUAAAUAGGAAUAAAAAUGAAUUAGAAUCGGAAUAGAUUAUAAUCGAAAUGAGGAAUUAGAAAAAGAAUAAGUUAUUUAAUUAAGUUGUAUGAAUUAGAAUUGAAAUAAACUUCAUUCUAAUUGAUGUGUUUAUUUUCUCUUGAAAUUAGAAUGGACUAUUACAAGUUACUAAAAAAUCAUUUGGUAAUUGAUGUCUCUAGUAUUAUUUGUAUUUGUUAUAAUGUUAACAAUAAUAAGAAUAAAACUAAUACUAAAAAUGAAAAUAAUAAUAAUAAUAAUAGAGACAAUAAUAAUAAAAUUAAUAAAUUAUUAUUAUUAUUAUUAUUAUUAUUAUUAUUAUUAUUAUUAUUAUUAUUAUUAUUAUUAUUACUACUACUACUACUACUACUACUACUACUACUACUACUACUACUACUACUACUACUACUACUACCACCACCACCACUACUAUUAGUACUGAAGACCGCCCGGUAAAGAUUGGAUAGUGAAAAUGAAGACGACGAAGAUCCCGGCAACCACCUGCUACUCCAAAGAUGAUGUGCCCAAAUGGAGACAACCAGUGAUGACUAGCCAACUAGAUCCAAAUCUCGAUAUUGUGAUCUUGCAUGACCAUUGAUAAAGCGAUGUGUGAUGUCGGUGUUGUGAUUUCUUUUUUAUUUAUAUUUUUUAAUUAAUCAGGGGUAUUUUCAAAAUUUAGUAAUUUUAAUAUGGGCAAAUUGGAUAGUCUAGUGAACAGGAGACUAAUUCCCAAUCAUCCUAGAAAUUAGUCUCUCAUUCUUUAUUUUUAAUUUAAUGUGGGUUCCACUAUUUCGAUUCCAAUUCUUACAUUUAUUUAUAAAGUAAAUAAUGUUAAUGAUUUCAAUUUCCAAUUCGAAAAAUAAACACAUCAUAAUAUUUUUUUAGGUGCUUCCAUGACAUAAUCUCAUUGGUCCAUUUUUCUUCAUGCCUUAUAUUCAACUUCAAGAUUCAAGAUUCAAUUUGAAGCAAACACAACUACAAAACAAAUAUAAUAAGCGUUAAUAAGCCUGUGGCCAAGCAAAUGUAACUUGUAGUGACCAAUCAUAUCUUAUUAUCUUCCGCCAGAAGUUAAACAAUGUUCCCAUUCCACGUGUCACUCUCUGACCAAUCCCCGAACUUUCUUCAUAUUUCCAAAGAAACCCUCACCAAGUCAACAUAAUUACCUUCACUCUACUCAUAUAAAUACUGUCCUCGAUUCGACUGAUGUCUGAUGACGACAUAUCCUUGGUCUUUAAUUAAAGAAAAAAGGACACAGAGACUCCCAACGUUUGAAUAAGGGACAUAAAAUUUUUUAAUGUUUUAAAAAAGACACUCAGACCCCCAUUUGUUAAUAAUAAAUUAUAAUUUUACCAUUAUACCCUUAUAGCAUAUUAAAAAUUAAUUGUUCAUUAUCCAAUUUAUUUCCAUAUUAUUAAUAAAAAUUACGAAUAUAACUUCAUUACCCUAUUUUUCCAUUUAUUUUUUAUCAAAUUUUAUCUUCAAACUAAAUAAAUUUAAUCCAUUGCUCAAAAAUAAAAAUAAAUUAAAUUGAUUAUUAAUAUAAUACAAAUAACAAUUCUCCAUAUGUUAUUUCUUAUAAUUUCUUAUAUAUAAAUUAAAUUGAUAAUUUCUUAAAAAUAACAAUUCUCCAUAUAUAAAUUAAAUUUAUUUUAAUUUAAUAUAUGUUAUUUUUAUAUUAAAUAUAUGUUAUUUUUAUUAUAUUAGUAAUCAAUUUAUUUUUAUUCUUGAGCAAUGGAUUAAAUUUAUUUAGUUUGAAGAUAAGAUUUGACAAAAAUUAAAUGAAAAAAUUGAAUAAUGAAGUUAUAUUCGUAAUUUUAUUAAUAAUAUAGGAAUAAAUUAGAUAAUGAAUAAUUAUUUUUUAAUAUGUUAUAAGAGUAUAAUGAUAAAAUUAUAAUUUACUAUUAAUAAAUAGGGGUCUGAGUGUCUUUUUUAAAACAUUAAAAAAUUUUAUGUCCCUUAUUCAAACAUUAGGGACCUCUAUGUCAUUUUCCCUUAUUUAAAAGUGGAAAUUAUAAAAAAUUCUCCUCGUUCCCUAAAGAUCUAGGGUUUCUCGAGAAUCGCUAAACCUAGAUCCCAAUCCUUCAAAAUCUCAAUUUAACCUCUCUAGGGUUUCGAUUAUCGAGGAUUCGCUUCAAAAUUUAGUAUUUUUUAGGGGAUUUUGCUUGUCUCGUAUCCUUCAAUUGUUGUUCGGUUCUGAAAAUAAUUUGGAAUUUUAGGGAUUUUCAGAUUAUUUGGUUUUGCUUGAGUGCAAUUUCCUCUAGUUACGGUUUCAGUUUGAAGGGUUAAGUGCGAUUUCGAAUAUUUUUAUAAAAUUAAAAUUAAAAUUCAUAAAACGACUGGGCUUUUAAUAAUUAAUUGCUGGCUAGCGAUACUACAACGGCGGCCGCAGCUGCAGAAGAAGCAGAGGCGGUGGAGGAGUAUGAUAGCGAUCCAGAUGAAGUGAAACGCUCUCUUGCGAUGCGCAGAAGGGAAGCCAGCGAUGAGGAGGUUGAGGAGGAUAAAGAUUCAGAGCUUCCAAUAGUUCAAAGUGUCCACAUUCCUGCGGGAGAAGCGGAGGCUGUGGAUGAGUAUGAGAGCGAUCCAGAUGAAGUGAAACACUCUCUCAUUAUGCGCAGAAGGGAAACAAGCGAUGAUGAUGAGGAGGAGACAUAAUUUGAGCGUCGAAUGAAUUGAAGGGUCCAGAUUCACUCUUACAUUGAAUCUGAUGGCCAAGGUGGUGCUCCAGCUGAGUAUGAUGAUGAUGAUGAUGAAGAAGAGGAACAUGACAGAGAAUUAGAAGAAGAAGAUGAAGAAGGGGAUGUUUAUGAGGCUGUAGAGGAAGAAGAAGUUUAUGAAGAAGAGGGGAGGAAUGAUGGGGCGGUUAAAGUCAAAGGAAUAGAGGGUAAUGAUGCAUAAGGAGUACGGAGGGUGCAGUGGAAGUGAGUAAAGGGAAUAAUGAUAAUGGCAAUGGUGCUAAAAGAAUGAUGCAGCAGAGGAGAGAAUGGAGAAAGAGAAGAAGGAGAGUAAUGAGCCUUUUGUACAGCAACUGGGGCUUUUUGCACAGCAACUGGGGCUUCUUAUAUGGGACAAUGUUGCAGGUCGACACAGGUAUUAUUUGAUUUGAGUGACAAUUUAUAAAUAGCUAAUAGCUGUACUUUCAUUAGUGCUUGUCAAUUAAUCCAGUCUCGUUUUUUGGUGCUGUAUAAUGAUUGUUUGCUGGAAUCUGUGUAGAAGGCUUUUGGCCUAGUAGGUUGAAAGGAGAGAAAGUUCUCAAAUAAACAUCUGUGCUUUGUGGAAUAUAAUUAAUAGGUACAAAGCAUACUAAAUUACUUGACAGAGAGAUGCCGAGCUAAUCAUGAGCUAUGAUAGCAUCAUCCGUGCUUUGUGUAUUUUUAAUAGGGCUUGUCUAUUUCAAAGUGUGUAGUAAUUUUUGGGUUUAGUUUGAGUGAUGAAGUGUUAGAUGGGUUUCUGUUUGGCAUAGUUAAGUGGUUAAUACGAGCUAUUGAAGCAAAUAUGGAGUAGGAUAUCUAGUUUUGGGUUUGGUCUUAGUUUGAAGAUGGCUACUGAUUAUGCAGCUAGGUACUAAUUAGUGUUUGUGGAUUGCUAAAUGCUUUCUGUCAAAUGUGACUAGAUUAUUACUUGAAGUGCAUGGAUCUUACACUUAAUUAAUUAUAUAUCCAUUUGUAAUGUACAAAAUGAUCAUGUACUAUUGCUUAAAAUUAUGUUUUCAAGACAUCAUUUUGAAUCCAUGGUUGUAAUGUGUCUCUAAAUUCAGUAAGACAAGUUCUGUCAAUUGCUGUCGGAUGGCAGUGACUUGAAUAGUUUAAUGUUCAUUUGCAGAAAAAAAUUGAGAAAGAAAACUAAAAAUUUCUGUGCGUUCUGCUGGAAAUUUAAUUAGCUUCAUUUGAGCAUUAAUUGCUGGCAUUAUCUCUUAGAUUUCUCUUGCAUUGAAUGAAUGGAUGAGUGCUAAUCCAUGCAAAGACUUCCAUGCAUACACAAUGAAUGCUUCAUCAAAGGUAUGGUAAAAUGUCAACACGCUUGGCCCAAAUUAUCAAGCUGGUGUGGUGGCUGCUAGAUUUGUUCAUCCGGAUUUUGGACCAUUUUCAUUGACAAUGAGAAAAGCUGCAAGAUCUGUAAAUCGGAAACUCAUUGAAGUGCCAAAAGAGAGAUGGAAGUGAAUAACUAGGGAGUUAGUGAAAAGAGGGUGCAGUGAUUGUGUGGGAAGCUUUGGGUAUAUUUGGGGUUUGGAUGUAAGAUAAAAUAAUUUGAGAGAGAGGUUGUAACAAUUUUUCGGUAAUAGAGUUUUUCAGGUAACUCUUGUGUUGUGUGAUUGGAGUAUUCUCUAUUGUAUUUUUUUAUUUGUUAUUUAUUUGACAUAUUGCUAGCGGAGAUCUUGGGUGGGAGCCAAAAAUUCCCAACAAUUGUCAAUUGUUUUAAACUCUAUUUCGAACAGAGCAUGAAGGGAUUCACUUAUCUGAUUAUGUCUUUUAUGCUUUAACUUCACUUGAUUUCAUCUUGUCUGUCACCUUUAUUAAAGUUGUAUAUGUUGGAGUAUUAGGUUCAUCACAGGGAUCAUAUUAUGGCUAAGGAAGGGGCACAAGAGUAUUUGGAUUCAAGACUGUUAGAAGGUUGUUACAAUGCAAGGCUGUUGCUGUGUAACUGUAUGCCAUUCACGCAAGUGCACUCUUAACAGAUUGCUGAGCUGGCACCGGAUGUUUUUAGCUAAUAUUAGUUAUUGGUCUAGAGUGUUCUGAUUUAUUCUAUAAAUAGCUCAUUUGAGCUUAGAACCUUUAUAGUGUAUCAUACGUUUCCGUUACUUCUAAUAAUGAGUUUCUCUAUUCCUUUUUCUUUCACUUUCUCUUCCAUUUUCAUGAUCCCCAAACACCAUCAAUCCAUGAUUUUCUAGAGUAUUAGUUGUCUAUUUCUACAAGGGGAAAUAUCCACCGUCCACCUGAUUUUGUUUACUUUUUUAAAAAUAUACAAAUCCUAAAUUUUUUAGCUGCGCUCCACCUGAACUUAUAAUUUUUUUCACAUUUCCACCUCCGUCUGCAAACCGUCAAGGCGUUGCUGAUGUCAUAAGGCUAAAAUGAUAAUUUCACUUGGGCUUAAAAAACGACGUCGUUUAAGAUCUGUAAUAAGCAAAAAAAAAAGUUAUUUCAGUUUCAAGAAUCCAAACAAAAGCUUUGAUAAACUCGAAGCUCAAAGCUUAAUUAUUCUCUGGUCUCUACUCACCACAUUCGCAUUCAUGGCUGCACAAGACACACAAAUUGAGAGCGAAAAUAAAGACUCAAAAGAACCCAAAAACCUGUUCGCACACUUUAUAAACUUAUUAUUUUCUGCUCCAAUAUUUAAUAAUAAGCAAGAGAGAAAUAAAAGUGAAGGUGAAGAAAGAGAAGCUGCAGAGGCAAGCAAGAAACGAGAGGUGGUGAAAUUUUCGCUUUUAAAAAAAUAAAAAAAAGAAAGAAAAAGCAAAGGCAAAGCCAAAAUCUUCUACUCUGAAAGUCAUCGACCAUAGUCAUGGCGGAAAACACAGAAAUUGCUUCCAGUCCCAGAAAACAAGAAAACAAAAGCAUACUCUCGCGGUUGCCGAAAUUCCAACUCAAUCUCCAUUUCUUCUUUAAUCAACAACCUAAGAAAGUAGAAGAAACUGUUGUUUCUAAAGGGACUGCCAAAACGUCAACGGUUAGUGAAGCCGAUGACGGUAAUGCUAGUAGUGUGAAGCCGAGCUUGGCUAGGUUUCCAGACGCCACACGUCCGAUUCUUCCGCUGCCGAUUGAGCUCGAGGCCCAAGAGCCCGCCGGGCGGACUUCCAAUCCUGUCGUUCUCUGGCAGGUUCGCUUUCUUCCGUCUGUUCCUGUUUGGUUCCCGAGAAAAUGUGGGGUCCUUUUGUGUUGCGAGAUUGCGAGAUUUUAUAAUAUUUGUUUAAAAAAUAAAAUUUUUGAAAGGAUUUCAAGAUUUUCAGUCUUUAUCUAGGGCUACAAUACUCACAAAGUUAAUAUUUUGGCGUUUAUUGAGGGUAAAUAUAUAAUUUUUUAUUUUCGGGGUUAAAAAGUAAUUUGGACAAAAUUCCGUUAGUUUUAUUGACGGUUUACAGACGGAGGUGGAAAUGUGAAAAAAAUUAUAAGGUCAUGUGGAGCGCAGCUAAAAAAAUUAGAAUUUGUGUAUUUUAAAAAAAGUGGACAAAAUCAGGUGGACGGUGGAUAUUUUCCCUUUCUACAAACAUAAAAUUGUUGUUUUAAGAAACAAAGUACUCUGUCCUGUCACCCGCGGUCUCCUCGUUUAUCGACUUGUGAACAGGGCUAAAUAAACGGCAAAUAAGAUAUUAGGUCAAUGGGUCUAACGUGACAAGAUAUUGAAUUAUUGCCCUUUUCUUUUCUCCACAAAUCUUUGGUUAAUUUUUAGGUUCUCUCAACUUUUUUCCCCUUUAGCACUAAAAUUCAUUUUUGAUACUUUAUGCAAAAAUUAUGAUGAAAAUGAGUCACUUUAGAACAUUAAUAAAUUUUUAUUUUUACAUCCAAAAUAACGACAGUUACACUUAGAUCACUCUCAUUUAGUUGAACUAUAUAGGUAAUAAAGUUGGCUUAACAAAAUAUGAUUCUUAACUGUUGUAAUUAAGCACUAGUAUUCUUUGGUUUUAGUUGUAGGGCUUAUAAUGCCGUGGCUCAGUUCUUGGUGGGUUCAAAUUAUUAGACGAUCAUUCUCAAUCCUUUACGAUUCGUAAUUAAAAAUUCUUAUAUCACAAUUAGAACUUACAAACAAGUCAAAGUGGGUAAAAUCAUAUGUAUAAAUUCGAGGUUUAUUACAAACUUUUAAAAAAGAUUUUCUCUGUUUUUUUUUUCUUUCACAUUCUCUUCCAUUUUCUCAAUCCCCAAACACCACCAAUCCCUGAUUUUUUGAGUAUUAGCUGUCUGUUUCUACAAACAAGUUCUUGAAUUGAAUGGCUCCUCUUUUAUCCAUAGAUCUUUGCUUAAUAUUUUUGUUCCCUCAACCUUUUUCGGCCCUUUGCUCUAAAAUUCUUUUCUGAUACAUUAGCAUUACGCAAAAAUUAUGAUGAAAAUAAGUAUGCCAUGCCGGCAAGUGUAUUGUACAGAUUUCUAGAGUAUUACCUGUCUAUUUUUUUCACCGAUGACGAAGCUAAUUAUUAGUAAUCAAUCUAAAGUCUACCUAUAAAUACAAUAGGUUGCUUAGGUGGCACCAAUAUCCUAACUUUAUGCCAUGUUUCUGGUGUGUCUUCACAAAUUCACCGAUACAAAUUAAUUUCUACCAAUAUUACCAAAUGAUUGUAUUUUACGUUUCUAUUUACUUGUAAUAAAGAUCUUCAAUUUUAUUGGUUACAAAAUUCUCUAGGAUUGCAUGUACAUUAUACUUUUAUAUACAUAUUUUCUUCUUUCUCAUUCGUUUUCUGGGUGAACAUAUUAUUUUCGUCAUCAUCUCUAUAACAAUGAAGUGAAAAUAGUCCUCAUUUAAAGUAUUGACAGCAAUGUUAUACUCAAUAUAACGUAUAAAGCACGCAUAAUUUAAUUAAUGGGGCAGCUGCUAGUACCUUCUAUAGAAGAGAAUUAUUGCAGCAAGUUAAUUGGAAGCUCAAAGAGUUUCCGUAUUAGCCGAAUCUAAGCGAUAAGUGUUUCCAUGUGAGACAUAAUUUGGGAAAAAGACCAAUUCGAGUUAAAGAUCAGAAAACAAACACUGUCAACAAGCAUUAAUGUCAUUUGAUGCAUGAAAGACAAUUAGUCCCAUUUUUUUGUCCUGUUUACUUGACUUGGGCAAUUUGCCGUCAACUUUUCUCAUCCACGUCAGGUAAUGUGGCUUUUAUUUGGUAUGAAAAAGCCAAUGCUUUACGAUAAAACUAUCACACACAUAUUAUCCAUCUGUAAUGUUCAAAUGACACUCAAGUAUUACCUAAAUUAGCCUUUUAAAAAUUCAUUUUCAAAAACCCAUGGUUGUGAUGUGUCUCUAUAAAUUAAGAUCUAUCUGUUACCAACUGUUUUAACUCUGUUCUGAACAGAGCUUGAAAGGGUACAUUCACUUAUCUAGUUAUGUUUUUUAGGCUCUCACUUUAUUUGAUUCACCUUAUCCCUCUUUUGAAACAAUUGUUCACUGGCUGCACUCAGUUAACAGAAUAUUUUGGGAUUCAAAAUAACAUCUUAUUUUCUAAAAUAACUAAAUAGAAUCUUACAGAAUUAGAGUGCCUGACUUCUUCAUACAGUGCUUGACUUCUUUUUACAGAAUUAUAAAGUGAAAAAAUAAAUUAAGAAAUUAAAUACUUUUCAUGCGAGUGGAGAAGAUUGGGUGGCGAUUACAUUAAAUAAAAGAAAAAUAAUUUAAAAGUACAACCCUUUAAUAAUCUCAUUCCCAAUAAAUCGUUGAAACGUCUUGCUUCAUAUUGUUCUUUUUUUUUUUUUUGAUUAAUUGGCCUAAAUAUUGUAUUUUUGUCAGGAGUCUUGCAAUGCUGCGUAACACCGUAGUAAGAAGAAACGUGUCUAAGGUUGCCACGUGUUGUCUCAACAUCUGUGUGAAAACCGAAUUAACCAGUUUGCGUUCGACAACAAAGGAAAAUCUUUAUAACACCCUUUUUAAUUUUAUUUUCUGAAAUACACUCAGUUUUAUUUGUAGCAUAUAAAUCUAUUUAUUAAAAUUAAUCAUCUUUCCAGAAAAUAUCAAUCUAAAAAAUAUUUUUUUAAAUUUUUUUAUAAAAUACAGAUAAAUUCUAAUUAUAAAAUUUAUAUCUCUAUAACUCUAAACUCAUUUAAUUUUUUAAAAUUAUUUUUUAAAUUUAAAAUAUAAAUGUAAAAUAUAAAAUAAAUCCAUGUAUGUCAAUACUAGAUGGUUCCAUAUUAAACCUGUGAAGUGUAGAAAAUAAGCGGGAUUCGUAAAAAAUAUUUUAGAUAAUAACAUUGAAAAGUGAUAAAAAUAUUUUUUUUAAAAAAAAGAAAUACAUACUCGAGACACCAAGACCGGCACGCACAAACUCACACAUUUAUAUAUUAAUUGAGGGGGAAAAUGAUAUUCUAAGUAAUAUUGUUGACAUGUGAUAAAAAUUCUUUUUAGUGAAACAUUUUUGUAUAAAUACUAGUGAUAUUUGUAGAGAAAGUAGAAUGAAGUGAGAAAAACUUGAAUAUAAAUGCUCCAAUAUAAUUUCUCCCAUGCAAAUUAUGAACUAGUGAACUUUAAAGCAUCAUAAAAUUGUUUCAACAUAAGUAAUUAGUUUGAAAAAUUGCCAAUAAUGUUUAAAGUGGGAACGAAAAGAUUAUACUAUAUGAGACACGAUAUUAUUUAAGACAACUUACAAAUUACGGGAAAUGUAUUGAUCUUACAAAUAAUAUUUAAUAAGUACAAAUUUCAAAUUAAAUAAUAAACCCUUAAUUUCCUUUUAAUCAUAAUUAUGAUCUUAAUAAUUAAAGUCAUUCAAUCUUAAUCACUUUUUCAUUUUUUUAAACUAUCUAAAUGACAUUGAAAACUCUACUCAAUAUUAAUUUAUUCGAAUGUUCUGUUUCAAAAUAAUUGAAAACUGUAAAUGAAACAAAUGCUUGCAAUCACAAAUGGCCUAAAAUGGGAUUUUUAUUUUUUAAUAUUGCAAUGACUUUGAUCUUGAUAUUGGAAAUUUAUUUGUAACUUAUACUAAGUCUUCAAUUUUAUCAAAAUUAGUUUCUAGAGAUGCAUUUGCCAUACUGUGUAGUUGUAUUGUAUGAUGAUAUAUUACAUUAGAGUGCAUUGUAAUGAGAUGUAAUGCAAUACUAUUUUAUAUUAAUGUUAAAACUAAAUCAACCUUAUUUAAAUUUAUUAAUAUUUUAGGGUUUUAAUAGUAAUAUCUGAAAUUAAGUAUUAAAUAAUUAUUUUUAUAAUAUACAAAUUAUUUAAUAAUAUUCUACUAUUAAAUAAUAAAAUAUUACAAUAUUAUGUUAUAUUAUUAACAAUUAUUCUGUUAUAAUAUAAUUUAUUUUUAUAUAUUAGUUAUUAUAAUUUAUUAUAAUCAUAUUAUAAUAAUAUUAUAUUGUAAAAAUACAAUACUAUAUAAUUGUAUAAUAUAAUAUGAAUUAAUUUAUAACUUAACAUUAAAUUAUAAAUUUAUUUUAUUUAUUAAUGUCAAAUAUAUUUGUCUAAUUUAAAUUUGGUAUUUUUUUAAAAAUAAACUAUUAAAUAAUUAAAAUGAUUUUAUAGAAUAAAGUAAAAUAAUGUAUUAUUAUUUAUUAAUUAAAUAUUUAGGUUUAUUAAUAUACUAUAUUAUUAAUUAAAUUAAUGAAUAUUAAUUAAUAUAAAUAGUAUUAAAUAGUAUAUUAAUACUAUAUUAUUAAUAUACUAUAUUAUUAAUUAAAUUAAUGAAUAUUAAUUAAUAAUUUAAAUUUAUUAAAUAAUAAAUUUAAAUGAUUAUAUUUAAAAUAUAAAUAGUAUUUUAAUGUAAUAAAACCUAAAUCCCACAUGUAUACCACAUUUGUUAUACAGUGUAAUGCAACUAUAAAUUAUAAUUAUAUAAAAAUAAUAUUUUAAUACAAGUAUAAUGCCACUUGAGAAAUUGAUAUUUUAAUGGAACCAAAAUUUGCAUUUGGUUUGUGGGUCUCUCAAAAAAUAAUAAUAAAAACCAAUAUAAAACACUGAUUCUGUCCUCUUUAAUAUUUUUCUAAAUGCUUCCAUGGCAUAAUCUCAUUGGUCCAUUUUGUUUCACAGCUUAGAUUCAACUUCAAGAUUUUCAAUUUGAAGCAAGCUGUGGUCGACUGGCCGUGGCCAAACAAACGUGCCUCAUGGAGUCAUGGUGACUGAAUCAUCUCUUAUCUCAGAAUUUGAACUUAAACAAUUUGAACUUAGACUGUUUUUUUAUUGUCGAAGAUUCGCUUCAAAAAUUAGUAUUUUUUAGUGGAGUUUGCUUGUCUCGUAUCCUUCAAUUGUUGUUUGGUUCUGAAAAUAAUUUGUGAUUUAGGGAAUUUCGAUUAUCUGGUUUAGUUUGAGUGCAAUUUCCUCUAGUUACGGUUUCAGUGUGACGGAUUAAUUGCAAUUUCGAAUUUUUGAUAAAAUUUAAAUAUUUAUUUAUUUAUUUUGAGAAGGCUAGUGAUAAAAUUGGGCGGUUAUUAAUUAAUUGAUGGCUAGUGAUACUACAACGGCGGCCGAAGCUCCGGAAGAAGCGGAGGCGGUGGAGGAGUAUGAUAGCGAUCCAGAUGAAGUGAAACACUCUCUCGUGAUGCGCAGAAUGGAAGCAAGCGAUGAUGAGGAGGAGGUGGAGAAAGAAUUUGAGCGUCGAAUAGUUGGCGAUGAAUCUGAUGAAUCUGAUGCGCAGAAUGGAAGCAAACGAUAGGGCAGUUAAAGUCAUUGGCUGCACUCAAUUAUUAGAAGGUUGUUACAGAGGUAAGGCUGUUGCUGAGUAACAGUAUGCCAUGCUGGCAAGUUUGCUAUAGCAGAUUGCCAAGCUGGCACUAAUUAUUUUAAACUAAUAUUAGUAAUUAGUCUAGAGUGCUCUAAUUUAUUUUAUUCUAUAAAUAGCUCAUUUGAGCUUUGAACCUGUAACGUGUACUGUACUUUUCUAUUACCUCUAAUAAAGUUUUUCUCUGUUCUUUUUUCUUUCACUUUCUCUUCUAUUUUCCCGACCCUCAAACACCCUCAAUCGUUGAUUUUCUAGAGUAUUAGCUGUCUGGUUCUACAAACAUAGAACUGGUGUUUGUUUGUUUGUCUAAUUACCUUUAAGAAACAAUAUACUCCACCCUGCGGCCUCUUCGUUUAUUGACUUAUUACUUGUGAUCAAGGCUCAAUGAAGGGCAAAUAAGAUGUUGAGCCAAUCGGCCCAACAUCACAGAUCUUGAAUUGAUUGCCUCUUCUUUUCUCCACAAAUCUUUACUUAAUUGUUAUGUUUCCUCAACUUUUUUCCCCUUUUUGUGCUAAUUUUUUUUUUUGAUACUUUAUGCAAAAAUUAUGAUGAAAAUUAAUUAGUUUAGAACAUCAAUAAAUUUUUGUUACAUUCAAGAUAAGGACAAUUACACUUAGAUCACUCUUAUUUAGUUGAAUUAUAGGUAAUAAAAUUAGUUUUAACAAAAUAUGAUUCUUAACCCUCGUAAUUAAAGGCUCGUGUUAUUUGGUUUAGUUAUAACACCAUGCAACAGGUCGUCUUGGUGGGUUCAAAUUAAUAUACGAUCAUUCUCAAUUUUUAAUAGUUUGUAAUUAAAAAGCCCUACAUCACAAUUAGAAUUUGCAAACAUGCCAAAGUGAGUUAAGUCAAAACCUAUAAAUUUGAGGUCUACUACAAACUUCUGACAAAUUAAAUUUAAAACGAUUAAUUAAAUGCUAGACAAAAUUUAGCUUAUUAAUGUUCCUGACCACAUGAUGAAUGUACUUAAAACAUCCUAAUUGGUCACUAAUUGAUUAGUUAUUAUUUUUUCAAUUUCUUUUUAUAUAUCUUUGAAACUUCUAGUUUCCUAACAUAUUAUUUGCAAUUCGUGUAAAUUAUUAUUUUUUAAAUAUUAGAGCAACAACCAGUAUAAAAAUGAAAUGCACUCAUUUAAUGGAAAUUUUUCUAGAUGCUUCAAUGGCAGAAUCUCGUUGGUCUAUAACUCUCACGCCUUUGAUUCAAGAUUCAAUUUCAAACCAACGCCGAACAAACAGUAUAAACCUUAAUAAGUCUGUGGCUGUAGCCCAACAAACCUACUUCCGGCUCACCGAAUAAUCAUCUCUUACGUCGGAAUUUAAACUUAAACAAAGCUACAUCCCACGUGUCCCCAACUUUCUUCAUAUUUCCAUAAAACCCCUACCAGAUCCAGAUAAUUACCUUCACUCUUCUCGUAUAAAUAGAGAAGAUGAUGAUUCCUACAAAGCCACGUAAGUCAAGCGAACGUUACGGCCAUGGCACAUUGGAAUUGGAUCAAACCACCGGAAUGCAAAGCAAAAUUAACCAAAUAAACUAAAUUAGAUCCAACCAAUUGAAUCGGUUAAUGAAUCAGUUUAGUGUCACUCAAAAAACAAAUAAAUAUAUAAAACCACACAAUUAUCAUAUUAAUGGGGCACUUUUAUCAAACACUAUAGGAUCAACUAGUACAAAAUGAAUUCAUUUGGGAUACGUUUAACGUACUGUGCUAUGGUGUAUUGCAUUAACAUACAUUAUAUUAAGUUAUAAUGUUAUACUUUGAUAUAGUAUAAAUUGUAUUAUAUAAGGUAAUGUUUUAUAUUAAUGUUAAAACUAAAUUAAUAUUAUUUAAAUUUAUUAAUAUUUUAGGUUUUUAUUAUUAAUUUUUUAAAAUUAAGUAUUAAAAAUUAUUUUAUAGUAUAUAAAUGAGUUCAUAAUAUAUUAUUAUUAAAUGAUAAAAUAUUAAAGUACUAUGUUAUAUUAUUAAAAAUUGUUAUAUUAUAAUAUAAUUUAUUUCUAGAUAUUAAUUAUUAUAAUAUAGUAUAAUCAUAUAAUAAUAUAAUAUAAGUUAAUAUUAUAUUGUAAAAAUAUAAUACUGCACAAUUAUUUAAUAUAAUGUAAAUUAAUUUAUAAUAUAAUAUUAAAUUAUAAAUUUAUUAAAUAAAAUUAAAAUACUUUUUACGUAUUUAAAGUAAAAUAAUUAAAAUAAUUUAUGUAAUAGAAGUAUGAUAAUGUAUUAUCAUUUUCUCAUUAAAUAUUUUAGGUUUAUUAAUUUGUUAAAUUAUUAUUUAAAUUAAAAUUAAUUGUUUAAGUGUAAAUAUAAAUAUAAAUGAAUGUUUAAUAAAAUCUACUCCUAUGGAUCUAUUUUAUACACUUUUUAUUCUAUAAAUCACGCAUAUAAUGUAGUUGUAUAAUAGAAACUGGAUAUGUAAUGGAAGCCAAAUUGCGCACGGUUUGUGGGUCUGUCAAAAAAUGAUAAAAAGACCAAUAUGAUAGACUGACUCUGUCCUCUUUAAUAUUUUUCUAGAUGCUUCCGUGGCAUAGUCUCAUUGGUCCAUUUUUCUUCACGGCUUAGAUUCAACUUCAAAAAUCAAUUUGAAGCAAACACAACAAUUCAACAAAUAUAAUAAGCGUCGAUAAGCUUGUAGCUGACUGGCUGUGGCCAAGCAAAAUGUACCUCAUGGUUACCGAAUCAUAUCUUACGUCAGAAUUUUGAACUUAAACAAUGUUCUCAUUCCACGUGUCACUCUCUAACCAAUACCCAAACUUUUAUCAUAUUUCCAAAGAAACCCCUACCAAAUCAAGGUAAUUACCGUCACUCGGCUCAAAUAAAUGGUCUCCUCAAUUCAACUGAUGACGACAUAUCCUCAUAGUCUUUAUUUAGAAGGGGAAAUUAUAAAAAAAAGGGUUAUUUUUAGGAACUUUCCCUGAAGUUUAGUGUAUUAACAGUCUGAUAAAAAGUAUUUAUGUAAUUAUAAGUAUUUCCCUUAACAUUAGUAUAAAAAUACGUAAACGUCAGUAUAAAAAGGUAAACAAGUAAAAGUAAACUUGAAAUUUAAACAAAAUCAAAAUUCAAGCAAAAUAUGUUUCGAUGUCUGUGAAAUAGAGACUUAAACACACCAUUACCCAGUCCAAAGUCAUUAUCCAGUAGAUGAAAGAAAAUGAUUUUUUCACAAAGGGUACUUCUCCUCGUAAACACAGCUUACACUUGAACAAAACCCACCAUCAUUUUCAUCCAUGGAGAAGAAGCGUCUGCAACUCACAAAUAAUUUCUGAAAUCAUUGAUUUAUUUUCAUCUACUGCACAAGAUGACGUCGUGCGGUGGUCCAGAGCUUCCAAGAAGCGAGUAUUGCCAGCAUCUAGCAUCUACCGUGACUGGAAUUAGAUCGCAAGAAGAGGUCAGUCUUCGAAAACACAGCUUGCAUGCUUGAAUCAGUGGCUUACAAGAUAUUGUUGUUAUUUUAUUGAUUAAAAAUAACAAUGGGUCUGUUUUAAUGAAUGAAAAUGGUGUUGGAUGUUGUUUCUCUCUAGGGUUGUUAGUGUUGAGUUGAAAAAAACUAUUGGGUAAUGACUGAUAAGAGCAAUUUCCUAAUGAUUUAAGAGCUGUGUAAGUACUAGAUGUAGUUCAUCAAAGAUGGGUUUCGAUUUGCUUAUAAUCUGAUAAUCUUUUAGAGAACCCACAGUGGUUUAUGUGAUUGUUCAGUUUGGGGUCAUGACACUAAUUGAGUUGUGUGCUAGUUUCGGUUUGUGCAUGCCUUUGGUGUUCUUUUGCCUUAUUGUUGUAAUUCCUUCAAUAAUUUGGCGGUGUUGUUUUUUUUUUUUUUUUUGAGAAGGUAAUUUUGUAUUUGCUAAAUAAUGUGAUUGUAAUCAGAGGUAACUUAAGUAUAUUGUUCUACACACAAUUUUUGCUCCCACGUGAGAUGUUCUCUGUGUUUUUGUCUAAGGCUUUUGUUUGUUAUUCAAACUAGAAAAUAGUGGAUGCAAGACUAUGAAUUUGGCAUGUGAUAAACUUUGAAAUUGCCCUUUUUCUAGAUUAAAAAAUAUUGACUUGCCAUUUUCCUUGUUUGAUUCUAAUUUUCAAACAAGUGUGCCGAAAUCUUAAGUUCGAUUACAUGUUGUUUAUUGUAUUUCUUAUUUCAAAGUCUGUAAUCUAUCUGCGUGCAUCAUUUCAGAAGAAGAAUAAGCAGCUGCAGCAAGUCCAUUAGUUUAGGUGUUCCGAGUAUGACAGAGAUGAUGCUCUAGAUCCAGGUUUGAGGCACCAACAAAACUCGAAGAUAUCAAUUAUAGAGUGGGAUUUUCAGGACCUGAAAUCCAAUUUAAUAUUUACUUGAUCUGGGUUUAAAUAUGGAUGGAGCAAAGAUUGGUAUCAGAAGGGUUUUAUUGUCGGUGCCAACGCCUGUACUAUCAAGUUUACAAUAUGAAAAUCAUUUCUUUUAAUAGCUCUGCUCUUGUGGCAUGUAUUAGUUAUGAAGUAGUUUGUAAUAAAAAAAAAAUCACAAUAAUAAUAUGCAUGCAGGAUGCAGCUAUGCCGCCACACAUUAUUUCAAUUUUUUUAUUAUUUUGCAAUGUCAAUUUUUUUAUUAUUUUGCAAUGUCAAUUUUUUUAUUAAGCAAUUUCAUUUUUUUAUCCAAUGGAUAUUUUCAUCUUCUUAAGUAAUUUGUGAUUUUGGCACGAAUUACCCAUCAGUUCAUCAGCGAAUAAAGAAAUAUUUUGACAGGAAGGGUAUUUUUGGAUUUUCAAUAGUCAACUAACAGUCCACUUAACAGAAUACAAAUGUCAGGGGAGGUCUUUGUAAUUACGUGAAUACUUUCUAUCAGAAUGUUAAUACACCAAACUUCAGAGGAGGUCCUUAAAAAUAACCCUAUAAAAAAAUCCCCUCGUUCUCUAAAAAUAUGAGGUUUUCUCAAGAAUAGCUAAACCUCCAUCACAAUCCUGAAAAAUCUCAAUUUAACCUCUCUAGGGUUUCGAUUGUCGGGGAUUCGCUUCAAAAUUUUGUAUUAUUUUAGUGGAUUUUGCUUAUCUCGUAUCCUUCAAUUGUUAGUUCAGUUCUGAUAAUAAUUUGGAAUUCAGUUUGAAGGGUUAAGCGCAAUUUCGAAAUUUUUUAUACAAUUUAAAUUAAAAUUGAUAGAACAAUUGGGCGGUUAAUAAUUAAUUGAUGGCUAGUGACACUACAACGGCGCCCGCGCCCGCAGCUCCGGAAAAAGCGGAGGCGGUGGAGGAGUAUGAUAGCAAUCCAGAUGAAGUGAAACGCUGUCUUGUGACGCACAGAAGGGAAGCCAGCGAUGACGAGGACGUGGUGGAGGAGUACGAGAGCGAUCCAGAUGAAGUGAAACACUCUCUCGUGAUGCGCAGAAUGGAAGCAAGCGAUGAUAAGGAGAAGGAGGAUAAAGAAUUCGAGCGUUGAAUGAACCGUAGGGUCCACAUUCAUUCUUACGAUGAAUCUGAUGGCCAAGGUGGUGUCCAGCUGAGUAUGAUGAUGAUCACCUCUCUCGACCAGUUCAGGUUCAAGGGAAGGGUGCUCGAGGGGUACUUGUCUUGUUUAUCAUUUUUGUUUAAUUUUCAUAAAUUCGACGACCCACAAUUCAAUUAUGAGUGAAGAGUUUGUUAAAAAACUGUGGUCUUCCAUUUACUAUAACUAAGUCCGUGUGAUGUAAUUAUUUUUCUGUCACUUAAAUGUCUUGAAAAUUAUGAAUACAUUGUAGGAUUUAGAAGGAUUCUAAAGUUUUAAUGCAUAUGGGUUUUUUAUGUCCAUCCACUUAUGCGUAUGCUGCAUUUUAUGAUUAUCGUAGUUGGUAGAUUGACAAAUGGACCUUAAUUACAAGUCAAAUAACCUAAAUACUUAUCGGCCAAAGGAAGCCAUUUAUAGUAAUUUCUAGUGAAGCAAAGUAAAAUGAUUCAUACUGGCAAAGAAAAUUGGAAAAGAAAAGGAGGAUUACUGAUCCACACAGUGUCGUUUACUAAAGGUACGUUGAUCUUACACUUAAUUUAUUAUAUAUCCAUUUAUAAUGUUCAAAAUGAUAAUGUACUAUUUCUUAAAUUAGGCUUUCAAAACAUCAUUUUGAUAAUGCAUAGUUGUGAUGUGUCUCUAAAUUCAGUAAUACAAGUUCUUUCCUGUUACUAAUGGAUGAAGUGACUUGAAAUAGUUUAAUAUUUAUUUGCAGUAAAAAAGUUGAAAAAGGAACUAACAAUUUACAUGCGUUUUGCUGAAAAUUUAGUUAGUUUCAUUUGAAACUUGCAUGGGCAUUAAAUGCUGGCAUAAUCUCUUUGACUUCUCUUGCAUUUGAAUGAAUGGAUCAGUGUUAAUGCAGGCAAAGAUUUUCUGGACUUUCAUGGAUGCACAAUAAAUGCUACGUCAAAGGCCUGGUAAGAUGUCAGCAAGCUGGUCGAAGAUAUCAACCUGAUUUGGUGGCUGCAAGAUUUGUUCAUCCAGGAUCGUUUUCUUUGACAAUGAGAAAGCCCCAAUGUCUAUAAAUUGAGAACUCACUGAAUUGUAGAGAGAGAGAGGAAAGUGAAUAACGGGAGAGCCAGUGAAAAGAGAGUGUGGGAAGAUUUGGGUGUAAUUGGGGUUUGGGUGUGAGAUAAAAUAAUCAGAGAGUGGUUGUAAUAAUUUUUUAUAUAGUGAAAUUUUUUUGUCUCGUUAUUUUUUGCAGUGGUGGUUUUUUACUCUAAUAAAAGAGUCUUCCAAGUAAAUUUUGUGUGUUAUGAUUGGGAUAUUCACCAUUUUAGUUUUCUAUUUAUUAUUUGUUUUACAUAUUGCUAGUAAAAAUCUGGGGCGGGAACCGAAAAUUCCCAACAAUUAUUAAUUAUUUUAAACUCUGUUCUGAACAGUGCAUGAAGGAUCAUAUUCACUUCACUUCACUUCACUUGAUUUCAUCUUGUCCCUCUCCUUUAUAAAAGUUGCAUAUAUUGGAGUAUCAAGUUCAUCACAAGGAUCAUAUUCUGGCUAACGAAGGAGCACAGUUCAUUGGCUGCACUCAUGUGUAGCAAAGUAUUUGGAUUCAAGACUGUUAGAAGGUCGUUACAGACGCAAGACUGCUGCUGUGUAACGGUAUGCCAUGCUGGCAAGUGGGGCAGUGCGCUAUAACAGAUUGCGGAGGUAGCACCAAAUAUUGUGAACUAGUAUUCGUAAUUAGUGUAGAGUGUUCUGAUUUAUUCAUUUGUGCUUAAAACCUACAUGUAUUGUACGUUUCUAUCGGUAAUUUGUUCUGAUUUUUUUUUGGGGCCAAUUGCAGUUUUGAUAACAACUAAAAUCUGUGUGGUCCGGUUACCACAAAGCCUAUAAUGAUUGCAAUUACUGUAUGAUCAUUUCCCCAACUAUUAUUUGAAUAAUUGGUCCAGUUACCACAAAGCCUUGCCCCAGAUCCCUGCCAUUUUCUCCUCCACCUCCAUUUGGGGAAAUUACUACUUACUUUUUGCAAGUUUUUUGUGAAAUAUUUAUUUUGAGAAGAAAACCAACAAUACAUUUUAUGAUUUGGGCUGUUUCAAAGAUCUUCGCUUGAUGUCUCUGCUACUGGUUUUCAGCAGAGUGCCCAAAAAUAGUUUUCAGCAGUACAAAAAGUAUAUAUUUUGUACCUUCCAUACAUUUUGCUUUGUUAAUGUUAUUAUUUGAUAACAUGUUUGUCGAGUUGCACAGUGUAUAAAUGCUAUACAAAUACACUCCUUUCAUUUUAUACAACUUUGAUUGAUCAAGUUGUAUCUCUUUGAUAAUAUGUUCUAUCUCCUUUCAUUUUAAACUUCAAUUGAGUUGCUAUCUAUUUAACUUUGGCAAGUCAGAGAGAGGGAUGGGACUGUCCAAUUAAAAUUAAGUUCCAAGUGCCAAUCCCACCAUUGUCGUCUCUUGUUUGCCAAAUUCAAAUUUGAAAAUCUCACCAAGUCAGUAUGGUGAUGUUGUGGGAUUGUCUGGCCUAGGUUUUUAGCCUCAUGAACUCCUUUAUUAGAAAAAGUCUUAAGUGUUCUUACUCAAUGGUAGAAUCAUAAUUUUACUUCAAUGGAAGCCAUAAUGAUUAAAAUAUACUCUUUUGAUUAAUUACUUAUUUGAUGUUGCUCUCUCUACCUUCAUCUCCUUCUUUAUGAAAAAUUUAUUGUAAUACAUGGAAGUAUAUAUUGCAUUGAAUAAAAUGAAAUUGUUCAAAAAUUAACAAAUUCAGCUUUAUUAUAAUCUAAAACAAAGUAAAUAAAAUAAUACCCAUCAUGUAAAAAUAAAAAAAUAAAAAUUUUUGUACCACUUUGAAUCUAUUUUAAAUUUUUUUGGUCAAAUCUCAGAAGCACAAACUUUGAACAAUAAUAAUAGGUAAAAACUAAUAAUCUUAUAAUAAAAAGUAAGAAAAAAAUAAAGUUGAUUUAGCAUGUAAGAAUAAAAAAAGAAAAAUAGAAAGAGAGAGAAAUUAGCUUAGGCUUUAACUAUUGUUAUAGUAGAGAAGUAAUUUUAUGACCUUUUAGAAAUGAGUGAAUUAAAAUAGUAAGUUAUAAUUUGAUAACUAUCUUAAUUAAAAAAGUGGGUGUUGAAAUAAAAUUAAUGGAUUCAAAUAGCCCACCCAAAAUCCAAAAUUGCAUACCAAUUAUUUUCUAAUUUACAUAAAGUUCUUCUAUUUUUUUUUUAUAACAUUUGAUUCUCAAUUGGUCUAAUGGAGAAACAACCAGCAAAAAAAUAAAAAAUAAAAAAUAAAAAAUAAAAUGAAUGCAAUUAAACCGAAAUUCGUAAAAGAGCCGUAUGACAUUUAUGUGCAAGCAAAAUUGCAUUCUGUUUAUGGGAUCCUGGAAAAAAUAAAAGAAAGAAAACAGAGUAAGACGCUUUCGCUGUGGGCUUUAAUAUUUUUCUAGAUGCUUCCAUGGCAGAUUCUCGUUGGUUGAUUUUUCUUUACGCCUUAGAUUCUAUGAUUCAAUUUCAAUCAAAUACGACAAACAAAAGAAGCUUUUAAGCCUGCAGCUGAAAUAGAUGGUACUUUAAUUUUCAGCUGAACAUAUAUAUGGUAAGAUUAUUAUUAUUGAGCUUGAUGAGGCUAUAGAAAAUUCAAUAUCGAGAUCGGAUAAGGGUCCAAUAAAUUAUAAAAAUAAAGCAGCUCAAAGCCCAUAUGAUCAUGGGCCAGGCCACUACUUGCUCAUGCUUUGAAUCAAAAUUAGUGACGUUGGAAGCUGAAAGGGGCAAAUGAUGAAAUGGGGUUCAUCAUAUAGUAUGCCCAACGGGGUAAGAUCAUCAUUUAAUUGCCUCCUCCUCUUGUCGAUAGAUAUUUGCCUAAAUUUUUCUAUUUAAAAAAUAUUAUAUUGGUUAGUAUAAUUAGAAGUUUUACAAAAUAUAAGUAUAAUUUUUAAAAAAAAUUAUAUUUGUUAAUCUAAAUUUACAUCCAAGAUCACGACAAUUACACUUAGAUCACUCUUAUUUAGUUGAAUUAUAUAUGUAAUAAUGUUGGCUUAACAAAAUAUGAUUCUUGAUCGUUGUAAUUACGAGCUGGUAUUCUUUGGUUUUAGUAGUAGGGCUUAUAACGUUGUGCAACAGUUCUUGGUGGGUUCGAAUUAUUAUACGAUCAUUCUUAGUUCUUUACGAUACGUAAUUAAAAAUUCUUAUAUCACAAUUAGAACUUACAAACAAGUCAAAGUGAGUUAAAUCAAACGUAUAAAUUCGAGGUCUAUUACAAACUUCUAAAAAAGAUUUUCUUUGUUCUUUUUUCUUUCACUUUCUCUUCCAUUUUGCCAAUCCCCAAACACCGCCAAUCCUUGAUUUUUUAAGUAUUAGCUGUCAAUUUCUACAAACAUAGAACUGCUGUUUGUUUGUCUAAUUACUUUCAAGAAACAAAACUGUUUGUCAUGUGGUCUCUUCGUUUAUUGGCUUGUGAGCAAAUAAGAUAUUGGGCCGAUGGGCUUAACGUGACAAGUUCUUGAAUUGAAUGGCUUCUCUUUUUUUCAUAAAUCUUUGCUUAAUUUUUUUUGUUCUCUCAACCUUUUUUGGCCUUUCGCGCUAAAAUUCUUUUUUUGAUACAUUAUGCAAAAAUUAUGAUGAAAAUGAGUUACUUUAGAACAUCAAUAAAUUUUUAUUACAUCUAUAAUAAGACAACUAUAGUGAGAUUAUUCUUAUUUAGUUGAAUUAUAUGUAAUAAAAUUAGUUUAACAAAAUCUAACUCGUUAGUAUUCCAUAUCACAUGAUUAACGUAUUUAAAAAAUCUUAGUUGUUCCGUCGCUUGUUUUACAAUUCUUUUAUAUAUCUUUGAAACUUUCUGCUUUCUGACACAUCAUAUUGUUCUCAAUUCGUCAAAAUUAUUUGUUUCUUCAAACACUGCAGCAACAAUCGGUAUAAAAAAGAAUGAACUCAUUUAAUGGGAAUUUUUCUCAUUGGUCUAUUUCUCUUCGCACCUUAGGUUCCUCUAACAAACUUAAAAGAUGUUCCCCAUCCCACGUGUCUCCAAAUCUUCGUAUUUCCAAACAAACCUCUGCCAAAUAGAGAAGAGGAUGGCUUUUAUUGCAAACUGUAUGAGCGUUAUGGCCAUGCAUGGGACAUUGGAUCCAAAUGAAACCAAUGGAUUGUAAAGCAAAAUUACCGAUUAAAAAUUCAAACAAUUGAAUCGGUUUGGUGUCACUUAAAAAAAUAAAUAAUAUAUAAAACAACACAAUUAUCAUAUUAAUGAGCCACUGUUAAAUUCAUUCAGUCAGUAUUUUUCUUUUCCCAUUUUCAAUGAAUGCUUAAUAUGGAAAACAAUAUGUCCCAUUGAGCACUGUUUAAAUCAUUCCCUAGUUUGUUUAACACGCAAAGAAUAUUCUUAUUCAGCUCGGCAGCCAAUCCGUUAAAAUUUAUUAAAAUUCAUUUAAGUGAUGACUGUGAUAUGACUCGAUCAAUCGUUUAAUUUGUAUAAUUUAUAAAAAUUUGAGCUUCAAGUAAUGUAGAUAGAAUGGUUAAUUAUUUUAAUAUUAAGAUAAAUUGAUAUAUGUCAUUAUAUUAUGAGUGGAUGAAAUAUCCAAUAGAAAAAAAAAUGUUUAUAUUCGUCAUUUUUAGUGGGAAUCUAUUUAGUGUAACUUAUCCAUAAAAAUGGUUGACGACUUAUCUUGGUUCUCAUUUUGUUUAAUUUUCAUAAAUUUGACUAAUGAUUAAUUGUGAGUGAGUGGGGCUAAUUAUCCGUGGGGCGGCAUCAGUUGCUGCUUGAGUGGAGCUGCGCUUUAUCCAUAAAUCUGGUCUUCCAUUUAUUUUGUAGGAUUUAAAAGAUUAAAAAACUUUAAUACAUAUAAUUUUAUGUUCGAAACUAAAUACUGGUAGCAUUGCUGCUUCUAUAAAUAACUCAUUUGUGCUUCCAACAAUAAUUCACGUUUUUGUUUCUCUUCAUAAAGAUUUUCUUUUUUUUUCUUUUUUCCAUUCACUUUUUCUUCCAUUUUCCCGACUCCCAAACACCACUAAUCCUUGAUUUUCUAGAGUAUUAACUGUCCGUUUCUACGAACAUAGACCUACAGUUUGUCUAAAUACUAUCAAGAAACAACGUACUCUGUCGCGGGAUCUCUUCGUUUAUUGACUUUUGACUUGUGAACGGGGCUAAUUAAAGGGCGUUCCUUUCUUCAAGAAAGAAUGCAAAGAAAGUACUAUCCAUGAGACACGUUAAAAAUUAUUUUACAUAAAAAAUGAUAAUAAUCAUAAUAAUCGGUUAAGGAUCGACAAAAAUGUUAUAACCUAUAAAGCAUGGAUAAUUAAUUAAUGGGAAUGCACCUCUCAUCUUUACCAUUCUCUUUGUCAUUUUCAUAAUUCAGCUGUUUAUUAAUAAAGUGAAUAAAUUUAUCUUUUAAUAAUAUGUUUCUUGGCUGUUUUUUUGUGUAUUUUUGUGUACAAUUUUGUGUGCAAAUAGCAUUAUUCAUUAGUAAUUAGUUUGGAGUAGCUCAUUUUGAGCUUAGGACCUGUAACUAGUAUUUUAUGUUUCUGUUAAUCUUUAAUAAAGAUUUUCUCUAUUUUUUUUCCCUUUCACUUUCUCUUCCAUUUUCCCCGACUCCCAAACACCACCAAUCCUUGAUUUUCCAGAGUAUUAGCUCUCUAUUUCGACAAACGCAUAACUGUUGUUUGUCUAACUACUUUCAAGAAAUAACGUAGUCUGUGGUUUAUUGACUUGCGAACGGGGCUAAUUAGUCACGGUCCGAUUGUCUGACUUCUCCAUUGACUCGGUCAAUUCACGACCUUGACCUGUACAGUUGAUACAAACGGACUUCUCCAUUUGAGGUGUACAAAACUUUCUUGAGUCAUUUUGUUUGGUGAUGAUGAAUUGGAUGUCAGUUCAUGAGUUUCAUGAUGAAGAGGACCAAAAACAUUAUUUUAUUAUUUAAAGAAGACUAACAAUUAUUUCGAUGGUCAUUUUAUUUUUUAUUUUUAAAUAUCCAAGGUGCUUGACUUCUUUACACAGAAUUACAAAGCAAAAUAAUUAAGAAACUAAAUACUCGUCAUCCAAGUGAGAAGAGAUUGGGUUGUUGAUACAUUAAAUAAAAGAAAAAUCAAUUAAAAGCACAACAAUUCAAUAAUUUCAUUCUCAAUCAUAUAAAAAAUAAAAUUUACUGUACAUUGUUGUUCGGUUCUGUAAAAAAAAAAAAUUAUUAGGGAUUUGCAGUUUUUUUUAGUGUAAUUUUCGUUAAUUACAGUUUGGUCUGAAGGGUUAAGCACAUGGAUCAUAAUCAUAUUAUGGCCUAAGGAAGGAGCACAGUUCAUUGGCUGAACUCAGUUUACAGAAUAUUUUGGGAUUCAAGACUUCAGGUUGUUAAAAAUGCAACUUGCAAGGCUGUUGCUGCGUAACUGUAUGCAAUGCUGGCAAGUGUGCUAUAACAGAUUGUUGAGAUAGCACCAAAGAUUGUAAACUAAUUAGUACUGGAAAAUCCUAUUUGCACAAACAAUUGCACAAAAUAAAUAGAAUGAGAAUACUUAUGCAAAAAAAAUAAGAUUAAUAAAGUGAAUAAAUUUAUCUUUUAAUAAAAUAUUUCUAGUCUUUUAGUGUUUUCGUGUAUUUUUGUGUACGUGCAAAUAACAUUACUCAUGAGUAAUUAUGUUUUACGUUUCUAUUAUUUUCUAAUAAAGAUUUUAUCUGUUUUUGUUUUUUUCCCCCCUUUGAACGGGGCUAAUGUUGGUCUAACUGCUUUCAUGAAACAACGUACUCUGCGGUUAAAAUUAAUUGAUCAUUUUAUUUGGUGAUAAUGAAUUGGUUGUCAAGUCAUGAGUUUGAUGAUGCACAGGACGAAAAACGUUAUUUUAUUAUUUAAAAUAUGACUACCAAUUAUGUUGAUGGUCAUUUUAUUAUUUAAAAUAUGCAAAUGGAAUCUUACCGAACUAUAGUGCUUGACUUCUUCAUACAGUGCUUGACUUCUUUGUACAGAAUUAUAAAGUGAAAGAAAUUACGAAAUUAAAUACUUUUCAUGCGAGUGGGGGAGAAAUUCUGUAUAUUUAUGAAAUAACUAUUGAUUUCACUUCGGUAAUUACUUUUUAAAAGUAACGUAAACAUUUUUAUUUUAUUUGCAUUCGAGCUUUCUUUCUUUUUCGCUGGCCUUUACUCUUGACCGUAUUUUCAUGGGGCAUAUUCAAUCUGAAUCCUCUGCAAGUUUGUGGCAGUUUGGUUAGUUACGAACUUUUGUAGAAUUGCAUGAAGAUGACGCUUUUAUAGACAUUUUUUCUUUUUUCUUUUUUUCUUCAGUGAACAUAUUAAAAAUUUAGUUUUUUGUCAUCAUGACUAGAACAGUAAAAUGAAAAUAGUCCUCAUUUCGACGAUUGACAAAAAUGUUGUACUCAUACCGAUUAAUGGGACACUGAUUUCGUCUUCUUAAAAAAUUAUUAUUGCAGUGAGGUAAUUGGAUCGAAGAUGGACGAUUUCCAUAUUUGCCUAACCUAAGUGAUAAGAAUUUUCAUAUGGGACAUAAUCUGAUUUGUUUUGCUUGACUGUAUUCCAAGAGACAGUCAUAUCUACUAAAUGAAACAAAUCUUGCUUUUCUAGAGAAAUAAUGCAAUAUGCAAUUAUGCAUGAAGGUGCGCAUCCAUGUGAGAAAGUUGACGAAAGCUUCUUUUUCAGUAUUGUUGGAAUAAUGGUAUCGAUUGGAAUUGUAAGGAAAGAGGUCUUCGAGUCGUGGACAGCUGAACCGAAGAGAGCAGAUGAAUGCCCUUUGCAGAAGCAGGAAAUAAGCUGCCUAAAAGUAAGCAUUAGAUGAAUGCCCGAUCGAACACCACUAAUUCCAACAAUAUAUCAAAAAAAAUCUUUGAGUUUAAGGAAUUAAUUUUUUAAAUAUUUGAUAUAUGUCAUGUUCUGACUUAGUACAAGAAGAAAAUUAUAGAAUUUUUUUUUAAAUUAAUGGAAUUAUUUUACGAUAAAACAAUCACAAUCACAAUUAAAAAUAUUCUUUAAAAUUUCACUAUUUCUACUGUUAUUCUUUAAACUCUUUCUGAACAGAGCAUGAAGAGUCACUUAUCUAAAUAUGUUUUUUUUGUGCUUUCACUUCACUUGAUUCAUCUUAUCCCUCUUUUAUAGAACCUGCAACUCGUAUUUUACGUUUCUGUUACUUUCUCUUCCAUUUUCCCAACUCCCAAACACCAUCAAUCCUUGAUGUUACAGAGUAUAUUAAUUAAUUAAUGGGCCACUAAUUCUUCUUCUUAAAAGAAAAUUUUUGUAGGGAAAUUGGAAAAAAGGCUAAUUCAAUUUAAUUUUGAUAGGUGCGACAGAAGGAUAGGACCGUCCAAUUAAAUUGCAAGUGGGCAUUCCCACCAUUCGUGUCUCAUGCUUGUCAUAUUUAAAUUUAAAAAUCACACCAUGUCAGUAUGGUGAUGAUGUGGAAUUGUUUCACCGAAAUUUUUAUUUCGAUGGUGGCCAUAAUAAUUAGACUACUGAUUAAGUUGGUUGUGACAUAAAAUCAACGUUGUAUAAUUUUUUGGAUAUUAUCUCAAUUUUACUUCUGUAGGUUUGUUUUUUUGUAUAUUAUCUCAAUUUUUAAAAAAAUGUAAUUGCAAUUAUCAAACACGACUAAUCCCAACAAUUUAUCCAAAAAAAUUUUAUGAUAGAAUUGGCUAAUUUUUUUAAUCGACUUUCUGGAUAAAUGAUAAUUUUUUUGAUAGAAAUGUUACUUAAGUAUUACAGGAAGAAAAUUAUAGAAUAAUUUUUUGAAUUAAUAGUAUUACUUUACGAUAACACUAUCACAAUCUAAUUUUAAAAAAAUAAAGUUAUUCUUUAAAUUUCGCAUUACUAUUCCUACUUUUCUUGUUAUACUACUUAAUGGCACUGGUGAAGCCUCGAAUUAUCAAACAAAAAAGCAAAAAUAGUUCAAUAUCUGCUGUCCCACUGAGCAUUGUUAAAUUCAUACCAUAACAUGAGUACUUAUAUUAAAAAAAACAAUCGGUCUCAUUGCGUGCUCUUUCAUUGACAUAGGCAAUUUGCUGUCAACUUGUGGCACUUUUAUGAAUUUUCAAGACGGGUGAAUUUUUCAAAUUUAAAAGAAAAAAAUACAGAAAUGUAAUUUCAAUUUAUCCAAAAAUUUGAGUUUCAAGGAAUACAACAUUUAUUAUAUGUCAUGUUAAUAUAGAGAAGAAAAUUUUAAAAACUUCUUUUUGGAUGAAUAAAAGUAUUUUCUGAUAAAUAUUUCACAAUCAAAUUUAAAAAAUUUCACUCCUCUUGGUACAUAAUUUAAGAAUUUAAGAUUAUAAAUUAAUCUUUUUAAUCAAAGUAAUAAUCUCUCCUCGGUCUGCAAAUGCUAAAAUUUAAUAUUAUAUCCAUUGACAAUAUUUGCUCCAAAUUCACGAAAAUAAAAUUUCUAACAAAAUUAUGGAAUUCGUUACUAGAAAUUUGUAUAAAAGUUGUGAGAAUAGAAGGUUUGAUCAUAGGAAAUUAAUAUAUCCCUAUCCGAUGCAAAAAUGAUUGUAAAGAAAAACAAAAGUCAUGGGCUUAUUUAGAAAAAAAGAAAAAAUUACAUUCCAUUUUCCAGUUAUUAAAGUAAUUCUAAAAUCGCUAGGAUCACAAAGGAUAAGUUUUGGUUGACUGAGGUCAGCCUUAACGCAUGCCGGUCUUUUUCUCCUCUACAUUCUUAGAAAUUUUGGUUUCACUAUAAAUACUCGGUAUAUAGCAAACUUAUAAGUGUUCUUGCAUUACCAAUCCAACUAAGCACACGCUUACAAUAUAAAUACUCUCAUCUCAUGGAAAGAGCUCAUUCUCUCAUGAUGAUGAGCAGAUUUCUCUUACUCCAUUGUUUGAUUCUUAUUUCCUUAUUUAUCGCGGCAGCAACAGCCAACACAAGUUCUACUAUCACGGACCAAGAUGCUCUGUUGGCCCUGAAAGCUCACAUAACUCAUGAUCCGACCAAUUUCUUGGCCAAGAAUUGGAACACAAGUACUCCUGUCUGUAAUUGGACAGGCGUCGCUUGUGAAGUCCAUAGCCAGAGAGUCACAGUCUUGAAUAUUUCAAGCUUAAAUCUCACAGGCACCAUCCCUUCUCAACUUGGGAAUCUUUCUUCUCUGCAAUCACUCAAUCUCAGUUUUAACCGACUUUUUGGUUCCAUUCCCUCCGCCAUCUUCACCACAUAUACACUGAAAUAUGUUUGUCUCCGUGGAAAUCAGCUCUCCGGCACUUUCCCUUCUUUCAUCUCCAACAAGUCUUCUUUACAACAUCUUGAUCUUAGUAGCAAUGCACUGUCUGGUGAAAUUCGUGCAAAUAUUUGCAGUAAUCUUCCUUUUCUGGAGUACCUUGCUUUCUUCAAAAACAUGUUGCAUGGCGGCAUACCGUCCACGCUAUCAAAUUGCACAUAUCUGCGAACGUUAGAUUUUUCAUACAAUGAUUUCUCGGAGGCCAUACCUAAAGACAUCGGCAAUUUGACCAACCUUAAGGAAUUAUAUCUUGGCCGUAACAGACUCCAAGGUGCGAGUAAUCACGGAGUUUAAUUAUGAAAAUUGUUCCAUAAGUUGUAUUAUGAAUAAUGUUCCAUAAGAUAAUUUGCACGCGUUGAUUAAUUUGCAGGAGAAAUUCCUCGAGAAUUUGGCAAUCUUCCCGAAUUGGAGCUGAUGUCGUUAGCAGCAAACAAUCUCCAAGGUAUGAUUAGAAACUUUUUGCAAUUUUUUUCUAGCCUCUGCUUGCUUCUGUAUUCAUUCGUUUGUUCAUUAAUUAUGCUAUGAUUUAUUGUUUUUCUUUCAGAUGGAGAUAAAGCUCCAUGUCUCUCCUCACUCAUUUCAUUUCUUAAUUUAUGCAGAUAAAAAAAAAAUUGUUUUGUAAUUUUCUUUUGUCAUAUUGCCACUUCCGUUUUGAAGCUCCCAAUUAAGUCGAUGAAAAUGAAUGAUGUUUCAUUCUUAUUCUUGUCAGCCUAAUUCUUAUAUAAUUGAAGAGUAAAUUGUUAUUAUGAUAUUCGUCAGCCAAUAAAUUCUUUUUUUUUUCCCCCCAAAUAUGAGUGAUCAAAUUGUUUGCGCAUAUAUAUAUGUACUUAAUUUGCAGGAGGUAUUCCACACGAAUUGGGGAAUCUUGCAAAAUUGGAGAUCUUAGAGCUGUUCGAGAAUAACUUGACCGGUAACUUUCUUUACGAUAUAUAUAUGAGACAUCUUCCGCUUCUUAAUUAAAAGAUUUCAAGUCUCUCAUUAUAAAAUAUAAAUUCUCAUAUGAGGAUGUGUAGUUAUCACUAUCUAACAUUAUUCCGUUUUUUAUUAGAAAUUAGUUUGUGUUAACUCAAAAUUCCAUAGCAUUUAAAAAAAAAUUAAAAACACGUAGAAUAAAUCGUCAAUCUUUCUUCUUUACUGAAUUUGGAUUUCUCAAAAAUUAUCUGCACAAGUAUGGUUCACUAAUGAUAUACAUGUGUGACAACUUCAUAAAAUAUUUCACUAAUUAUCUUUAAAUAAUUGGAGAUACCAUCAGUGAUACAUAAUUUCCUAACAAGCACCAUACCAAAAGAAAUCAACAAUUUUUUUAAUAUUAAAGAGUUACAUCUUCACUGCAAUUAUGGCAUAAUUUUUCAUCUAAAAAAAUUUUUAGUCAUCAAUCGCAUAAUAUUUUAUCUUAACGGUUGAUGUUCAAUCUUGGAAUUUAUAAUAUCUUGAAGGUUAGUAGCUAUUAAAAUUAGAAAUUGUUUAUUUGCUAAAAAGUUAACUUAGUGUUUAAGCUUUUCAAUUGAAAAUUUUGAAACAAAUGUUGAGAACUGGUCCUCCUUAGAAUUUCAGCGGAUAAAUAUGAAAAUAGACUUGAAAAAAAAUUAUUUUACUGAAAUAAUAGUUAAAAAGAGAGGAGAAGUACAGUACUCAUGACUUGGGCUUGCUGUGUCCUUAUUUUAUCUGACUAUUGGUACUAAUAAUAUUUAUAAUUACUUAGUAAAAAUAUAAAUUUAAUACUUUGUUAACAUUUUAUCUACGUAUAAUAAUUAAACUGAAACUUGUAUUUAAAACAUUUGAGUUACGUAUACUCAUUUCAUGACAUAAAAGUGUAUAUUUAUACUAAUUUACCAUUAUCAAUAAAAUGCUUUGAGACAAAUAAUCUAAUUUAUAUUAUUAUAUUUAAAAUACUUGCUUUUAUUAUAUUUUGAAAAAAAAUUAUUUGCAAUUAUUUUAAACCUUUGGAUUCAAUUUUUCUUAGUUAUAAAUGUAAAAUAGUCAAAAACAUAUUUGUAUGAUCAUUUUUCAAUGUAUAAAUUUUCUUGGUUAGUAGGAAAAUUAGAAAUUGUUGAUUUACUCAUAAAUAAAUUUAGUCUUUAGCAUUUCAAUUUUGGAAAACUUGAACUAAUUGUUGAUAACUUCGAAUCGGUCGAGCUUCGCUUCGCUUCCUUGUCCCACGGGCCUAUUGAAAGUUCUAUUUGAAUUGAGCUUCUUUUCAGCGUCACCACAAUUUAUUCACAAAUGAGUUGAUUAGAGUCGAAGUUGCCUGAGAGUCUAAGACCAUGUUAGUAGGAUAAAUUUGAAAAGAAAUUAUUUUACUGAAUUAAUUUAUUUUAUCUUGCUGUAAUUGAAAUACUACUCUUUUUUUUUGGGCUAUCACUGGGGCUUGAUUUACUUUAAGAGUCGCAGCCACCGACUUAGGCUUUUUUACUUCUCACCACACAAUUUGAUCUUUUAAUUCGUUUUAACCACAUAAUCUAUCUAUCUCUUACUUAAAUCGAAUACAUGUUUUACCUACUAAUUUUUACAAAUAUUAAUCAAAUAUAUUUUAUUACAUUUCUCUCGUAACUGCUCUAAAUGUGCACUAUUAAUACUUAACCCUCCCUUUUAAUUUACCGUGCAAUCUAUCUACACUUAAAUCACAUAUAUAUUUUACCUAUAGUUUACCCAAAAAAAAAAUAUAAAAAUAAAAAUAAAAGAAUAUGUGCAGCAAUUUGUAUAUAACUAACAAAGCAUUGAUGGUGUGUAGCCUUUCAAUACUUCAUGAGUGGCUUUUCUUGUGUGUUAGUACUUGUAAUAAUUGUGUAGUGUAUAAAUGACCUUUUAUUACGAAAUUGCGUCUGUUUUUUGAAUUAUUUAUUAUUUGAAAAAUAAUCUAAAUAUAAUUCUAUUAAAAUACAGGGAAGAUACCACUUAAAAUCGGCAAUCUCCGAAAUCUGGAGAAGUUGGACAUUGGUGAUAAUAAAUUAGUUGGUAUUGCCCCAAUCGCAAUCUUCAAUGUGUCAACACUCAAAAUUCUUGGCCUUCAGGACAAUUCUCUCUCGGGAUGUCUUUCGUCCAUUGGAUACGCCCGACUUCCAAAUCUUGAAAUCCUUUCUUUAUGGGGUAAUAAUUUCAGUGGCACAAUUCCUCGUUUCAUCUUUAAUGCUUCUAAGCUCUCUAUACUAGAUUUGGAAGGUAACUCAUUCUCCGGUUUUAUUCCCAACACAUUUGGCAACUUAAGAAACCUUAGUUGGCUGGUUUUAUCUGAUAAUUAUUUGACAUCUUCAACUCAAGAAUUGAGCUUUCUAUCCUCGUUGUCAAAUUGCAAGUUUUUAAAAUAUUUUGACUUAUCAUAUAAUCCAUUAUAUAGAAUUCUUCCAAGGACGACUGUCGGUAAUCUUUCUCAUUCUUUGGAAGAAUUUAAAAUGUCCAAUUGUAACAUUAGUGGUGGCAUCCCUGAAGAGAUAAGCAACUUGACCAACUUGAGAACCAUUUAUUUAGGGGGCAAUAAAUUGAAUGGAUCAAUUCUGAUUACUCUCAGCAAAUUACAAAAGCUUCAAGAUUUGGGUCUUAAAGAUAACAAAUUAGAAGGAUCAAUCCCAUAUGAUAUUUGUAAUUUGGCUGAACUGUAUAGAUUGGAUUUAGAUGGGAAUAAGCUUUCUGGAUCAAUCCCUGCAUGCUUCAGUAAUCUGACUUCUCUGAGGAUAGUGUCGUUGGGUUCCAAUGAGUUAACUUCUAUUCCCUUAACUUUUUGGAACCUUAAGGAUAUCUUGAACCUCAACUUUUCAUCAAAUUUUUUGACUGGCUCACUCCCAUUAGAGAUUGGAAGUUUGAAGGUUUUGGUUGGAAUUGAUUUAUCGAGGAAUAAUUUUUCAGGCGUUAUCCCAACAGAAAUUGGAGGCCUAAAAAAUCUAGAAUAUCUCUUUUUAGGAUAUAAUAGAUUGCAAGGCUCGAUUCCUAAUUCUUUUGGUGAUUUGAUAAGUUUGAAAUUCUUGAAUUUGUCCAAUAAUAAUCUCUCUGGGGUUAUUCCUGCAUCUUUAGAGAAACUCUCAUAUCUUGAAGAUCUAAAUCUUUCUUUCAACCAGCUAGAAGGAAAAAUUCCUAGAGGAGGAUCUUUUGGAAAUUUCUCAGCUCAAUCAUUUGAGGGAAAUGAAUUAUUAUGUGGUUCACCCAAUUUACAAAUCCCGCCAUGCAAAACUAGCAUCCACCACAAAUCAUGGAAAAAAUCUAUUCUCUUAGGGAUUGUCUUGCCAUUGAGUACUACAUUUAUGAUAGUAGUCAUUUUGUUAAUCCUAAGAUAUCGACAAAGGGGAAAACGACCAUCGAAUGAUGCUAAUGGGCCACUAGUAGCAUCAAGGAGAAUGUUUUCAUACCUAGAACUAUGUCGAGCAACAGAUGGAUUCAGUGAAAACAAUCUAAUCGGCAGAGGAGGGUUUGGCUCUGUUUAUAAGGCAAGCCUUGGGGACGGGAUGGAGGUUGCAGUGAAGGUCUUCACUUCGCAAUGUGGAAGAGCAUUUAAGAGUUUCGAUGUUGAAUGUGAAAUCAUGAAAAGUAUUCGCCAUCGAAACCUUAUCAAAGUUAUUAGCAGUUGUUCAAAUGAAGAGUUUAAAGCAUUGGUAUUAGAAUACAUGCCUCAUGGAAGUUUGGAGAAGUACUUGUAUUCAAGUAACUGCAUUUUGGAUAUUUUUCAAAGAUUGAACAUAAUGAUAGAUGUUGCAUCAGCUUUAGAAUAUCUGCACUUUGGUUACUCAGCUCCAGUAAUUCAUUGUGACUUAAAGCCCAGCAAUGUGUUGUUAGACGAUAAUAUGGUUGCUCAUUUGAGUGAUUUUAGCAUCGCAAAAAUGUUAACUGGAGAAGAUCAAUCUAUGAUUCAAACACAAACACUUGCCACAAUAGGCUAUAUGGCACCAGGUUUGUUCAAUAUGAAUAUUUUAUAUUUCUUGUUAACUUCCUAACAAGUUAUUUAUGUUUCAUGAUCUUUAUUAGAUGAGGAAAUUCUUAUUAAUGAUAUAUCUUACUAUGUAAAUGUUGCAAUUCAUAGAGUAUGGAAGAGAAGGACGAGUAUCCGCAAAUGGAGAUGUUUAUAGCUUUGGGAUUAUGUUAAUGGAAACUUUUACUGGGAAGAAACCCACAGAUGAAAUUUUUAAUGGAGAAAUGACAUUAAAGCAUUGGGUUAAUGAUUGGCUACCCAUUUCCACUAUGGAAGUUGUUGAUGCUAAUUUGCUAAGUCAGGAGGACAUACAUUUUGUUGCAAAAGAGCAAUGUGUGUCAUUUGUCUUCAAUUUGGCUAUGGAGUGCACUAUGGAAUUUCCUAAGCAGAGAAUCAAUGCAAAAGAAAUUGUAACAAAACUCUUAAAAAUUAGAGACUCAUUACUUAGAAAUGUUGGAGGCAGAUGUGUAAGACAAUCAAAUUUAAAUUGAUUCUGGCCCUCCUUCAUUGCUUGCUAUCCUUUUCAGAGACUUGAACGGUUAUCCUUCAUACAACUUUUGUUGAUAUGUUUUGUUACUGCUCUUGCUUUCUUUAAUUUGCAUGCAUGUAUUUUUCGUUCUCCUUUAUGUUUUUGUUGGUUUGAAUGUAGUUUGUUUUUAGGGGUAAGGUUGAUUAUGCCCUCUCCUAAUUACACGUAUCCUUUUUAUGUUUAUUCAAUAAAGCUUCUCUAAUACUAUUGAGGUUCAUCAAAAGAAAAUUUUAAAUUAAUUUUCUUUUCUUUGACAGGUAAUGAAAUUCUAAUCUUCAUAGAGAAUAACUUCAAUAAUAGAGUGUAAGAGUAUUAGUAGUUAUGGUUGUUUUCUGAACCUGGAGUCAAGAGCAAUUUGACAGCAACAAACAAGUCUCUUGUAUUAUAGGCAAAAUUCUUUUCAUUAAUCUUAUUUGUCCACAUGUUCUCCUAUUUUCUCCAUUAAUCUUCGCUCAAGGUUUCAUGCUUCCUCUUUGAUAAAGGAAAAUAUUACUCGCGGAUAUUUCAAAUUUUCAAUUUGACACGAGAGACUGUUUUGCCAGCCAUUUGAUAAAAUGGAUAUGAGUAGAGUUUUCAAUCAUUACCUCCACCAAAAUACUUACAACGCCACUUUUAAUUUUUUUUUAAAAUACAUUCAGUUUAAUUUAUAAAAAAAUAAAUCCAUUUGUUAAAUUUAAUCUUUUUCUCAUAAAUUUCAACCUAAAAAUAUAUUCCUUAUCUAUUUUUAUUAUAAAAUUCAUGCAAGUCCUAAACUAUUAAAUUAUUUUCUUCUUAUUAUAUAGUUUAUAUCUCCAUAACUCUAAACUCCCAUAAUUUUUUAAAAAUAUAUUUUUUAAUUUAAAAUAUAAAUAUAAAAUAGAGAAUGGAGUGGGUUAAAAAAUUGUUAAAAGAAUAAUUCAUUUAAGUAUUUAACUGAGUUUUAAAUUAAAAAUAAGAAAUAAAUUAAUUUAUUUUUUAUUAGUUAAGUAAUUUUCAAUUGAAAAAGAGCAUGAGUAAUAUUAUUGAAAUAUGAUUAAGUUCGUAUGAAUUAAACAUUUUUGUAUAAAUACUAGAGAUAAUUAUAGAGAAAGUACAAUGAAGUGAAAAAACUUAAACAUAAAUACUCUAGUAUAAUUUUACACACGCAAAUUAUGAACCAAUAAUCUUUGGAGCAUCAUAAAAUUGUUUUAACACAAUUAAUUAGUUUGAAAAAUUGCCAAUAAUGUCUAAAGUGGGAUUUAAAGGAUUAUACUACAUAUAUAAGACAUGAUAUCAUUUAAGACGACUUACAGAUUAUGAGAAAUAUAUUUAUCUUACAAACAUUUAAUAUGUUAAUUAGAUUGAGUCUAUGCAAUAAAAUUUUCAAAUUAAAAAAUAAACCCUUUAUUUUCUUUUAAUCAUAAGCGUGAUCUUAAUUAUUAAAGUCAUUCAAUGUCCAUUACUUAUUAUUUUUUUAAUUACCUAAAUGACAUUGAAAACUCUACUCAAUAGUAAUUCAUUCAAAUGUUUUGUUUUAAAGUAAUCGGAAACUGCAAAUGAAACAAAUGCUUGAAAUCACAAACGGCCUAAAAUUAGAUUUUUAUUUUUUCAAUGUUGCAGUGACUUUGAUCUUGAUAUUGAAAAUUUAUUUGUAAUUUAUAUAAAGGCCUCAAUUUCAUUAUAAUUGGUUAGUAAGGCUACGUAGUGAGCAUGGAUAAAUUUUGGGAUUGGAUUAUAUUUUUGGAACUAAAAAAUUAAUUUAAUCAAAUGUUAUAUUUGGCUGUCAGGACUAGCAACUUAGUCUAAAAUUAUUGAAAUUGUUAAUCUUUUAUAUUAUAAUCUUUUCGUUCCCACUUUAAACAUCAUUGGUAACUUAAAUAAUUUUUUUAAAAUUAAAUAUAAAAAUUAAUUUAAUUAAAUAUAAAAAUCAUUUAAAUUAAAUAUUAACAUUAAUUUCAUAAUUUUUUACCUAGAAUUUUAUAUUAUAUUAAAUACUAAAAUUCUAUUCGAUAAUGUAUAAACAUUUAUUUAAUAAAUGUUUAGGUUUUUAGUAUGUUAUAUUAUUAUUUAAAUUAUUUUUUAUUUACAUAUGAACAUAAAUUAAUAUUUACUAAUUUAAAUUUAUUAUAAUUUGUUAAAUAAUAAAAGCUAAAUGAUUAUAUUGAAAAUCUAAAUAGUAUUAUAAUGUAUUAUAGUAUAAAUCUUACCCCCAAUGAGUUUAUUUUAUACACCUUUUAUUAUAUUAACACAUUUAUAAUGCAGUGCAAUGCAUCAAAAAAUUAUAACCAAAUAUGAGUUAGAAUGAAAAUAAUAUUUUAGUACAAUAUAAUACAAUGUAAUGUAAGUUGACAAAUAAAUAUUUAAUGGAAGCAAAAAUUGCAUAUGGUUUGUGGGUCUCUCAAAAGACAACAAAGAAACCAAUACGAUACAUUGAUUAUGUCCUCUUUAAUGGUGUCUUUACUAAAUGAGAAUUAGAAUGAGUUAGAAUUGGAAUGGACUUGAUUUGAAAUAAGGAAUUAUAAUCAAAAUAAGUUGUUUAUUUAAGUUGUAUGAAUCGGAAUCGGAAUAAAUUUUACUCAAAUUGAUGUGUUUAGUUUCUCUUAAAAUUAUAAUAGACUAUUACAUGUUACUAAAAAAUCAUUUGGUAAUUGUUGUCUCUAGUAUUAUUUGUAUAUGUUAUAUUGUUAAUAAUAAUAAGAAUAAAAAUAAUACUAAAAAUGAAAAUAAUAAUAAUAAUAAUAGAGACAAUAAUAAUAAAUUUAAUAAAUCAUUAUUAUUAUUAUUACUAGUAGUGAAGACCGCCCAAUGAAGAUUGGAUAGUGAAGCUGAAGACGAUGAAGAUCCCGGCAACCAAUUUCUGCUUCAAAGAUGAUGUGCCCAAAUGGAGACAACCAGUUAUGAUCAGCCAACUAGAUCCCAAUCUCGAUGUUGUGAUCUCACAUGACCACUGAUAAAGCAAUGUGUGAUGCUGGUGUUAUGAUUUCUUUUUUAUUUAUAUUUUUUAAUUUAUUGGGGUGUAUUUUCAAAAUUUAGUAAUUUUAAUAUGAGCAAAUUGUAUAGUUCAGUGAACAAGAGACUGAUUUCCAACCAUCCUAAAAAUUAAUCUCCCAUUCUCUCUCUCUAAUUUGAUGUGGAUUCCAGUAUUUCGAUUCCAAUUCUUACAUUUAUUUGUCAAGUAAAUGAUGUUAAUGAUUUCAAUUUUUAGUUCGAGAAGUAAACACAUCACAAUAUUUUUUUAGAUGCUUCCAUGGCAUAAUCUCAUUGAUCCAUUUUUCUUCACGCCUUAGAUUCAACUUCAAGAUUCAAGAUUCAAUUUGAAGCAAACACAACUACAAAACAAAUAUAAUUAGCGUUAAUAAGCCUGUGGCUAACUGGCUGUGGCCAUGCAAUUGUAACUCAUAGUGACCGAAUCAUAUCUUAUUAUCUUACGCCAGAAGUUAAACAAUGUUCUCAUUCCACGUGUCACUCUCUGACCAAUCCCCAAACUUUCUUUGUAUUUCCAAAGAAACCCUUACAAAGUCAAGAUAAUUACCUUCACUCUACUCGUAUAAAUACUAUCCUCGAUUCGACUGAUGACGACGUAUCCUUACAGUCUUUAUUUAAAGGGAAAAUUAUAAAAAUUUCUCCUCGUUACCUAAAAAUCUAGGUUUCUCAAGAAUCGCUAAACCUAGAUCCCAAUCCUUGAAAAUCUCAAUUUAACCUCCCUAGCGUUUCGAUUGUCGAGGAUUCGCUUCAAAAUUUAGUAUUUUUUAGUGGAUUUUGCUUGUCUCGUAUCCUUAAAUUGUUGUUCGGUUCUGAAAAUAAUUUGGAUUUUUAGGGAUUUUCAGAUUAUUGGGUUUUGUUGAGUACAAUUUCGUCUAGUUACGGUUUCAGUUUGAAGGGUUAAAUGCAAUUUCGAUUUUUUUUUAUAAAAUUAAAAUUAAAAUUCAUAAAACGAUUGGGCGUUUAAUAAUUAAUUGAUGGCUAGCGAUACUACAACGGCGGCCGUAGCUCCGGAAGAAGCAGAGGCGGUGGAGUAUGGUAGGGUUCCAGAUGACGGGAAACGCUCUCUUGUGAUGCUCAGAAGGGAAGCCACUGAUGAGGAGGAGGCGGGGGAUGAGAGAUAUUCAGAGCUUCCAAUCGCUCAAAGUGUGCAUAUUCCUGCGGGAGAAGCGGAGGCUGUGGAUGAGUAUGAGAGCGAUCCAGAUGAAGUGGCACACUCUCUCGUUCUGCGCAGAAGGGAAACAAGCGAUGAGGAGGAGGAGACAGAAUUUGAGCGUCGAAUUAAUUGAAGGGUCCAAAUUCAUUCUUACGAUGAAUCUGAUGGCCAAGGUGGUGCUUCAGCUGAGUAUGAUGAUGAUGAAGAAGGCGAAGAGGAACAUGACAGAAUUAGAAGAAGAUGAUGAAGAAGGGGAUGUUUAUGAGGAUGAAGAGGGGGCGGUUAAAGUCAAAGGAAUAGAGGGUAAUGAUGCAAGAGGAGUACGGAGGGGGCAGUGGAAGUGAGUAAAGGGAAUAAUGAUAAUGGCAAUGUUGCUAAAAAAAUGAUGCAGUGGAGGGAAUGGAGGAAGAGAAGAAGGAGAGUAGUGAGCCUUUUGCACAGCAGCUGGGCUUUUUAUAUGGGACAAUGUUGCAGGUCGACACAGGUAUUAUUUGGUUUGAGCGACAAUUAAUAAAUAACUGAUAGUGUACUUUCAUUAGGGCUUGUCAGUUAGUCUAGUCUCGUUUUUUGGUGCUGUAUAAUGAUUGUUUGCUGGAAUCUGUCUAGAAUGCUUUUGGCCUAGUAGGUUGAAAGGAGAGAAAGUUCUCAAAUAAACGUCCGUGCUUUGUGGAAUGUAAUUAAUAGGUACAAAGCAUACUAAAUUACUUGACAGAUAGAUGCCGAGCUAAUCAUGAGCUAUUAUAGCAUUAUCCGUGCUUUGUGUAUUUUUAUUAGGGCUUGUCUAUUUCAAAGUGUGCAGUGUAGAAUUUUUGGGUUAAGUUUGAGUGAUGAAGUGUUAGGUAGGUUUCUGUUUGGCGUAGUUAAGUGGUUAAUAUGAGCUAUCGAAGCAAAUACAGAGUAGGAUAUCUAGUUUUGGGUUUGGUCUUAGUUUGAAGAUGGUACUGAUUAUGCAGCUAGGUACGUAUUAGUGUUUGUGGAUUUCUAAAUGCUUUCUGUCAAAUGUGACUAGAUUAUUACUAGAAGUAUAUGGAUCUUACACUUAAUUGAUUACAUAUCCAUUUAUAAUGUUCAAAAUGAUAAUAUACUAUUACUUAAAAUUAUGCUUUCAAGACAUCAUUUUGAAAAUCCAUGGUUGUAAUGUGUCUCUAAAUUCAGUAAUACAAGUUCUGUCAAUUACUGUUGGAUGCAGUGACCUGAAUAGUUUAAUAUUCAUUUGCAGAAAAAAGUUGAGAAAGAAAACUAAAAAUUUCCGUGCGUUCUGCUGGAAAUUUAAUUAGCUUCAUUUGAGCAUUAAUUGCCGGCAUGAUCUCUUAGACUUCUCUUGCAUUGAAUGAAUGGAUGAGUGCUAAUCCAUGCAAAGACUUCCAUGCAUGCACAACGAAUGCUAAAUCUAAGGUAUGGUAAAAUGUCUAGCAAGCUUGGCCCAAAUUAUCAAGCUGGUUUGGUGGCUGCUAGAUUUGUUCACCCGGAUUUUGGACCAUUUUCCUUGACAAUGAGAAAAGCUCCAAGAUCUGUAAAUUGAAGACUCACUGAAAGAUCCAAGUUUCAGGUAACUCUUGUGUUGUGUGCUCGGAGUAUUCUCUAUUGUAUUUUUUUUGUUUGUUAUUUAUUUGACAUAUUACUAGCAGAGAUCUUGGGUGGGAACCAAAAAUUCCCAACAAUUGUCAAUUGUUUUAAACUCUAUUCUGAACAGAGCAUGAAGGGAUUCACUUAUCUAAUUAUUGCUUUUAUGCUUUAACUUCGCUUGAUUUCAUCUUUUCCGUCACCUUUAUUAAAGUUGUAUAUGUUGGAGUGUUAGGUUCAUCAUAAGGAUCAUAUUAUGGCUAAGGAAGGAGCACAGUUUAUCAGCUGCACUGAAGUGUAGCAGAGAAUUUGGAUUCAAGACUGAUGCAAGGCUGUUGCUGUGUAAUUGUAUGCCAUGCUUGCUAGUGCACUCUAAUAGAUUGCUGAGCUGGCACCGGAUGUUUUUAGCUAAUAUUAGUAAUUAGUCUAGAGUGUUCGAUUUAUUCUAUAAAUUGCUCAUUUGAGCUUAGAACCUUUAAAGUGUAUCACACGAUUCUGUUACUUCUAAUACAGAUUUUCUCUAUUCCUUUUUCUAUCACUUUCUCUUCCAUUUUCAUGAUCCCCAAACACCAUCAAUCCAUGAUUUCUAGAGUAUUAGCCGUCAAUCCAUGAUUUUCUUGUUAUUUUUUCUUUCACUUUCUCUUCCAUUUUCCCACUCCCCAAACACCACCAAUCCCUGAUUUUUUGAGUAUUAGCUGUCUAUUUCUACAAACAUAGAAGUGCUGUUUGUUUGUCCAAUUACUUUCGAGAAACAAAACUCUCUGUCCUGUGGUCUUUUCGUUUAUUGACUUGUGAGUAAAUAAGAUAUUGGGCCAAUGGACUCAACGUGACAAGUUCUUGAAUUGAAUGGCUCCUCUUUUCUCCAUAAAUCUUUGCUUAAUUUUUUUGCUCCCUCAACUUUUUGGGCCUUUUGCGUUAAAAUUCUUUUUUUGAUACAUUAUGCAAAAAUUAUGAUGAAAAUGAGUUACCUUAGAAGAUCAACAAAUUUUUAUUACAUGACAAGACAAUUAUACUUAGAUUACUCUUAUUUAGUUGAAUUAUAUGUAAUAAAAUUAGUUUAACAAAAUCUAAUCCGUAAAUAUUCCUUAUCACAUGAUUAACGUACUUAAAAAUCUUAACGGAUUGGUCGCUUGUUUUACAAUUCUUUUAUAUAUCUUUGAAACUUUCAGCUUCCUAACACAUCAUUUGUUAGAGUGCAAUUUAUGCACUAGUUUUGCAUUGUUUACUUCCCUUAAUAUCGAUGUUUUGCACUUAAUAAUAUUGAUUUACUUGUGUUUUACUUUUGUAUAAUGAUGGCAAUGGGGUGGGGUGGGGGUGGGGAGGCCUACCCCAUUCCCCACCCCGUUAGAAAUUUUUACCUCUAUUCCCCACCCCAUUCCCCAAUAAAUUUAGUGGGGUGGGGAUGGGGAAUCCCCAUGUGGGGAAUGCUUUCCCCAUUCCCACCCCAUUCCCCAUUUAUCUAUUUUAUAUUAUGUAUAAAUAUAUGAUUUCAGUAAGUUAAAAAUUAGAGACUUAAAAUAAAAUCAUCACCAUAUUAUAAAGUAUUUAAAUUCUUUUUAAAAAAAUAUCUAAAAGUUUGAACCAAUAUCUUAAAAUAAUAUUAAAAGUAAAAAAAUAUUUAAAGAGCGUAGCACUUUAAAAGAGAAAAGAAAAUAUAACAAUGUUUCAUAGUUGAAAAAUAUUAUAGGGUUUUUUUUCAUUCAUAUCCUGUUUAUAUUGCAUAAAAAUUAAAAAAAUAUUAAUUGACAUUAUAAUUCAUAAAAUAAAAAUUAUUAAAUAAGAAUUAAAAAUAUAUUUAUAUAUAAUGGGGAUUGGGGUGGGGGUGGGGGUGGGGUGGGGAGUGCAAAACCAAACCCCACCCCAUUAAGAAUUUGGGGAUUAUUUUUCCCCCACUCACCACCCCAUUCCCCAUAAAUUAUUCAAAAUUUUAUCCAUUUGGGGUGGGGCUCCAUGGGGCCCCAAACCCGUGGAGGAUUUUGCCAUCCCUACUUUUGUAGGUGCAAUUCUAUUGAUUGGUGAUAAAAUUGAGCUAUAAGAUUAUGUUUAAGGAUGAUUGUUCUCUUAGAGAAAUUAUGAGCGUCAGAAGAACUCUGUUGAUAAGGCGUGGGCGCGUACUGUCAACUGCGGACCUGCAGUUUUUAGUUUAACGUGUUUUGUAUUUUUGGUUAUUUUUGUAAUUACGAAUUUAAUAUUUCAGAUAUUAGGAUUUUAUUUUAAAUAGAAUUAUAAAAGAGAAGAGAGAGAGAGUAUUUAAGGGAGGAAUCUAUUGUGAAAAAGGGGGAUUUUUGGAUUGGAGAAAAAGAAAGAAACCCUAGAUCUAAUUUUUCUCUUCUCUCUAUGAGGAACUAAACCCAUUUUUCUGGUUGAAGGUUAAUGAAGCUUUGAUUCAUCACUACUGUGAGACCUUUCUUGUGCUUUAAUUGUUUUAUUGCUUUUUAGAUAUUUGUUUAUUCUCUGAAUUAUUUUCAUGAUUAUGUUUGUUAAUUAGGUAAUUGGCCACUAUUUAAUUAUCAACUUAAUCUAUUGUCAAUUAAAGGAUUCAUCGUAUGAAGAAUUUAAUGUUUGUGACAAAUAACAUAGCAGAGAGUUGUGUUGUGAGAAUAAAAAAUCUAAUUUAAAUGAAUCAUCAUAUGUGUUGAUUAGGAUUUGGGUCUCUCUGAUUUUUCAGGCUGUCAAUUGAUUAAAUCCUAUGAUCGUAUCUAGGGUUGUCUAUUGAUUAGGGAAAUAACCAACGGUCGUACCUUGGUUAUCGACUAGUUAAGGAGAGAUUGGCUAUUAGAGGGUCUCAGUAGCUAUAAUCGGUCUAUUCAUGAGUAAUAAUAAUCUAUAUUUGAAUCAAUGAUCAGUAGUCGAAUCAAGCUGAGUUAAUUCCUUCAACCAGAGCUUUCUCCAAUUUGAAUUACAACUUUAAUUUGCAUUCUUGUUAUUUUUAAUUUGAUUUUUAUUAUUGUCAACAAUUCCCCCAUUUUACGUUUUACGUUUCAAAAGGAUUUAAAUAAUUACCGAUCUCUGUGGACACGACCCUGCUCAAUCACUAUACACAAUUUAUUUAGAGUAGGAAUUUAUUUUUGUUGGCUUCGACACCCAUCAAAUUUUGGCGCCGUUGCCGGGGAUUGGUGUCAUUUAUUUAAUCAUUUUUACGUUUUACUUGGUGUAUGGUUCGUUCUUCUCGUACAGGUACACUUUCAUUUGAUCCUGAAAUUGAGAAGACAGCUCGCCAGCUGAGACAAUAGACUAAGCGAGCUAAGCAAGGAUCCUCGUCGCCUUUGCUUUUUGAAACAGAUACGGUGCCUAAUUUAGUUGAAUCAUCUAGCGAUUCGGAAGAACAAGUGAUGGAUAGACCUGCACCUGUAGAAAGAACUCUUAGAGAGUUAGUUGAACCAGACUUGAAUCAGCAACCACUCUGCAUUCAAUAUGUAGAUUUGGAGGUAAAUUUUGAAUUAAAGUCUGGUCUUAUUCAUUUAUUACCCAAGUUUCAUGGUUUUGCAGGUGAAGAUCCUCAUAAACAUCUUAAGGAGUUUCAUGUUGUGUGUUCAAGUAUGAGACCACAAGGCAUGACUGAAGAGCAGAUUAAGCUGCGUGCUUUUCCGUUCUCUGUAGAUGGGCUAGCUAAAGACUGGUUGUAUUACUUGCCUCCUGGAUCGAUUACAACAUGGAAUGAUUUGAAGAAGCAGUUCCUCGAGAAGUACUUUCCUGCUUCAAGAGCUGCUAACAUCAGAAAAGACAUUUGUGGGAUCAGACAACUUCCUGGGGAGACUUUGUAUGAGUAUUGGGAGCGAUUCAAAUAAUUGUGUGCCAACUGUCCUCAACAUCAGAUUUCUGAUCAACUUCUUAUUCAAUAUUUUUACGAAGGACUGUCAUUGAUGGAUAGGAGUAUGAUAGAUGCUGCUAGUGGAGGCGUGUUGGUGAACAAGACCCCUACUCAAGCAAGGGAGUUGAUAUCAAAUAUGGCUGCCAAUACACAACAAUUUGGCAACAAGCAAGAUUUCACUUCAAGAACGGUGAAUGAGGUAAAUAUUUCUUCUGUUGAACAACGUUUAGAUAAACUUACUUCUCUUGUGGAAAAGUUUGUUGUAGGUAAUGUGCAACAGGUGAAGACUUGUGGCAUUUGUUACAAUAUGGGUCAUUCAACCGAUAUGUGUCCUACACUUCAAGAAGAACCCGUUGAACAAGCCAAUGCAGUUGGAGGAUUUCCAGGUAUGCCUCAGAGGAGGUAUGAUCCUUAUGCACAAACAUACAAUCCGGGAUGGAAGGAUCAUCCUAACUUCAGCUAUGGAGUUAGGCCGUCAAGAUUCCCACAACAGUAUCCACCAAGACAACCAACACCUCCACAGUCAAACUCCAAGUCAGGUGUAUCUCUUGAAGAAAUUGUUAAAUCACUUGCGACUAACACUCAACAAUUUCAGCAGGCAACUACAGCAAGCAUUCAGAACUUGGAGAACCAAAUGAGUCAAUUGGCGACUACAGUGAGCCGUCUGGAGUCUCAAGUAUUAGAAAGAUUGCCUUCACAAUCUGAGGUGAAUCCAAAGCAAAACGUUAGUGCUGUCAUCCUUAGAAGUGGGAAGGAGUUGCAAGAGCCUAGUAAGAAAGUGACAAAGCAUGUAGAAGAUGAGCUUGAGAAGAAUGAAUUGAUGCCUAAAUCUCAAGAUGCGCAACCCACCAAAGCGAAACCCGUACCUAUUGUGAUACCUCCUCCUUUUCCAAGCCGGUUUACAAAAUCCAAGAAGGAGGAACAAGAGAAAGACAUCCUUGAGACAUUUCGCAAGGUUGAGGUAAAUAUUCCUUUAUUAGAUGCUAUAAAACAAAUACCUCGAUAUGCUAAAGUCCUUAAGGAACUGUGCACCUCCAAAAGAAAAUUAAGAGGAGAUGAAAAAGUUCAUAUGGGGGAGAAUGUUUCAGCAGUUCUCCAAAAGAAACUACCUCCUAAGUGCAAGGAUCCAGGUAUGUUUACUAUCCCUUGUAAAAUUGGUAGUGUUAGAGUUGAAAAGGCUAUGUUAGAUCCAGGAGCUUCUAUUAAUGUCAUGCCUCGUUCCAUUUAUUCAUCUUUGAAUUUUGGUCCAUUAAAAGAAACUGGCGUGAUAAUUCAACUAGCUGAUAGGUCUAAUGCAUAUCCUGAUGGGGUAUUAGAAGAUGUCUUAGUACAAGUUAAUGAGUUGGUUUUUCCUGCUGAUUUUUAUGUACUUGAUAUGGAAGAUGAUAACUCCUCUAAUUCUGUCCCAAUUUUGCUAGGAAGACCUUUUCUUAAGACUGUUAGGACUAAAAUGGAUGUACAUAAAGAGACUCUCACUAUGGAGUUUGAUGGAGAGGUUAUAGAAUUCAAUAUGAAUGAUACCAUGAAAUAUCCUAGUGAGGAACAUUCGGUAUUUUCUAUGGAUGUUAUUAACCCUAUAGCGCAGGAAAUUUUCUACAAGGAAAAGACGAAGACAUUUCAUGAUAGAAUGAUUUUGAGAAAGGAGUUCUCUGUUGGUCAAAAAGUUCUUCUUUUUCAUUCUAAGCUUAAACUUUUUCCGGGUAAAUUACGUUCUUGCUGGGUUGGACCUUUUAUUGUUACUAAUGUUUUUCCUCAUGGUGCAGUUGAGAUUCGGAGUCCGACCUCUGACAAAGUUUUUAAGGUUAAUGGUCAUCGCUUAAAACCUUUUUAUGAAGGUUUUUCGGUGAAUAUUGUGGAGGAUGUGGCUCUCGAGAGUCCCAAUUAUGGAGAUUGAUGCAUAAAUGUGUCUAGCCAAAGACAUAAAACAAAGGCGCUUUUUGGGAGGCAACCCAAUUGAUUUAUUUAUUUUGGUUUUUGUCAUAUCUUCUUUUAAUUUUGAUUCAGAUUUUUUUUUUUAAAUAAUGUGUUUGCUUAUUUUGGUCAGAAGAAAAUUUUUGAUAAGGCGUGCCCACAUCUUAACUAAUAAGUACUUCUAUGAUUUUUAAAAUAAAAUGGUUUUAAGGCAUGCCCACGUGCUUAUUAGAAAAGUACUUCUGAAAUUUUUAGUGCCUCAAGUGAUUCAUCACUAAAAAAAAGAAAAAAUUAAAUUAAAAAAAUUAUUUUAUUUUAUUUUUUUUUCUAUUUAUUUAUUUUAAAAAAACAAAAAAAGAGAUUUUCUUUUGUUCUUUCUUUUAUAUAUUUAUUUAUUAAAAAAAAUUUCAAAAAUCACUGUUCAAAAAAAAAAAAAAUUUUUUUUCACUGUUCACAAAAUCCCUAAUUUUCCAGAACUUGUUUUCUUCUCCAACCGCUUGCAGCACACCAGCAGCACCUGCGCGCGCAGCACCAGCAUCCCGUGUCUCGCAGCCCAGCAGCGCGCAACGCAGCGCAGCACCCGCAAAGCAAGCCUCAACAGCGUGCAGCGCGAACCAGCCCCAGCCCGAGCACGCAACGCAACAAGCGUCACCAGCGCGCGCACCAGCAAUCCCCCAGCGCGCAGCAACAGCCGCAGCACGCUGAUCCAGCGUCACCAGUUCGCAGCAUCAGUCCCAUCCACGCGCAACUGAACCAGCAGCUGUGUACUCGCAAGCUCCAGUCGAGCAGCAAUAGUCCGCAACCAGCCUACGACCUGCAUUCCAGCCACAUGAAUCGAAAUCCGUGACAAGAUGAAGCAGAAUUUGGCCGCAUACUUCAAGAGUGUGGGAUUUAUCCCACCAUUCCCGCCAAGCCCAUAGACGUUAUGUGGAUCAAAGCUCACAAUUCAGGGAAGUUUUUGCCUUUAAUCUUUUAUCCUUACGCUUUAAUUUUUAUGUGAGCUUUGAUUAUCUUACAUUGGGGACAAUGUAAGUUAUUGGUGUGGGGGAGGGAUUUUUGCAUUAUUGAUGUCUGGAAUUAUUAUUUUCACUCUACUUAUUUUUUUUUCACUCUACUCAUCCUUAAAUGAUUUUGGAGUUAGUAUGCUUCAUAUAUUAUUAAUUUUCUUUUCAUUUCUCUCUCACUACUCUUUUCCCAUCUAUCUCAAAUUAUUUACAUCUAUUUUUUUUUUCUUUCUAUCAUACUCUUUCAUCACUCACAUUUUUUUUUACCUUUCCUUUUAUAUCUCACUCAUACCUUCUUCUCAUUGUACACCACUAUUUAUGGUUAAUUCAUUUAAAGAGUGUACAUGAUUUGAUGGCAAAUUUACCAACUUUGUGAGGAUUUGAGCCUAUGAGCAACCACUUUGCUCUAAUUAUUUUUUGUUAUGUGAAUAUCAAUCCUAGUUUGUUUAUUCUAGAACUUGCUUUGAUAUGCAUGUUGAAGCCACAUUACGGGAUUUUAUGCAUUAAAAUGAUAAGGGCAAACCAUUUACCAUUUUUCUAUUCUCGCAUUUUCCUUUUUCUCUACUCGAAGACCUUUAUUUGCUACCUUUGUUUGAGCCUUAACAAUUACCCAUCCAUUUUUCUUCUUUUUUGAGCCUCAAUUUAAGGAUAUUUUUGGACUCAUUGUGUGGAUAUAUUUUGUUGCUUUUUCUACCUUGUAGUAAAGCUUCUCAAUUAGAUCAACAAGCAUUAUGCUUGAAUUAAAUUGUGCAAGGUUCGUUUCUUUUGUUUGAUUCAAAAACAAAAACAAAAACAAAAACAAAAACAAAAAAGAAAAAAAAAAGAAAAAUCACAAAAAAAAAGAGAAAAAAAAAGGAAAAAAAAUGUUUACAUUCUUGGUGACUUGAGUAGAAAUAAGCAUUUUGAUAUCAUAAGUUCAUUCAAUGAGUUCAUUCUUCUCGUUUUGAUCUCUUUUUCUUUCAUAAACCUUUCUUUUUCAUUUAACCCAUUUAACCCCAUUACAACCCUUUUAAGACCCUUAGAUUUUUGCAUUUUAUUCAUGUUUUGUGGAUUGAGAUGUGAUAUAUGAGCAAGCUUAUGGUAAUAGCAUUCUUUGAUUUGAUUUGAGUGGAUAAAUGACAUCCUAAACACUUUCAGUGCAUGGAGUGAAGUUAUUGAGAGGGCUAUUACAUCUUGUUGCACUUGAAUUUUGAAUGGAUCUUCUUGGUGGUUGAAUGUUCUUAUUCUAUCUUAUGAAAUUCUAUGCUUUAAAAUCCUUGUCUCUCGAACGUUGAACGACUUAAUUUCUUGAGGUAUGCUUGCUUAAAAUUGUUUUUGGAUGAGUUGAGAUGAGAAUUGAGUGGAGAUUUGGGAUUAAUCUUGAGUUAUAUGCUUGAGGACAAGCAUCAUCUUAACGUGACAAGUUCUUGAAUUGAAUGGCUCCUCUUUUCUCCAUAAAUCUUUGCUUAAUUUUUUUGCUCCCUCAACUUUUUGGGCCUUUUGCGUUAAAAUUCUUUUUUUGAUACAUUAUGCAAAAAUUAUGAUGAAAAUGAGUUACCUUAGAAGAUCAACAAAUUUUUAUUACAUGACAAGACAAUUAUACUUAGAUUACUCUUAUUUAGUUGAAUUAUAUGUAAUAAAAUUAGUUUAACAAAAUCUAAUCCGUAAAUAUUCCUUAUCACAUGAUUAACGUACUUAAAAAUCUUAACGGAUUGGUCGCUUGUUUUACAAUUCUUUUAUAUAUCUUUGAAACUUUCAGCUUCCUAACACAUCAUUUGUUAGAGUGCAAUUUAUGCACUAGUUUUGCAUUGUUUACUUCCCUUAAUAUCGAUGUUUUGCACUUAAUAAUAUUGAUUUACUUGUGUUUUACUUUUGUAUAAUGAUGGCAAUGGGGUGGGGUGGGGGUGGGGAGGCCUACCCCAUUCCCCACCCCGUUAGAAAUUUUUACCUCUAUUCCCCACCCCAUUCCCCAAUAAAUUUAGUGGGGUGGGGAUGGGGAAUCCCCAUGUGGGGAAUGCUUUCCCCAUUCCCACCCCAUUCCCCAUUUAUCUAUUUUAUAUUAUGUAUAAAUAUAUGAUUUCAGUAAGUUAAAAAUUAGAGACUUAAAAUAAAAUCAUCACCAUAUUAUAAAGUAUUUAAAUUCUUUUUAAAAAAAUAUCUAAAAGUUUGAACCAAUAUCUUAAAAUAAUAUUAAAAGUAAAAAAAUAUUUAAAGAGCGUAGCACUUUAAAAGAGAAAAGAAAAUAUAACAAUGUUUCAUAGUUGAAAAAUAUUAUAGGGUUUUUUUUCAUUCAUAUCCUGUUUAUAUUGCAUAAAAAUUAAAAAAAUAUUAAUUGACAUUAUAAUUCAUAAAAUAAAAAUUAUUAAAUAAGAAUUAAAAAUAUAUUUAUAUAUAAUGGGGAUUGGGGUGGGGGUGGGGGUGGGGUGGGGAGUGCAAAACCAAACCCCACCCCAUUAAGAAUUUGGGGAUUAUUUUUCCCCCACUCACCACCCCAUUCCCCAUAAAUUAUUCAAAAUUUUAUCCAUUUGGGGUGGGGCUCCAUGGGGCCCCAAACCCGUGGAGGAUUUUGCCAUCCCUACUUUUGUAGGUGCAAUUCUAUUGAUUGGUGAUAAAAUUGAGCUAUAAGAUUAUGUUUAAGGAUGAUUGUUCUCUUAGAGAAAUUAUGAGCGUCAGAAGAACUCUGUUGAUAAGGCGUGGGCGCGUACUGUCAACUGCGGACCUGCAGUUUUUAGUUUAACGUGUUUUGUAUUUUUGGUUAUUUUUGUAAUUACGAAUUUAAUAUUUCAGAUAUUAGGAUUUUAUUUUAAAUAGAAUUAUAAAAGAGAAGAGAGAGAGAGUAUUUAAGGGAGGAAUCUAUUGUGAAAAAGGGGGAUUUUUGGAUUGGAGAAAAAGAAAGAAACCCUAGAUCUAAUUUUUCUCUUCUCUCUAUGAGGAACUAAACCCAUUUUUCUGGUUGAAGGUUAAUGAAGCUUUGAUUCAUCACUACUGUGAGACCUUUCUUGUGCUUUAAUUGUUUUAUUGCUUUUUAGAUAUUUGUUUAUUCUCUGAAUUAUUUUCAUGAUUAUGUUUGUUAAUUAGGUAAUUGGCCACUAUUUAAUUAUCAACUUAAUCUAUUGUCAAUUAAAGGAUUCAUCGUAUGAAGAAUUUAAUGUUUGUGACAAAUAACAUAGCAGAGAGUUGUGUUGUGAGAAUAAAAAAUCUAAUUUAAAUGAAUCAUAGCAGAGAGUUGUGUUCAAGUAGUUCUUCUGCGAAAGCCAAAUUUUCCUGUUAUUUAUGUCUCGGUGAAUUUGCAUCCCUAAAAUCUUGUUUGCUGGUCCCAAGUCCUUCAUUUCAAACUCCCUAGCCAACUGUGCCUUUAAUUCUUGGAUUCGAUCUUUAUUGGGACCUGCUACCAACAUGUCAUCUGUUGAGUGUUAGAAAAUGCAUAUUUAUAAAGGAGAAAACCGUCAUUUUACAUUUCAAGUCUUAUUAACAACCCUUACUUUUAUGUAUUUAACCUUCUUGUGAUUUAAUUACAUGUGUUUUAUUUUAAUUAAGUAUUUUAUGUAUUUUAGGGGCAUUAUAGUCAUUUCACAAUAAAGGAGAGAUCAGACGGAAAAACGGACAUCACUUUUGAACUCAGGACGGUCGAAAAUCUUAGGAGGAGCAUAAAAGGAAAAAUGGCCCUAUUCAUAUGUACGGUACUAUUCACGUGUACGGUACUAACUACGUUACUGUUCACAACACUGUUCACAUAGACGAAUCGAUGACGUGGCAUUGACCGAUGAUGUGGCAUUGACUGAUGAGAUGUCACGAUCUUGUUGGGCUAAAAUUCUUAUGUACUGUUGAUGGUGACGUGGCAGCAUAUCAGUGGAUGAAAAAUCUCGCGUACGGUACAUGCAUCACACAGGAUUAUUUUCAACCAAACCGCGUUACUGUUCAUCCGAGUCAAACCGCGUUACUGUUCAUCCGAGUCAAACCGUGUUACUGUUCAUCCACGUGGUCAAACCGUGGACUGUUGACUGAUGACGUGGCGCAAUCCUGAGCGUCCAAACUGUUUUUAAUCCGAUGGCCAUGAUUUACUCCAUGUAUCUAUAAAAAGGGGGCCUCCCCCCCCUAAUUUGAUAGCUCUGAAUCUAUUUUUUGGAUCCAUUUUCUGUAAUUCCCUCUCCAUCUUGUAUUUUCUUUGUAUUUUAAUAAAUUUUCAUUUUGCCCCUAGUUCAAUUAUGAGGAGCUAAUUUCCUUUCAAGCUUGGGUUGAAGGUGAAGUCUCAACAUGUGUCAUGGGCUUUAUUUGGUAAAUUUAUUUCCUUUUCCCCUCUAGUUUUUGUGGAUGAUUUGACUUAUCGUCGACAAAUAAUACUGAUCUUGUCUAGAUACCGCCUUGGUUACACCGGCUCUCUAGUAUAAGGUUAUUAUUAUUUGGCACGAUAAGCCCUUAGCACCAUAUUGAUUAGAGCGUGGUUCAUGAGGUGUGGAUUCCCCCCUCAUGAUUUAAUUGGCAUUAAUAAGGAAUAUUUAGCCCAUGAUGCAUGUUGAUACGGAUCCAGAUACCCAAGUACGUCAUUUCAAUAGAAUUCUCUUCAAUUUAUUCUCGCUAUUUCAAUUCCAAUUUUAGAAUUUAUUCUCGCCAUUUUAAUUUAAGUUUUAGUAUAUUCCAAAUCAUUUCCACCACAAAUCCAAUCACCCAUUUACAGAAUUAAUUCUACACAUAAUUAAAAUCCACCUCCUCGUGGGAUCGACACUCGUCACCAUUGAUCUACACUACAAUAGAUUCGUGCGCUUGCGAGUACAUUAAAAUUUGCACAACAUCAUCCACAUACAACAGUAAAAUAAUGAAAUCAUUAUCUUCAAACCUCUUGUAAUAUGCACAAUGGUCUGAACUGAGUCUGUUGUAUCCAAGGCUCAUGAUGAAGGAAUCAAAUCUCUUAUACCAACACCUCGGCGCCUGUUUAAGACCAUAUAGAGAUUUGUUCAACCUGCAAACCAAGUUCUCCUUUCCUGUUUCUGCAAAACCUUCUGGUUGGAGCAUAUAUAUUUCUUCUUCAAGUUCUCCAUGAAGAAAUGCAGUUUUCACAUCUAACUGCUCUAGAUGUAAGUCAAAUGUAGCACACAUCGCCAAGACUACUCUGACUGUUGUGAGUCGAACCACCGGAGAAAAUAUCUCGUUGAAGUCAAUACCUUCUUUCUGAGUAUAUCCUUUCACCACCAAUCUCGCACGAUACCGCUUCACUUGGUCAUUGCCAUCACGCUUGAUCUUGUAGACCCAUUUGUUUCCAAUGGCUUUUCUUCCACGUGGUAGUGGUACAAGUUCCCAUGUCUUAUUCUUAUGUAGAGCUUCAAUUUCUUCCUGCAUUGUUGUUAUCCACAAAGCAAUAUUUGAGCUUUCUAAAGCUUUAUGGAAAGUUGAUGGCUCUCCAUCCUCCGUUAGAAGACAAUAUGCAACAUUAAUUUCUGUGACAUACUCCGAGUGCCACACCGGCGGUCGUCUCUCACGAGUUGACCGUCGAACUUCUGGAGCCUCAGACCCGACUGGUUCUUGUUCCUCGUGCUCUGGUGCUGCUUGAGAAGAAUCUGAAUCUUCUAGAUUAUUUUCCACAUAUACUGGCACGGUCUCUGACUUUUCUUUUGUAGUGCCAUCAUCCUCAUCUCUCAUUUGCAGUUGAUCUUCUACAAAGAUAACAUCUCUGCUGAUGACGAUCUUGUGGGCAGUGGGGUCCCACAGACGAUACCCCUUUACUCGAUCAGCAUACCCCAAGAAAAUACAUAUUCUAGAUUUUGGAUCCAGCUUUGUUCUUUCUUGGGCAUUGUACAUCACGUACACAGGACAUCCAAAUGCAUGUAGGUAGGAAUAAUCAGCUGGCUUUCCAGUCCAUAUCUCCAUCGCUGUCUUCAGCCCAAUAGCUGUAGAUGGCGAUCGAUUUACUAUAUAACAGGCAGUUUUGGCUGCUUCUGCCCAGAAUGAAUUGGGUAGACUAGCAGUCUUCAACAUAGCUCUUAUUCUUUCUAUAAGAGUUUUGUUCAUCCGCUCUGCUACUCCAUUUUGUUGAGGAGUGUAUGCUACCGUGAACUGCCUUUGAAUACCUUCUUGCUUACAGAAAGCAAGAAACUCACAGUCUGUAUACUCUCCACCAUUAUCCGUCCUCAAGCACUUGAUCUUUUUACCAGAUUCAAGUUCCACCUGCGCUUUGUAUUCUUUAAAUACUGGAAAUACAUCUGACUUUUUCUUAAUUGGAUACACCCAACAUCUUCUGGAAUAAUCAUCAAUGAAAGUCACCAUGUACUUUGCACCUCCCAUAGAUAUAUCCAGUGAUUCCCAAACAUCAGAAUGAAUCAAGUCUAAAAUGCAUUUACUUCUAGCAAUAGAUCUACUGAAUUUUAAUCUAUGCUGCUUACUUGUAACACAAUGCUCGCAAAAUGGUAAACUUACCGAUUUGAGCCCCGGAAGCAAUUUUCGCUCAGAGAGAAUCUUCAAACCUUGUUCUGACAUGUGGCCAAGUUUGAGAUGCCACAUCAUCGUUGAUUCUUCUCCAUUUGAUGCGACACAUGCAUCAGCCUCCUGUAGUGUUUCUCCUUUAAGCAUGAAUAAAUUAGCACCGAUCUUUUCUGCCUUCAUCAAUACAAGCGCACCUUUAACGAUCUUUAUAAUUCCAUUCUCCACAUGAGUUUUGUACCCAUGACUAUCCAUUUGUCCCAAAGACAAUAGAUUUUUCUUCAGGCCGUUGACAUGUCGUACUUCUCCAAUUGUGCGAAUUGUACCAUCAAACAUUUUUAUUUUGAUAGUACCAAUACCAGCGAUCUCUAAGGCAUGAUCAUUACCCAUAUAUACAGAUCCUCCUGAGAUAGGUUCAUAUGUGUGGAACCAUUCUCUCCGAGAGGUCAUGUGCCAGGUAGCUCCUGAGUCUAUAAGCCAGACAUCAGACAGUCAUUUUCUGCCUUCUGAAACAGUUGUUGCCUCGCUAUAGAGAAUUUCGCCAUCAUCUAAGGUACUUGCCACACACCCUUGAGCAUUUGAUGACUCAGGUUCUUUACCCUCUCUUCUCUUCUGGUUACUCCAACACUCUUUCUUGACGUGCCCUUUCUUGCCACAUUUGUAGUAUUUAACAUUCUUCUUACUUCUGGAUUUUGAUCUACCCUGAUUUUGACUCCCACUGGGGCCACGUUCCGUUAAUCUCCCUCUCGUCACCGAUAGCGCUUCUGCUUGCUGCGAACUUGCUUGUCUGUUUUCCUUAUUUUUUCGCCUGCUCUCCUCAUUUAAUACGGAGGCUGCAACAUCGUCGAAAACUAGACUCUCCACUGGAUUGUUGUUCGUCAGGUUGAUGAUGAGUUGAUCAUACGAAUCUGGUAGACUUUGAAGUAGAAGCUUUGCACGUUCAUUUUCCUCUAUAUUAUGACCCAACGUUGUGAGUUGUGAAAAUAGAGUCUUCAAUGUGUUGAUGUGGUCGGUCACCAUUGUAGAUUCCGCCAUUCGAAGAGUAUAGAGUUUUCUCUUCAAGAAGAUUUUGUUGUGUAGUGACUUGGCCUCAUACAAUUUUGUGAGAGUAUCCCAUAUUUCCUUUGCCGUAUUUUUCUCUGCCAUACUGGAUAAUACUCCAUCCGCAAGUGCCAAGUGUAGAUCAGAAAUGGCGUUGCCGUCUACCUCGUUCCACUUGUCAUCAGUUAUUUCCAUAGGCCUUUCUCCAAUUGCUGCCAAGCAAUUAUUUUUCCUCAAUACAGCUUUCAUCUUCAUUUUCCACAACGAAAAAUUAUUUCCGUUAAAUUUCUCAAUUUCAUACUUUGCCGCCAUUUUGUUGAUAAAUAUCGCACACAAGCUAGUGUACCACCUUGAAUAGUUGUGAGUAUGUGUGAGAAUGCACACCAGGAAAGUUCCCAGGAAAGACUGGAGGGGUCACAAUGGUCCUACUUAAAACCCAGACUCCUUAAGCUCUUAUCGCUUUUGUGACAGAACUUUCCUAGACAUGUACAAAACCACAAUUGUUUUACUCACACCACUAUUCCCUGCUUUGCAUCGCAAAAUUCUUGGAUCGCUCCCACCGCUUCUUGUGAAUAGUACCGUAUACGUGAACAGUACCGUAUACGUGAAUAGUACCCCUUACGUGAACAGUACCCGACUCCAAAAAAUACAACUAAUAGCUCUGAUACCACUGCUAGGAAAUUGGUGGGUGAAGCAGACACGUAGCUAAAAUAAAAUUGGAAGAAAAUAAAGAACAAGCACUCUAGAGGACACCAGAAAAUUACGUGGUUCGGCUUUUAGCCUACAUCCACGGGCGAAGACAGAAGAAAAUAUUUUACUAGUGAAAAGGAGUUACAAGUAUUGUAGUAUUUUAGCUCACUUCCCAAAACCCCAAUACACCUAAACUCUCUCAAUCACUGUAACAAGAGCUUAUAAAUGCAAGCUCUCUAAAUUCUCUCUAAAUACAAGAGAAAUCUUCUCAAAAUUGGAUGAUCAAAUGAGGGAAUGAGUCCCUCUAUUUAUAGCCAAAAUCUUGGCUACUAUUCACGUAUUUUUUUUAAUUAUUUAUUAUUGUUCAAAAUUCAAAAUUCAAAGUUUGAUAUUCAAACUUUGAAUAUCUAGAAUUUUGAAUUUGAUAUUCAAAGUUUGAAUAUCUAGAAGUUUGAUUUUGAUAUUCAAACUUUGAAUAUCAAGACACCCAAUCUUGACAUCGGAGGCUUCGUUUUAGAAGAGUGCAGAGCAGCUGCCUUGUCCAUUUGGCACGCCAACGACUUUCUAUUGACCAAUAAUUUUGAAAGCGAUAUUAGUAAUUUACCAUCUAAUAUUUUUUUUAUAUUAUCAUUUUACCAUAAAGUUUUUUAACAAUUAUUUUUUUCCUUAAUGUUUUAGUUUUUAUUAUAUUACUACCAAAAAUUGGCAAACGCACUCCUAGUGUAGGUUAUCCACAAAAUGGCUACCGAAUUGUCUUGUUUCUCAUUUUGUUUAAUUUUCAUAAAUUCGACUCACGAUUCAAAUGUGAGUGAAGAGUUUUUUUUUUGGGAAAAAAUCUGGUCUUCCAUUUACUAGAAUUAGGUAUGUGUGAUUUUAUUAUUUUUCUUUUGCUUUAUAUGUAUCUGGAAAAUUAUGAAUACUUUGCAGGAUUUAGAAGGAUUUGAAUGUUUGAACGCAUAUAGCUUUCUGUCCAUCAGCUAAUGCAUAUUCUGCAUUUUAUGAAUAUCAGAGCUGGUAGAUUGAAAAAUGGACCUUAUUACAUGUCAUAAGAUACUUUGCUCAAAGCUGCAAUUGGGCAACGUCGUGCUGUUCUUAUCCGCCAAUGCAAGCCAUUUACUAUUCUUUCUAAUGGAGCAAAAUAAGAUGAUUCUUACCUGCAUAGAGAAUUAGAAAAGAAAAGGAGGAUUACUGAUCCACAGAGCUGUCAUUUACUAGAAGCACAUAAAAUCUUACACUUAAUUCAUUAACCAUAUGUAUAUUCUAAUGAUACUUAAGUAUUACCUAAACUAGCCUUUCAAAAUUUCACUUCGAAAAAAUCCAAGGUUGUAAUGUGUCUAUUUGGUUGCUAAUACAAGUUCUCUCUAUUCCCAAUUUUUUAUGCUCUCACUUCGCUUGAUUCACCUUCUCCAUCUUUUAAAACAGUUGUAUAUGUCGGGGUAUCAAGUUCAUCACAAGGAUCAUAUUAUGGCCUAAGGAAGGAGCACAGUUUAUUGUCUGCACUCAAGCUUAGCAGAGUGUUUUGGGAUUCAAGAGUGUUAGUAGGCCGUUACAGAUGCCAUGCUGGCAAGCGUGCUAUGACUGAUUGCUAUUUGCACGCAAAAUUUGCCCAAAACAAAUAGAAUGAGAAUACUUGUACAAAAGGACAAGAUUAAUAAAGUGAAUAAAUUUUAUCUUUUAGUGAAUGCUUCUUGUCUUUUAGAAUUUUAGUGCAUUUUCGUGUGUAAUUUUAUGUGCAAAUAGCAUUACUCAUUAGUAAUUAGUCUCGAGUGUUCUAAUUUCUUCUAAUAAGUGGCUGAUUUGAGCUUAAGACUUGUAUUUUAAGUUUUUAUUACUUUCUAAUAAAGAUUUUCUCUGUUCUUUUUUACUUUCACUUUCUCUUCCAUUUUCCCGACUCCCAAACACCACCAAUCCUUGAUUUUCUAGAGUAUAGCUAUGCAGUUCUACAAACACGAAACUGCUGUUUGUCCAUUUACUUUCAAGAAACAACGUACUCUGUGGUUUAUUGACUUGUGACUUGUGACUUGUGACCGGGGCAAAUUAGUCACGGUCCGAUUGUCUCCUCUUCCACUGACUCUGUCAAUUCAUGACUUUGGCACACAGUAGACGCCAGCUGCCUGCUUCAUUUGACGUGCAAAAAACUUUCUUGAAUCGGGUUAAAAUCGAUUGAUUAUUUUGUUUGGUGAUGAUGAGUUAGUUGUCAAUUCAUGAGUUUGAUGCAGUGAAACGCUUAACGCUCUCUUGUGAUGCGCAGGAGAAAAGCCAGUGAUGAUGAAGAGGACGAAAAACAUUAUUUUGUUAUUUACAAUAAGGCUAUCAAUUAUAUAUUCCAAAAUAAUUGGGUUUGGAUGGUCAUUUUGUUUUCUAAAAUAUCCAAAUGGAAACAGAAUUUAUAAAGUGGGAAAAUCAAGAAAUUAAAUACUCUUCGUAUAGUGGAAGGAGAUUUGGUUGCCGUUAUGCUAAAUAAAAGAAAAAUAAAGUAAAAUUACAAUACUUUAAUAAUCUCAUUCCCAAUCAUACCGGAAAUAAAAAUUUUCUGUAUAGUUAUGAAAUAAUUAUUGAUUUUACUUUAGUGAUUUUUUUUUUAAAGUAAGGUAAGCAUCUUUAUUUUCUUUGCAAACGAGCCUUCUUUCUUUUGCUUUGGCCUUUACUCUAGACUGUAUUUCAUGGUCAUACUCAAUCUCAAUAUUUUGUAGGUUUGUGGCUGUUUUAUGAGUUACGAUUUUUUAUAGGGUUGCAUGUAGAUGAUACAUUUAUUUUUUUCUUUUUUCUUUUCUUCUUCGGUGAAGAUACUAAAAUUUAGUUUUUGUUAUCAUGUGAAAUGAAAAUAGUCCUCGUUUCAAGGAUUAAUGGGCCACUAAUUUCGUCUUCUUAGAAGAAAAUUUUUUGCAGCGAGGUAAUUCGAAGCUCGAAGAUUUCUAUAUUACAUAGCCAAACCUAAGUGAUAAGAAUUUCCAUAUGAGAUAUAAUUUGGAAAAAAAAAAAAAACCAAUUCAAGUUAAAGAUAAAAAAAUCUGUGUUCCUUAAAAAACAUAAUUCAAGCCACACAAUUUUUCUUGUUUCAUUUGAGAAAAAGAAAAUUGUGUUCCUCACAAAAACACUUUAACAUUUGUUGUCUCAUAGAGGGAAAUGUCCUUCAAAACAAUUGAAACGUUGUCCACAAACAUUGUCAUGUAGUUAAGAAAAACUUAAUUUUGAGAAGUGCAAGAGAUUGGUGGGACUCAUUUGAUUCAAGAAAAAUAAUCAGUCUCAUUUGAUACGCAAAGAGCUUUUCUACUCAUGCAGCCAAUAUUUUGAUGAAUGUGACAUUACUGGUUUGUAUAAUUUUUUGGAUAUUAUCUCAAUUUUACUUCUGUAGGUUUGUGGUUUGUAUAUUAUCUCAAUUUUUAAAAAAAUGUAAUGCAAUUAUCAAACACGACUAAUCCCAACAAUUUAUCCAAAAAUUUUUAUUUCAAGAAAUGUAGCAUUUAUGAUAGAAUGGCUAAUGUUUUCAAUCGACUUUCUGGAUAAAUGAUAAUUUUUUGAUAGAAAUGUUACUUAAGUAUUACAGGAAGAAAAUUAUAGAAUAAUUUUUUGAAUUAAUUGUAUUACUUUACGAUAACACUAUCACAAUCUAAUUUAAAAAAAAAAAGUUAUUCUUUAAAUUUCGCAUUACUAUUCCUACUUUUCUUGUUAUAGUACUUAAUGGCACUGGUGAAGCCUCAGAAUUAUCAAACAAAAGGCAAAAAUAGUUCAAUAUCUGCUGUCCCACUAAGCAUUGUUAAAUUCAUAUAAUAAAAUGAGUACUUAUAUUAAAAAAAAACAAUCGGUCUCAUUGCGUGCUCUUUCAUUGACAUAGGCAAUUUGCUGUCAACUUGUGGCACUUUUAUGAAUUUUCAAGAUUGGUGAAUUUUUCAAAUUUAAAAGAAAAAAAUACAGAAAUGUAAUUUCAAUUUAUCCAAAAAUUUGAGUUUCAAGGAAUACAGCAUUUAUUAUAUGUCAUGUUAAUAUAGAGAAGAAAAAUUAAAAAACUUCUUUUUGGAUGAAUAAAAGUAUUUUCUGAUAAAUAUUUCACAAUCAAAUUUAAAAAAAUUUCACUCCUCUUGGUACAUAAUUUAAGAAUUUAACAUUAUAAAUUAAUCUUUUUAAUCAAAGUAAUAAUCUCUCCUCGGUCUGCAAAUGCUAAAAUUUAAUAUUAUAUCCUUUGACAAUAUUUGCUCCAAAUUCACGAAAAUAAAAUUUCUAACAGAAUUAUGACAUUCGUUACUAGAAAUUUGUAUAAAAGUUGUGAGAAUAGAAGGUUUGAUCAUAGGAAAUUAAUAUAUCCCUAUCCGAUGCAAAAAUGAUUGUAAAGAAAAACAAAAGUCAUGGGCUUAUUUUGAAAAAAGAAAAAAUUACAUUCCUUUUUCCCGUUAUUAAAGUAAUUCUAAAAUCACUAGGCACACAAAGGAUAGGCUUUAGUUGACUGAGGUCAGCCUUAACGCAUGCCGGUCUUUUUCUCCUCUACAUUCUUAGAAAUUUUGGUUUCACUAUAAAUACUCGGUAUAUAGCAAACUUAUAAGUGUUCUUGCAUUACCAAUCCAACUAAGCACACGCUUACAAUAUAAAUACUCUCAUCUCAUGGAAAGACUUCAUUCUCUCAGGAUGAUGAGCAGAUUUCUCUUACUCCAUUGUUUGAUUCUUAUUUCCUUACUUAUCGCAGCUGCAACAGCCAACACAAGUACUAUUACCGCAGACCAAGAUGCUCUGCUUUCCCUGAAAGCUCACAUAACUCAUGAUCCAACCAAUUUCUUGGCCAAAAAUUGGAACACGAGUAUCUCUUUCUGUAAUUGGACAGGCGUCACUUGUGAUGUCCAUAGCCAUAGAGUCACAAUCUUGAAUAUUUCUGGCUUAAAUCUCACCGGCACCAUUCCUUCUCAGCUUGGGAAUCUUUCUUCUCUGCAAUCACUCAAAUCUCAGUUUUAACCAACUUUCUGGUUCCAUUCCCUCCGCUAUCUUCACCACGUAUACACUGACAUAUGUUAGUCUCUGUCAAAAUCAGCUCUCUGGGAAAAUUCCUGCAAAUAUUUGUAGCAAUCUUCCUUUCCUUGAAUUUCUUUCUUUGUCCAAAAACAUGUUGUAUGGCGGAAUACCGUCCACUCUAUCAAAUUGCACAUAUUUAAGAAUCUUAAGUUUGGCAUACAAUGAUUUCUCAGGAGCCGUACCUAGAGAAAUCGGGAACUUGACCAAACUUAAGGAAUUAUAUCUUGGCGUUAAUAGACUUCAAGGUGCGCAUGAUCACGAAGUUUAAUUAUAAGAAUUGUUCCCUGAGUUGUAGUAUGAAUAACGUUCCAUAAUACACUUUACACACGUUGAUUAAUUUGCAGGAGAAACUCCUCGAGAGUUUAGCAAUCUUGCCGACUUGGAGCAUAUGUCGUUGGCAGGCAACAAUCUCCAAGGCAUGAUUUUAAAGUUUUUGCAAUUUUAUUUUAGCGAUGCUUGCUUCUGUAUUCAUUCGCUUGUUCUUUGAUUAUGCGAUGAUUUAUUGUUUUUCUUUCAGAUAGAGAUAAAGCUCCAUGUCUCCCCUCACUCAUUUCAUUCUUUAAUUUAUGCAGAUAAAAAUUUAAAAAAAAUGUUUUGUAAUUUUCUUUUGUCAUAUUGCCACUUCCGUUUUGAAGCUCCCAAUCAAGUCGAUGAAAAUGAAUGAUGUUUCAUUCUUAUUCUUGUCAGCCUAAUUCUUAUAUAAUUGAAGAGUAAAUUGUUAUUAUGAUCAAAUUGUUUGCGCAUAUAUAAAUGUACUUUAUUUACAGGAGGUAUUCAACGGGAAUUGGGGAAUCUUACAAAAUUGGAGGGGUUACAGCUGUUCCAGAAUAACUUGAUCGGUAACUUUCUUUACAAUAUAUAUACGAGACAUCUUCCGCUUUUUAUUAGAAAUUAUAAAUUCAAGUUAAAUCUUAAUUAAAAGAUUUCAAGUCUCUCAUUAUAAAUUCUCAUAUGAUGAUGUGUCGUUACCACUAUCUAACAUUAUUCCCUUUUUUAUUAGAAAUUAGUUUGUGUUAAUUCAAAAUUCUGUAGCAUUUAAAAAAAUUAAAAACACGUGGAAUAAAUUGUUAAUCUUUCUUCUUUACUGAAUUUGGAUUUCUCAAAAAUAAUCAUGACAAGUAUGCUUCACUAAUGAUAAACAUGUGUGACAACUUCAUAAAAUAUUUUAUAUGGAAUCACUAAUUAUCUCUAAAGAUGCCAUCAGUGAUACAUAAUUUCUUAACAAGCACCGUACCAAAAGAAAUCAACAAUUUUAUUAAUCUUAAAGAGUUACAUCUUCACUGCAAUUAUGACAUAAAUUUUUAGUCAUCAAUCACAUAAUAUUUUAUCUUAACGGAUGAUGUUCAGUCUUGGAAUUUAUAAUAUCAUGAAGGUUAGUAGCAUUGAAAAUAAGAAAUUGUUCAUGUGCUAAAAAGUCAACUUAGUAUUUAAGUUUUUCACUUGAAAUUUUUGAAAAAAGUGUUGAGAACUAGCCCUCCUUAGUAUUUCAGCGGAUAAAUAUGAAAAAUGGGCUAGAAGAAAUUAUUUUAUUGUAAUAAGAGUUAGAAAGAGAGGAGAAGUACAGUACUCAUGACUUAGGCUUGCUGUGUGUGUGCUUAUUCUACUUGGGCUUUGGGCUUGAUUACACGGUCGAACGCUUACACCUGUUAAAAUAAUGGGCUUUUGCUUUCGCCGCACAUCUGAUAAUUUCCUAACCUUCCAAUUAGGUUAUAGCAAUUUAAAUAUAAAUAAUAAAGCAUGCUAAAGCUAGCAUUGGUGUAUGGCUGAGUGGUGUAAAAAGUGGAUCUGUUUUCAUGUAUUAUUUAUUCUCUAAAACAUAUUUGAAUACAAUUCUUUCAAAAUACCGAGGAAAUAGCACAUGAAAUCAGAAAUAUUUUAUUGUGAUGAGAAUUCAUAUACUCAUUGUAGUAGAACAUAUAAAAUAGACUAUAAAUUUAUUAUUCUUCGAAACAAACUUGAUUAUAAUUCCUUCAAAAUUAAGUUUGUCAUUAAAUGAUUUCUCAGGAGCCAUACCAAAAGAAAUCGGGAAUUUGACCAAACUCAAGGAAUUAUCUCUUGGCGGUAACAGGCUCCAAGGUGCGCAUGAUCACAAAGUUUAAUUAUGAAAAUUGUUGCAUAAGUUAUAUGGAUAUCCUUGAUAACCGCAGCAAGCAAACAAAAUCAAAUAAAAGCUAACUGAGACUCGAAUAUCCUAAACCCUGAAAAGGAAUGGUAAUGGUAUAAUAUGGAUUUUGAAGGCAUAUUUCACCGGACUCAACAUUUAUGGUUAAUUUACAACUCUUUGUUGGAAAGUCUGAGAAAUUGCUUUAUAUUAGGGGUGGGGAAAAUAAUGCUGGGCCACGAAUUUCAGGCAGAAUCCAGAUUGGGCCCAAUUAGACUUAUAGCUCAGCUCUGUGUAGAUAUCUGGGCCUUUACAAAUAAUUAAUGGGCCAAUUAAUAAUAAUAAAUAAAUUGAGAAGGGUGUGAGUGAAAUUAGAUAUGAAUGAAUCUGCCAAUGUAUGUACACAUUUUUAGCAAAAGAAAUCGGGAAUUUGACCAAACUCAAGGAAUUAUCUCUUGACCGUAACAGGCUCCAAGGUGCGCAUGAUCACGGAGUUUAAUUAUGAAAAUUGUUGCAUAAGUUGUAGUAUGAAUAAUGUUCCAUAAUACAGUUUAGACACGUUGAUUAAUUUGCAGGCGAAAUUCCUCGAGAGUUUGGCAAUCUUGCCGACUUGGAGCAGAUGUCGUUAUGGGAAAACAAUCUCCGAGGUAUGAUUCUAAACUUUUUGCGUUUUUUAUUAGAAAUUAAUUUGUAUUAACUAAAAAUUUUGUAGCAUCUGAAAAAAUUAAAAACACAUGGAAUAAAUCGUCAAUCUUCUAAUUUGGAUUUCUUAAAAAUUAUCUUGACAAGUAUGCUUCACUAAUGAUAUGCAUGUGUGACAACUUCAUAAAAUAUUUUACAUGGAAUCACCAAUUACCUUUAAAUAAUUGGAGAUGCCAUCAGUGAUACAUAAUUUCUUAACAAGCACCUUAUCAAAAGAAAUCAACAAUUUUAUUAAUCUUAAAAAGUUACAUCUUUACUGCAAUUAUGAAAUAAAUUUUUAGUCAUCAAUCGCAUAAUAUUUUAUCUUAACGGAUGAUGUUCAGUCUUGGAAUUUAUAAUACCUUGAAGGUUAGUAGCUUUGAAAAUAAGAAAUUGUUCAUUUGCUAAAAAGUUAACUUAGUAUUUAAGUUUUUCAAUUGAAAAUUUUGAAAAAAGUCUUGAGAACUAGCCCUCCUUAGUAUUUCAGCGGAUAAAUAAGAAAAACAGGCUUGAAGAAAUUAUUGUUGUGUGUGCUUAUUCUACUUGGGCUUUGGGCUUGAUUACACGGUUGAGCACUUACACCUGUUAUAAUAAUAGGCUUUUACUUUCACCACACGUUUGAUAAUUUCUUAACCUUCCCAAUUAGGUUAUAGCAAUUUAUAUAUAAAAAACGAAAGCAUACUAAAGCUAGCAAUUUUUUGACUGGUAUCAUUCCUUCAUCUAUUUCACGUCUUUCAUUAUAAAUUCUCAUAGGAUGAUAUCUCAUUUUUUAUUAGAAAUUAAUCUGUGUUUAUGCAAAAAAAUUUAGCAUCUAAAAAAAGUAUAAAAACACGUGGAAUAAAUCGAAAAUCUUUCUUCAUUACUGAAUUUGGAUUUCUCAAAAAUUAUCAUGACAGCUAUGUUAGUGUCUUACUAAUGAUAUGCAUGUGUGACAACUUCAUAAAAUAUUUUAUAUGGAAAAUAUUAAAAAUAGACUUGAAAAAAAUUAUUUUACUGAAAUAAUAGUUAAAAAGAGAGGAGAAGUAUUACCUAUUACACAUGGUCGAACACUUACACCUGUUAUAAUAAUAAUAGCAUCCGCCGGUCGACUAUGAGUGAUCAAAUUGUUUGCACAUGUGUAAUUUGCAGGAGCAAUUCCACGGGAGUUGGGAAAUCUUACAGGAUUGGGGUUCUUAGAGCUGGGUGAAAAUUUUUUAACCGGUAUCACUCCUUCAUCUCUCUCCAAAUUGCUUUUCUCUAUUAAAUUUGGAACUCUCAUUUAAUAACUUAACAGGUAACUUCCCUUACAACAUGUUUGUGUGACAUGUUUUGCUUCUCAAUUAAAAUAUUUCACUUCUCUCAUUAUAAAUUCUCAUAGGAGGAUGUGUUGUUAUUACUAUUUAACAUUAUCUCGUUUUUUAUUAGAAAUUAAUCUUUGUUUAUGCAAAAAAAUUUAGCAUCUAAAAAAAGUAUACAAACACGUGGAAUAAAUCGAAAAUCUUUCUUCGUUACUGAAUUUGAAUUUCUCAAAAAUUAUCAUGACAGCUAUGUUAGUGUCUUACUAAUGAUAUGCAUGUGUGACAGCUUCAUAAAUUAUUUUACAUGGAAAAUAUGAAAAAUAGACUUGAAAAAAAAUUAUUUUACUGAAAUAAUAGUUAAAAAGGGAGGAGAAGUACACUACUCAUGACUUAGGCUUGCUGUGUACUUAUUUUACUUGGGAUUCGAGCUUGAUUACACAUGGUCGAACACUUACAUCCCACGACAUAGGCUUUUAGGGACGAGUGGCGUCAAAUGUGUAUAUGCUUUUAUGUAUUAUUAUUCUUUGAAACAAAUCUGAUUAUAAUUCUUUUAAAAUACAGAUUAAAUGGCACGUGAAAUCGGAAAAUAUUUUACUGCAAUAAGAAUUCAUAUAUUCAUUGUACUAGCACAUAUAAAAUAAACUAUAAAUUUAGUUCCAAAAUACAUUCUUAUCUUCAUAUAAAUUUUACAUUAUUAAUUUAAAUUAAUAUUAAAAUAUGUUGUUUCUUUCACUAUGUUAUUUUAUUUACACAAUGAUGUGACUAUUGGAAUUAAUAAUACUUUUAAUUAUUUUGUAAAAAUAUAAAUUUAAUACUUUGUUAACAUUUUAACUACAUAUAAUAAUUAAACUGAAACUUGUAUUUAAAAAAUUCGAGUUACGCAUAUUCAUUUCAUGACAUAAAAGUGUAUAUUUAUGCUAAUUUACCAUUAUCAACAAAAAGAUUUGAGACAAAUAAUCUAAUUUAUAUUUUUAUAUUUAAAAUCUUGCAUUUAUUAUAUUUUGAAAAAAAUUUAUUUGCAAUUAUUUUAAACGGUUGGAUUCAAAUUUUCAUAGUUACUAAAGUCAAAGGGUAUAAAUGUAUAAUAGUCAAAAACAUAUUUGUAUGAUCAUUUUUCAAUGUAUAAAUUUUCUUAGUUAGUAGGAAAAUUAGAAAUUGUUGAUUUACUCAUAAAUAAAUUUAAUGUUUAGCAUUUCAAUUUUGGAAAACUUGAACUAAAUGUUGAUAACUUCGAAUCGGUCGAGCCGAGUUUCUCUUCCUUGACCCACGGACCCAUUGAAAGUUCUAUUCGAAUUGAGUUUCCUGGUGCUUAUAAAAAGCAUUUCUUUUCCUUGUUGCAGUAAUUUAUUCACAAAUGAGUUGAUUAGCAUCGAAGUUACCUGAGAGUCUGAGACCAUGCUAGUAGGAGAAAUUUGAUAAGAAAUUAUUUUACUGAAUUAAUUUAUUUUAUCUUGUUGCAACUGGAAUACUACUUUUUUUUUUGGGCCAUCACUUGGGCUUGAUUUACUUUAAUAGUAGCAUCCACCGACUUAGGCGUUUUUUACUUCUCACCACACAAUUUGAUCUUUUAAUUAGUUUUAACCACAUAAUCUAUCUAUUUCUCACCUAUUGCUUACUUAAAUCGCAUACAUAUUUUACCUACUAAUUUUUAUAAAUAUUAGUCAAAUAUAUUUUAUUACGUUUUUCUCGUAACUGCUCCAAAUGUGUACUAUUAAUACUUAACCCUCCCUUUUAAUUUACUGUGCAAUCUAUCUAUCACUUAAGUCAUAUAUAUUUGACCUAUAUUUUACCCCAAAAAAUAUAAAAAUAAAAGAAAAAGAAUGUGUAGCAAUUUGCAUAUAACUAACAAAGCAUUGAUGGUGUGUAGCCUUUCAAUACUUCACGACUGGCUUUUCUUGUGUGUUAGUACUUGUAAUAAUUGUGUAGUGUAUAAAUGGCAUUUUAUUAUUAAAGUGCGUCCAUUUUUAGAUAUUACUUAUUAUUUGAAAAAUAAUCUGAAUAUAAUUCUUUUAAAAAACAGGGGAGAUACCACUUGAAAUUGGUAAUCUCCAAAAUCUGGAGGAGUUGGACCUUCGUCAAAACAAAUUAGUUGGUAUUGUCCCCGCUGCAAUCUUUAAUGUGUCCACGCUCAAAUUACUUCAGCUUCAGAAUAAUUCUCUCUUGGGAUGUCUUUCGUCCAUCGCAGACGUCCGACUACCAAAUCUUGAAGAGCUUUCUUUAUGGGGUAAUAAUUUCAAUGGCACAAUUCCUCGUUUCAUCUUUAAUGCUUCUAAGCUCUCUAUACUAGAAUUGGUAGGCAACUCAUUCUCCGGUUUUAUUCCCAACACAUUUGGCAACUUAAGAAACCUUGAGCGGCUUAAUUUACAAGAUAAUUAUUUGACAUCUUCAACUCCAGAAUUGAGCUUUCUAUCCUCGUUGUCAAAUUGCAAGUCUUUAACACUUAUUGCCUUAUCAAAUAAUCCACUAGAUGGCAAUCUUCGUAAGACGUCUGUCGGUAAUCUUUCUCAUUCUUUGGAAAUCUUUCUCAUGUACAAUUGUAACAUUAGUGGCGGAAUCUCUGAAGAGAUUAGCAACUUGACCAACUUGACAACCAUUAAUUUAGGAGGCAAUAAAUUGAAUGGAUCAAUUCCGAUUGCCCUUGGCAAAUUACAAAAGCUACAAUAUUUGGGUCUUGAAGAUAACAAAUUAGAAGGAUCAAUCCCAGAUGAUAUUUGUCGUUUGGAUGAACUGUAUGAAUUGGAGUUGGGUGGCAAUAAGCUUUCAGGAUCAAUCCCUGCAUGCUUCGGUAAUCUGAUUGCUCUGAGGAUACUGUCGUUGGGUUCCAAUGAGUUAACUUCUAUUCCCUUAACUUUUUGGAACCUUAAGGAUAUCUUGCAACUCAACAUUUCAUCAAAUUAUUUUACUGGUCCACUCCCAUUAGAGAUUGGAAAUUUGAAGGUUUUAAUUGGAAUUGAUUUUUCGAUGAAUAAUUUUUCAGGCGUUAUCCCAACAGAAAUUGGAGGCCUAAAAAAUCUAGAAUAUCUCUUCUUAGGAUAUAAUAGAUUGCGAGGAUCGAUUCCUGAUUCAUUUGGGGAUUUGAUAAGUUUGAAAUUCUUGAAUUUGUCCAAUAAUAAUCUCUUUGGGGCUAUUCCUGCAUCUUUAGAGAAACUCUCAUAUCUUGAAGAUCUAAAUCUUUCUUUCAACAAGCUAGAAGGAGAAAUUCCUAGGGGAGGAUCUUUUGGAAACUUCUCAGCUGAAUCAUUUGAGGGAAAUGAAUUAUUAUGUGGUUCACCCAAUUUACAAGUCCCGCCAUGCAAAACUAGGAUCCACCACACAUCAUGGAAAAAAUCUCUUCUCCUGGGGAUUGUCUUGCCAUUGAGUACUACAUUAAUGAUAGUAGUCAUUUCGUUGAUCCUAAGAUAUCGACAGAGAGGAAAACAACCAUCGAAUGAUGCUAAUAUGCCACUAGUAGCAACGUGGAGAACAUUUUCAUACCUAGAACUUUGUCAAGCAACAGACGAAUUCAGUGAAAACAAUCUAAUCGGCAGAGGAGGUUUUGGCUCUGUUUAUAAGGCAAGACUUGGGGACGGGAUGGAGGUUGCAGUGAAAGUUUUCAAUUUGCAAUGUGGAAGAGCGUUCAAGAGUUUCGAUGUUGAAUGUGAAAUUAUGAAAAGUAUUCGCCAUCGAAACCUUAUCAAAGUUAUUAGCAGUUGUUCAAAUGAAGAGUUUAAAGCGUUGGUAUUAGAAUACAUGCCUCAUGGAAGUUUGGAGAAGUAUCUGUAUUCAAGUAAUUGCAUUUUGGAUAUUUUUCAAAGAUUGAACAUAAUGAUAGAUGUUGCAUCAGCUUUGGAAUAUCUGCACUUUGGUUGUUCAGCUCCAGUAAUUCAUUGUGACUUAAAGCCCGACAAUGUAUUGUUAGAUGAUAAUUUGGUUGCUUAUUUGAGUGAUUUUGGCAUCGCGAAGCUCUUAAUUGGAGAAGAUCAGUCUAUGACUCAAACGCAAACACUUGCCACAAUAGGUUAUAUGGCACCAGGUUUGUUCAAUAUAAACAUUUUCUAUUUCUUGUAAACUUCCUAAUAAGUUAUUUAUGUUUCAUGAUCUUCAUUAGAUCAGGAAAUUAUUGUUAAUGAUAUAUCUUACUAUGUAACUGUUGCAAUUCAUAGAGUAUGGAAGAGAAGGACGAGUAUCCACAAAUGGAGAUGUUUAUAGCUUUGGAAUUAUGUUAAUGGAAACUUUUACCGGGAAGAAACCCACAUAUGAAUUUUUUAAUGGAGAAAUGACAUUAAAGCAUUGGGUUAAUGAUUGGCUACCCAUUUCCACUAUGGAAGUUGUUGAUGCUAAUUUGCUAAGUCAGGAGGACAUACAUUUUGUUGCAAAGGAGCAAUGUGUGUCAUUUGUCUUCAAUUUGGCUAUGGCGUGCACUGUGGAAUCUCCUGAGCAGAGAAUCAAUGCAAAAGAAAUUGUAACAAAACUCUUAAAAAUUAGAGACUCAUUACUUAGAAAUGUUGGAGGCAGACGUAUAAGACAAUCAAAUUUAAAUUGAUUCUACCCCUCCACUACUUGCUAUCCUUUUCAGAGACUUGAACAAUUAUCCUUAAUACAAUUUUUGUUGAUGUGCUUUGUUAUUGCUCUUACUCAUGUUUAUUUCUCUAUUUCUUUAAUUUGCAUGCAUGUAUUUUUCGUUCUCUUUUAUGUUUUUGUUGGUUUGUAUGUAGUUUGUUUUUAGGUUGAUUAUGUCCUCCCCUAAUUAGACGCAUCCUUUUUAUGUUUAUUCAAUAAAGCUUCUCUAAUACUAUCGAGGUUCAUCAAAAGAAAAUUUUAAAUUAAUUUUCUUUUCUUUGACAGGUAAUGAAAUUCUAAUCUUCAUAGUGAAUAACUUCAAUAAUAGAGUGUAAGUGUAUUAGUAGUUAUGGUUGUUUUUUGAACCUGGAGUCAAAAGCAAUUUAAUAGCAACAAACAAGUCUCUUGUAUUAUAGGCAAAAUUAUUUUCAUUAAUCUUAUUUUUCUACAUGUUCUCCUAUUUUCUCCAUUUAUCUUCGCUCAAGGUUUCAUGCUUCCUCUUGGAUAAAGGAAAACUUACUUGCGAAUAUUUCAAUUUGACAUAAGAGACUGUUUUGCCAACCAUUUGAUAAAAUGGAUAUGAGCGGAGCUUUCAAUCAUCACCUCCACCAAAAUCCUUACUACGCCACUUUUAAAUUGUAUUUUUUAAAAUGCAUUCAGUUUAAUUUAUAAAAAAUAAAUUCAUUUGUUAAAAUUAAUCUUUUUCUCAUAAAUUUCAGCCUAAAAAAUAUAUUUCUUUUAAACUUUUAAUUAUAAAAUACAUACAAGUUCUAAACUGUUAUAUUAUUUUCUUCUUAUUAUAUAGUUCAUAUCUCCAUAACUCUAAACUCCUAUAAUUUUUUUUAAAAUAUUUUUAAUUUAAAAUAUAAAUAUAAAAUAUAAAAUGGAGUGGGUAUAAAAAAACUUGUUAAAAGAAUAAUUCAUUUAAGUAUUUAACUGAAUUUAAAUUAAAAUAAGAAAUAAAUAAAUUUAUUUUUAUUAGUUAAGUAAUUUUCAAUUGUAAAAGAGCUUUAUGAGUAAUAUUAUUGAAAUAUGAUUAAAAUUCUUAUGAAUUAAACAUUUUCGUAUAAAUACUAGUGAUAAUUAUAGAGAAAAUGUGAUGAACCAAAGAAAACUUGAGUAUAAAUACUCCAAUGUAAUUUUACACAUGCAAAUUAUGAACCAAUGAUCUUUAGAGCAUCAUAAAAUUAUUUUGACACAACUAUUUAUUUUGAAAAACUGGUAACAAUGUUUAAAGUGGGAUUGAAAAGAUUAUGCUACUUAUAUAAGACAUGAUAUCAUUUAAGACGGCUUACAGAUUAUGAGAAAUAUAUUCAUCUUACAAAUAUUUAAUAUGUUAAUUAGACGGGUCUAGCUGCCUUUCACCCGCUGGAAGGUACAGCUUAUUUUGUCCUCUAGUGUUGUGGCCGUUGGAUAUUUGAGAAGUUGAUCUAUCGGUUCUUGUUCGGCAGCGUGAAAUUGAAUUUCAAUCAGCAACCAUUUCAUGAACUUUCAGGAGACAAUUAUCUACAAAAAAAAUUUUUUAAAAAAUAAUUUUUCGCUUUCAUCAACCGCCGCUGCCACCCACAACCCCUUAAUAUCAUCACCACCAUCCCAAUCCUUAGCCGCCAUCCACAAACUCUAACAACCACCAUGACUGCCAUCACAACCGCCACUCCUCACAACCCUAGCCACCCCUACAAAUGACUGUAUUUUACGUUUGAGCAUUAAUUGCCGGCAUGAUCUCUUAGACUUCUCUUGCAUUGAAUGAAUGGAUGAGUGCUAAUCCAUGCAAAGACUUCCAUGCAUGCACAAUGAAUGCUAAAUCUAAGGUAUAGCAAAAUGUCAGCAACCUUGGCCCAAAUUAUCAAGAUGGUUUGGUGGCUGCUAGAUUUGUUCAUCCGGAUUUUGGACCAUUUUCCUUGACAAUGAGAAAAGCUCCAAGAUGUGUAAUGUUAGUGAAUCAGAUGAAGCUGGAGCAGAGCAUGAUGUUGCUGUGUAGCUGGAGCAGAGCAUGAUGUUGCUAUGUAGCUGGUUGUAUCAGAUCAAAUCAUUAAGCUGACUUGUCAAAGUUAGUUAACUGGUUGAGCUGAUGUGUCAAGUUAGUUAUACAGCAAAUGGUUAUGUGUUGCAACAAUCUCGUGUGUGUGUUAAGAGAUUGUAGCUCAAUAUAAAUAUCAAUUGGUAAUCAUUAAACUGUAAGCUUGGAAUAAUAAGAAGAUCUAACAGUUUUCUUUGCAAAGCUUUUCUUUUAUUUUCUUUCAUUUUCUAGCCUACCAAACAAUAUAGAACUAAGUUUCUUUCAUGGUAUCAGAGCCAUAAAUGGCAAAUAUAGUUCAAAACAACAACUCUUUUAGUUUUGUUACACCAGUAAAGCUAGAUCAAAACAACUUCAUUCUGUGGCGCACACAAAUUUUAACUUCAAUCAAAGGAAACGGUUUGGAAGGGUUUAUCAAUGGCGAUCGAGAAUGUCCUGAGCAAUUUCUUUCUUCUGGAAACAACAAUGGAGCUGAAGUUUUAACUGAGUCUGGAUCCAGAUCUGUUAAUCCAGAAUUCGAAGCUUGGAUGAAGACUGACCAACUCUUACUGAGUUGGAUGAUGUCAUCGAUACAGCAAAAUCUGCUUGCUACUGUGAUUGAUUCUACAACUUCAAAACAGCUUUGGGAGACUCUUGCUAGUAUGUUCAUCUCUCAAUCACAAGCUAGAAUUCAAACACUUAGAAUGCAGAUUCAAACUAUUAAGAAAGGUGCCAUGCAUAUUUCUGAUUAUUUUGUUAAAGUAAAACGCAUAGCUGAUACUUUAGCUCUAGCUGGAAAACCUAUUGAGUUAAAUGAUCUUGUGAUGCAUAUAUUAACUGGUCUUGAUUCAUCAGACUAUGAAUCUUUAGUCACAGCUAUGUUAGCUCGAGGUGAAAAGAUCACAUUAGAUGAACUAUAUUCUUUGUUGUUGAAUCAUGAAAAUAGAGUUGAGCAAAAGAAAGGGAAAAUUGCUAGUGAUGUGAUGCAUAACAUGACAGCAAAUAUUGCUCAGAAAAAUUCAUAUGCUGGAAAGAAUAAUGGAAAUUUUCAGAAAAAUUAUGGAAAUAACUAUCGAAGAGGUAAUAAUUCUGGAUAUGGAGGUUCUAAUGGAUAUGGAUAUGGUCAGUUUAAUACUAGCAGUAAUUCCUCUGAAGUUGUUUGUCAAAUUUGCUUUAUACCUGGUCAUGCAGCAAAUAGAUGUAGGAAUAGGUACAACUCAUCCUUUGUUCCACAGAGGAAUCAUGGUAGAGGAAAUAUGAAUGGUGGCAGAGGUUUUAAUCAAGGGCAAUAUGGCAGAGGAAGAGUCUAUAAUGGUAAUAGUGGAAGAGGAUUUGGAGGUUUUGGUUCAAAUGCUGGUUUUGGACAAAAUGCUAGUUUUGGUCAUGCACCCAGGGGUUUUGGCUAUUAAGGAAAUAUAGUGUAUCCAGAUAGCAAUCCUUCUGCCUAUUACUCUUUCACUCCUGGAUCAUCUAAUUUUGUUGCUGGUCAAGGAAACAACAAUCCUGGACAGUCAAGUGCUUCAUCUUCCUCAGCUAUGUCUUUUUCACUCCCAGAAUACAUUUAAGAUCCUUCCUGGUACAUUGACAGUGGAGCAACAAAUCACAUUACUAAUGAUCUAGGUAAACUUCUAGAUUCACAAGCUUAUACUGGUACUGAAAAGUUAUUUGUUGGGGAUGGAAAUGCAUUAGCUAUUACACAUAUAGGAUCAGUUGUGCUAAACACUUCCAAUUCUCAAUCUUUAUUUCUUAACCAUGUUCUUCAUGUCCCUUUUAUUACUAAGAAUUUGCUUAGUAUCUCAAAAUUAUUGGCUGACAAUCCAGUUACUGUUGAAUUUCUUGGUGAUUUCUGUUUUAUAAAGGCCAAGAACACAAGGAAAAUUUUACUUGAAGGUGUUGCUAAAGGUGGCUUGUAUAGAGUCUCUUCACAUGCUGCUGCUCACUCAGUCUUUCUCAGUUCAGUUGGUCAAAACAAAAUUUAGUCUCUCUUUGCUUGGUCUCCUGUUUUUACUUCUGAAAAACCUUCUGUUGUUAGUUCUUAUAAACUCAAUAAAAAGUCAUGUAUGUCAGUUGUUGCAAAGGGUUUAACUGAUGUAAAUCUUCUGCAUAGAAGAUUAGGACACCCAGCCCCUUAUACUCUCAAAAUUAUUCUCAAAGCUUGUAACAACUUUACUGCUCUUAAUAAAGUUGAAAGUUUGAAAUUUUGUUCAGCAUGUCAAUAUGGAAAAAUCAUAUGCUGCAUUUUAAUUCAGUUGAAACAAAAACUUCAGCACCUUUAGAAUUGAUAUAUGCAGAUUUGUGGGGUCCUUCUCAUGUUUGUUCUACCCAAGGAUAUAACUACUACCUAUCAAUCCUAGAUGAUUACAGUAGGUUUACCUGGAUAUUCCCUUUAUCAGCAAAAUCUGAUGCUCUUGAAGUGUUUAAAAAUUUCAAAACAUUCAUUGAAAAGCAUCUUCAACUUUCAAUCAAAACUGUCCAAACAGACUGGGGAGGGGAGUUCAAAUCUUUUUCCUCAUUACUCACUACUUCUGGUAUCCAUUUUAGACACCCUUGUCCACAUAUUCAUCACCAAAAUGGAAGAAUUGAGAGGAAGCAUAGACACAUAGUUGAUGUAGGUCUGACUUUAUUAGCUCAAGCACAUUUACCACUCAAAUUUUGGUGGAAUGCAUUCCACACAGCUGUCUAUUUGAUAAACAGACUUCUCACUCCAGUUCUAAAUAGCAUUUCUCCCUUUCAAAAGUUGUUUCAUUAUCAACCAGAUUAUUCAACACUUAAAACUUUCGACUGUGCUUGUUAUCUAACACUCAGACCAUACAAUAGAUAUAAGUUUGAUUUCAGAACUGCUAGAUGUAUAUUCAUUGGCUAUAGUUCACAACACAAGGGAUAUAUGUGUCUUCAUUCUUCUAGAAGGGUCUAUAUUUCUAAUCAUUUCACUUUUGAUGAAAAUUCCUUUCCUUAUGAGUCUGGGGUAGAUUUUUCUUUAACUUCUUUAAGUUGUCAGUCCACUUCACACUCUGAGUCCUCUUUUCAGUCUUCCCCUUCUUCUGUUACUCAGUUACAAGCACCUUUAGCAGCAUCAUCAGCACUUCAACCAACUCACCCUGCUGAUCAUCAAUCUAAUGCUUCUACUCCUGUUUAUUUUUCUGAUAACUCCAACUCAGCUUCUCAUUUCUCAUCUUCUCAUUCUUCACCUCCACAUACAUUACCCCAACCUGUACCAUCUGGUCAUCCAAUGGUAACCAGAUCAAAAGUAGGUAUUUUCAAGCCAAAAGUUUAUUUGUCAGCCUUGUUAGCCCAGCAAUCAGAACCAACUUCUGUUUCCAAAGCACUCUCUGAUCCUAUGUGGUAUAAGGCUAUACAAGAAGAGUAUCUAGCACUUAAAGCUAAUCACACCUGGGAUUUGGUUUUACAUACUACUCCAGUGAAGAUAGUUGGUAACAAGUGGGUGUUUCGAAUUAAGUAUAACUCAGAUGGCUCGGUUUCAAGGCACAAAGCCAGACUUGUUGCUAAGGGGUUUCACCAGACACAUGGGGUUGAUUACACAGAAACCUUCAGUCCAGUGGUUAAGUCUUCAACUAUCAGAGUUAUUCUUAGCUUAGCAAUAUUGAAUCACUGGGUUAUUCGGCAAGUGGAUGUUAAUAAUGCCUUCCUCAAUGGCAUUUUAAUUGAAGAUGUGUACAUGGCUCAGCCUCAAGGUUUUGUUGAUUCAACUAAACCUAAUCAUGUUUGCAAGCUGAAUAAGGCUUUAUAUGGUUUAAAACAGGCUCCUAGAGCCUGGUUUGAUAGAUUUAAGGAUGCAAUGCUCUCCUAGUGGCAUUUUCAGCAUUCAAGGUCUGAUAACUCUCUCUUUUAUACCUGGAACAAUGGUCAUGUAACUAUUGUUUUAGUCUAUGUUGAUGAUAUUAUCAUCACUGGCUCAAGUCCAUCACUAAUUCAGCAAGCUAUUCAGAAUAUGCAUCAAACUUUUGCUUUAAAAGAUCUGGGGGAACUUAACUAUUUUUUGGGGAUUGAAGUCAGCAAGUCCUCCACAGGGGUUUCUUUGACACAAGCAAAGUAUAUUGCUGAUGUUCUGGAAAAACAUGGCAUGAUUGAUUGCAGUCCCGUGCCAACUCCCAUGUCUACAGGUUAUUACUCACCAAAGACUCAGGGGAGCCAAUUGACAAUGUCUCUCAAUACAGGAGUGUUAUAAGAGCUCUUCAGUAUGUUACUCUUACCAGACCUGACAUUGUUUUUUCUGUCAAUAAGUUAAGUCAGUUCCUUUCCGAUCCUAGAACUCAACAUUGGGAAGCAUGCAAAAGGUUAUUGAGGUACUUAAAAGGUACUAUCCAUCUUGGGCUACAAUUCUACAACCAAGGAGCUCUGCAAAUCCAUUGUUUUUCAGACUCUGAUUGGGCUUGUGAUCAUGAUGAUAGGAAGUUAGUAGCUGGCUUUGCUGUUUAUCUAGGUCCUAAUCUUGUUUCUUGGUAGUCCAAGAAGCAAGCUAUUGUUUCUAGAUCCAGCACAGAGGCUGAGUACAGAUCUCUUGCUCAUGCUGCUUUAGAGGUUACCUGGAUUAAGUCUUUACUUGGUGAACUUAGCGUCAACUUGAGCUCUACUCCUAUGAUGUGGUGUGAUAAUCAAGGAGCUAUUGCUUUAGCUUAUAAUCCAGUCUAUCAUGCUAAAACUAAGCAUGUUGAAUUGGAUAUCCAUUUCAUCCGAGAUAAAGUUACUGCUAAAGAAGUUGCAGUCUGCUAUGUGCCUAGUCAAGAUCAAACAGCAGAUGUGUUGACUAAAGCUCUCUCUUUCAAACAGUUUAGUUACUUCCAAAGUAAGCUGAAUGUUCAUCCUAAACAUUUCAGCUUGAGGGGGGGUGUUAGUGAAUCAGAUGAAGCUGGAGCAGAGCAUGAUGUUGCUGUGUAGCUGGAGCAGAGCAUGAUGUUGCUAUGUAGCUGGUUGUAUCAGAUCAAAUCAUUAAGCUGACUUGUCAAAGUUAGUUAGCUGGUUGAGCUGAUGUGUCAAGUUAGUUAUACAGCAAAUGGUUAUGUGUUGCAACAAUCUCGUGUGUGUGUUAAGAGAUUGUAGCUCAAUAUAAAUAUUAAUUGGUAGUCAUUAAACUGUAAGCUUGGAAUAAUAAAAAGAUCUAACGGUUUUCUUUGCAAAGCUUUUCUUUUAUUUUCUUUCAUUUUCUAGCCUACCAAACAAUAUAGAACUAAGUUUCUUUCAUGUAAAUUGAAGACUCACUGAACGCUCCAAGUUUCAGGUAACUCUUGUGUUGUGUGCUCGGAGUAUUCUCUAUUGUAUUUUUUUUGUUUGUUAUUUAUUUGACGUAUUGCUAGCAGAGAUCUUGGGUGGGAACCAGAAAUUCCCAACAAUUGUCAAUUGUUUUAAACUCUAUUCUGAACAGAGCAUAAAGGGACUCACUUAUCUAAUUUUGUCUUUUAUGCUUUAACUUCACUUGAUUUCAUCUUUUCCGUCACCUUUGUUAAAGUUGUAUAUGUUGGAGUAUUAGGUUCAUCAUAAGGAUCAUUUUAUGGCUAAGGAAGGAGCACACUUUAUCAGCUACACUCAAGUGUAGCAGAGAAUUUGGAUUCAAGACUGUUAGAAGGUUGUUACAGAUGCAAGGCUAUUGCUGUGUAAUUGUAAUGCUGCGUAGCACCGUAAGUAAGAAGAAAAGUGUCUAAGGUUGCCACGUGUUGUCUCAACGUCUGUGUGAAAACCGAUUUGUUUAAUCAAAAUCAUAAACACCAUUUUGAAAAUCCAUGGCCAUGGUCGUGAUGUGUCUUUAUCAAUCACGGAUACCAAAUUUAAUCAAAAUUAUCGAUUGUUUUAAAUUCUGUUUUUAACAGAGCAUGAAGAUGUCGCUUAUCUAGAUUUACUUUUUAUGCUUUGACUUCACUUAAUACAGCUUCUUCCUCCUUUAUCUGUAUGCCAUGCCGGCAAGUGUAUUGUACAGAUUUCUAGAGUAUUACCUGUCUAUUUUUUUCACCGAUGACGAAGCUAAUUAUUAGUAAUCAAUCUAAAGUCUACCUAUAAAUACAAUAGGUUGCUUAGGUGGCACCAAUAUCCUAACUUUAUGCCAUGUUUCUGGUGUGUCUUCACAAAUUCACCGAUACAAAUUAAUUUCUACCAAUAUUACCAAAUGAUUGUAUUUUACGUUUCUAUUUACUUGUAAUAAAGAUCUUCAAUUUUAUUGGUUACAAAAUUCUCUAGGAUUGCAUGUACAUUAUACUUUUAUAUACAUAUUUUCUUCUUUCUCAUUCGUUUUCUGGGUGAACAUAUUAUUUUCGUCAUCAUCUCUAUAACAAUGAAGUGAAAAUAGUCCUCAUUUAAAGUAUUGACAGCAAUGUUAUACUCAAUAUAACGCAUAAAGCACGCAUAAUUUAAUUAAUGGGGUAGCUGCUAGUACCUUCUUUAGAAGAGAAUUAUUGCAGCAAGGUAAUUGGAAGCUCAAAGAGUUUCCGUAUUAGCCGAAUCUAAGCGAUAAGUGUUUCCAUGUGAGCCAUAAUUUGGGAAAAAGACCAAUUCGAGUUAAAGAUCAGAAAACAGACACUGUCAACAAGCAUUAAUAUCAUUUGAUGCAUGAAAGACAGUUAGUCCCAUUUUUUUGUCCUGUUUACUUGAGUUGGGCAAUUUGCCGUCAACUUUUCUCAUCCACGUCAGGUAAUGUGGCUUUUAUUUGGUAUGAAAAAGCCAAUGCUUUACGAUAAAACUGUCACACACAUAUUAUCCAUCUGUAAUGUUCAAAUGACACUGAAGUAUUACCUAAAUUAGGCUUUCAAAAAUUCAUUUUCAAAAACCCAUGGUUGUGAUGUGUCUCUAUAAAUUAAGAUCUAUCUGUUACCAACUGUUUUAACUCUGUUCUGAACAGAGCUUGAAAGGGUACAUUCACUUAUCUAGUUAUGUUUUUUAGGCUCUCACUUUACUUGAUUCACCUUAUCCCUCUUUUGAAACAAUUGUUCACUGGCUGCACUCAGUUGACAAAAUAUUUUGGGAUUCAAGACUGUAGGUUGUUACGGAUGCAACUUGCAAGGCUGUUGCCAUGCUGGCAAGUGUGCUGCUAUAACAGAUUGUUGAGAUGGCACCAAAGAUUGUAAACUAAUUAGUACUGGAAAAUCAUGAGUUUGGUGAUGAAGAGGACCAAAAACAUUAUUUUAUUAUUUAAAAUAAGACUAUCAAUUAUUUCCAUGGUCAUCUUUUUUUUUAUUUAUUAAUUGGCCUAAAUAUUGUAUUUUUUGUCAGGAGUCUUGCAAUGUUGCUUAACACCGUAAGUAAGAAGAAACGUGUCUAAGGUUGCCACGUGUUGUCUCAACAUAUGUGUGAAAACUGAAUUAACCAGUUUGCGUUCGACAACAAAGGAAAAUACUUCUUGUUGCUGACCGGUUGAUAAGUAUUUCAAUACCUCCACCAAAAUCUUUAUAACACCCUUUUUAAUUUUAUUUUCUGAAAUACACUUAGUUUUUUAAAAAAGAGCUUUAUGAGAAAUUUUCAGUGUGUCAAAAGGCCUACUUAAUGGACUGGAUCCCGACUCAUUAAUUUUAUAACCCGACUUACAAUCCGACUCAUUAUUCACAGAGAUUAAUUUUCUAUUGCUUAAGGCACAAUAUUUACUAAGCAAUUUAUCGGCAAUAAAACAUGUAUAUUAUUGUGGUUUGUAAUAAAAUUGGAAGAAGACAUCACGUACGAAUUGGAUUUAUCCAAUGAAAUUUGAUUAACGAAACUGUAUGAAAAUAUAUCAAGAAAAUAGUAAAAAAAAAUGUUGUGUAAAUGCUGUAUAGGUGAUAUAUUACUUUUAUAAUCCAUCAAGGUACAUUUGAUUUUAAUGAUGAAACAAAUACAAAUAAAUCUAUGUGCGUCAAUGCUAGAUGGCUCCAUAUUAAACUUGUGAAGUAUAGAAAAUAAGCAGGAUUCGUAACAAAUAUUUUAGAUAAUACCACUGAAAAGUUAUAAAAAUAUUUUUUAAAAAAAGAAAUACAUGCUCGAGACACCACGACCGACGCGCACAAACUCACAUAUUUAUAUAUUAAUUGAGGUAAAAAAUGAUAUUCUGAGUAAUAUUGUUGACAUAUGAUUAAAAUUCUUUUUGAUGAAACAUUUUCGUAUAAAUACUAGUGAUAUUUGUAGAGAAAGUAGAAUGAAGUGAAAAAAACUUGAAUAUAAAUGCUCCAAUAUAAUUUUUCCCAUACAAAUUAUGAACUAGUGAACUUUAAAGCAUCAUAAAAUUGUUUCAACAUAAGUAAUUAGUUUGAAAAAUUGCCAAUAAUGUUUAAAGUGGGAACGAAAAGAUUAUACUAUAUGAGACACGAUAUUAUUUAAGACAGCUUACAAAUUGUGGGAAAUAUAUCGAUCUUACAAAUAAUAUUUAAUAAGUACAAAUUUCAAAUUAAAUAAUAAACCCUUAAUUUCCUUUUAAUCAUAAUUAUGAUCUUAAUAAUUAAAGUCAUUCAAUCUUAAUCACUUUUUUAUUUUUUUAAACUAUCUAAAUGACAUCGAAAACUCUACUCAAUAUUAAUUUAUUCGAAUGUUUUGUUUCAAAAAAAUUGAAAACUGUAAAUGAAACAAAUGCUUGCAAUCACAAAUGGCCUAAAAUAGGAUUUUUAUUUUUUAAUAUUGCAAUGUCUUUGAUCUUGAUAUUGGAAAUUUAUUUGUAACUUAUACCAAGUCUUCAAUUUUAUCAUAAUUAGUUUCUAAAGAUGCAUUUGCCAUACUGUGUAGUUGUAUUGUAUGAUGAUAUAUUACAUUAGGGUGCAUUGUAUUGAGCUGUAAUGCAAUACUAUUUUAUAUUAAUGUUAAAACUAAAUCAACAUUAUUUAAAUUUAUUAAUAUUUUAGGAUUUUAUUAGUAAUUUCUUAAAUUAAGUAUUAAAUAAUUAUUUUUAUAAUAUACAAACUAUUUAAUAAUAUUUUACUAUUAAAUAAUAAAAUAUUACAAUAUUAUGUUAUAUUAUUAAUAAUUAUUCUGUUAUAAUAUAAUUUAUUUUUAUAUAUUAGUUAUUAUAAUUUAGUAGAAUCAUAUUAUAAUAAUAUUAUAUUUUAAAAAUAUAAUACUAUAUAACUGUAUAAUAUAAUAUGAAUUAAUUUAUAAUUUAACAUUAAAUUAUAAAUUUAUUUUAUUUAUUAAUGUCAAAUAUAAUUGUCUAAUUUAAAUUUAGUUUUAAAUUUAGUAUUUUUUUAAAAAUAAACUAUUUAGUAAAAUUUAAAAAUAUAUUUUUAUUUAUUAAAUAAAACUAAAAUAUACUUUUAUGCAUUUAAAGUAAAAUUACUAAAAUGAUUUUAUAUAAUAAAGUAAAAUAAUGUAUUAUUAUUUAUUAAUUAAAUAUUUAGGUUUAUUAAUAUAAUAUAUUAUUAAUUAAAUUAAUGAAUAUUAAUUAAUAAUUUAAAUUUAUUAAAUAAUAAAAGUUAAAUGAUUAUAUUUAAAAUAUAAAUAGUAUUUUAAUGCAAUAAAACCUAAAUCCCACAUGUAUGCCACAUUUGUUAUACAGUGUAAUGCAACUAUAAAUUAUAAUUAUAUAAAAAUAAUAUUUUAAUACAAUAUAAUACAAGUAUAAUGCCACUUGAGAAAUUGAUAUUUUAAUCAUAAAAACCAAUAUAAUACAAUGAUUCUGUCCUCUUUAUUAUUUUUCUAAAUGCUUCCAUGGCAUAAUCUCAUUGGUCCAUUUUGUUUCACAGCUUAGAUUCAACUGCAAGAUUUUCAAUUUGAAGCAAGCUGUGGUCCACUGGCCGUGGCCAAACAAACAUGCCUCAUGAAGUCAUGGUGACUGAAUCAUCUCUUAUGUCAGAAUUUGAACUUAAACAAUUUGAACAUAGACUGUUUUUUGAUUGUCGAAGAUUCGCUUCAAAAAUUAGUAUUUUUUAGUGGAGUUUGGUUGUCUCGUAUCCUUCAAUUGUUGUUUGGUUAUGAAAAUAAUUUUUGAUUUUAGGGAAUUUCGAUUAUCUGGUUUAGUUUGAGUGCAAUUUCCUCUAUUUACGGUUUCAGUGUGACGGAUAAAUUGCAAUUUCGAAUUUUUGAUAAAAUUAAAAUUAAAAUUGGGCGGUUAUUAAUUAAUUGAUGGCUAGUGAUACUGCAACGGCGGCCGAAGCUCCGGAAGAAGCGGAGGCGGUGGAGGAGUAUGAUAGCGAUCCAGAUGAAGUGAAACACUCUCUCGUGAUGCGCAGAAUGGAAGCAAGCGAUGAUGAGUGUUAAGGAAGCUCAUGUUGCAGUCAAAGGAGCAGCUCAGUUAGCACGUGUGAAUCAAAGCACUCAUUUAAUGGAAAUUUUUCUAGAUGCUUCAAUGGCAGAAUCUCGUUGGUCUAUAACUCUCACGCCUUUGACUCAAGAUUCAAUUUCAAACCAACGCCGAACAAACAGUAUAAACCUUAAUAAGUCUGUGGCUCACCGAAUAAUAUCUCUUACGUCAGAAUUUAAACUUAAACAAAGCUACAUCCCACGUGUCCCCAACUUUCUUCAUAUUCCCAGAAAACCCCUACCAGAUCCAGAUAAUUACCUUCACUCUUCUCGUAUAAAUAGAGAAGAUGAUGAUUCCUACAAAGCCACGUAAGUCAAGUGAACGUUACGGCCAUGGGACGUUGGAAUUGGAUCAAACCACCGGAAUGUAAAGCAAAAUUAACCGAAUAGACUAAAUUAGAUCCAACCAUUUGAAUCGGUUGAGUGUCACUCAAAAAACAAAUAAAUAUAUAAAACAACACAAUUAUCAUAUUAAUGGGGUUCAGUGGAUGCUUCUUUUUUUUCAUUUUCAAUGAAUGCUUAAUAUGCAUUCAAUAUGAAAAACAAUCUGUCCCAUUGAGCACUGUUGAAGUCAUUGAAUGAAAAUGAAUACUUCUAUAAGAAACAAUCAUUCCCCUAUUUAUUUGACACGCAAAGAACUUUCUUACUCAGCUCGGCGGCCAAACCUUUAACAUUUGUUGAAAUUCAGUUAAUUGGUGAAUGUGACAUAACUCGAUAAAUCGUUUAAUUUGUAUAAUUGAUAAAAAUUUGAACUUCAAAUAAUAUAUGUUUUCAAUUUUAGAUAAUGGAUAUAUGUCAUGAUACUAUGAGCAAAUGAAGCGUCUGAUAGAAAACAUAAUGUUUGUAUUAGAAAUUUUAAGUGUGAAUCUAUUUACUGUUGGUUUUAUAUAUAAAAAAUUAGUUACCAACUUGUCUUGUUUCUCAUUUUGUUCAAUUUUCAUAAAUUUGACUAACGAUUAAUUGUGAGCGAAGAGUUUGUUGUAAAAAUAUGGUCUUCCAUUUACUAUAAAAAGAUUAGUGUGAUUUAAUUAUUUUUUCCUUUUGCUUCAUUUCUAGAAAAUUAUGAAUACUUUGGCAAAUAAGAUAAUUAAUUAUAAACAUCGUUUUCAAAAUCCAUGACCAUGGUUGUGAUGCGUCUUUGUAAAUAGCUAAUACAAAAUUAAUUUCUAUCAAAAUUACGGUAAUUACCAUUUGUUUUAAACUCUGUUCUGAACAGAGCAUGAAAAUACCACUUAUCUAGAUUUGCUUUUCAUGCUUUCACUUCACUUAAUCCAGCUUGUCCCUCCUUUGACUGUAUGCCGUGCUGGCAAGUGUGCUAUGCAGAUUACUGAGCUGACUAAUCAAUUUGAAGUGUACCAAUAAUAGAUUGGUGCCAGCUACUAACCUUAUGCCAUGUUAGUGCACAAUAACAGAUUGCUUAAGUUGGCUGGCACCAAUCUACUAACCCUAUGCCAUGUUUCUAAUGUGUCUAUAAAUUCACUAACACGUAUUAAUUUCUGCCAACAUUACCGAAUGAUUGUAUCGAUUUUUAAGCACGUAAACAUACCAGCUUUCUUUCUUUUACUCUCUAUUUCAUGUUUAUUCAAUUUCAAUCUUCUGCAAGUUUCUUUUACAUGCAUUUUUUCUUCUCUCUUUUGUUUUUUUGGUAAACAUAUUAUUUUAUCAUCUAUUACUAUAAGAAUGAAAUGAAAAUAGUCCUCAUUUAAAGUUUUGACAGCAAUGUUAUACUCAAUAUAACGUAUAAAGCACGCAUAAUUUAAUUAAUGGGGCUGCUAAUAUCUUCUUUAAAAGAGAAUUAUCGCAGCCACGUAGUUGGAAGCUCAAAGAGUUUCCAUAUUAGCCGAACCUAAGUGAUAAGCGUUUCCUUAUGAGCCAUGAUUUGGGGAAAAAAACCAAUUCAAGUUAAAGAUCAGAAAAGUGUGUCCCUCACGAAUACAAUAAUUCAAGCCACACAUUUAUCAAACGCAUGGCAGGGACGCUUCAACAUGUUGUCUCAUGGAAAGAAAUCCUUGUCUUUGACUUAAUACAAUGUUACAGAAAAAAUAUUGGGUGCUCCCACUGGCUGCUUUUAUUGAGUGGCAGAAUCAGAAUUUUAUUUCGGGUAAAAUCUCGUUUAGUCCCUAUAUUUUGAGGUUAGUGUCCGUUCAGUCCCUAUAUUUUUAAAAAUAUCUCAAAACAUCCCUGACAUUAAAUUAUUAGCACAUUUCCUCUUAUUUUUUGUUGCUUUUGGCUUAAUUUUUACAAUAUUACCCUCUUAUAAUAUUUUUUUUGGACAUUAGUAAAAAGAAAAAAAUUAAUUAUCAAUUUAAUCUCAAAAAAUAAAAUAGUAACAAAAUUAAUAUAUCAUACUUUUUUGUAACACACUACUGAGGAAUUAAUAUAAUAAUUUUUUUAUUACUAAUGUCCAAAAAAAAGGUAAUUUAAUUAUUUUAUUUUUGGGGUUAAAUUGAUAAUUUAAAUUUUUUUCUUUUUAUUAAUUUUAUAACAAGAAACAUUAUUGUAAGAGGGUAAUAUUAUAAAAGGAAGUCAAAAGAAACAAAAAGUAACAGCAUGGAUGUCAAUAAUUUAAGGGUAAGGAUGUUUUGAGGUAUUUAUAAAAAUAUAGGGACUAAAUGGGCACUAAUCUUAAAUUAUAUGGAUGAAACGAGCCUUUACCCUUUUAUUUCCAUGGUGGCAAUAAUGAUUAAACUGUAAACUUAAUUUGGUUGUGACAUGAAAAUAACGUUGUAAAUACUGGCUCUGCAUUUUAUAAAAUGCAGAUAUCUGUACUAGAAAAGAACUAUGACACACACACACACACACACACACACACACACACAUAUAAUCAUUCUCAGGUGCAGACGUCCGGAUUUUUUUUAAUGCAAACAAAUUUUUAAACCGUGCAAUUUUAAAGAAUUAGUUGUUGAAUAAACUAUAAAAUCAUGCUGUUUAGAAGAGUUAAAAGCUAACUCUCUUAUACCAUGCAGUUUUAAAGUGUGUCCGCAUAAAAAAAAAUGAGGACGCUCACACUAGAGAAGACUAUAUAUAUAUAUAUAUAUAUAUAUAUAUAUAUAGGUAUUCUCAUUUUAUUUUCAUGCGGAUACACUGUAAAACCGUAGGGUUUAAAAGAGUUGGUUAAUUUUUAACUCUUUUAAACUGCAUGGAUUAAAAGUGUGUCCACAUUAAGAAAAAUAUGGACAUCCGCACCCGAUAAUGAUUAUAUAUAUAUAAUAGUUUUUUGGUCCGGAAUUUUAAAGUGCGGGAAAGGUUAGGGAAAUCUUUAAAACCACAGAAUUUUAAAGGCUUAAAACUUGAAGCACUUAAACUGCACAUUUUAUGCAUUUUCCCGGACGUCCCCGUAAUUUAAAAUUCUAGAUUAUAUAUAUAUAUAUAUAUAAAGUUUUUUUUUCAAUUAACUAUUAUACCAUAUGAUUAAUAGCUGAUCCACACGAAAUUUACAUUUAGGCAAUUACUAUCAAAUAUCGAUACGUGUUUGAAUAAACUCUUAAAAAUCGAUUUCCACCUUCAUUAUUACAGCCCUUGUAUAAACUAACGCGGCAACAUAUAAUCAGUUGGUAAAAGAAUAAAUAUAUGUCAAGUGGGUUCUACCAUGUUUUUAAUUCAACGAAUGACAAUAUGCCACCUCGAUUUAUACAAUAAUAUUUAUGACUAUAUCAUUACUCAUUAAUUAAUAGGAACACUAAUUUAUUUUCUUAAAAGAGAAUUCAUCAAUUUGUACAAUAGUAUUUUUACAAAAGUAUUUGUGACUGUAUCAAUACUUGUUAGCUAUUAAUAGACCACUAAUUUAUUCUUCUUAAAAGAGAAUUACUGCAGCAAGUUUGGAGGCACAAAGAUUUCCCAUAUUAGCCAAACAUAAGAGAUAAAGAGUUCAUAUGAGAGGUAAUUUGGAAAAUCAAUUCCAUGCAAUAGGUCUUAGUGGGUUCGACUCAGUAUACGAUUAUUUUCAAAUUUUUAACGUAUUAAAGAUUCCUAUAUCACAUUAUAAUUUUCAAACAAUCAAAAUGAGUCAAAUCAAAUUUAGAACUUUGAGGUCUACUAUAGACUUGGACGUAUUAAAUUUAAGACAAUUAAGCAAAUCCUAGACAAAAUCUAACUUGUAAAUAUACCUUACCACACGAUGAACGUACUGAUAAAUCUUAACUGAUUGCUCACCAAUUAAUUGUUAUUUUGCAAUUUUUAUGUAUCCUUUUUUUCCCUAAAACUUCUAGUUUCCUAACAUACGGUUCUCAAUUGGUCUAAUUAUACUGUAAAUUGUAUUUUAAAUAUAAAUAAAAUGAAUUUAUUUAAUGGAAAUUUGAAAAAGGGACACUUAUCUACGAAAGCAAAGUUGCAUUCUCUUUGUGGGGACCCUAAAAAAAAAAAACGAGCCAGAAUGAUACUCCGAUGACGAUAAUCCUUAAGCUUAAGCAUUAAUUUUCUUUGCUUACAAUUUGGUUUGAAGGGUUAAGUUCAAGUUCGAAUUGAUAGAAAGAAUGGGCUGGUCAGUAUGAUGAUGAUGAUGAAGAAGAAGAAGAGGGGGAUGUCUUUGAGGAUGAAGAGAAAGAAAGUUCUAAAAAAAAAAAUACAGAUUUGUGGAAAUUAAAUUAAAAGCAACUAAUUAAGCAUUAUAAAUUACUUAACAGAGUAAUGCUGAGCUAAUCAAGUUUGUUUUUGAAGAAGGUAUCUUUAAAUCUCUUGGAGUUAAAGAUAAUUAUCAUAUCGCCAUAUCAAACGGACCGAUUAAAAAAUAAACUUAAAUAUUAUUUAAAAUCAUUUAAAUUUAACUUAAUAUAAUCCAAUAUAGACAAUACUAUAUAUAAUCUAGUCUAAUCCAAUUCAAUUGUAAUAAAUAAUACAAUCCAAUCUUGCGAGACAAAAUUGGCCUAAGGGUACCAAUUGCGCAAUAAUCUUUAUAGCCCGUUUCCCAGCCACGCACCCUUUUGUAUUAGUAUUCUCACAGCCGUUGGAAAUAUGGUUCGUAAUCCAAUAAAUGACAUUUUAUGGCUGUUGCUUGCUAGUUUUUGUAAGGUGGCCAAGGCCUUUUAUCAAACACUAUAGGAUCAACUAGUACAAAAUGAAUUCAUUUGGGAUGCGUUUAACGUACUGUGUUAGCUAUAUGCCUAUUAUGAUGUAUUGCAUUAACAUGCAUUAUAUUAAGUUAUAAUGUUAUACUUUGAUAUAGUAUAAACUGUAUUAUAUAAGGUAAUGUUUUAUAUUAAUGUUAAAACUAAAUUAAUAUUAUUUAAAUUUAUUAAUAUUUUAGGAUUUUAUUAUUAAUUUUUUUAAUUAAGUAUUAAAAAUUAUUUUAUAGUAUAUAAAUGAGUUAAUAAUAUAUUAUUAUUAAAUGAUAAAAUACUAAAGUACUAUGUUAUAUUAUUAAAAAUUAUUAUAUUAUAAUAUAAUUUAUUUCUAGAUAUUAAUUAUUAUAAUAUAGUAUAAUCAUAUAAUAAUAUAAUAUAAGUUAAUAUUAUAUUGUAAAAAUAUAAUACUGUACAAUUAUUUAAUAUAAUGUAAAUUAAUUUAUAAUAUAAUAUUAAAUUAUAAAUUGAUUAAAUUAAAUUAAAAUACUUUUUACGUAUUUAAAGUAAAAUAAUUAAAAUAAUUUAUGUAAUAGAAGUAUGAUAAUGUAUUAUCAUUUUCUCAUUAAAUAUUUUAGGUUUGUUAAUUUGUUAAAUUAUUAUUGAAAUUAAAAUUAAUUGUUUAAAUGUAAAUAUAAAUAUAAAUGAAUGCUUAAUAAAAUCUACUCCUAUGGAUCUAUUUUAUACACUUUUUAUUCUAUGAACCACGCUUAUAAUGUAGUUGUAUAAUAGAAACUGGAUAUUUAAUGGAAGCAAAAUUGCGCACGGUUUGUGGGUCUGUCAAAAAAUGAUAAAAAGACCAAUAUGAUACACUGACUCUGUCCUCUUUAAUAUUUUUCUAGAUGCUUCCGUGGCAUAAUCUCAUUGGUCCAUUUUUCUUCACGGCUUAGAUUCAACUUCAAAAAUCAAUUUGAAGCAAACACAACAAUUCAACAAAUAUAAUUAGUGUAGAGUGUUCUGAUUUAUUCUAUAAGUAGCUCAUUUGUGCUUAAAACCUACAUGUAUUGCACGUUUCUAUCGGUAAUUUGAUUACCUUUCCGUACUUUAUCAAUUAUUGAAUGAUUUUACCGGUUUAAUCGCUUGAUUGUUUGAGUAUAAUCGGUAAUUUGAUCGUCUGUCAGCAAGUGAUUUACAAUUCACUCUCCAAUUUUCAUUAAUUUAGUGUAGCCAAGCUUUAACUAGAUAGGUAGAUAACGUGGUCAUGAAAACUUGAUUAAGAGUUUAAUGCAAUCAAAUCUACUUUAAUGAUUAUUUAAUGCACGGAGAUUUAACAUCAAUUAUCAUCACGUUAUUCUAACAACGAAAUUGUAGAGCUUGGAUCUUUACUCGAACAGUUUCACUGGCACUAUUUCUGACACAUUGGGCAAGCUGAAGGAAUUGCAAUUCCUGUAUGAUCAUUUCCCCAACUAUUAUUUGAAUAAUUAUUUAAUGCCGUUCAUUCCAGCUCUGUUUGGCUGUUAACUUUAUUUUGUUAUUUAUGAGGAGAUUCAUUUCUCACCUGAAGCUAGAAAAUUUAUUGUAAUACAUGGAAGUAUAUAUUGCAUUGAAUAAAAUGAAAUUGUUCAAAAAUUAACAAAUUCAGCUUUAUUAUAAUCUAAAACAAAGUAAAUAGAAUAAUACCCAUCAUGUGUAAAAAUAAAAAAUAAAAUUUUUUAUACCACUUGGAAUUUAUUUUAAAUGUUUUGGUCAAAUCUAAGAAGCACAAACUUUGAACAAUGAUAAUAGGUAAAAACUAAUAAUCUUAUAAUAAAAAGUAAGAAAAAAAAUCAAGUUGAUUUAGCAGCUAAGAAUAAAAAAAGAAAAAUAGAAAGAGAGAGAAAUUAGUUUAGUCUUUAACCAUUGUUAUACUAGAGAAAAAAAAUUAAUUAAGAGUAAUUUUAUGAAUUUUUAGAAAUGAGUGAAUUUAAAAUAAUAAAUUAUAAUUUAAUAAUUAUCUUAAUUAAAAAAAUGGGUGUUGAAAUAAAAUUAGUGAAUGACUCUUUAUUUUACGGAUCAAUGACUCUUUAUUUUUUCUUUUAUAUGAUAGCUUGCAAUCCCUGGUGUGUGUUGAUAGUGCCAUACAUAAAUACAAAAAUGAACAAUUUUUUUUUUUUUUUGGGGGGCCAAUUGCAGUUUUGAUAACUAAAAUCUGUGUGGUCCGGUUACCACAAAGGCUUGCCGCAGAUCCCUGCCAUUUUCUCCUCCACCUCCAUUUGGGGAAAUUACUACUUACUUUUUGCAAGUUUUUCUUGAAAUAUUUAUUCUGAUAAGAAAACCAAUAAUACAUUUUAAGAUUUGGGCUGUUUCAAAGAUCUUCCCUUGAUGUCUCUGCUACUGAUGAUAUAUUGGGAUCGACUUUUUUUAUGAAAUAGGAGUUAGACCGAACAACGUUAUAUUUUUUACGGACUCUCAUACCAUGGAAAAACUCAGCCUUAAAGAAUGGUAUGAUGCUUUGAUAUAUGAAGUAAUUGGUAUAUAUUUUGUACCUUCCAUACACGGUGUCUAGAAUUUUGAGAUUAAGAAGAGUAUAAAUGCUAUACAAAUACACUCCUUUCAUUUUAUACAACUUUGAUUGAUCAAGUUGUAUCUCUUUGAUAAUAUGUUCUAUCUUCUUUCAUUUUAAACUUCAAUUGAGUUGCUAUCUAUUUAACUUUGGCAAGUCAGAGAGAGGGAUGGGACUGUCCAAUUAAAAUUAAGUUCCAAUUGCCAAUCCCACCAUUGUUGUCUCAUGUUUGCCAAAUUCAAAUUUGAAAAUCUCACCAAGUCAGUAUGGUGAUGUUGUGGGAUUGUCUCGCCUAGGUUUUUAGCCUCAUGACCUCCUUUAUUAGAAAAAGUCUUAAGUGUUCUUACUCAAUGGUAGAAUCAUGAUUUUACUUCAAUGGAAGCCAUAAUGAUUAAAAUAUACUCUUUUGAUUAAUUACUUAUUUGAUGUUGCUCUCUCUACCAUCAUCUCCAUCUUUAUGAAAAAAUUUAUUGUAAUACAUGGAAGUAUAUAUUGCAUUGAAUAAAAUGAAAUUGUUCAAAAAUUAACAAAUUCAGCUUUAUUAUAAUCUAAAACAAAGUAAAUAGAAUAAUACCCAUCAUGUAAAAAUAAAAAAAAAUAAAAAUUUAUACCACUUUGAAUUUAUUUUAAAUGUUUGGUCAAAUCUCAGAAGCACAAACUUUCAACAAUGAUAAUAGGUAAAAACUGAUAAUCUUAUAAUAAAAAGCGAGAAAAAAAAUAAAGUUGAUUUAGCAGGUAAGAAUAAAAAAAGAAAAAUAGAAAGAGAGAGAAAUUAGUUUAGGCUCUAACCAUUGUUAUAGUAGAGAAAAAAAAAUUAAUCAAGAGUACUUUUAUGACUUUUUAGAAAAGAGUGAAUUAAAAUAAUAAGUUAUAAUUUGAUAAUUAUCUUAAUUAAAAAAAUAGGGGUUGAAAUAAAAUUAGUGAAUUUAAAUAGCCUGCCCAAAAUCCAAACUUGCAUAUCAAUUAUUUUCUAAUUUACAUAAAGUUUUUCUAUAUGUUUGAUAACAUUUGAUUCUCAAUUGGUCUAAUGGAGAAACAACCAGCAAAAAAAUAAAAUGAAUGAAAUUAAAUGGAAUUUUGAAAAGAGCAGUAGAUGACAUUUAUGUGCAAGCAAAAUGCAAAAUUGCAUUCUGUUUGUGGGAUCCUGGAAAAAAUAAAAGAAAGAAAACAGAGUAAGACGCUGGUACUGUGGGCUUUAAUAUUUUUCUAGAUGCUUCAAUGGCAGAUUCUCGUUGGUUCAUUUUUCUUUACGCCUUAGAUUCUAUGAUUCAAUUUCAAUCAAAUAAGACAAACAAAAGAAGCUUUUAAGCCUGCAGCUCAAAAAGAUGGCACUUUAAUUUUCGGCUGAACAUACAUAUGGCAAGAUUAUUAUUAUUGAGCUUGAUAAGUGGGGAUAGCAAAAUCCGAAUUCGGAUGUAGGUGCAUUCGGAUUUGGAUUCGGGAAAAAUUAUGUGGAUGUGGAUUUGGAUGCGGGUAAUAUCUGCACGAAUUGCGGGUGAAUAUUCUAAAUAUUUAGAUCCGCAUAAUAAUAAAUUUAAUUUUAAUUUUAAUAAUUUACAUAAUAAUAUUAAAUAUAAUAUAAUUAUACUUUAACAAUCAUUAAUUUAACAUCAAUUCAACAUAAAUACCAUACAACAACACCAUAAAUUCACAAACAAUAAUUUCACAAUAUAAAUCAAACAUAAAAAAUAAAAAUAAAAAUCUAUGGUAAACCGAUUUAUUACAAUAUUCUCUAAUUAUUAUUAUUAUUAUUAUUAUUUGUUUUUUAAUAUAUUCAUAGUUAAUGAAGAUUAUAGAGUUAAUUAUGCUUAUACAUUUAUAUAAAUAAUUUAAUUUAUAUAUUUUCAAUUGAAAUUUAAUUAAAUAAAUAAUUUAAUUAUAAAAUAAUGCAGAUCCGGAUAUCUAAUUUUUCGGAUGUAAAUGCAUCCGGAUCCGUACGGAUCUUAAUUUUUAAGAUUCGGAUUCUUUUUUUUUAACAUACAGAUUUAAAUUUUUUUGAAUUCGGAUCUUCUGAAUCUUUGCAGAUCCAGAGUUUAUUGCCAACCCUAAAUUGAUAAGGCUAUAGAAAAUUCAAUAUCCAGAUCGGAUAAGGAUCCAAUAAAUUAUAAAAUAUUGCGGCUCAAAGCCCAUAUGAUCAUGGGCCACCGCUUGCUCAUGCUUUGAAUCAAAAUUUUCUAAUGAAGUGAGGUUGGAAGCUAAAAGGGGCAAAUGAUGAAAUGGGGUUCAUCAUAUAUUGAGCCCAACGGGACAAGAUCAUCAUUUAAUUCCCUCCUCUUGUCGAUAGAUAUUUGCCGAAUUUUUUCAUUUAAAAAAUAUUAUAUUGGUUAAUAGAAUUUGAAGUUUUACAAAAUAUAAGUUUAAUUUAAAAAAAAAUUAUGUUUGUUAAUUUAAAAUUUUCAUUUGGUGGUUGUGUUUGAGAAAAAAUUUAGGUAUACUCGGAUAUACUCUCUUAUUAUUCAUUGAAUUUGGGUAUUUAAACAUACUAGUAUGUAGUAUUUUUAGGUAAUUAGCAGAGAAGUAUACGUGACAAAAAUAUAACACGUGAAACAAUACACAAUGAAAUUAUCUACAAUUUUCCAUUGACUUAGUCAACUCUUCAUUAAUUUCAUUGACUUGAUCAACUCAUGAUCUAACUUGACAACUUAAAAAUUAAAUUAUGCUAGUAAUUCCGUAAAAUUAAAAUUUAUCUCCCAAAAUUGAUAAAUACCAUGUCACUUUGUCAAAUUACUUAGGGUAAAAACUCUGUGGCUAAAAACUUUUAACAUUAGUUGUAUGCUAAUUGAGAAGGACAAGACACAAAAGAAUUAAAUUAAUGCCACAUCAUGCAACACUAACACUACUUACUCUUAACAAAUUCUUACAAACGUGAUUCAUGAAAUUAACUUGACUUUUUGUCUAAAAAAGGCCUAAAGAAUCAUGCCAAGCAACAAAUAAAGUAGUCCAAACGUGAUUCAUGAAACUUGAUAGGCACUAUCUAAAUAGUAUUAAUAUGGCCACCAAAAACAUGCGCGCAAAAUAGACUUUCUUGGACGAUCCAUGCCAAUCAGCAAAUAAAGUAGUCCGAACGUGAUUCGUGAAACUUGACUUCUUGUCUAAAAAUGCCUAAAGAAACAAGACCACAAUUUCCAUGCAAUAUCAAUAUGGUGGCCACAAUGCACUUUUUAAGCCAUUUUUCAAAACUAAGUUUCUUCGUUUCACAUGCACUAUUCAAGCAAUUUUUCAACAUUUUCUCCUUCCCCUAAAAGCUACAUGCAUGAAUCAUGUCCCAAUCAAUUUCUUGGCAAAAAUUGGAACGCAAGAACCGAUUGGAGCAUAAGGACAAUGUCACGAUUCAAGAUUCUCAGCAAGACCACGUCACAAUGCAUCACUUUUGGAAAGUAAUCUAGCAAUUUCCAAUGCCUUAGCUGAUUAAUGGCUUGACCAUGUCACGAUUGGUCCACAUUAUGCACAUGGCAAGAUCAAACAAAAUAUCACAGCUAGCUCGACGACUACUAGCCAAAAUAACAAGACAAUGACGGCCAGUUACAAACUCUUUACGAAGGAAAUACCGAAAUAUGAAUUUCCCUCCUAAUCACUUUCUUAUAUUAUCAUUAUUUUGUACAUAUAACAGAACACGUUCUCUCUUGUAAAGAAGUCAACAAAACGGUUUUAGUUUUCAUAUCAAUAAUAGAAUCCAAAAUCUUUCACAGCUUGCUUCUCCUUUGGACGCUUGAAAGACUUUCUUACCUGGCUAAAACUGUGAAAAUUGUUCAAACUAAUUUGAUUGAUAACUUUCUGACACUAUAAUGUAUUAUUUAUAUGAAGGCUACAUUUAAAUGUGAAAUAAAAAUGAGUGUUUAUAUUAAAAAACAAUCAGUCUCAUUGCGUCCUCUUUCAUUGACAUAGGCAGUUUGCGGUCAACCCUUUAUUAGGUCAUGACUGUCCGAUUGUCUUCGCUUUCAUUGACUUCGCAACUGUGAAUUCUAAGCCGGGUUAACGAUUGACAAAAUGUUAUAACCCAUAAAGCACGGAUAAUUAAUUAAUGGGCCACUGAUUUCUUCUUUAAAGGCUAAUUCUUGGUAAAGAUCAGAAAGUUCUCAAAUAAAAAUUCGGCUUUGUGGAAAUUAAAUUAAAAGCAAUUAAGCAUUAUAAAUUACUUAACAGCUUAAUCGAGUUUGGUUUUGAAAAAUAUAUCCUUAAAUCUCUUGUAAUUAAAGAUAAUUAUCAUAUUACCGUCUCAAAUGGACCGAUUUCAAUCAAAUGAAAUCUAGAAAAUUGAGCAGCUCAUUGAUGUAUUUGGUCGAAUUGUGACUUGUGUCAGAGUCUUCGUUUUAGAAGAGUGCACAGCAGCUGCCAGGUCCACUCGGCAGUUGGCAGCAAAUUAUCUAACACCACUUUACUAUCAAAAUUUUUUGACAAUAAUUUUUUGUCACUUAAUAUUUCAAUUUUUAUCAUUUUAUCAUCAAAAAAUAGUAAAUGCAUGUUUAGUGUAAGUUAUCCACAAACAUGGUUGUUGAAUUGUCUUGUUUCUCAUUUGGUUUAAUUUUCAUAAAUUCGACUCACACAAUUCAAUUAUGAGUGGAGUUUUUUUGGAAAAAAUCUGGUCUUCCAUUUACUAGAACCAGGUCUGAAUGAUUUUAUUAUUUUUCUUUUGUUUGAAAUAUACGUGGAAAAUGUUGAACACUUUGUAGGAUUUAGAAGAAUUUGAAAGUUUGAAUGCAUAUAGUUUACUAUCCAUCAGCUAGUGCAUAUUCUGUAUUUUAUGAAAUCAAAGCUGGUUGAUUGAGAAAUGGACCUUAUUACAUGUCAUAAGAUUUUACAGUGCUUUCUAAUGGGGCAAAAUAAAAUGAUUCUUAUCUGCACAGAAAAUUAGAAACGAAAAGGAGGGUUACUGAUCCACAGAGUUGUUAUUUACGAGAAGCACAUGGAUAUUACACUUAAUUUAUUAUCCAUCUGUAUUGUUUAGAUGACACUGAAGUAUUACCUAAAUUUAUUAUCCACAAAACUUCUUUUUCAAAAAUCUAUGGUUGUGAUGCGUCUCUAUAAACUCACUCGUACAAAUUCUAUCUAAUGCCAAUUGUUUUAAACCCUGCUCUGAAGAGAGCAUGAAAGGAUAUGUUCACUUAUCUAGUUAUGUUUUUUAUGCUUUCACUUCACUUGAUUAUAUCCAUCACAAGGAUCAUAUUAUAUCCUACGGAAGGAGCACAGUUCAUUGGCUGCACUCAGUUUACAGAGUAUUUCGGGAUUCAAGACUGUAGGUUGUUGCGGUUGCAACUUGCAAGGCUGUAGCUGUGUGACUGUAUGCCACGCUGGCAAGUGUGCUCUGACGGAUUGUGGAGAUGGCGCCAAAGAUUGUAAACUAAUUAGUACUGAAAAAUCCUAUUUGCACAUAAAAUUGCACAAAAUAAAUAGAAUGAGAAUAAUUGUACAAAGAAAUAAGAUUAAUAAAGUAAAUAAAUUUAUCUUUUAACAAAAUAUUUCUAGUCUUUUAGUGUUUUUGUGUACGUACAAGUAGCAUUACUCAUUCUAAUAAGUAGCUCACUUGAGCCUAGGACUUGUAACUAUGUUUUACCUUUCUGUAACUUUCUUAUAAAGAUUUUUUUUUUUUUUACAUUUUCAAUUUCUCUUCCAUUUUCCCGACUCCCAACACCACCAAUCCUCGGUUUUCUAGAGUAUCAGCUAUCUCUUUCUACAAACACAAAACUGCUAUUUACUUUCAAGAAACAACGUAUUCUGUGGUUUAUUGGCUUGAGCCUUGUGAACCGGGCUAAUGUUGGUCUAACUACUUUCACGAAACAACGUACUCCGUGGUUUAUUGACGCGCACGGUAGCUGCUAAGUGCUAACUGCCUUCUCCAUUUGACGUGCAAAACACUUUCUUGAGUCGGGUUAAAAUUAAUUGAUCAUUUUAUUUGGUGAUAAUGACUUAGUUGUCAAGUCAUGAGUUUGAUGAUGAAGAGGAUGAAAAAUAUUAUUUUAUUAUUUAAAAUAAGACUAUCAAUUAUUUCCAUGGUCAUCUUAUUUUCUAAAAUAACUAAAUGGAAUCUCACAGAAUUAAAGUGCUUGACUUCUUCAUACAGUGGUUGACUUCUUUUUACAGAAUUAUAAAGUGAAAAAGGAAAUUAAGAAAUUAAAUACUUUUCAUGCGAGUGGAGAAGAUUGGGUAGCGAUUACAUGAAAUAAAAGAAAAAUAAUUUAAAAGUACAACACUUUAAUAAUCUCAUUCCCAAUCAUAUCGGUAUAAAAAUUCUGUAGAUUUAUUGAAUAACUAUUGAUUUUACUUUGGUAAUUUCUUUCUAAAAGUGAGGUAAACAUUUUUAUUUUCUUUGCAUUCGAGCUUUCUUUCUUUUGCGCUGGCCUUCACACUCUUGACCGUAUUUCAUGGGGCACAUUCAAUCUCAAUCUACUGCAAGUUUGUGGCAGUUUUGUUAAUAACGAACAUUUGUAGGAUUUUAUGUAGAUGAUACUUUUACAUACAUUUUUCUUUUCUUUUUUUCUUCGGUGAACAAAUUAAAAAUUUAGUUUUUGUCAUCAUGACUAGUGAAAUGAAAAUUGUCCUCAUUUCAAGGAUUGACAAAAACGUUGUGCUCAUACCGAUUAAUGGGGAACUGAUUUCGUCUUCUUAAAAGAGAAUUAUUUGCAGCGCCGUAAUUCGGAGAUUUCUGUAUUAUAUAGCCAAACCUAAGUGAUAAGAAUUUCCAUAUGAGAUAUAAUUUGGAGGGAAACAAAAAACUAAUUCAAGUUAAAGACCAGGAAUUUGUGUUCCUCACAAAAACACUUCAACGUCUAUUCUCUCAUAGAGGGGAAUAUCCUUCACUCUUUGACGUAUCCCUGGGGCAAUGUAAGUUGACUUUACAUUAAAACAAAAAAUAAUUACAAUCACAUAAUUACAAUUAUCAUCACUGAUUUGUAUAAUUUUCAGGACUAGUAAAUUAUCUCAAUUUUUAAAAAACAUAAUUACAAUUAUCGAUCGAACACCACUAAUUCCAACAAUUCAUCCAAGUUUUUCAACUUUUUAGAUAUUUGAUAUAUGUCAUGUUUUAACUUAGUACGAGAAAAAAAAUAUAGAAUAAUUUUUUUUCAAAUUAGUGGAAUUAUUUUACGAUAAAACUAUCACAAUCACAUUGAAAAAUAUUCUUUAAAUUUUCACUAUUUCUACUGUUAUUCUUUAACCUUUUUUCUGAACAGAGCAUGGAGGGUUGCUUAUCUAAAUAUGUUUUCUGUGCUUUCACUUCACUUGAUUCAUCUUGUCCCUCUUUCAUAGCUUCUAUCUCGUGUGAGCUUAGAACCUGCAACUCGUAUUUUACGUUUCUGUUACUUUCUCUUUCAUUUUCCCGACUCCCAAACACCAUCAGUCCUUGAUGUUAUAGAGUAUUAGCUGUCUAUUUGUACAGACAUAGAGCUACUGUUCCCACUGUAGAUCUUCAGAUGGUUAGCUCACUAUUGUUUGAAUAUUAAAAUUAAUUUGUUAAAUAAAUAAAGAAAACAAGAGACAAUUGCCAUAUAUAUUCCAUAUUAAUUAGUCACCGUCCGAUUGUCUCCACUUCCAUUGACUCUGUUGAUUCAUGCUUUCAUGAAGUGAAACGUUUAACACUCUGUUCUGAUCCGCAGGAGAGGAGGAAAAACAUAAUUUUAUUAUUUCAUUCCUGACACGCGCAAAGAGCUUUCUUAAUUGAUGAAUGUGACAUGAAGCUCUAUAAAUAGUUUAAUUUGUAAAAUUGUUAAAAUUUGUUAAAUUUCAUUUAAUUGAUGAAUGUGACAUGAAGCUCUAUAAAUAGUUUAAUUUGAAAAAUUGUUAAAAAUUUAAAUUUCAAGUAAGGUAGAUAAAAUGAUUAAAUUUUUUCAAUAUUUAGAAAAUUAACAUGUGUCAUGUAACUAUGAGUGAAUGAAUGAAAUUUUUGAAGUGCGAAUCCAUUUACAAGUUACGACUUGUCUUGUUUCUCAUUUUACUUAAUUUUCAUAAAUUUGACUCACGAUCAAUUAUGAGUGAAGAGUUUGUUGGAAAAAUAUGGUCUUCCAUUUAUUGUAAUCAGAUGAGUGUGAUUUAAUUAUUUUUUCCUUUUGCUUGAUGUCCCGAAAAUUAUGAAUGCUUUUGUAGGAUGCAGAAGAUUAAAAAUUUUAAUGCAUAUCUAUAGUCAAAACUGAGGAAACAGAACAUUACUGCUUCUAUAAAUAGGUCAUUUCAACCUAAAACUUGUUACUUGUAUUUUACAUUUUUUUUUUUUAACUUUUUCUUCCAUUUUCCCAAACACCACCAAUCCUUGAUUCUUUUCCUAGAGUAUUAGCUGUCGAUUGUUACAAACAUAGACAUAUUGUUUGUCUAAUUACUAUCAAGAAACAACAUACUCUAUCCUGGGGUCUCUUCGUUUAUUUAAUAUUUAGGUUUAUUAAUAUACUAUAUUAUUAAUUAAUAAUUUAAAUUAAUUAAAUAAUAAAAGUUAAAUGAUUAUAUUGAAAAUCCAAGUAGUAUUUUAAUGUAAUGAAACCUAAAUCCCACCUCUAUACCACAUUUGUUAUACAAUGUAAUGCAACUAUAAAUUAUAAUUAUAUAAAAAUAAUAUUUUAAUACAAUAUAAUACAAAUUACAAGUGUAAGGCUGUAAUAUUAAUUAGCCUGUGUAAUAGUAUGCCAUGCUGGCAAGUGUGCUAUAACAGAUUGUCGAGCUGGCACCAAUUAUUUUAAACUAAUAUUAGUAAUUAGUCUAGAGUGUUCUGAUUUAUUCUAUUAAUAGCCCAUUUAAGCUUUGAACAUGUGAACUUGUAACGUGUACUGUACUUUUCUAUUACUUCUAAUAAAGAUUUUCUCUAUUCCUUUUUCUUCACUUUCUCUUCCGUUUUCCCGACCCUCAAACACCGUCAAUCCUUGAUUUGAACUGCUGUUUGUUUGUCUAAUUACUUUCAAGAACAAUACCCUCCAUCCCACGGUCUCUUCGUUUAUUGACUUGUUACUUGUGAACAGGGCUAAAUAAAGGGAAAAUACAACAAUUCAAGCCAGCCAUUUAUCAAACGCAUGACAGAGACGCUUCAACAGGUUGUCUCAUGGAAAGAAAUCCUUCAGUCUCUGACGUAAUACUUGGGGCAACGUAAAUUGACUUUACAUUGAACGAAACACUGGCCACAAACAUUAUCAAAAUUAAAUUGAUCGGUUUAACGUAAGUUUUUCUUCAAGAACGAAUGCCAAGAGCUCAAGAAAGUCCUAUCCUUUAGACACGUUAAGAAUUACUUUUCUUUUCAUAAUAAAUUAGAUUGAGUUAAUAAUAUUUGCCUGUGUGAAAUGAAUAAUCAGUUUAGUGUCACCCCAUUAUUAAUUUGUGACUGUCCGAUUGUCUCCUUUUUCAUUGACUUUGCAACUGUGACUUCUGAACCGGGUUAAGAGUUGACAAAAAUGUUAAUGUUAAUAUGUUAUAACUCAUAAAACACGCAUAAUUAAUUAAUGGCCCGCCAAUUUCUUCUUCUCAAAAGAGAAUUUUUGUAGGAGAUUGAAAAAAGGCUAAUUCAUGUUAAAUAUCUUAGAUGAGUGUCUAUCAGGGAUACAAGUCAAGCCACACGAUUUUUCUUGUUAUACUAUUUAUUGGCACUUGUGAAUCCUUGAAUUAUCAAAUGAAUAGCAACAACACUUCAAUAUCUAUUGUUACACGGAGAGAAAUCCGUUCUCUCUUUGAUGUACUACUUGGCAAUAUACAUUGAUCUUUCAUUAAAACAAGCAUUCUCAUAUUGUUGAGAAAAGCUCACGUUAAACUAUUCAAUUUAAUCAUUUAUUAAACAGAUAUUUGGUUUGAUUCAUUUAAUUCAUUUAGUAGAAUUAAUAAACGAAUCGGAUCGAAUCCAGAUUCAUUUAUUCUAUUACGAAUCCACAACGAAUUGAAUAGAAUCGAAUCAGAAUUCAUUUACAAUUCGUUUAGAAAAAUAUAAUUGAUUAACAAAAUUAAGCAAAAUAAAAUAUAAAAAAGCCGCAAAUUUAAUAUCCUACAACAAAAUACAAAUAACACAAACCAUAUUCUAGGAUUAAAUAUACAGUCAUCCAAAUUACAACAUUAACCUUCAAAUUUUAAAAUAAAUAAAUAAAUUUAAGGACAAAAAAAUAAUUUUAUUAAAUGAAUAAUAAACGAAUUUUAAACGAAUCGACAUGUAUUCGAUUUGUUUAUCACUUGUUUAUUAAACGAAUCCUAGACAAAUAUAACGAAUCAAUAUCUUCAAAGCUGGAUUUGAUUUGUUUAAUUAGCGAAUCGAAUCAAAUUAGCCCAUUUAUUAAACGAAUCAAUUUUUUCGAACCCAAACCCAUUUAAUUGGCAUCGAAUCAAAUAAACAAAUCCUGACCUAUAUUGUCACCCCUAGGCUUUUGGUGUUUCUUUGCGUAUUUUUGUGUACAAGUUUGUGUGCAAAUAGCAUUACUUAUCAAUAAUUAGUCUGGAGUGCUCUAAUUUCUUCUAAUAAGUAGCUCAUUUGGGCUUAGGACCUAUAACUAGUAUUUUACGUUUUUGUUAAUCUCUGAUAAAGAUUUUCUCUAUUCUUUUUUUUUUUCCUUUCACCUUCUCUUUCAUUUUCCGAGUCUCAAACACCACCAUUCCUUGAUUUUCUAGAGUAAUAGCUCUCUAUUUCGACAAUCGCAGAACUGUUGUUGAUCUAACUACUUUCAAGAAAUAACGUAUUCUGUGGCAUAUUGACUUGUGAACGGGCCUAAUUAGUCACGGUCCGAUUGUCUCCUCUUCCAUUGACUCGGUCAAUUCAUGACUUUGACCUGCACAGUUGAUACGAACUGACUUCUCCAUUUGACGUGCACAAAACUUUCUUUAGUCGGGUUCAAAUUAAUUGAUCACUUUGUUUGGUGAUGAUGAAUUGGAUGUCCAAUUCAUGAGUUUCAUGAUGAAGAGGACGAAAAACAUUAUUUUUUGAUUUAAAAAAGACAAACAAUUAUUUCGAUGGUCAUUUUAUUAUUAUUUUUUUAAAUAUCCAAAUGGUAGAAUCUUACAGAAUUAAGGUGCUUGACUUCUUUAUACAGAAUUACAAAGCGAAAAAAUAAAGAAAUAAAAUACUCAUCGUGCAAGUGAGAAGAGAUUGGGUUGUUGAUACAUUAAAUAAAAGAACAAUGAAUUAAAAGCAUAACAUUUCAAUAAUUUCAUUCUCAAUCAUAUCAAAAAUAAAAUUUACUGUACAUUGUUGUUCGGUUCUGCAAAAAAAAAAAAAAAAGGAUUUGCGGUUUUGCUUGAGUGUAAUUUUCGUUAAUUACAGUUUGAUUUGAAGGGUUAAGCGCACGUUCGGGUUUCUUUUAUGUAAUUUAAAUCAACAUUGAUAUAACAAAUGAGCUGAGUACGAUGAUGAAGAAGAGGAAGAGGGGUAUCAUCAAUUUAUUAUCAAAUCUUUUCUCAUACAUCACUUUAUCAUUAUAAGCUUUUGACAAUUAUUUUUAUCAAUCGGGGUUCUUGACUUUUUGUUUGAAGUCUAAAGCUUAAUAAUUUUAAAGCAUUUACCAUUUUUAUUUUGUUUUUUUAAUCACUUAUGUCUGAUUAUAAGAUGUUUAGGUAUGAAUAGAAAAAGUUAAAUAUUUUAACUUUUAUCUGAAUGACAAAAUAUAUAAAUGGAUUUUAAUAUUCUCUCUUGUUAAUACCCCUAUUCGAUAAAUUUAUUUCUUGUUAUAUAAAUUAUUGUUUUAUUUUUUUAUUUUUUUAUUUUUUUAUUUACCCCUCUCUUUUGUUAUAUACAUGCAUUCAACUAUCAUUUUUUUUUCUAUGAAUGAGAAUUUUAGACAUAAUAGAAAUUUAGGUGAGUAUGUUUUAUAAUAGAUCUAUCUCUUUGUAUUUACAUUUACUAUUUUAUAAUAAAAUUUUGAAUUUUAUUUACUACAUUAAUUUUAAUUCAAAUGAUAAAGCAAUUCUUGAUUGACUUAUAUAAUUAACAAGAAAAAAAUAUCAAUAUAAAAUACAAAAAAUAGCAUUAUAUUCAAUACUUUAAUAAUCUCAUUCCCAAUCAUACCGGAAAUAAAUUUUUCUGUAUAUUUAUGAAAUAACUAUUGAUUUUUUUUUUUAAAGGUAAACAUCUUUAUUUUCCUUGCACACGAGCCUUCUUUCUUUUGCUUUGGCCUUUACUGUUGAUUUCAAGGUCAUAUUCAAUCUCAAUCUUCUGUAGGUUUGUGGCUGUUUUAUGAGUUACGAUUUUUAUAGGAUUGCAUGUAAAUGACAUAUUUAUAUACAUUUUUUCUUUUCGGUGAAGAUAUUAAAAAUUUAGUAUUUGUUACCAUGUGAAAUGAAAAUAGUCCUCAUUUCAAGGAUUAAUGGGCCACUAAUUUCGUCUUCUUAAAAGAUAAUUAUUUGCAGCGAGAUAAUUGGAAGCUCGAAGAUUUCUAUAUUACAUAGCCAAACCUAAGUGAUAAGAAUUCCCAUAUGAGAUAUAAUUUUGGGAAAAAAAAAACCAAUUCUAGUUAAAGAUAAAAAAUUUGUGCUCCUCACAAAAACAAUAAUUCAAGCCACACAAUUUUUCUUGUUUUAUUUCAAAAACAAAAUUGUGUUCCUCACAAAAACACUUCAACAUCUGGAGAAAUUUUAGAAUAUAUCUGUUGUAACAUGUCAACCAUACAACAAACAAAUAAUUUCAUGACAUGUAUGUAUUUAUUUUAUAAGCUAUCAUUCAAGUGGUGGUUGUAUUAAACUCAAUUACACAUGUCAUGCAUGUAUUAAUUGGUUGUAAUACAACAGAUGUAUUAUAGAAUUAUUCCAACAUCUGUGGUCUAGUAAAGGGAAAAAUCCUUCACUCUUUGACGUGUCCCCAGGGCAAUGUAAGUUGACUUUACAUUAAAAAAAAAAAAAGAAACAUUGUCAUAUAGUUAAGAAAAACGUAAUUUUGACAAGUGCAAGAGAUGGGUAGGACUCAUUUGAUGCAAGAAAAACAAUGAGUAUACGCAAAGAGCUUUAUUACUCUGCAGCCAAUACUUUGAUGAAUGUGACAUUAUUGGUUUGUAUAAUUUUUUGGACUAAUAUUUUAUCUCAAUUUUUUUAAAAAAAUAUAAUUGCAAUUUUCAAACACGAUUAAUCCCAACAAUUUAUCCAAAAAUUUGAGUUUCAAUAAAUGUAGCAUUUAUGAUAGCAUGGCUAAUUUUUUUCAACCAACACUUUAGAUAAAUGAUAAAUCAAUAUUUGACAUGUUACUAACUUACUACAAGAAGGAAAUUAUAGAAUAAUUUUUUGAAUUAGCAGAAUUAUUUUACGAUAAACCUAACACAAUCUAAUUUAAAAAUAAAGUUAUUCUUUAAAUUUCCCGUUCCUAUUCCUACUUUUCUUGUUAUACUACUUUGGCACCGGUGAAGCCUUGAAUUAUCAAACAAAAAGCAAAAAACACUUCAACAACUGUUGUCCCACUAGGCAUUGUUAAAUUCAUACGAUAAAAUGAGUACUUGUAUUAAAAAACAAUGAGUCUCAUUGUGUCCUCUUUCAUUGAUAUAGGCAAUUUCCAGUCAAUUUGUGGCACCCUUACUGACACGUAAAAAACUUACUUACCCCUCACCCAAUACUUUUAUGAAUUUUCAGGACUAGCAAAAUUUUCAAAUUUAAAAGAAAAAAAAUGCAGAAAUAUAAUUUCAAUUUAUCCAGAUAUUUGGGUUUCAAGGAACAUAGCAUUUAUUAUAUGUCAUGUUAAUAUAGAGACUAAUUUUUUUUAAAAAAAAAUUGAAUGAAUAAAAGUAUUUUUUUGAUAAAAAUUUCACAAUCAUAUUUUUUUAAAAAAGUUUUUUUAAAAAAGAAAAUUCACUCCUCUUCUUACAUAAUUUAAUAAUUUAACAUUAUAAAUUAAUCUUUUUAAUCAAAGUAAUAAUCUCUCCUUCGGUGUGCGAAUGCUAAAAUUUAAUAUUAUAGUCGUUGAUGAUAUUUGCGUCAAAUUCACGUGAAUAAAAUUUCUAACAGAAUUAUGAAAUUCGUUACUAGAAAUUUGUAUAAAAGUAGUGAGAAUAGAAGGUUUGAUCAAAGGAAAUUAAUAUAUCCCUAUCCGAUGCAAAAAUUACAUUCUAUUUUCCAAUUACUAAGGUCAGCCUUAACGCAUGCCGGUCUUUUUCUCCUCUACUUUCUAGAAAUUUUGGUUUCACUAUAAAAACUCGGUAUAUAACAAACUUAUGAGUGUUCUUGCAUUACCAAUCCAAUUAAGCACACGCUUACAAUCUAAAAUACUCUCAUCUCAUGGAAAGAGUUCAUUCUCUCAGGAUGAUGAGCAUAUUUCUCCUACUCCAUUGUUUGAUUAUUAUUUCCUUAUUUAUCGCAGCAACAACAGCCACCACAAGUUCUACUAUCACAGACCGAGAUGCUCUGUUAGCCCUGAAAGCUCACAUAACUCAUGAUCCGACCAAUUUCUUGGCCAAGAAUUGGAACACAAGUACUCCUGUCUGUAAUUGGACAGGUGUCGCUUGUGACGUCCAUAGCCAUAGAGUCACAGUCUUGAAUAUUUCAAGCUUAAAUCUCAGAGGCACCAUCCCAUCUCAACUUGGGAAUCUUUCUUCUCUGCAAUCACUCAAUCUCAGUUGUAACCGACUUUCUGGUUCCAUUCCCUCCACCAUCUUCACCAUAUACACACUAAAAAAUGUUAGUCUCGGUAAAAAUAAGCUCUCUGGGCAAAUUCCUACAAAUAUUUGUAGUAAUCUUCCUUUUCUUGAAUUUCUUUCUUUGUCCCUAAACAUGUUCCAUGGCGGAAUACCGUCCACUCUAUCAAAUUGCACAUAUUUAAGAACCUUAAGUUUGGCAUACAAUGAUUUCUCGGGAGCCGUACCUAGAGAAAUCGGUAACUUGACCAAACUUAAGGUAUUAUAUAUUGGCGCGAAUAGACUCCAAGGUGCGUAUGAUGAUGGAGUUUAAUUAUAAAAAUUGUUCCAUGAGUUGUAAUAUGAAUAAUGUUCCAUAAUACACUUCUGAGCCCGAAGUCCUUUCUUUUCCUCCUUGACUCUUCUAUCGUCGAGCUAAGUGACUCUGUCAUGCCGCUUCAAGUAAUACACACGUUGAUUAAUUUGCAGGAGAAAUUCCUCGAGAGUUUGGCAAUCUUACCGAAUUGGAGCAGUUUUCGUUACCAACAAACAAUCUCCAAGUUAUGAUUUUAAACUUUUUGCAAUUUUAUUCUAGCUCUGCUUGAUUCUGUAUUCAUUCGUUUGUUCAUUAUUUAUGCUAUGAUUUAUUGUUUUUCUUUCAGAUAGAGAUAAAGCUCCAUGUCUCCCCUCACUCAUUUCGUUCUUUGAUUUAUGCACAUAAAAAUAAAAUAAAAAUGUUUUGUAAUUUUCUUUUGUCAUAUUGCCACUUCCCUUUUGAAGCUCCCAAUUAAGUCGAUGAAAAUGAAUGAUGUUUCAUUCGUAUUCUUGUCAGCCUAAUUCUUAUAUAAUUGAAGAGUAAAUUGUUAUUAUGAUAUUCGUCAGCCAAUAAAUUCUUUUUUUUUUUCAAAAUAUGAGUGAUCAAAUUGUUUGCGCAUAUAUAAUUUUACUUAAUUUGCAGGAGGUAUUCCACAGGAAUUGGGGAAUCUUGCAAAAUUGGAGAUUUUACAGCUGUUCCAGAAUAACUUGACCGGUAACCAUCUUUACUAUAUAUAUAUGAGACAUCUUCUGCUUCUUAAUUAAAAGAUUUCAAGUCUCUCAUUAUAAAUUCUCAUAUGAGGAUAUGUCAUUACUACAAUCUAACAUUAUUCCCUUUUUUUAUUAGAAAUUAGUUUGUGUUAAUUCAAAAUUUUGUAACAUGUAAAAAAAAUUAAAAACACGUGGAAUAAAUCAUCAAUCUUUCUUCUUUAUUGAAUUUGGAUUUCUAAAAAAUUAUCUUGACAAGUAUGCUUCACUAAUGAUAUGCAUGUGUGACAACUUCAUAAAAUAUUUUACAUGGAGUCAUCAAUUAUCUUUAAAUAAUUGGAGAUGCCAUCAGUGAUACAUAAUUUCUUAACAAGCACCAUAUCAAAAGAAAUCAACAAUUUUAUUAAUCUUAAAGAGUUACAUCUUCACCGCAAUUAUGAUAUAAAAUUUUAGUCAUCAAUCGCAUAAUAUUUUACCUUAACGGAUGAUGUUCAGUCUUGGAAUUUAUAAUACCUUGAAGGUUAGUAGCUUUGAAAAUAAGAACUGUUCAUUUGCUAAAAAGUUAACUUAGUAUUUAAGUUUUUCAAUUGAAAAUUUUGAAAAAAGUCUUGAGAACUGCCCUCCUUAGUAUUUCAGCUGAUAAAUAUGAAAAAUAGGCUAGAAGAAAUAUUGUUGUGUGUGCUUAUUUUACUUGGGCUUUGGGCUUGAUUACAAGGUCGAGCACUAACACCUGUCAUAAUAAUAGGCUUUUACUUUCACCACACGUUCAAUAAUUUCUUAACCUUCCGAAUUAAGUUAUAGCAAUUUAUAUAUAAAUAACUAAAGCAUACUAAAGCGAGCACAAAGUACUCAUGACUUAGGCUUACUGUGUUACCUAUUACACACGGUCGAACACUUACAUCUGUUAGAAUAACAAUAGCAUCCACGGAUCGACUAUCAGUGAUCAAAUUGAUUGCACAUAUGUAAUUUGCAGGAGCAAUUCCACGGGAGUAGGGAAAUAUUACAGGAUUGGGGAUCUUAGAGCUGCCUGAUAAUUUUUUAACCGGUAUCAUUCCUUCAUCUAUCUACGAAUUGCUUUUCUCUAUUAAAUUCGGAACUGUCAUUUAAUAACUUAACAGGUAACUUCCCUUACAACAUGUCUGUGUGACAUGUUUUGCUUUGAAAUUAAAAUAUUUCACGUCUCUCAUUAUAAAUUCUCAUAGGCGGAUGUAUUGUUACUACUAUUUAACAUUAUCUCAUUUUUUUAUUAGAAAUUAAUCUGUGUUUAUGCAAAAAAAUUUAGCAUCUAAAAAAAGUACAAAAACACAUGGAAUAAAUCGAAAAUCUUUCUUCAUUACUGAAUUCGGAUUUCUAAAAAAUUAUCAUGAGAACUUCAUAAAAUAUCUUACAUGGAAUCAAUAAUUAUCUUUAAAUAGUUGGGGAUGCCAUCACUAAUAAAUAGUUUCUUAAAAAGCAUCAUACUAAAAGAAUUCAAUAAUUUUAAUAAUCUUCAAGGGGUACAUCUUCGCUGCAAUUAUGACAUAAUUUUUUAUCUAAAUAUAUUUUUAGUCAUCAAUCGCAUAAUUUUUUAUCUUGACGGAUGAUGUUCAAUCUUGGAAUUUAAAAUAUCUUGAAGGUUAGUAGCUAUGAAAAUUAGAAAUUUUUUAUUUGCUAAAAAAUUAACUUAGUAUUUAAGCUUUUCAAUUGGAAAAUUUGAAAUAAAUGUUGAGAACUGGCCCUCCUUAGUAUUUCAGCGGAUAAAUAUGGAAAAUAGGCUAGAAAAAAUUAUUUUAUUGAAAUAAUAGUUAAAAAUAGAGACGUACAGUACUCAUGACUUAGGCUUGCUGUGUACUUUUUUUACUUGGGGUUCGGGCUUGAUUACACACGGUAGAAUACUUACACAACUCCCCCCAUAUAGGGUUUUACUUUCAUCCCACAUUUGAUAAUUUCUUAACCUUCCCAAUUAGAUUAUAGCAAUUUAUAAAUAAAUAAAUAACUAAAGCACACUAAAGCUAGCAUUGAUGGACAGAUGAGUGGUGUCAAAAGUGUAUCUGUUUUUAUUAGGGUUGGCAAUUUAAGGGCCUGGGCCGGGCUUUGCCAAGCCCAGGACCAGGCCCAUAUAAUGUUAAAUAAGUUCAGGGCCUCUCAAAGCCCAUCCAAGUUGGGCGGGCCGGGCCUUGACCGGCCUCGGGCCGGGCCCGGGCUUUUAUGAAUUUUCAAAUUUUUUUAAAAAAUAAAACUAUAAAUUUUCAAAACAUAAUUAUCCAAUACAUAAUACUACAAUAGGCUAAAAACUUAAAUAUAUUUCUCUAAUACAUGAUUAGCCAACACAAAAUAUAAAAAUACUAACAAUACAAGUACCGUACAUAACAUACAAAUCAACCACUAAUAUAAAAAAAAAAACUAAUAGAGAUUUACCAAUUUAGGAAUUUUGACAUUUUGUGACAAAACCUUUGCCCUUUCCCUUUGCCCCAUUUUUUUAUUGUUUUGUUUAAUUUUUUUUUUCAAUUUUAUAAUAUAUUAUACAUUUUUUUUAAAAUAUAUAUAUAUAUAUAUAAAGCCCUUAUCCAUAAUAUAUAAUAUAUAUAUUAUUUAUUAUAAAGCCCGGGCUUUUCAUUUAGGCCCUUGACUGAGCCCAUAUGUUAUGGGCUUUAUUAAUUAUGAGCCCUUACCCAUACUUUCAAGCCACGGGCCAGGCUUAAAGCCCGCGGGCCUGGGCCGGCCCGGGCUUUUCUGCCAACCCUAGUUUUUAUGUAUUAUUGUUCCCUGAUACAAAUUUGAAUAAUGGAAAAUAUAAAUUUAAUAUUUUAUUUAAUACUUUGUUAACAUUUUAUCUAUAUAUAAUAAAUAAACUGAAACUUGUACUUAAAAAAUUUUUUGGUUACGCAUAUUCAUUUCAUGAUAAAAAAAAUGUCUAUUUACACUAAUUUACCAUUAUCAAUAAAAUGCUUUGAGACAAAUAAUCUAAUUUAUAUUAGUAUAUUUAAAAUACUUGCAUUUAUUAUAUUUUGAAAAAACAUUAUUUGCAAUUAUUUUAAACCUUUGAAUUCAAAUUUUCUUAGUUAUUAAAGUCAAAGGGUAUAAAUGUAUAAUAGUCAAAAACAGAUUUGUAUGAUCAUUUUUCAAUGUAUAAAUUUUCUUAGUUAGUAGGCAAUUAAAAUUUGUUGAUUUACUCAUAAAUAAAUUUAGUGUUUAGCAUUUCAAUUUUGGAAAACUUGAACUAAAUGUUGAUAACUUCGAAUCCAUCGAGCCAAGUUUCGCUUCCUUGACACACAGACCCAUUCGAAGUUCUAUUCGAAUUGAGUUUCCAAGUGCUUAGAAAAAGCAGUUCUUUUCCAUGUCGCUAUAAUUUAUUCACAAAAGAGUUGAUUAGCGUCGAUGUUGCUUCAGAGUCUGAGACCAUGUUAAUUUAUUUUACUGAAUUAAUUUAUUUUAUCUUGCUGUAACUGAAAUACUACCUUUUUUUUUUUUUUGCUAUAACUGGGGCUUGAUUAACUUUAAUAAUAGCAGCCAUAGACUUAGGCUUUUUUACUUUUCACCACACAAUUUGAUCUUUUAAUUCGUUUUAACCACAUAAUCUAUCUAUCUCACACCUAUUGCUUACUUAAAUCGCAUACAUAUUUUACCUACUAAUUUUUACAAACAUUAGUGAAAUAUAUUUUAUUACAUUUUGCUCGUAACUGCUCUAGUUGUGCACUAUUAAUACUUAACUCUCCCUUUUAAUUUAUCGUGCAAUCUAUCAACCACUAAAAUUACAUAUAUAUUUUACCUAUAUUUUGCCCCAAAAAAUAUAAAAGUAAUAGAAAAAGAAUAUGUGUAGCAAUUUGUAUGUAACUAACAAAGCAUUGACGGUGUGUAGCCUUUCAAUACUUCAUGAGUGGCUGUUCUUGUGUGUUAGUACUGGUAAUAAUUGUGUAGUGUAUAAAUGACCUUUUAUUAUUAAAGCGCGUCUGUUGUUAGAUAUUAUUUAUUAUUUGAAAAAUAAUAUGAAUAUAAUUCUUUCAAAAUACAGGGGAGAUACCAACUGAAAUCAUAAUCUCCGUAAUCUGGAGGAGUUGGACCUUGCUCGAAACAAAUUAGUUGGUAUUGUCCCAGCUGCAAUCUUCAAUGUGUCAACACUCAAGCAUCUUGGUCUUCAAGAUAAUUCUCUCUUGGGAUGUCUUUCGUCCAUCGGAGACGUCCGACUUCCAAAUCUUGAAGGGCUUUAUUUGUCGGGUAAUAAUUUCAGUGGCACAAUUCCUAGUUUCAUCUUUAAUGCUUCUAAGCUCUUUAAGCUAUCGUUGCAAAGGAACUCAUUCUUUGGUUUUACUCCCAACACAUUUGGCAACUUAAGAAACCUUAAGUGGCUAUCUUUAUAUGAUUCUUAAGUGGCUAUCUUUAUAUGAUAAUUAUUUGACAUCUUCAACUCCAGAAUUGAGCUUUCUGUCCUCGUUGUCAAAUUGCAAGUGUUUAACAUUUAUUGACUUAUCAAAUAAUCCACUAGAUAGCGUUCUUCCAAAGACAUUUGUCGGUAAUGUUUCUCAUUCUUUGGAAUUCUUUGUCAUGUCCUAUUGUAACAUUAGUGGCGGCAUCCUUGAAGAGAUCACCAACUUGACCAAAUUGACAACCAUUAUUUUAGGAGGCAAUAAAUUGAAUGGAUCAAUUUCGAUUACUCUCGGCAGGUUACAAAAGCUUCAAUAUUUGGGUCUUGACGAUAACAAAUUAGAAGGAUCAAUCCCAGACAGUAUUUGUCGUUUAGCUUAACUGUAUGAUUUGGAGUUGGGUGGUAAUAAGCUUUCUGGAUCAAUCCCUGCAUGCUUCAGUAAUCUGGCUUCUCUGAGGAAACUGUCGUUGGAUUCCAAUGAGUUAACUUCUAUUCCCUUAACUUUUUGGAACCUUAAGGAUAUCUUGUACCUCAACUUUUCGUAAAAUUUUUUGAUUGGUCCACUCCCAUUAAAGGUUGGAAAUUUGAAGGUUUUAGUUGGAAUUGAUUUUUCGAUGAAUAAUUUUUCAAGCGUUAUCCCAAUAGAAAUUGGAGGCCUACCAAAUCUAGAAUAUCUCUUCUUAGGAUAUAACAGAUUGCAAGGAUCGAUUCCUGAUUCAUUCGGUGAUUUGAUAAGCUUGAAAUCCUUGAAUUUGUCUAAAAAUAAUCUCUCAGGGGCUAUUCCUGCAUCUUUAGAGAAACUCUUAUAUCUUAAAGAUCUAAAUCUUUCUUUCAACAAACUAGAAGGAGAAAUUCCUAGGGGAGGGUCUUUUGGAAACUUCUCAGCUGAAUCAUUUGAGGGAAAUGAAUUAUUAUGUGGUUCACCCAAUUUACAAGUCCAGCCAUGCAAAACUGGCAUCCACCACACAUCAUCAAAAAAUUCUCUUCUCUUGGGGAUUGUCUUGCCAUUGAGUACUACAUUUAUGAUAGUAGUCAUUUUGUUGAUCCUAAGAUAUCGACAGAGAGGGAAACGACUAUCGAAUGAUGCUAAUAUGCCAAUAGUAGCAACAUGGAGAAUGUUUUCAUACCUAGAACUCUGUCGAGCAACAUACAAAUUCAGUGAAAACAAUCUAAUCAGCAAAGGUGGUUUUGGCUCUGUUUACAAAGCAAGACUUGGGGACGGGAUGGAGGUUGCUGUGAAGGUUUUCAAUUUGCAAUGUAGAAGAGCAUUUAAGAGUUUCGAUAUUGAAUGUGAAAUGAUGAAAAGUAUUCGCCAUCAAAACCUUAUCAAAGUUAUUAGCAGUUGUUCAAAUGAAGAGUUUAAAGCGUUGGUAUUAGAAUACAUGCCUCAUGGAAGUUUGGAGAAGUAUCUGUAUUCAAGUAACUGCAUUUUGGAUAUUUUUCAAAGAUUGAACAUAAUGAUAGAUGUUGCAUCAGCUUUGGAAUAUUUGGACCUUGGUUAUUCAGCUCCAAUAAUUCAUUGUGACUUAAAGCCCAACAAUGUAUUGUUAGACGAUAAUAUGGUUGCUCAUUUGAGUGAUUUUAGCAUUGUAAAAUUGCUAACAGGAGAAGAUCAAUCUAUGACUCAUACACAAACACUUGCAACAAUAGGCUAUAUGGCACCAGGUUUGUUCAAUAUAAAUAUUUUCUAUUUCUCAUAAACUUCUGAUGGGUGUCGAAGCCAACAAAAAUAAAUUCCUACUCUAAAUAAAUUGUGUAUAGUGAUUGAGCAGGGUCGUGUCGACAGAGAUCGGUAAUUAUUUAAAUCCUUUUGAAACGUAAAACGUAAAAUGGGGGAAUUGUUGACAAUAAUAAAAAUCAAAUUAAAAUAACAAGAAUGCAAAUUAAAGUUGUAAUUCAAAUUAGAGAAAGCUCUGGUUGAAGGAAUUAACUCAGCUUGAUUCGACUACUGAUCAUUGAUUCAAAUAUAGAUUAUUAUUACUUAUGAAUAGACCGGUUAUAGCUACUGAGACCCUCUAAUAGCCAAUCUCUCCUUAACUAGUCGAUAACCAAGGUACGACCGUUGGUUAUUUCCCUAAUCAAUAGACAACCCUAGAUACGAUCAUAGGAUUUAAUCAAUUGACAGCCUAAAAGACCAGAGAGACCCAAAUCCUAAUCAACACAUACGAUGAUUCAUUUAAAUUAGAUUGUUUAUUCUCAUAACACAACUCACUGCUAUGUUAUUUGUCACAAACAUUAAAAUCUUCAUACGAUGAAUCCUUUAAUUAACAAUAGAUUAAGUUGAUAAUUAAAUAGUGGCCAAUUACCUAAUUAACAAACAUAAUCAUAAAAAUAAUUCAGAGAAUAAACAAAUACCCAAAAAGCAAUAAAACAAUUAAAGCAUAAGAAAGAUCUCACAGUAGUGAUGAAUCAAAGCUUCAUUAUCCUUCAACAAGAAAAAUAGAUUUAGUUCUUCACAGAGAGAAGAGAAAAGUUUAGAUCUAGGGUUUCUUUCCUUUUCUCCAAUCCCUUUUUUCACAAUAGAUUCCUCCUUAAAUACUUUCUCUCUCUUCUCAUUUAGAGUUCUAUUUAAAAUAAAAUACUAAUAUCUGAAAUAUUAAAUUCGUAAUUUCAAAAAUAACCAAAAAUACAAAACACGUUAAACUAAAAACUGCAGGUCCGCAGUUGACAGCACGCGCCCACACCUUAUCAAUAAAGUUCUUCUGACUCUCUAAAUUUCUCGAAGAGAACAAUCAUCUUUAAACAUCAUCUUAUAGCUCAAUUUUAUCACAAAUCAAUAGAAUUGCACCUACAAAAGUAAAACACAAGUAAAUCAUUAUUAUUAAGUGCAAAACAUCGAUAUUAAGGGAAGUAAACAAUGCAAAACUAGUGCAUAAAUUGCACUCUAACAAAUUCCCCUACACCAAGAUGAUGCUUGUCCUCAAGCAUAUAACUUAAGACUAAUCACAAAUCUCCACUCAAUUUUCAUCUCAACUCAUCCAAAAACAAUUUUAAGCAAGCAUACCUCAAGAAUUUAAGUCGAUCAACAUUCGAGAGCCAAGGAUUUUAAAGCAUAGAAUCUCAUAAGCUAGAAUAAAAACAUUCAACCAUCAAGAAGAUCCAUUCAAAAUUCAAGUGCAACAAGAUUUAAUAGCCCUCUCAUUGACUUCACUCGAUGCACUCAAAGUGUUUAGGGUGUCAUUUAUGCACUCAAAUCAAAUCAAAGAAUGCUAUUACCAUAAGCUUGCUUAUAUAUCAUAUCUCAAUCCACAAAACAUGAAUUAAAUGCAAAAAUCUAAGGGUCUUAAAAAGGUUGUAACGGGGUUAAAUGGGUUAAAUGAAAAAGAAAGGUCUAUGAAAGAAAAAAAGAUUAAAAUGAGAAGAAUGAACUCAUUGAAUGAACUUCUGAUAUCAAAAUGCUUAUUUCUACUCAAGUCACCAAGAAUGUAAACUUUUUUUUUCGAUUUUUCUUUUUCUUUUUUUUUUUUUAAUCAAACAAAAGAAACGAACCUUGCACAAUUUAAUUCAAGCAUAAUGCUUGUUGAUCUAAUUGAGAAACUUUAAUACAAGGUAGAAAAAGCAACAAAAUAUAUCCAUACAAUGAGUCCAAAAAUCUCCUUAAAUUGAGGCUCAAAAAGGAGAAAAAUGGUUAAGUAGACGGAGAGAAUUAGAUGGGUAAUGGUUAAGGCUCAAACAAAGAUAGCAAAUAAAGGUCUUCGAGUAGAGAAAAAAAAAUACGAGAAUAGAAAAUUGGAAAAUGGUUUGCCCUUAUCAUUUUAAUGCAUAAAAUCCCGUAAUGCGGCUUCAACAUGCAUAACAAAGCAAGUUCUAGAAUAAACAAACUAAGAUUGAUAUUCACAUAACAAAAAUAAUUAGAGCAAAGUGGCUGCUCAUAGGCUCAAAUCCUCACAAAGUUGGUAAAUUUUCCAUCAAAUCAUGUACACUCUUCAAAUGAAUCAACCAUCAAUAGUGGUGUAGAAUGAGAAGAAGGUAUGAGUGAGAUAUAAAAGGAAAGGUAAAAAGGAUAAUAAGCGAGAAAGAUGUAUGUAGUAAAAAAAAUGAAAGAUAAAAUGUGAGUGAUGAAAGAGUAUGAUAGAGAAAAAAAAUAGAUGUAAAUAAUUUGAGAUAGAUGGGAAAAGAGUAGUGAGAGAGAAGGGAAAAGAAAAUUAAUAAUAUAUGAAGCAUACUAACUCCAAAAUCAUUUAAGGAUGAGUAGAGUGAAAAUAGUACUUCUAGACAUCAAUAAUGUAAAAAUCCCUCCCCAACACCAAGAACUUACAUUGUCUCCAAUGUAAGAUAAUCAAAGCUCACAUAAAAAUUAAAGCGUAAGGAUAAAAGAUUAAAGGCAAAAAAAAUUCCCUGAAUUGUGAGCUUUGAUCCACAUAAUGUCUAUGGGCUUGGCAGAAAGGGUGGGGUAAAUCCCAUACUCUCGAAGUAUGCGGCCAAAUUCUGCUCCAUCUUGUUCAGCUUGUGCUCCAUCUUCUCUAACUGAAUGCUGGUAGUGCGGAUGUAGAAGGAAUAGUUGGCGGGCCAGCAGUGUCGUCUUCAAACUCGUCAUUAGAGGUAACACCACUCCUAGCAUAAAGCUUCUUUGGAGGUUGAGUGGGUCUUGGUUUAGUAAACUAAAAUCUCCCCUCCUUGAAUUCGACGACACCUGUUCUUUGAAACACAGACAUAUCCAAAAAUUCCUUUUUGCAAGCAGGAUGCAAAUCAUUAUUGUCAGGAUCAAGCACACAUAGGUUUAUAGCUAACAGAGUAAUGUAUGGACCAAGAAAGAAAGUCCGAUACCGUUUAAGCACACUUUGAAAUUUAUCCGCUAACCAAAAACCUAAAUUAGGCCUCACAUCAUUUAACAUGCACCAGAUAAAAUAAAAUUCAGUUUUAGAGAAAACUCCUGAGUGAUCUUUCUUUCCUAAAAAAUUAUAUGCUAAGAAUCGAUGCACACAUUUCAAAACAGGAUCACGUAAGAAAUAACUCUUUGAUUUACUCAGGUCAUAGGCAUUGUGAUCAACACAUAAAUUACGCCAAAGACCAUAAGGCUCAAAAUUGUCACUAAAGUCACAAGUUGUUCCUAAAUAUGCAUCACUAGAAGAAUAAUCAUCAUCAAGGAAUCCUAAAGCUAGGUUAAAAUCCGUGAUAGAGGUGAAAAAUUUUGUCCCAUUAACCUAAACUUUAUGACAUCUGGGGUAUGCAAAGUAAAAUCAUUCGGUAUAUUAAAUUGAAAAGUCGCAUAAGACUCCUUAAUCAACUCAACAUAACCCAAACAAUCAACAUCAACAAACUUACGCAACCCAAUCUUAUCUAUCAAAUAAUCAAAAUUAUCCUUAACAUUCAAUUUUUCAAGAGUCGGGUAAUUAAUAUACUUAGCUGGAAGUAUUUUGCACGUGGAAAUAUCUUUGUAUCUCUCUUUCUCUUGUUGAGUCGCGAAUGCAAGGCAUCCUCCGAGAUUGGAUUCCGCAAGUGGCAAAACACUCAUGCCUUUUUCAUGUUUCGAUCUUUGUCUCAUGGCUUGGCGUGAAUCUGAACUUGUGUUCCAUGGAACCGGAAUGCGAGCGACAAUCUUAGAUUUCUUUGUGACGGGUAUCUUUUUAGAUGACUUGGAAGUAGAUGCUUUCCUCUUCGGCAUUGUUACAAUAAUUGCACUCACGGAUUUCGAUUUACCCGGCUGGAAUACAGGGCGUAGGCUGGUUGCGUUGCACUUGCUGCUCGACUGGAGCUUGCUGCGCGGGUUGGGGUUGGUUGCGCGCGCAGCUGGUUUUGCAUGCUGGUGAUGCUAGUUGCGUUGCGUGCGCGAGCUGGAGACUCUGGAUCUGCGUUACGAGGCGUGCUCGUCUGCUGUUCGUUGGGACUGUGUUGCGCGCGCGGGAUUGAUGCGCUGCGUGAUGGUGAUGGCCAAAGCUUGCUGCGCGCGGGCUGGUUGUGUUGCAGGUGGGACUGAUACGACUGCUGCUGGUGAAAACAAUAAUCAACAGUGAAUUUUUUUUUUAAUUAGGGAAUUGUAAAUAGUGAUUUGUGGUUUUUGCUUUUUUUGUUUUUUUUCUUUUUUUUUUAAAUAAAUAAAUAAAAUAUAUAUAUAUAUAUAUAAAAGAAAGAAAAAAAGGAAAAAAAAAAUAAAUAAUUUUUUUUUAAGUGAUGAAUCACUUUGAGUCACUAAAAAUUUCAGACGUACUUUUCUAAUAAGCACGUGGGCACACCUUAAAACUAUUUUACUUUAAAAAUUAUAGAAGUACUUAUUAGUUAAGACGUGGGCACGCCUUAUCAAAAAUUUUCUUCUGACCAAAAUAAGCAAACACAUUAAUUUUUUUUUUAAAAAUCUGAAUCAAAACUAAAAGAAGACAUAACAAAAACCAAAAUAAAUAAAUCAUUUGGGUUGCCUCCCAAAAAGCGUCUUUGUUUUAUGUCUUUGGCUAAACACAUUUAUGCAACAAUCUCCAUAAUUGGGACUCUCGAGAGCCACAUCCUCCACAAUAUUCACCGAAAAACCUUCAUAAAAAGGUUUUAAGCGAUGACCAUUAACAUUCAAAACUUUGUCAGAGGUCGGACUCCGAAUCUCAACUACACCAUGAGGAAAAAUAUUAGUAACAAUAAAAGGUCCAACCCAGCAAGAACGUAAUUUACCCGGAAAAAGUUUAAGCUUAGAAUGAAAAAGAAGAACUUUUUGACCAAUAGAGAACUCCUUUCUCAAACUCAUUCUAUCAUGAAAUGUCUUCGUCUUUUCCUUGUAAAAAACUUCAUGCACUAUAGGGUUAAUAAUAUCCACAGAAAAUACUGAAUGUUCCUCACUAGGAUAUUUCAUGGCAUCAUUCAUAUUGAAUUUUAUAACCUCUCCAUCAAACUCCAUAGUGAGAGUCCCUUUAUGUACAUCUAUUUUAGUCCUAGCAGUCUUAAGAAAAGGUCAUCCUAACAAAAUUGGGACAUAAUUAGAGGAGUUAUCAUCUUCCAUAUCAAGUACAUAAAAAUCAGCAGGAAAAACCAACUCAUUAACUUGUACUAAGACAUCUUCUAAUACCCCAUCAGGAUAUGCAUUAGACCUAUCAGCUAGUUGAAUUAUCACGCUAGUUUCUUUUAAUGGACCAACAUUCAAAGAUGAAUAAGUGGAACGAGGCAUGACAUUAAUAUAAGCUCCUAGAUCUAACAUAGCCUUUUCAACUCUAACACUACCAAUUUUACAAGGAAUGGUAAACAUACCUGAAUCCUUGCACUUAGGAGGUAGUUUCUUUUGGAGAACUGCUGAAACAUUCUACCCCAUGUGAACUUUUUCAUCUCCUCUUAAUUUUCUCUUGGAGGUGCAUAGUUCCUUAAGGACUUUAGCAUAUCAAGGUAUUUGUUUUAUAGCAUCUAAUAAAUGAAUAUUUACCUCAACCUUGCAAAAUGUCUUAAAGAUGUCUUUCUCUUGUUCCUCCUUCUUGGAUUUUACAAACUAGCUUGGAAAAGGAGGAGGUAUCACAAUAGGUAGGGGUUUCGUUCUGGUGGGUUGCGCAUCUUGAGAUUUAGGCAUCAAUUCAUUCUUCCCAAGCUCAUCUUCUACAUGCUUUGUCACUUUCUUACUAGGCUCUUGUAACUCCUUCCCGCUUCUAAGGAUGACAGCACUAACGUUUUGCUUUGGAUUCACCUCAGAUUGUGAAGGCAAUCUCCUUAAUACUUGAGACUCCAGACGGCUCACUGUAGUCGCCAAUUGACUCAUUUGGUUCUCUAAAUUCUGAAUGCUUUCUGUAGUUGCCUGCUGAAAUUGUUGAGUGUUAGUCGCAAGUGAUUUAACAAUUUCUUCAAGAGAUAUACUUGACUUGGAGUUUGACUGUGGAGGUGCUGGUUGUCUUGGUGGAUACUGUUGUGGGAAUCCUGACGGUCUAACUCCAUAGCUGAAGUUGGGAUGAUCCUUCCAUCUCAGAUUGUAUGUUGUGCAUAAGGAUCAUACCUCCUCUGAGGCAUGCCUGGAAAUCCUCCAACUGCAUUGGCUUGUUCAACGGGUUCUUCUUGAAGUGUAGGACACAUAUCAGUUGAAUGACCCAUAUUGGAACAAAUGCCACAAGUCUUUACCUGUUGCAUAUUAUCUACAAUAAACUUUUCUACAAGAGAAGUAAGUUUAUCUAAACGUUGUUCAACAGAAGAAAUAUUUACCUCAUUCACCGUUCUUGAAGUGGCAUCUUGCCUGCUGCCAAAUUGUUGUGCAUUGGCAGCCAUAUUUGAGUUCAACUCCCUUGCUUGAGUAAGGGUCUUAUUCACCAACACACCUCCACUGGCAACAUCUAUCAUACUCCUAUCCAAUAAUGAUAGUCCUUCGUAAAAAUAUUGAAUAAGAAGUUGAUCAGAAAUCUGAUGCUGAGGACAGCUGGCACACAAUUGUUUGAAUCGCUCCCAAUACUCAUACAAAGUCUCCCCAGGAAGUUGUCUAAUCCUACAAAUAUCUUUUCUGAUGUUGGCAGCUCUUGAAGCAGGAAAGUACUUCUCGAGGAACUGCUUCUUUAAACCAUUCCACGUUGUAAUCGAUCCAGGAGGCAAGUAGUACAACCAAUCUUUAGCUAGCCCAUCUACAGAGAACGGAAAAGCACGCAACUUAAUCUGCUCUUCAGUCACGCCUUGUGGCCUCAUACUUGAACACACAACAUGAAACUCCUUAAGAUGUUUAUGAGGAUCUUCACCUGCAAAACCAUGAAACUUGGGUAAUAAAUGAAUAAGACCAGACUUUAAUUCAAAAUUUACCUCCAAGUCUACAUAUUGAAUGCAGAGUGGUUGUUGAUUCAAGUCUGGUUCAGCUAACUCUCUAAGAGUUCUUUCUACAGGUGCAGGUCUAUCCAUCACUUGUUCUUCUGAAUCGCUAGAUGAUUCAACUAAAUCAAGUAUUGUAUCAAUUUCAGAAAGCAAAGGCAACGAGGAUCGUUGCUUAGCUCGCUUUGUCUGCUGUCUCAACUGGCGAGCUGUCUUCUCAAUUUCAGGAUCAAACGAAAGUGUACCUGUACGAGAAGAACGAACCAUACACCAAGUAAAACGUAAAAAUGAUUAAAUAAACGACACCAAUCCCUGGCAACGGCGCCAAAAUUUGAUGGGUGUCGAAGCCAACAAAAAUAAAUUCCUACUCUAAAUAAAUUGUGUAUAGUGAUUGAGCAGGGUCGUGUCCACAGAGAUCGGUAAUUAUUUAAAUCCUUUUGAAACGUAAAACGUAAAAUGAGGGAAUUGUUGACAAUAAUAAAAAUCAAAUUAAAAUAACAAGAAUGCAAAUUAAAGUUGUAAUUCAAAUUAGAGAAAGCUCUGGUUGAAGGAAUUAACUCAGCUUGAUUCGACUACUGAUCAUUGAUUCAAAUGUAGAUUAUUAUUACUUAUGAAUAGACCGGUUAUAGCUACUGAGACCCUCUAAUAGUCAAUCUCUCCUUAACUAGUCGAUAACCAAGGUACGACCGUUGGUUAUUUCCCUAAUCAAUAGACAACCCUAGAUACGAUCAUAGGAUUUAAUCAAUUGACAUCCUGAAAGACCAGAGAGACCUAAAUCCUAAUCAACACAUACGAUGAUUCAUUUAAAUUAUAUUGUUUAUUCUCAUAACACAACUCACUGCUAUGUUAUUUGUCACAAACAUUAAAAUAUUCAUAUGAUGAAUCCUUUAAUUAACAAUAGAUUAAGUUGAUAAUUAAAUAGUGGCCAAUUACCUAAUUAACAAACAUAAUCAUAAAAAUAAUUUAGAGAAUAAACAAAUACCCAAAAAGCAAUAAAACAAUUAAAGCAUAAGAAAGAUCUCACAGUAGUGAUGAAUCAAAGUUUCAUUAUCCUUCAACCAGAAAAAUAGGUUUAGUUCUUUAUAGAGAGAAGAAAAAAGUUUAGAUCUAGGGUUUCUUUCCUUUUCUCUAAUCCCCUUUUUCACAAUAGAUUCCUCCCUUAAAUACUUUCUCUCUCUUCUCAUUUAGAGUUCUAUUUAAAAUAAAAUACUAAUAUCUGAAAUAUUAAAUUCGUAAUUUCAAAAAUAACCAAAAAUACAAAACACGUUAAACUAAAAACUGCAAGUCUGCAGUUGACAGCACGCGCCCACGCCUUAUCAACAAAGUUCUUCUGACUCUCUAAAUUUCUCGAAGAGAACAAUCAUCUUUAAACAUCAUCUUAUAGCUCAAUUUUAUCACAAAUCAAUAGAAUUGCACCUACAAAAGUAAAACACAAGUAAAUCAUUAUUAUUAAGUGCAAAACAUCGAUAUUAAGGGAAGUAAACAAUGCAAAACUAGUACAUAAAUUGCACUCUAACAACUUCCUAAUAAGUUAUUUAUAUUUCAUGAUCUUGAUUAGAUGAGGAAAUUAUUAUUAAUGAUAUAUCUUACUAUGUAAUUGUUGCAAUUCAUAAAGUAUGGAAGAGAAGGACGAGUAUCCGCAAAUGGAGAUGUUUAUAGUUUUGGGAUUAUGUUAAUGGAAACAUUUACUGGGAAGAAACCCACAGAUGAAAUGUUUAAUGGAGAAAUGACAUUAAAGCAUUGGGUUAAUGAUUGGCUACCCAUUUUCACUAUGGAAGUUGUUGAUGCUAAUUUGCUAAGUCAGGAGGACAUACAUUUUGUUGCAAAAGAGCAAUGUGUGUCAUUUGUCUUCAAUUUAGCUAUGGAGUGCAUUGUGGAAUCCCCUGAGCCAAGAAUCAAUCCAAAAGAAAUUGCAGCAAAACUCUUAAAAAUUAGAGACUCAUUACUUAGAAAUGUUGGAGGCAGAUGUAUAAGACAAUCAAAUUUAAAUUGAUUCUACCCCUCAUUCAUUGCUUGCUAUCCUUUUCAGAGACUUGAACAAUUAUCCUCCAUAGAAGUUUUGCUGAUAUGUUUUGUUAUUGCUCUUGCUCAUGUUUAUUUCUCUCUUUCUUUAAUUUGCAUGCGUGCAUUUUAGUUCUCUUCCAUGUUCGUGUUGGUUUAUAUGUAGUUUGUUUUUUGGGAUAUGGUUUAUUAUGGCCUCACCCUAAUUAGAUGUAUCCUUUUGAUUUUUAUCAAUAAAGCUUCGCUAGUACUAUCGAGGUUAAUCGAAAGAAAAUUUUCAAUUGAUUUUCUUUUCUUUGACUAGUACUGGAAAUUCUAAUCUUUAUAGUGAAUAACUUCAAUAAUAGAGUGUAAGAGUAUUAGUAGUUGUGGUUGUUUCUGAACCUAGAGUUAGAGUAGUUUAACAGCAACAAAUAGGUCUCUUGUAUUAUAGCCAAAAUUCUUUUCAUUAAUCUUAUUUGUCUACAUUUUCUCCUAUUUUCUUCUUUAAUCUUCGCUCAAGGUUUCAUGCUUCCAUUUUGAAAUGUGAGAUUGUUUGUCAUCCAUUUGAUAAAAUGGAUAUGAGAGGAGCUUUCAAUCAUUACCUCCACCAAAAUCCUUACAAUGCAACUUUUAAAUUUAUUUUUUAAAAUACGUUCAGUUUAAUUUAUAAAAAAUAAAUCCAUUUGUUAAAAUUAAUUUUUUUCUCAUAAAUUUCAACCUAAAAAAUAUAUUUCUUUUAAGUUUUUAUUAUAAAAUACAUACAAGUUCUAAACUAUUAAAUUAUUUUCUUCUUAUUAUAUAGUUUAUAUUUCCAUAACUCUAAACUCCUAUAAUUUUUAAAAAAUAUAUUUUUUAAUUUAAAAUAUGAAUAUAAAAUAUAGAAUGGAGUGGGUAUAAAAAGUUUUGUUAAAAGAAUAAUUCAUUCAAGUAUUUAGCUGAAUUUUAAUUUAAAAUAAGAAAUAAAUUAAUUUAUUUUUUAUUAGUUAAGUAAUUUCAAUUGAAAAAGAGCUUAUAUUAUGGACAUAUGAUUAAAAUUGUCAUGAAUUAAACAUUUUCAUAUAAAUACUAGUGAUAAUUACGGAGAAAGUACGAUGAACCAAAGAAAACUUGAAUAGAAAUACUCCAAUGUAAUUUUACACAUGCAAAUUAUGAACCAGUGAUCUUUAGAGCAUCAUAAAAUUAUUUUAACACAAUUAGUUAGUUUGGAAAAUUGCCAAUAAUGUUUAAAGUGGGAUUGAAAAGAUUAUACUACAAAUAUAAGACAUGAUAUCAUUUAAGAGCUUACAGAUUAUGAGAAAUAUAUUGAUCUUACAAAUAAUAUAAAAUAUGUCAAUUAGAUUGAGUCUAUGCAAUAAAAGUUUCAAAUUAAAAAAUAAACCUUUAUUUUCUUUUAAUCAUAAGUGUGAUCUUAAUUAUUAAAGUCAUUCAAUGUCCAUUACUUAUUCAUUUUUUUAAUUAUCUAAAUGACAUUGAAAACUCUACUCAAUAUUAAUUCAUUCUAGUGUUUUGUUUUAAAGUAAUCGAAAAUUGCAAAUGAAACAAAUGCUUGAAAUCACAAACUGCCUAAAAUUAGAUUUUUAUUUCUUAAUGUUUUAGUGACUUUGAUCUUGAUAUUGAAAAUUUAUUUGUAACUUAUAUAAAGGCCUCGAUUUUAUCAUAAUUGAUUAGUAAGGCUAUGUACGGGAGCAUGGAUAAAUUUUGAGAUUGGAUUAUAUUUUUGGAACUAAAAAAUUAAUUUCAUCCAAUGUUAUGUAUAGCUGUCGGGACUAGCAAAUUAGUCUAAAAUUAUUGAAAUUAUUAGUCUUUUACAUUAUAAUUUUUUCGUUCCCACUUUAAACGUUAUUGGUAACUUAAAUCAUUUUUUAAAUUAAAUAUAAAGUUAAUUUAAUUAAAUAUAAUUUAAUUAAAUAUAAAAAUUAAUUUUAUAAUUUUUUCACCUAGAAUUUUAUAGUAUAUUAAAUACUAAAAUUAUAUUCGAUAAUGUAUUAUCAUUUAUUUAAUAAAUAUUUAGGUUUAUUAGUGUAUCAUAUUAUUAUUUAAAUUAAUUUUUUAUUUUCAUAUAGACAUAAAUUAAUAUUUACUAAUUUAAAUUUAUUAUAAUUUAUUAAAUAAUAAAAGCUAAAUGAUUGUAUUUAAAAUAUAAAUUGUAUUUUAAUGUAUUAUAGCCUAAAUCUUACCCCUAUGAAUUUAUUUUAUCCAUCUUUUAUUGUAUUAACCACAUUUAUAAGGCAGUGCGAUGCAACCGAAAAUUAUAACCAAACAUGAGUUAGUAUGAAAAUAAUAUUUUAGUACAAUACAAUACAAUGUAAUAUAAGCAAACAAAUAGAUAUUUAAUUGAAGCAAAAAUUGCAUAUGGUUUGUCGUCUCUCAAAAGACAGCAAAGAAACCAAUAUGACACAUUGAUUUUGAAUUUGUUGUUUUUCGUGUUAUGAAAAGGAAAAUGCAGAAAACUUAUUUGGUGAGCUUAUUUUGGUGGAAAACUGUACAGUGAUUAAAAACAAAAAAAUUAUCAUUUUCCAAUGUUUACAAAGAAAACAAGAGACAUUUUAUUUCACUUUUACUCUCUGCCAAGGGUCUCACUAUCUUAACUUUUAUAAGAUAGUGUAAUAAAUUACGUGGGCCCAUUUAAUAAAGAAAUAAUCUAAUAAAUAAACUAAUAUAACAAAUAUUUAAAAAUAAUAGCAAUAGUUUAUUCCAUACCUUGCAGCUUAACUACUUAAUAGAUUACCCAAAUUGUUUUAAAUAAAAAGUAAUAUCAUAUAAUUAUUAUACUAAAUUAUUACAUUGUUCGACCCAAUAUGCAGUUAUUUAAAAAUUAUUACAAAUUUUCAUACACUAAUGAAAAUAUUUCAAUAAUAAAGUUACUUCUUGACAGCUAAUAUAAAUAAAUAUAUGAUAAUUAUGAAAUAAUUUAAAAUUUUCUCAAUUACUAUUAUCUUAUAAGUACAAUUUAUUUACAUAAUUAAAAGUUUUUAAGAAAUCAUUAAAAUAUCAUCGUACCUAUAUGCAUUUAUAAUAAUAUAUAAUACAUCAUAAUAUAAUAGCUAAAUAGAUAAAUUAUUUAAUGACAUAAAAUAUAUAUUUAUAUUCAUUGUAUUAUAUUAUUCUUUCAUAAUAAUUUCAUUAAAUAAUUCCCUAUUCUCUCUCUCUCUUUUUGUCUUCAUUUUUUCAGAUAAGCAACCAAACAUCUUUUCACCUUUUUUUAUUUUCAAGUACUGUUUUUAAACUAAGGUACCAAACAUGUUUUUAUUUUUAACAAAAACUAAUCAUUCUUAUUUCAUAAAAUAAAUUUAAAAACACUAUUUAAAAAAUAAUACCAAAUGCACCCUUAAAAACUAUGAGAAAUAUACUGAUUUUACAAAUAAUAUUUAAUAUGUCGAUUAGACUGAAUCUUUGGAAUAAAAAUUUCAAAUUAAAUACUAAACCCUUAGUUCCCUUUUAAUCGUAAUUAUAAUCUUAAUUAUUAAAGACAUUUUAUUUUGUGCUUGUCUUUUUUUAUUCACUUUUUUUUUAAUCAAAAAUAUUGCUCUGCAUGCAAGUCUUUGGUCGCGGGCCUAGGUGUCCCAAACAUCCAGCUGACAGCGACGUUUCCACUUUGAUUAUCCGCACUUCCCAGAAGUCGCAAGGAAAGACCGAUUGAGUAGUUUGAUUGGUUUGAAGAUUCAUGAGACUGCUUUUCACUAGAAUUCCACGGCCUCAUUCAUUUUUUUUUUUAAUAAUCUAAAUGACAUCGAACACUCUACUCAAUAUAAGUUUAUUCGAAUGUCCUGUUUCAACCUAAUCGAAAAUUGCAAAUGAAACAAAUGCUUGCUAUCACAAACAGCCAAAAUGGAAUUUUUGUUUUUCAUUGUUGUAAUGACUUUGAUCUUGAUGUUGAAAAUUUAUUUGUAACUUAUAUAAAGGCUCAAUUUUAUCAUAAUUGGUUACAUCCAUAUGCAGCUUAUAUAAUGUUUAUUACAUCCAUAUAAUCUUUCUUAUAUAAUGUUUUUGUUACAUCCAAGAGAAAGACAGUUACGCUUAGAUCAGUCUUAUUUAAUAGAAUUAUAGGAUAAUAAAAUUGGUUUAAAGAAAUGUGAUUCUUAACUCUUGUAAUUAAAGUUAGUGUUCUUUGAUUUUAGUGGUGUAGGGCUUAUAAGUCUAUGCAACAAUUCUUGGUGAGUUUGAUUCAAUAUACGAUCAUUUUCAGUUCUUUAAAGUCUCAUAAUUAAAAAUUCCGAAAUCAUAAUUAGAAUUUACAAACAAGUCAAAGUGAGUCAAAGCAAACCUAGAAAUUUAAGGUCUAUCAUAAACUUUUGACAAAUUAAAGUUAAGGUGAUUAAUUAAAUGCUAGACAAAACAAAACCUAUAAAUUUACCUUACCACAUGAUGAAGCUAUUUCAAAGAUCUCAAAUUACACACUAAUUAAUAAUUAAUCUACAUUUUUUUCCGUUGUAUAUCGUUGAAACUUCUAUCUUCACAACAUAUUGUUCUUAAUUGGCCAAAUGUAUUUUUGUCUAGAAAUUUGCUAUGAACAAAUUUCAGAAUUCAUCAGAGAUAAUACAAACAACUAAUGUAUUUAUAAUAUACAUAAUUAAACUUAAUAUAACCAUCACUUACAUGAUAGUUUUUCAAAAUAAAUAAACACAUAUUAUAACAUAUUUAUUUAUUAUAUAAUUAAUAUAGUACCUUUAAUAUAUUGUAGAAUUUCUUCUUCCUAUGUUACAGAAAAUGUAAGUAACGGACACUAAUUUAACAAGAAACGUAUAUAUAAGUUUGCCACGUGUAGUCUCAACAUGUGUGUAAAAACCGAAUUAACCGGUUUGCAUUCGACAACAAAGGAAAAUAUUACUUGUUGCUGAUCGAUUGCAUAAUAUUUUAAUUCGACAUGUCUGACUGCUUUGCCAGCUCGUGUGAUAAAAUGGAUAUGAGUGGAUCUUCAAUGCCUCCCGCAAAAUCCUUGUAACACCACUUCAAAAUUUUAUUUUCUAAAAUACACCGAGUUUAAAUUAUAAAAUAUAAAUCUGUUUAUAAAAAUUAAUCAUCUUUCCAUAAAAUUUCAACCUAAAAAUUAUUUUUCUUUUAAUUUUUAUUAUAAAAGGUAUACAAACUCUAUUAUUAAAUUGUUUUCUUCUUAUGAUAUAGUUUAUAUCUCUAUAACUCUAAACUUGUGUAAUUUUUUUUUAAAAAUAUUUUUCAAUUUAAAAUAUAAAAUGGCGUGGGUAUUAAAAAAUUUGUUAAAAGAAUAAUUUAUUUAAGUAUUUAACUGAAUUUAAAAUAAGAAAUAAAUUAAUUUAUUUUUGAUUAUUUAUGUAAGUUUCAAUUAAAAAAGAGUUUUAUGAGAAAUUGAGAGGGGAAAAUGAUAUUCUUAGUAAUAUUAUUAACAUAUGAUUAAAAUUCUUAUUAAUUAAACAUUUUCAUAUAAAAACUACUGAUAUUUAUAGAGAAAGCACAAUGAAGUGAAGAAAACUUGAAUAUACAUACUCCAAUAUAAUUUUACACAUGCAAAUUAUGAACCGAUGAUCUUUAAAUUAUCAUAAAAUUAUUUCAACAUAAGUAAUUAGUUUGAAAAUUUUCCAAUAAUGUUUAAAAUGGGAAUGAAAGGAUUAUACUAUAUAAGACACAAUAUCAUUUAAGGCGGCUUAGAAAUUAUGAGAAAUUUAUCGAUCUUACAAAUAAUAUUUAAUACGUCGAUUAGACUGAAUCUUUGGAAUAAAAAUUUCAAAUUAAAUAAUAAACCCUUAGUUUCCUUUUAAUCAUAAUUAUAAUCUUAAUUAUUAAGACAUCUUGUUUUUUGCUUGCCUAUUUUAUUAACUUUUUUUUAAUGAAAAAUAUUGCGCUGCAUGCAAGUCUUUGGUCGCCGGCCUACGCGUCCCAAGCAUCCAGUUGACAGCGAGGUUUCCACUUUGAUUAUCGGCACUCCCCAGAAGUCGCAAGGAAAGACUUGUUCGAGUAGUUUGAAGAUUCAUGAGACUGCUUUUCACUAGAAUUCCACGCCCUCAUUCCUUUUUUUCUUUUUUUUUUUUAAUUAUCUAAAUGACAUCGAACACUCUACUCAAUAUAAAUUUAUUCGAAUGUUCUGUUUCAACCUAAUCAGAAAUUGCAAACGAAACAAAUGCUUGCGAUCACAAACGGCCUAAAUGGGAUUUUUGUUUUUAAAUGUUGCAAUGACUUUGAUCCUGAUGUUGAAAAUUUAUUUGUAACUUAUAUAAUGGCUUCAAUUUUAUCAUAAUUGGUUUCUAAUGCUAUGUUAGAGGGCAUGGAUAAACUGUGGGAUUAGAUUAGAUUUUAGGACUAAAAAAUUAAUUUCAUCCAAUGUCAUAUUUAGCUGUCGUGACUAAUAAAUUAGUCCAAAAUUAGGAUAAGAUUUAUAAUAUUAAAUGAAAUAUUUUUGUUCUCUUUAUCACUCUUUUCUUUUUCAUUUAAAUUGAAUAUAAACAGUAAUUUCAUAAUUUUUUAUGUAGAAUUUUAUAUUAUACUAAAUAUCAAAAUUCUAUUCAAAAUUUAUUUUAAGUUGUAUUUACUUAAGAUUAAUUAUCUAAAUUUAAUCCAAUAAUUUAGUUGAUCUAGUAUUGAAUAUUAAACAUUAAAAAUUAUUCGAUUAUUUGUUUAAAAUAAAAUUGAAUAUUAAAUAUUGAAAUAAUUAUUUAAUAGCAUAUUAUAUUAUUAAUAUAAUUAUUAAUAAGAAACAUAUCAUUUAUUUGAUUACUAUUUAAAGAUAAACUUAAAUACUAUUUAAAAUCAUUUAAAUUUAACUUAAUAUAAUCCAAUCUAAAAUUGUACCAGACAUGCAUAAUACUAUAUAUAAUUCAGUCUAAUCCAAUUCAAUCUUAAUAAAUAAUACAAUCUAAUCUUGUGAGUCAAAAUUGGCCUAAGGUUACCAAUUGUGCAAUAAUCUUUAUAGCCCGUUUCCCAGCCACACACCCUUUUGUAUUAGUAUUCUCACAGCCGUUGGAAAUAUGGCUCGUAAUCUAACAAAUGACAUUAUACGGCUGUUACUUGCUAGUUUUUGUAAGGUGGCCAAGGCCUUUUAUCAAACACUAUAGGCCUUUUAGUGCUGAGCUAACAGAUUAGUGCUGUCUAUUUCUACAAACACAGAACUGCUAUUUGUUUGUCUAUCCCGUGGUCUCUUCGUUUAUUGACUUGAACUGUGAUAACUAAGGGGGCAUUCCUUUCUUCAAGAGAGUACUACCCAAUGGAGACGUUAAGUAUUAUUUUGUUUUUUUUUCGAAAUAAUAAUGAGUCAUAGUCAAUUGGAUUGAAUUAAUAAUGUUUGUGUCUGUGUGGUGUAAAUUGUAUAAGAAUGGAAUUUUUAUACAUAAAUAUAUUUCUCAUUCAAACUAACGCGACCAUAUUUUAACAAAUAAUUGUCUUGUAUUUCAUAUUAUUUAUUUUAUUAUAUUAUUUUCAUUUUAAUAUAUCAUCACGCUACUCUUCCCCAGUUUUCAUAUACACCAUAUCUGUUUGUGUGAGAUUAAUUUGUACACACUACAAAAAAGGCGGCCUGAUGCGAGGCCGGAUUUGACGAAUAUCUGAGCCGACGUAAAUGAUGAUCGUCUGUCGGUAAUUUGAUUACCUUUCCGUACUUUAUCAAUCAUUGAAUGAUUUUACUGGUUUAAUCGCUUGAUUGUUUGAGUAUGAUCGGUAAUUUGAUCGUCUGUCAGCAAGUGAUUCACCAUUCACUCUCCAAUUUUCAUUAAUUUAGUGUAGCAAAGCUUUAACUAGACAGGUAGAUAACGUGGUCAUGAAAACAUGAUUAAGAGUUUAAUGCAAUCAAAUCUACUUUAAUGAUUAUUUAAUGCACGGAGAUUUAACAUCAAUUAUCAUCACGUUAUUCUAACAACGAAAUUGCAGAGCUUGGAUCUUUACUCGAACAGUUUCACUGGCACUAUUUCUGACACAUUGGGCAAGCUGAAGGAAUUGCAAUUCCUGUAUGAUCAUUUCCCCAACUAUUAUUUGAAUAAUUAUUUAAUGCCGUUCAUUCCAGCUCUGUUUGGCUGUUAACUUUAUUUAGUUAUUUAUUUAUGAGGAGAUUCAUUUCUCACUUGAAUCUAGAAAUUUACGGAUCAAUGACAUUUUAUUUUUUCUUUUAUAUGACAGCUUGCAAUCCCUGGUGUGUACUCAUAGUGCCUUACAUGAAUAAAAAAAUGAUUUUUUUUUUUUUGGGGGGACAAUUGCAGUUCUGAUAACAACUAAAAUCUGUGUGGUCCGGUUACCAGAAAGCCUUGCCCCAGGUCUCUGCCAUUUUCUCCUCCACCUCCAUUUGGGGAAACUAAACUAUUUACUUUUUGCAAGUUUUUCUUGAAAUAUAUAUUUUUGAGAAGAAAACCAACAAUACAUUUUAUGAUUUGGGCUGUUUCAAAGAUCUUUGCUUGAUAUCUCUGCUACUGGUUUUCAGCAGAGCGCCCAAAAUAAUCAGUGCACGCACCAUAUGCUUUAUUAUUAUCAGCAAAAAUCACUGCUGAUAUGUUGGGAUCGACUUUUUUAUUUGGGAGAGGAAGCAUGCUUGAAAGAGUAGAGCGGUGCAUCUUGUUCAAACAUGCACCGUAGAGCCAAUUCCAUUUUAUGAAAUAGGAGUUAGACUGAACAACGUUAUGUCUUCAUUAUCAUUUCAGGAGGAAAUAGAUCAAAUACAGCAAUUGCUGUAGGAGUUGAUGUUUGUGCUGCUAUAUUUUCUUCAGACUCUCAUACCAAGGAAAAAUUUAGCUUCAAAGAAUGGUAUGAUGCUUUGAUUUAUGAAGUAAUUGUUAUACAUUUUGUACCUUCCAUACAUUUUGCUCUGUUAAUAUUAUUAUUUGAUAACAUGCUUGUCGAGUUGCACAGCGUUUAGAAUUUUGAGAUUAAAUAGAGUAUAAAUGCUAUCCAAAUGCACUCCUUUCAUUUUAUACAACUUUGAUUGAUCAUUGUUUCUAAUUUACCUCAGGCAUCAAUGGAGUCUGUCCGAGUCUCCUUUGCUGGGAAAUCAGUCAAAUGACAGCACAGGUGCAUAUAUUCCAAGAGCCAGUAAUGUAAUAGCUCACAAUUUAGCAAGACUAGCUUUGGAGCAAUCUGAAGUUGUACUUUGGAUGGAUAAUAUUCCAGCCCAACAUUUGUAUUUAUUCACUAGUUUUUUUUUUUUUUUUGAAGAGAAAGUAAAGCUUUCUAACUAAACAAACUUAGACAGUAACAAUAUGAUUUGAACUGGAAAGUCCUCCAGCCAAACUACAGGGCUUUCAAAAUCUAAGGCUACUUUGGCCAAUGAGUGAGCUGCUACAUUACAGUUUCUAGGAACGAAUUGAAUUGAUGCUCUGCUCUGGUUCUUUAGACAUGCUUGAAUCUCUUCCACUGCCCAGCAAAUUUCUGCCAUGCUGCUCUUCCUUUGCAGUGAUAGCUCCACCACUUCUAAAGAAUCUGACUCUAUAAUGAUUGGAUUACAUUUUGCUUGGCAGGCAACUUGAAUUCCAAACAACACGGCUUCCGCUUCCAUACAAGCCACAUCACCUCUGAAUCCAGUGCUCUGAACUGCUGCAGCCAAAAUUUUCCCGCUUGAAUCUCUAACCACUACACCUAGCCCAGCCUUCGAAUCUGCCAUUUGAAUUGCUGCAUCCACAUUCACUUUAUACCAACCAAUUGGAGGGGGAUUCCACACCUGUUGAUUAUUAUUGUGCUGACUUGGAACAACUUGGACAUUUGGACACUUAAUUCUCAAGUACGACUCUACAGUUGCUGCAGCCCCGGCUGCUGUCAUUUGGGGAUCUUCUUGCUUACCUUCAUUUACCACUCUAUUUCUUGCAUACCAGAUAGCCCAACAAGUUGCAAUUAUCAGCCCCAAAUCAUCUUUUUUCCUCUUCCCGGCUAAAUCUUGAAGAAUACUCAGCAUAUCCUGGUGAGCCAUUAGCUUUAUAUCCUCAUAAAAUUCUGUCAACUUCCACACCUUCCUAGUAGCUCUGCAUCCCACCAAUGCAUGAAAGACAUCACUAGUUGAAUGCUUAAAAGGGAGACAUUUUUAUCAAAAAAAGAAAAAAAACUUCAAUUGAGUUGCUAUCUAUUUAACUUUGGCAAGUGAGAGAGAGGGAUGGGACUGUCCAAUUAAAAUUAAGUUUCAAAUGGUAAUCCCAUCAUUGUCGUCUCAUGUUUGUCAAAUUCAAAUUUGAAAAUAUCACCAUGUUUGUAUGGUGAUGUUGUGGGAUUGUCUCGCCUAGGCUUUUAGCCUUACGACCUCCUUUAUUAGAAAAAAUCUUUGGUGUUCUUACUCAAUGGUAGAAUCAAAAUUUUACUUCAAUGGAAGCCAUAAUGAUUAAAAUAUAUUCUUAUUAAAUUUGAUCAAUUACUUAUUUGAUGUUGCUCUCUCUAUCUACAUCUCCUUCUUUAUGAAAAAAAUUAUUGUAAUACAUGAAAGUAAAUAUUGCAUUGAAUAAAAUGAAAUUGUUCAAAAAUUAACAAAUUCAGCUUUAUUAUAAUCUAAAACAAAGUAAAUAGAAUAAUAUCCAUCAUGUAAAAAUAAAAAAAAAUUGUACCACUUUGAAUCUAUUUUAAUUUUUUUGGUCAAAUCUCAAAAGCACAAACCUUGAACGAUAAUAAUAUGUAAAAGCUAAUAAUCUUAUAAUAAAAAGUAAGAAAAAAAUAAAAUUGAUUUAGCAUGUAAGAAUAAAAAAAGAAAAAUAGAAAGAGAGAGAAAUUAGUUUAGGCUUUAAGCAUUGUUAAGUUCGGAGAAAAAUAAUAAUUAACUAAGAGUAAUUUUAUGACUUUUUAGAAAUGAGUGAAUUAAAAUAAUAAGUUAAAAUUUAAUAAUUAUCUUAAUUAAAAAAAUAGGUAUUGAAAUAAAAUUAGUGGAUUCAAAUAGCCCACCCAAAAUCUAAACUUGCAUACCAAUUAUUUUCUAAUUUACAUAAAGUUUUUCUUUAUGUUUGAUAACACUUGUUUCUCAAUUGGUCUAACGGAGAAACAACCAGCUAAAAAAUAAAAUGAAUGCAAUUAAAUGGAAAUUUGAAAAAGAGCAGUAUGUCACGGGAUGAGUGUUUUGCGCAGCUAACCCGUGCGGCACUUAGACAACUUUGCCGAAUGUUGCUAAGUAAGCCUAGAGCUUCUCGAACUAGAGAAGAGAGCAAUUGAGCCAAAGAAGAAAACUUGUAUUGCACAAAGAGAGAAUACAAUGCUUGAGUUGCUUACAAAGCUUGUUGGAUACAAAUGCCUAAUGCCAUCCCAUAUUUAUAGGGGAGGCUUGCCAAGCUCUAGAGAUUCUAGAGAAUUCUACCACUUCCUAGCUAUUUACAUGUGCUGGAAUUCUAUGGAGAAUUCUAGAGUUGCUUAGAACUUUCCGGAAUUGAGCCAAGCUAACACUCUUGGCCUUGUGUUGGCUCUCUAGCCCAAAAUUGUGAGCAAUUGGGCUAGCGAUUUGGGCGGUCCGCAACAAGUAGGUGACAUUUUUGUGCAAGCAAAAUUGCAUUCUGUUUGUGGGAUCCUGGAAAAAGUAAAAGAGAAAACACAGAAUGACACUGAUAUUGUGUUCUUUAAUAUUUUUCUAGUUGCUUCCAUGGCAGAUUCUCAUUGGUCCAUUUUUCUUUACGCCUUAGAUUCUAUGAUUCAAUUUCAAUCAAAUACCACAACCAAAAGAAGCUUUUAAGCCUGCAGCUGAAAUAGAUGGCACUUUAAUUUUCAGCUGAACAUAUAUAUGGUAAGAUUAUUAUUAGUAUCGAGCUUGAUGAGGCUAUAGAAAAUUCAAUAUCGAGAUCGGAUAAGGGUCCAAUAAAUUAUAAAAAUAUUGCAGCUCAAAGCCCAUAUGAUCAUGGGCCACUACUUGCUCAUGCUUUGAAUUAAAAUUUUCUAACGAAGUGACGUUGGAAGCCGAAAUGGGCACAUGAUGAAAUGGUGUUCAUCAUAUAUUGAGCCCAACGGGACAAGAUCAUCAUUUAAUUGCCUCCUCCACUUGUCGAUAGAUAUUUGCCGAAUUUUUCUAUUUAAAAAAAUAUUAUACUGGUCAAUAUAAUUAGAAGUUUUACAAAAUAUAAAUAUAAUUUUAAAAAAAUUUAUAUUUGUUAAUUUAAAAUUUUCAUUUGGUGGUUAUGUUUGAGAAAAAUCUUAGAGAUACUAAGAUAUACUCUCUUAUUAUUUAUUAAAUUUAGGUAUUUUGACAUAUUAGUAUUCAGUAUUUUUUGGUAAUUAGCUGAGAAGUAUAUGUGACAAAAAUUUAACACAUGAAAGAAUACACAUCGAGAUUAUCUAAAAUUUUCCAUUGACUUAGUCAACUCUCCAUUAAUUUCAUUGACUUGGUCAACUUAUGAUCUAACUUGACAACUUGAAAAUUAAAUUAUGCUAGUACUUUUGUAAAAUUAAAAUUUAUCUUCCAAAAUUGAUAAAUACCGUGUCACUUUGUCAAAUUACUUAGGGUAAAAGUUCUAUAGCUAAAACAUUUAAGAUGAGUUAUAUGCUAAUUGAGAAGGACAAGACACAAAAGAAUUCAAUGGGGCAAAACUAUGUUACAACUGUGGUAUGGUACCACAGUUGCUUUCAGUCGGUAGAUCCACAGUUGUACAGUUACAUUAGUUAGAUCUAAUGGUUGAAAGUAACUGUGAUACCAUACCAUAGUUGCAACAUAGCUGGACCCAAUUCAAUGAAUGCCACGUUAAGUAACGUUGCUUACUCUUAACAAAUUAUUACAAACGUGAUUCAUGAAACUUGACUUUGUGUAUAAAGACGACCUAAAGAAACAUGCCAGGGCAACAAAUAAAGUAGUCCAAACGUGAUUCAUGAAAACUUGAUAGGCACUAUUUAAAUAGUAUUAAUAUGGCAACCAAAAACAUGCGAGCAAAGUAGACUUUCUUGGACGAUCCAUGCCAAUCAACAAAUAAAGUAGCCCAAACGUGAUUCGUGAAACUUGACUUUCUGUCUAAAAAGGCCUAAAGAAACAAGAUCAAAAUUCCAUGCAGAAGCAAUAUGGUGGGCACAAUGCACUAUUUAAGCCAUUUUUCAAAACUAAGUUUCUUCUUUUUCACAUGCACUAUUCAAGCAAUUUUUCAACAUUUUCUCAUUCCCCUAAAAGCUAACACGCAUGCGUGAAUCAUGUGCCAAUCAAUUUCUUGGCAAAAAUUGGAACGCAAGAACCGGUUCGAGCAUAGGGACAUUUUCACGAUUCAAGAUUCUCAGCAAGACGGCGAGACCAACGUGCAUCACUUUUGGAAAGUAAUUUAGCAAGUUCCAAUGCCUUAGCUGAUUAAUGGCUUGACCAUGUCACGAUUGGUCCCCUAAAAGCUAACACGCAUGCGUGAAUCAUGUGCCAAUCAAUUUCUUGGCAAAAAUUGGAACGCAAGAACCGGUUCGAGCAUAGGGACAUUUUCACGAUUCAAGAUUCUCAGCAAGACGGCGAGACCAACGUGCAUCACUUUUGGAAAGUAAUUUAGCAAGUUCCAAUGCCUUAGCUGAUUAAUGGCUUGACCAUGUCACGAUUGGUCCACAUUAUGCACAUGGCAAGAUCAAACAAAAUAUCACAGCUGGCUCGACGACUACCAGCCAAAAUAAGAAGACAAUUACGGCCAGUUACAUCAUUAUUGCUAGUAAACUCUUUACGAAGGAAAUGUGAAUAUCCCUCCUAAUCACUUUCUUAUAUUAUCAUUAUUUUGUACAUAUGACAGAACAUGUUCUCCCAUGUAAAGAAGUCAAGAAAAUGGUUUUAGUUUUCACAUCAAUAAUGGAAUCCAAAAUCUUUCACAGCUUGCUUCUCCUUUGGACGCUUGAAAAACUUUCUUACCUGGCUAAAACUGUGAGAAUUGUUCAAACUAAUUUGAUUGAUAACUUUCAGACACAAAAAUGUAUAUGAAUGCUACAUUUAAAUGUGAAACAAAAAGGAGUACUUAUAUUAAAAAACAAUCAGUCUCAUUGCGUCCUCUUCCAUUGACAUAGGCAAUUUGCGGUCAACUUGUGGCACCCUUAUUGACACGUAAAUAACUUACUUACCCUGCAGCCAAUACUUUUAUGAAUUUUUAGGGUUGGUAAAUUUUUCAAAUUUAAAAGAAAAAGUACAGAAAUAUAAUUUCCAUUUAUCCAGAAAUUUGAGUUUCAAGGAACAUAGCAUUUAUGUUAAUAUAGAGAAGAAAUUUUUUAAAAAAAAAUUGAAUGAAUAAAAGUAUUUUUUGAUAAAUAUUUGACAAUCAUAUUUAAAAAAAAAAGUUUUUUUAAAAAAAAAAAUUCACUCUUCCUACAUAAUUUAAUAAUUUAACAUUAUAAAUUAAUCUUUUUAUUCAAAGUAAUAAUCUCUCCUUCGGUCUGCAAAUGCUAAAAUUUAAUAUUAUACCAUAUGAUGUAAUAGCAAAUCUGCAUGAAAUCUGCAUUUAGUCAAUAACUAUGAAAUAUCGAUACGUGUUUGAAAAAACUCUUAAAAAUCGGUUUCCACCUUCAUUAUUAUAGCUCUUGUAUAAACCAACUUGGCAACAUAUGAUUGAUUAAUAUAAGAAUAAAUAUUUAUUAAGUGGGUUCUACCAUGUUUUUAAUUCACCUAAUGAUAAUAUGUCACAUCAAUUUGUACAACAAUAUUUGUGACUAUAUCAUUACUCGUUAAUUAAUAUGAACACUAAUUUAUUCUUCUUGAAAGAGAAUUACUGCAGCGAGGUUUGAGGCUCAAAGAGUUCUCAUUUAGCCAAACAUAAGAGAUGAGAGUUCACAGGAGACGUAAUUUGGAAAAUCAAUUCCAUCCAAUAGGCAAUAGGUCUCAGUGGGUUUGACUCAGUAUACGAUUAUUUUCAAUUUUUUAACGUCUUGUAAUUACAAAUUCCGAUAUCACAUUAUAAUUUUCGAACAAAUCAAAGUGAGUCAAAUCAAAUUUAGAAAAUUGAGAAAUUUAAGAUGAUUAAGUAAAUGCUAGACAAAAUCUAACUUGUAAAUAUACCUUACCACAUGAUGAACGUACUUAAAGAUCUUAACUGAUUGCUAACCAAUUAAUUGUUGUUUUACAAUUUUUAUAUAUCCUUUCUUUUCCCUAAAACUUCUAGUUUCCUAACAUAUUGUUCUCAAUUGGUCUAAUUAUAAUAUAAUUUUUUUAAAUAUAAAUAAAAUGAAUUUAUUUACUGGAAAUUUGAAAAAGAGGCACUUAUCUAUGCAAGCAAAGUUGCAUUCUGUUUGUGGGGACCUUAAAAAAAAGAAAAAAGAAAAAAGCAUAAUGACACACUGAUGACGACAAUCCUGAAGUAUUUGUUUUCUUUAGUUACAGUUUGGUUUGAAUGGUUAAGUUCAAGUUCGAAUUUUCUUUACGUAAUUUAAAUUAAAAUUGAUAGAACAAAUGGGCUGAUCAGUAAGAUGAUGAAGAAGAAGAAGAAGAAGAGGGGAUGUCUUUGAGGAUGAAGAGAAAGAAAGUUCUCGAAUAAAAAUCCGGCUUUAUGGAAAUUAAAUUAAAAGCUAUUAAGCAUUGUAAAUUACUUAACAGAUUAAUGCUGAGCUAAUCAAGUUUGUUUCUGAAGAUGAUACCUUUAAAUCUCUUGUAGUUAAAGAUAAUUAUCAUAUCACCAUAUCAAAUGGACCGAAUUCAAUCAAGUGAAAUCUAGAAAAUAGAGCAGCUCAUAGAUGUACGUGGCUAAGUCGGGGUUCAUUUGGAAGUACUUGGUCGAAUUGCGACUUGCAUCGGAGGCUUCGUUUUAGAAGAGUGCAGAGCAGCCGCCUUGUCCAUUUGGCACGCCAACGACUUUCUAUUGACCAAUAAUUUUGAAAGCGAUAUUAUUAAUUUACCAUCUAAUAUAUUUAUGAUAUUAUCAUUUUACUAUAAUAUUUUUUUGAUAUUAUCAUUUUACUAUCAAAGUUUUUUGACAAUUAUUUUGUUCACUUAAUGUUUUAGUUUUUGUUAUUUUACUAUCAAAAAAUGGUAAACGCACCCCUAGUAUCGGUUAUACACAAAAAUGGUUACCGAACUGUCUUGUUUCUCAUUUUGUUUAAUUUUCAUAAUUCGACUCACGAUUCAAACGUAGGUGAAGAGGUCUUUUGGGAAAAAUCUGGUCUUCCAUUUACUAGAAUAAGCUAUGUGUGAUUGUUUGACCGCAUAUGGCUUUCUGUCCAUCAGCUAAUGCAUAUUCUGCAUUUUAUGAAUAUCAGAGCUGGUAGAUUGAAAAAUGGACCUUAUUACAUGUCAUAAGAUACUUUGCUCAAAGCUGCAAUUGGGCAACGCCGUGCUGUUCGUAUCGGCCAAGGCAAGCCAUUUACUAUUCUUUCUAAUGGAGCAAAAUACGAUGAUUCUUACCUGCGUAGAGAAUUAGAAAAGAAAAGGAGGAUUACUGAUCCACAGAGCUGUCAUUUACUAGAAGCACAUAAAAUCUUACACUUAAUUCAUUAACCAUAUGUAAUGUUCUAAUGAUACUUAAGUAUUACAUAAAUUAGCCUUUCAAAAUUUCACUUCGAAAAAAUCCAAGGUUGUGAUGUGUCUGUAUAAAUUCGCUAAUACAAGUUCUCUCUAUUCCCAAUUGUUUUAAACUCUGUUCUGAACAGAGCAUGAAAGGAUAUAUUCGUUUAUCUAGUUAUAUUUUUUAUGCUCUCACUUCACUUGAUUCACCUUCUCCAUCUUUUAAAACAGUUGUAUAUGUCGGAGUAUCAAGUUCAUCACAAGGAUCAUAUUAUGGCCUAAGGAAGGAGCACAGUUUAUUGUCUGCACUCAAGCUUAGCAGAGUAUUUUGGGAUUCAAGAGUGUUAGUAGGCCGUUACAGAUGCCAUGCUGGCAAGCGUGCUAUGACUGAUUGCUAUUUGCACGUAAAAUUUGCCCAAAACAAAUAGAAUGAGAAUACUUGUACAAAAGGAUAAGAUUAAUAAAGUGAAUAAAUUUUAUCUUUUAGUGAAUGCUUCUUGUCUUUUAGAAUUUCAGUGCAUUUUCGUGUGUAAUUUUAUGUGCAAAUAGCAUUACUCAUUAGUAAUUAGUCUAGAGUGUUCUAAUUUCUUCUAAUAAGUAGCUGAUUUGAGCUUAAGACUUGUAUUUUAAGUUUUUAUUACUUUCUAAUAAAGAUUUUCUCCGUUCUUUUUUACUUUCACUUUCUCUUCCAUUUUCCCGACUCCCAAACACCACCAAUCCUUGAUUUUCUAGAGUAUAGCUAUGCAGUUCUACAAACACGAAACUGCUGUUGGUCCAAUUACUUUCAAGAAACAACGUACUCUGUGGUUUAUUGACUUGUGACAUGGGCAAAUUAGUCACGGUCCGAUUGUCUCCUCUUCCACUUACUGUCAAUUCAUGACUUUGGCACACAGUAGACGCCAGCUGCCUGCUCCAUUUGACGUGCAAAAAACUUUCUUGAGUCAUGUAGUUAAGAGAGACUUAAUUUUGAGAAGUGCAAGAGAUUGGUGGGACUCAUUUGAUUCAAGAAAAACAAUCAGUCUCAUUUGAUACGCAAAGAGCUUUUCAACUCUGCAGCCAAUAUUUUGAUGAAUGAGACAUUACUGGUUUGUAUAAUUUUUUGGAUAUUAUCUCAAUUUUACUUCUGUAGGUUUGUGGUUUGUAUAUUACCUCAAUUUUUAAAAAAAUGUAAUUGCAAUUAUCAAACACGACUAAUCCCAACAAUUUAUCCAAAAAAUUUUGUUUCAAGAAAUGUAGCAUUUAUGAUAGAAUGGCUAAUUUUUUCAAUCGACUUUCUGGAUAAAUGAUAAUUUUUUGAUAGAAAUGUUAAUUACUUAUUACAGGAAGAAAAUUAUAGAAUAAUUUUUUGAAUUAAUAGUAUUACUUUACGAUAACACUAUCACAAUCUAAUUUUUUUAAAAAUAAAGUUAUUCUUUAAAUUUCGCAUUACUAUUCCUACUUUUCUUGUUAUACUACUUAAUGGCAAAAAUAGUUCAUACGAUAAAAUGAGUACUUAUAUUAAAAAAAACAAUCGGUCUCAUUGCGUGCUCUUUCAUUGACAUAGGUAAUUGGCGGUCAACUUGUGGCACUUUUAUGAAUUUUCAAGACUGGUGAAUUUUUCAAAUUUAAAAGAAAAAAAUACAGAAAUGUAAUUUCAAUUUAUCCAAAAAUUUGAGUUUCAAGGAAUACAGCAUUUAUUAUAUGUCAUGUUAAUAUAGAGAAGAAAAAUUUAAAAACUUCUUUUUGGAUGAAUAAAAGUAUUUUCUGAUAAAUAUUUCACAAUCAAAUUUAAAAAAUUUCACUCCUCUUGGUACAUAAUUUAAGAAUUUAACAUUAUAAAUUAAUCUUUUUAAUCAAAGUAAUAAUCUCUCCUCGGUCUGCAAAUGCUAAAAUUUAAUAUUAUAUCCAUUGACAAUAUUUGCUCCCAAUUCACGAAAAUAAAAUUUCUAACAGAAUUAUGAAAUUCGUUACUAGAAAAUUGUAUAAAAGUUGUGAGAAUAGAAGGUUUGAUCAUAGGAAAUUAAUAUAUCCCUAUCCGAUGCAAAAAUGAUUGUAAAGAAAAAAUUACAUUCCAUUUUCCAGUUAUUAAAAUAAUUCUAAAAUUGCUAGGAUCACAAAGGAUAGGCUUUGGUUGACUGAGGUCAGCCUUAACGCAUGCCGGUCUUUUUCUCCUCUACAUUCUUAGAAAUUUUGGUUUCACUAUAAAUACACGGUAUAUAGCAAACUUAUAAGUGUUCUUGCAUUACCAAUCCAAUUAAGCACACACUUACAAUCUAAAAUACUCUCAUCUCAUGGAAAGGCUUCAUUCUCUAAGCAUUAUGAGCAGAUUUCUCUUACUCCAUUGUUUGAUUCUUAUUUCCUUAUUUAUCGCUGCAGCAACAGCCAACACAAGUUCUACUAUCACAGACCGAGAUGCUCUGUUAGCCCUGAAAGCUCGCAUAACUCAUGAUCCGACCAAUUUCUUGGCCCAGAAUUGGAACACAAGUACUCCUGUCUGUAAUUGGACAGGCGUCGCUUGUGAUGUCCAUAGCCAUAGAGUCACAGUCUUGAAUAUUUCAAGCUUAAAUCUCACAGGCACCAUCCCUUCUCAACUUGGGAAUCUUUCUUCUCUGCAAUCACUCAAUCUCAGUUUUAACCGACUUUCUAGUUCCAUUCCCUCCGCCAUCUUCACCAUAUACACACUUCAAAAUGUUAGUCUCCGUAAAAAUCAGCUCACCGGCACUUUCCCUUCUUUCAUCUUCAACAAGUCUUCUUUACAACAUCUUGAUUUUAGUUUCAAUACAUUGUCUGGUGAAAUUCCUGCCAAUAUUUGCAGUAAUUUUCCUUUUCUGGAAUAUCUUGCUUUGUCCAACAACAUGUUUCAUGGAGGAAUACUGUCCGCUCUAUCAAAUUGCACAUAUUUGCAAAAAUUAGAUUUGGUAUACAAUGAUUUCUCGGGAGCCGUACCUAGAGAAAUCGGUAAUUUGACCAAACUUAAGGAAUUACAUCUUGGCCGCAACAGAUUCCAAGG
rnacentral:lncRNA from 1 species